rnacentral:lncRNA from 1 species
GAUGAUAUGAUCCAAACUCAAAUUGAACACUGCUCUUGUUUUGCAACACUACUGCAUUGGAAAGGCAACUUGAACUCACUUAUAGACCUACCUAUUGGUGAUUGCAUUGAAUUGACGUCACCUUGGAAGAGAUGUGUUCCACAUGGAAAAUCUUUCAUUAUAUGCACCUACUUGCAAGAUACCAAAAGGAAACAGGUGAAUACUUGCCCAAGAAUACAGAGGGCCACACUUGGUGAAGGUUUCAUCAGUAAGGAGAACCAUUUCAAGUAUGAAAUCCUCCCUUCUCAUUUUCUGAUGACUUCAUUUUUAUUCAAUAUCCAUUUGAAAUUAUUUAAGUUCAUUUUCUUUAUAUAUUAUAUUUUCUUUCUUGCUCAAUAAUUUCAUUCAAGUAAGUUGUUUGGAUAUCACAUUUUCUUUGGGGUUUUUUUUUUCUUUUUAGAAUAAUUUCAAAAGGUCAUUUUUAACUAUUCACAAAAUUUGAUCAUAGUUGAGUGAUUAAAAUUCAAGUUUAUUCUUAUUAUCAUUAGUAGUUAUUUGAUAUAUUCGUUUGCUAAUACAAAAAUAAGACUAACAAGUAAUGUGCAUAGAGUUUGUAGAAGAGAAGAAAGAUUUGAUCCAAGAUAUUCCUAAAGAUCGGAAACUUUCAAAGCCACCCAAGAUCCCAUAGGUUGAAUUCGGAUUCAUCCAGUUUACAAUCCAUUAAUUCUACUUAUAUCAUCUUUGUUAUGUUACAAUUUGCCUUUACUUGUUAUGCAGCCUACCUUAAUAAUUUGGGGAGACCAAGAUAAGGUAUACCUAGUAGAACUGGCUCACAAAUUGAAAAGGUAAACUUGUAUCACCUGCCUACAUGCCUACAACAAUAUAAACACUAGUUCGUGUCUUUCUCACUAUUGAAAUUGUUAUUGCAUGCAGGCAUUUCAGGUGAGGAGGCCCAACUUGUGAUCAUAGAGCAUACUUUUAUUAUAGAGAAGCCCAAGGAAAUAUUUAAGCACUUGAAAUCCUUUCUCAUUGAUUUGCUUCCACCUCCUAAGCAACACCUAGAACCACUCCCACCAUGACGAAGUUAAAAGGAACUAAUGCAACAUUCUCAAUAUAUUAGAAUAUAUCGAAGGAAGGGUGGCCACAUAUGAAGACCCUAUUCCAAGGUCAAAUUUAAGAUUUUUGUGUUUUUCCUAUCACUAUUCCUAUGCUAUUAUCAGUGCACCUUAUUUGUCAAGAUGAUUAAAAGGGAAUUCCCUAGGAUAACUAGUGUCUCAAGUGAUCUUGAAGUUCAUAAAUUUUUUGUUUCCACAAGAUAGGUGCUAACUAUUUUUAUUUUUUUUACACCCAUGCAAUAUUCUAGUCAUCUAUUAACAAGGGCUAAAAUUUCUUGUAGAGAAUAGAAUAAAGAACUAAAUUACAUGAAAAUAGGACAUUAUUAUUCUAUUUACAAGUAAGGGCCAAAAAUUGUUGAGGGCCACCAAGCACAUUGUUCCUAAAAUAAUAGCAUCCAUGUUGUUGAGCAAAAGUUUUUUUAUAUUGGCACCUCAUAUGUUUGUUUAAAUGCUCACAUCAAUAACUUUGAAAAUAUUUUCCAAAUUUUCAACAAAUUGUAAUGCUGUGCACUAAACUAAUCAUUUUACUUGGAGUUCUACAUUCUAAGAUUUUGAGAAAAAAACUAAGGUCUGAUAUGACAACUCUCAAUCCUAAAUGUUGUUUUGUGUUUGGAAUAUUACUGCACUUGAUAGAUGCCCUUACCUCUCUUACAGAACUUGGAAUUCAUGGCUACCCAGAAUUGGCAUCCCUGCCAGAAGAUAUGUUCCCUCAAAAGCCUGCAGAAACUAAACAAUUUGCAUUUGUUCACACUUAGAGGAAAGCUGCUGAAAGGAAAAGUGAAGACUAACCAAAGAUUUCUCAUAUCCCACAAAUUGAUAUCAUACAUCCAUGAAGAUUGAACUGAUACAGAAUGCCUUUCAGGUUUGAAAUCCCUAACUUUUCUUCUUAUUUUCUAUGACUUCAUUUUUAUUAUCUUCCAUUCAAAAAUCCUCUGUUUUCAUUUGUUUUGGUAGUUCUUUUUAUUUGCACCUUAUUUGUUUUAUUAAAUGCUUACUCCAGUAAGUUUGAAAAUUUUUACAUCUUCAAAUCAUUUUGCUUGAGUAUUUUGCAUUCUAAUAGUUUGAGGAAAUAUUGAGCUCUAACAUAAAUAGUAUUGGUCAUAGAGUCUUCCUUUCUUAAGAAGCUUACCAUUAACCUAAUGGCCAAAGGAUCCCAAAAGGAAAUGAAUUUGGGUUGGCUUGAAGAUUUCACAUGGUCCAAACAUUCGUAUUUACUAGAUGCCUGAUACAAAAGAAAUUUUGCUCUCUUUUCAAUUUAGCCAUUGAUGUAGUCUAAAUGUUUUAUUAGAGCAAUAAUUGUCGAGUAAAUGCAAAAUAGAGAAUGGUGUUAAUGAAUUCAGUACUUCAUUUAUGUUGUAGACUUGUAGUUUAGCAGCUUCUGUUGAUAAUGAGUGUGAGGUUGGCUUUAUCAUGUCACUGUUCCAAAUAUUCUUAAAAAAAAUAAUUUAAGCUCUGUAUGGUUCUUAGAAAAUUUAAGGGAAAAUGUGAGGAAAACAAAAUAGAGAGGAAAAGUGGAAGGAAAAAAAAGUGAAAGUCAAUAAAUUAUUUUUGUAUGCUACUUCAAACUCACUUCACUUUUUUUUAACUCUUCAAUAUAAAGAUUAAAUCAUUUGAAAAAUGUGUAAAUUUCUAAUUAAUUUUAAUUAUAUUUGAUUUUCUUUGGUAUUUUCCAAAAGACAACCAAAUAUGAGAAAAUCAUUUUCCUUUACAUUUUUUUUCUUAGUACUUUUAGGGAACCAAACAUAACCUAACUGUUUUAGUUUAGUAGUUUCAUCAAAUUAGAUAGACAACCUCACAUCUCUUAGUGAGCUGAGGUGCUAUGUCAAUUAAUGCUUUGUCUCUACUCUUCAUUGAAGUCUCUAUCUAUUGGAUGCACAGAUGAUAUGAUCUAAACUCAAAUUGAACACUGUUCUUGUUUUGCAACAUUACUGCACUCGAAAGGCAACUUCAACUCACUUAUAGACCUUCCUAUUGGUGAUUGCACUGAAUCGACAUCACUUUGGAAGAGAUGUGUUCCACACAGAAAAUCUUUCAUUAUAUUCACCUACUCGCAAGAUACCAAAGGGAAACAGGUGAAUACUUGCCCAAGAAUACAAAGGUCAUACUUGGUGAAGGUUCCAUCAAUAAGGAGAACCAUUUCAAGAAUGGAAUUCUCAUUUCUUCUCAUUUUCUUAUGGCUUCAUUUUUAUUCAAUAUCUAUAUGAAAUUAUUUAUGUUCAUUUUCUUUAGAUAUUACAUUUUUUUGCUUUCUCAAUAAUUUCAUUCAAGUUCUUUUGGAUAUCACAUUUUCUUUGGUGUUUUUUUUAGAAUAAUUCAAAAUGUCUUUUUUAACGGUUCACAAAAUUUGAUCACAGUUGAGUGAUUAAAAUUCAAGUUUAUUAUUAUUAUUAUUAUUGGUUAUUUGAUAUAUUUGUUUUCUUAUACAGAUAAAAGACUAGCAGCUAUUGUGCAUAGAAUUUGUAGAAGAGAAUAAAGAUUUGAUCUAAGUUAUUCCUAAUAGGUUGAGGAAUUCAUUCUUGUAAAAAUUGAGUGUUAAAGCCUUCAAGAGGUUUGAAUCUUGAAGAAAUUAUGUGAGAGCCCAUUGGAGCCAGAAUCCAAGUGUAAAGGAGAUUGGAAGCUUUGUUGAAACUUCAAGUUAGUGGAACCCUCACUCGGUUAGGAGAUUGAGGAGAGUGGAUGUAGGCAAGGAAAUGCCGAACCACUAUAAAAUCCAAGUUUAAAUUCUCUAACUCUAUCUCUUUAUUUUUUUAUUAUAUUGUACUUGAAUUUGUUGUGUUGAAAAAGUUUUUGAAAAACCCAAUUCACCUUCCUCUUAGGUGUUUUUCUCAUUUAAGCAUAGCCUUUAUUUUCUCACACUUGAAAUCCUUUCUCAUUAAUUUGCUUCCACCCCAUAAGCAACCCUCGAAACCACUUACACCAUGACAAGGUGAAAAGAAACUAAUGCAACAUUCUCAAUAUAUAAGAAGAUAUCAAAGGAAGGUUGGCCACAUAUGAGGACCCUGUUUCUAAGGUAGAAUUUUAGAUUUUUGUGUUUUUCCUAUCACUAUUCCUAUACUAUUACCAGUGCACCUUAUUUGUCAAGAUCAUUAAAAGGGAAUUCCCUAGGAUAACUACUGUCUCAACUGAUCUUGAGGUUCAUAAAUUUUUAGUUUCCACAAGAUAGGUGCCAACUAUUUUUAUUUUUUUUACACCCAUGCAAUAUUCCAAUCAUCUAUUAACAAGGGCUAAAAUUUCUUGUAGAGAAUAGAAUAAAGAACUAGAUUACAUGAAAAUAGGACAUUAUUAUUCUAUUUACAAGUAAGGGCCAAAAAUUGUUGAGGGUCAUCAAGCACAUUGUUCCUAAAAUAAUAGCAUCCAUGAAGAUUGAACUGAUACAGAAUGCCUUUCAGGUUUAAAAUCCCUAACUUUCCUUCUUAUUUUCUAUGACUUCAUUUUUAUUAUCUUACAUUAAAAAAUCCUCUAUUUUCAUUUGUUUUGGUAGUUCUUUUUAUUUGCACCUUAUUUGUUUUAUUAAAUGCUUACUCCAGUAAGUUUGAAAAUUUUUACAUCUUCAAAUCAUUUUGCUUAAGUGUUUUGCAUUCUAAGAGUUUGAGGAAAUAUUGAGCUCUAAUAUAAAUAGUAUUGGUCAUAGAGUCUUCCUUUCUUAAGAAGCUUACCAUUGACCUAAUGGCCAAAGGAUCCCAAAAGGAAACGACUUUGGGUUGGCUUGAAAAUUUCACAUGGUCCAAACAUUUAUAUUUACUAGAUGCCUGAUACAAAAGAAAUUUUGCUCUCUUUUUAAUUUAGCCAUUGAUGUAGUCUAAAUGUUUUAUUAGAGCAAUAAUUGUCGAGUAAAUGCAAAAUAGAGAAUGGUGUUAAUGAAUUCAGUACUUCAUCUAUGUUGUAGACUUGUAGUUUAGUAGCUUCUGUUGAUAAUGAGUGUGGGGUUGGCUUUAUCAUGUCACUGUUCCAAAUAUUCUACAAAAAAAAAUCAUUUAAGCUUUGUUUGGUUCUUAGAAAAUUUGAGGGAAAAUGUGAGGAAAAUAAAAUAGAGAGGAAAAGUGGAAGGAAAAAAAAGUGAAAGUCAAUAAAUUAUUUUUGUAUGUUACUUCAAACUCACUUCACUCUUUUUAACUCUUCAAUAUAAAUUUCUAAUUAAUUUUAAUUAUAUUUGAUUUUCUUUGUUAUUUUCCAAAAGACAACCAAAUAUGAGAAAAUCAUUUUCCUUAACAUUUUUUUUUCUUAGUACUUUUAGGGAACCAAAUAUAACCUAAAUGUUUUAGUUUAGUAGUUUCAUCAAAUUAGAUAGACAACCUCACAUCUCUUAGUGAGAUGAGGUGCUAUGUCAAUUAAUGCUUUGUCUUUACUUCUUCAUUGAAGUCUCUAUUUAUUGGAUGCACAGAUGAUAUGAUCCAAACUCAAAUUGAACACUACUCUUGUUUUGCAACAUUAUUGCACUCAAAAGGCAGUUUCAACUCACUUAUAGACCUUCUUAUUGGUGAUUACACUAAAUUGACAUCACUUUGGAAGAGAUGUGUUCCACAUAGAAAAUCUUUCAUUAUAUGCACCUACUCGCAAGAUACCAAAGGGAAACAGGUGAAUACUUGCCCAGGAAUACAAAGGCCAUACUUAGUGAAGGUUCCGUCAAUAAGGAGAACCAUUUCAAGUAUGGAAUUCUCAUUUCUUCUCAUUUUCUUAUGGCUUCAUUUUUAUUCAAUAUCUAUAUGAAAUUAUUUAUGUUCAUUUUCUUUAGAUAUCACAUUUUUUUGUUUUCUCAAUAAUUUCAUUCAAGUUCUUUAGAUAUCACAUUUUCUUUGGUGUUUUUUUUAGAAUGAUUCAAAAUGUCUUUUUUAACGAUUCACAAAAUUUGAUCACAGUUGAGUGAUUAAAAUUCAAGUUUAUUAUUAUUAUUAUUAUUAUUAUUAUUAUUGGUUAUUUGAUAUAUUUGUUUUCUAAUACAGACAAAAGACUAGCAACUAAUGUGCAUAGAAUUUGUAGAAGAGAAUAAAGAUUUGAUCUAAGCUAUUCCUAAAGACCAAAAACUUUUAGAGCUACCCAAGAUCUAUCAGGUUGAAUUUUGAUUCACCUAGUUUACAAUCCACUAAUUAUCCUUAUAUCAUUUUUGUUAUGUUACAAAUUGCCUUUACUUGUUAUGCAACCUAUCUUAAUAAUUUGGGAAGACCAAGAUAACUUCUUCCUAGUAGAACUGGCUCACAGAUUGAAAAAGUAAACUCAUAUCACCUAUCUACAUGCUCACAACAUUAUAAACACUAGCUCAUGUGUUCCUCACUAUUGAGAUUGUUGCUACAUGCAGGCAUUUUGGGCGAGGAGGCCCGACUUGUGAUCAUCAAUAACACAAGGCAUGCUUUUAUACAGAGAAACCCAAAGAAACAUUUAAGCACUUUGUUAGCCCAAGGAUUCUCCUAAUCAGGUUUUGAUGAUAACAAACCAUGGUUAAGUGACUAAUUGGUUUGAAUGGUAAAAAAUCUUAGGUAUAAAUUUGGAAAUUCAUCAAAGGAUCAAAUGGAUACAAGAUCGAGACUUUUGGAAGACUUUUGAUCAUAGGAAACAAAUGUAAGAUGAAUGCAUGGGUGCACUUAGGUUUUACAUAUCUUUUCAUGAAGCUUUGAAAACUCGGUUUAUUCCUUAAAAUUACGAUUUCAUUAAAACCCGAGUUUUAUCAAAUGUACUUUAGGCAAAGCGUUUCAAAAUUGGCAUAUUAAUUUACCUAAAGAUCUUGCCUAAGUGUUAGAAAGGAAAAUAAUUGAAAAAUAUAGGUUUUCGGGGCCAAAAGGCUGAACCGAUCGAGGCACAUGCCAACCGACUUAACUAACCAGGGAACCGGUCAAUCGGUUGCUCUUGUCCGACCAAGAUCUGGUCGAGGAGUGUCAAAAACACUCUUUCUCAUCCAGUAGCCUUCUCUUCCCAGUCGAGGUACUCUCCUACCUCUGGUCGAGGUUCAGUCGAGGCAACGGUAACCUGCCAAAGCAUUAAAUGCUCCAACGGCUAGUGAACCAUUUGACCCCCAGCUCGACCGGUUGAGGCUAUUUUUUGCUAUUUUUGGCUCCUGAGCUUAGAAACCAAUAAAUUGAGAGCUCCACUUCAUUUAUGACAUAGAGAACACUUGCAAUCAAUUGUCUACCCAUUUAUUCUUGCCUUAAAAGCUCUCAUUUAUUUCUUAGUGCAUUAAAUCCUCACUUGCAUAUCCUUUAGUGCACCCUUGUGAAUCAUCCUAGCUUUGAUGUGUAUUUGAGUUAUCAUUAAGUUAGAUUGAGGGAUUCAUCUUGUAAAAAUUGAGUGUUAAAGCCUUCAAGAGGUUUAAAUCUUGAAGAGAUUAUGUAAGAGCCCAUUGGAGCCAGAAUCCAAGUGUAAAGAAGAUUGGAAGCUUUGUUGAAGCUUCAAGUUAGUGGAACCCUCACUCGGUUAGGAGAUUGAAGAGAGUGGACGUAGACAAGGAAAUGUCGAACCACUAUAAAAUCCGAGUUUAAAUUCUCUAACUCUAUCUCUUUAUUUUUUAUUAUAUUGUGCUUGAAUUUGUUGUGUUGAAAAAGUUUUUGAAAAACCCAAUUCACCCAUCUCAUAGGUGUUUUUCUCAUUUAAGCAUAGCCUUUAUUUUCUCACUCUUGAAAUCCUUUCUCAUUAAUUUGCUUCCACCUCAUAAGAAACCGUCGGAACCACUUACACCAUGACAAGGUGAAAAGAAACUAAUGCAACAUUCUCAAUAUAUCAGAAGCUAUCAAAGGAAGGUUAGCCACAUAUGAGGACCCUGUUUCUAAGGUAGAAUUUUAGAUUUUUGUGUUUUUCUUGUCACUGUUUCUAUACCAUUACUAGUGCACCUUAUUUGUUAAGGUGAUUAAAAGGAAAUUCCCUAGGAUAACUAAUGUCUCAGAUGAUCUUGAGGUUCAUAAAUUUUUGGUUUCAACAAGAUAGGCAUCAAACCAUUUUUAUUUUUUUCUACACCCAUGCAAUAUCCCAUUCAUUUAUUAAUAAGGGCUAAAAUUUCUUGUAGAGAAUGGAAUAAAGAACUAGAUUAAAUGAAAUAAGACAUUAUUAGUUUAUUUACAAGUAAGGGCAAAAAAUUAUUGAGGGUCAUUAAGCACAUUGUUCCUAAAAUAAUAGCAUCCAUGUCAUUGAGCAAAAGUUUAUUGCAAUUACAUUAGCAUAUAAAACAAAACUAUUUUUUAUUUAUUUAUGUUCACACCUUAUCCAUUUGAUAAAAUGCUUAAACAAGUAAGUUUGAAUUUUUUUUGUCUUCAAAUCAAUUUAAAUUUUACAUUCAAAAGUUGAAUUAAUUUUUUUUUUUUUGGAAAAUUUAACUGCACUUUAGAAGUUUGUGAUUAUUCUUUGGUCCAUCUUAAAACGAGUUCCUGCAUUCUUCCAUUCCUCAAAUUAAAAUCACAAUAAAACGUUUUAGAUUGACCUAAAAUUUUCUCAUGGCCUAGAAAUUCAUAUCUACUAGAUGGCUAAAGCAAAAAACACUUCUACCUUGUAUUUUAAGUAAUCCCUGCUUGCUAUUUGUUUAUUGAGAGCAUCAUACAAGUUGUGAUUAUAUUUCUUAAUUUUUUUUAUAUGAUAAGACGGUAACUGGAUUGAGAAAGAUGCAACUUGUAGAGCAAAAAAUUUCUUAACUACUUCCAUUGUAUUUGCUUUGUGUGUAUCAACUGUUCUGUUAAUUAUUUUUUAAAAAUAUCACUAAAACAAACCUAUUAUGUCAAUGCUCUCUAUUGUUAUGUAUCAUAAUUUAGCUAUUUUUUCCCUAGAAAUCAUUCUUGUUAUCGUGGUAAUCAGUAGGUAGCAUAAGAACUAUUUUGUUCUAGUUAUUUUGUAUUGCCAUUCUUCAUGUUUUAAAAUAUUGUCAGACUAGCAAUUUUACUGCAGAUAUAAUGUUCUCAAAUCAAUGCAAAAAGGGACGAUUGUGGGGCUUGGGCACAACCUUCCUUGAAUAGUUGAAUUGAGGGUUUCUAUAAACUAGGUCUCUAUAUCAAUAGAUUCUACAUUUCAUCACUAUGGAGACCUUACAAUAAAUAUCGCAAAAAGCUUCAUUUACUACAUAGUAAGGAUAAUCCUAAGGACUUAAAAGCUUGAGUUGUCUCUUCCAUGGCAGCUUCAGAUCUCUUAAUAAGCUCCAAGUCAUUGUCUACCUUGAAUAUAAAUCAGUGCUAGAAGUAUGUGCCCUCAACAUUCCUAUGUUCCCGAUAUUGACUAGAUAUUUGUUGCUAAUUCAUGAAGAAUUGAAGGGGUCUUUGAUAAUGACAUCUAUAAUGUACUUCAAGUUCAUGAUCCAAACCCUCUUCUUGUUUUCAAUAACUUCAUUUUUUUAUAUUACUUUGUGGUCAAUGUUAUAAGAAUGUUGUAUUUUGUUUACCUGAUUCUCAUCCAUCAACACACAUGAAAGGAAAAGUUUUACAUUUCUUUCCUUCCCUUUGCUCUGUGUUUGUAUAUGUUUAUGCAGCUAAUGCGAACUUCCAUCGUAACUUUUUAAGUUUUUUCAUUCUCGAGUUUGGGAAACAAAUGGAUUUGAUUGUAAUAUUUUCUUGUAGAUAUCACCUUUCUUAAAAAGCUUGUAUUUAUUCACAUUUUCAAGAUGUCUAAGUCAUCUGAUUAUGCUUAGAACUUUUGGUUUCUAUUAAAUUCAGGUAUGAUGUUUGCAAUUCUAACCCCCUUACUCCUCUUGAAGACUACAUAAGUUUCUAGUGCUUUUACUUUAAUGGUUAUGGUCAAUGUAUCCUCUUGUUACUUCCUGCUUGCAUUCUAUAUGUUCAAGAGCUUUAUUAAAGUAAUUAUUUUAUUGAAGAUAUAAUUAUUUUCAAGUCAAAUCAAAAUUGAAUAAUGACGUGGUUUCAACAACUUCUCAAAAGUAAUUGGAAAGUAAGGAACUUUGUGGUAGUAUUCUGAUAUCACAUUGGGUCUCCAAAUUGUUGUCUUGAAUUGACAUAAAUAACAUAAUUUCUUUCCAGUUGAGCUGCUUCAACAUGUUAUUAUGCUUCAAACUCUUUCAAUUAUGUGUUGUUUAGGUUUGGCAACAUUAGUACACUGGAUAUGUUGCCUCGAGUUACUUACAUAACAUAAAAUUCAUCUUUGUUGUUAACUGGCAUCACUACCACAAGAUGAGUUCCCUCAGCAUUCUACAGACAACUAUAAUUUGGGACAAUUCUGGUUUGGCAACAUUAUCAGAGUUGAUAGGCAACCUAUCUUCAUUAACAAAAACCUUUAAAUUUAUAUUUAUCCCGAACUAGCAUCACUGCUGGAAGACGUGCAUCCUUAGCACCCUAUAACCACUCACAAUUGGAGACUGUUAUGGUUUGUAAACAUUCAACAGACUUGAUAGGUAACCUUGCACCAAUUACAGAGCUUCAAAUUCAUGGCUAUCUUGAAUUGACAUCACUUUCAAACUAGAUGGUUCAUCCAAACCUCAGUUGACACCCAUAAUUCAAGACUUCUCCAUUUUGGCAAUGAUAGCAAAUUUGAUAAGCAUCCCUACUUCACUUACAUACACUAAAAUUGAUAGCUACCUCGGAUUCACAUCAUUGUCACAAGAGAUUGGUUCCUUCAUAUCCCUGCAAACACUUGUGAUCUUUUAUCGUCCAUGUAUAUUAGAAAGACUUAAAAGGGAAAUAGGUGAAGAUUGGACCAAUAAUCUUCAGUCCUAAAUAUUGAUAUUUGGUGAAGAUUGGACUAAUAUAAAGUUAGUUCAGGUUUGAAAUCCCAAUCUUUCUUCUCAUUUUUUAUGGUUUUGUUUUUAUCAAUAUGCUUUGUUUACAUUCUAUAUGGUAAUUUUAUAUGUAUUAGCAUAUAGAUCAAAAAGGACUUAGAUGAUUAAUUUGAAAAGUUUGCAUCCUCAAUUAAUUAGUAAUUAAAGACCAAACUGAUCAUAUUACUUUAAGUCUUGCAUUGUAAGAGUUUGGGAAAAUGUUAGGGUUGACUGAACUACUAUUUUAUAACAGAUUUUGCCUUACUCAAGAAUCUUAUGAUUAUCCCUUGGCACAAUCAUUUCUUGUGUCUAAGAAAUUCAUAUCUACUAUAUGGCCAAAGAAUUUAGUAGCAUUCAAAAUUUCUGUUUUCUUUCAAGUUAGGUGUAUUGCUUGCAAUUCUAACAUGUUUCCUAUUUUGAACGUUGUGUUGUUAUUUUACUAUCAAUGUGUUAAGAGCAUUAUACUAUAUUUUCUAUAAUGUUGUUUACUUGUCAUAUGUAUUAUUUAUUUUAUUGCAAAUGUACUUGUUGCCAAGUUAAAGCAAAAGAGGAAAGUGAGGAUUUUUCAUGGACCAAUGCCUCUCUCAAUUGCUGCCACACUUGACUUCUCUCUAAGUUGUUGAAAAUUUAGAAGUGUGGUAGCAUAAAGUAUUCAGCUCAAGUGCUUUAGUGCCUUACUACCCUUGAAGCUUUAGAAGCUGUCAAUACAAUUGGGGUUUCAACAUGUAACCAUUUUGGAAAUUCUAAGAAGUGUAAGUAUUAUGGUUUUACAACUUUAUUAGACUAGAUAGGCAACUUCAAAUUGCUGAAUGCCCUGAAUUAAAAUCACUACUAGAAGGAACCCAUGAGCACUCUAUAGAAACUCAUAAUCCACUACUCUUGCCACUUAUUAAGAAUGCUAAAAGGAAAAAGUGAAGAUUGGCUUGAGCAUGAUUGAUUAAUAAACCACACAUGGUCUCCUUAAUUCAAGUGUGUCAUCUGUUAUAUGUUUCAUGUCAGUAAUCCUACAUUUCUCUUGUUUCUAUUGGCUCUAUUUUUUUUUUAAUUAUUUUACAAUCAAUCUUCUAACAAUGUUCUACUUUUUUUACAAUUUUAUUUUUUUUAUUCUAAAAUGAAUUAAGACAUAUAAAGAAAAAAAUCACCUUGUUUGAUUUUCAUAUACUAUAUGCUUAAAUGUACAUGUGUUAAAAUCUUUUGAUUUUUUAUUGAUUACUUUCUAUUUAAUUUAUUAAAAAUUGUUAGUCUAUUUGGAGAUGAUUUUUUUUUUUCAUAUGUAAUAAGAUACCAACAAAUUGAGUGAGGAGCACAUCUUACUAAGUCGCUUGUCAAUCUAUCCACCUUCCUAAUCUCAAGAUUCUUCAUGUUUGAAUUAAAAUACCAUGAAUUACAAAAACAAAAAAUGAUGAAAAUGAGUAUUUCUCAUCAUCUUCAUUUUUAUUAGAAGGCAAUUUGUAGCAUCCUCUUUCCCAUUCCUAAAAAAUACUACAGCUUUGUAGGUUGAGAAAUUAGACAUGUUUUCUUAAAUGAUCUUCUUGGUCCAUGCAUGCUUAUAUUUGGAAGAUUUUUAAACCAAGUAUUUUAUGACAUAUAUGAUAGCUUUCAAGUUAAUGCAUAAAUGGUGAUGGUUAGGAUGCAAAAUAUAGUCUAUGCUCAACCUAUUUAUUGACAAACUACCAAGGGCUAGUGCUAAGGUAAACACCUAACACUUGCAUCAUACUCUCUCUUCUCUGCUCUCUUUAUUUGUUUUCCAAAGUUCAUAUAUAAUGUCUUUAUCAUUCAAGUUUUCAUUUUCAACCACUUUUUAAACUUUUGUCUUUUUAUGGUUUAUUACACGACAAUCCAUUUCUAAUAAAUCUUAUCUUUUUGUCUUAUAGACAAUAGAACAACGUGGUAAUUGCAUGACAUACAAUUUGUAAUAGAUGGUCAACUAUAUAUUAAGUAAUCUUUAAUUGCCUUGGAGUUGAAACGUUUGAUGUUGAUAAGGUUUGAUAAUUCUCGCUUUGGUGCUUUGUUGGAUUUCAAUUCAGGUGAUUAAUUGAUCUUGUUAUGAUUCUUUGAUUGUUUUUAUAACUAUUGUGAUAAUCAUUCUUAUUUUAUCGUGGUAAUUGACUUCACUGACUUUUUAACAAUUAUAUCAUGAGUGAAAUGCCCAACCUAUUAUUGUUAGUAUUCCAUUAACAUACCUCUAAUGCCACCACUAAUAAACAUCGUGUAUUAAUAUUUAUAACACGUUUCAUUACUGAAAUAAUUAAAUAUUUUCAAAUUUCUUUUUAGAGUGUGAGAAAUAACCAUUAAUCUUUACAACAGCAUAAGUAUCAUUGAUUUGAUAUUGCUUUCUUGAGUAAUUUGGCAAUUUAAUUAUGAAGUUUAGUUGGACAUUACUUGAGAUUCAUGUCUUAUGUAUAUGGUCUAUUUUCCAAGCUUCAAUUAUAUUUAGUAGACUUGUAAGUGGUGUUUGUCUAUGAGUUUCAACUCUAGAAAACUAUUAUUGGAGCCUAAGUUCACUUUCAAUAAGGAAAAAAAAAAAAAAACUCAACCUUUUCCUCAAUUGUGUAAUUUUAUUCACUAUUGACAUGCCCUUAAAUGGCAUUGCUAUUAUUUGUAGGGAACAUUGUCAAGUUCCAUAUUUGUCUAGAAAGUUAGAAGAAGUAUUUAAUUUGACAUGGUUUGGACAUCUUGCUACUAUCUUUUUAAAUUAGUUAUCAAUAAUUUUUCAAAGUUGACCUUUUUGUUUAUCUCAUACUCCUUUUGUAUUAAAAGGUACCGCAUGGGUAUUGUGUAGAGGAAUCAUGCCUUCUUUAAUUGAGGUGAGCCUCUUGCAAAAUAUUUCAAGUUUGCUCUCAUUCCAUUUGUUACUUCAUGUCUAUUUUUUUGUAAUCAAUCAAGCAAGAGUUUCUUACUUGUACAAUGGUGAACUUGCUUGCAUGAAUAAUACUCUUUUUACUAUUUUUUUUCUUUCUUUAUUAUAUUCAUUGAUACACUUAGAAGUGAAUAGUGAACCAGGUUUUUUGUUAAAAGAAAUCAAAUAUUGGUAAUUAUUUAGUAUCAUGUAUAUAAUAAUCAAUUAUUGAUUGUAAAGAUACUUGGCUUAAUCAAUUAUUAUAUUGAAAUCAAUGUAGUACUAUGACUAAUACCAAAAGGAUAAUAUUUAGUCUUGUUUGACCAUUAGUCACUAUUCUAGAGACAAAUGCUCACAAGUUUUGCAUCUUUGAAGCAUAUGAGAAAAGUUGGUUCAACUAUAUCACCAACUUACAAGCUCCUUAUAGUGUCCAUAUAUAUAACCUUCGUUGUUCAGGUUUAUGAUUCAUAUCUCAUUUUUUUUUUUCAUAUUUUUAUUGUUUAUAAUUUUUUAAUUGAUUUGUUUAUAAAUUUUUAAACUUUAUUGGCAAUACUAAUUUUUUUUUUUUAUUCUCAUGUGCAAUGGAAUAAUAAGUUGAAUAAGAAGCAUAAACUACUUAAUUGGUAUAACUGUUUACUCAAUUCUCUUCUCAGAUAUUUUUGUUCAAGGUAAUCAAAGUAUCAUUCUUUUUAUUUUUAAAGGUACUUGAACUCAGUGAGGACCAUUCCCAAAACAAGCAAUAACUACAGUUGGAUUAUUGAUAUCAUAUCCUUGAUUGACAUCUAUGCCAUUAUAUUUGCAUCUAAAGGAUUUAUGAUGAAAAAAAUAUCUUCUUUAUUUCCAUUUUCCUUCCUUCUUUUGACCAUAAUUUGUGUGCUUAUUGAUAGCAUUCAUACCCUAAUAUAUUUGCUAGCAUAUAUAUGCAUGUCAUAAUCUAUUGAUUUUUUUAGCAUAAGGUCUUAGAGUAUUCACAUAUCUCUAGGUUCUAUAUAUUUAUAAUUUUUACAACAUCAAAUGAAGUAUAUGAACCUUAUCUUGAAGGUGAAGUCUCUUUAAAAGGAGUUUCAACAUGUUAGCAAUUACCUAACUUAAUAAUUUAACAAUUUGGCACUAUAUAUAAUUUUGCAACUCUUUCAUAAAGUAAUUGUGUUACCUUUAUUCACAAUUUCUAUCUUUAUUUAAAAAAAAAAAAUGAAUUGGUAAUUGUGUGUCAAAUCUUGCUUACAAUCAUUAAUAGGUACUUAUAUGCUAAAUGGAUAAAGUUAUUUUACAAUUGUUUCAACAUUUUUAGAAUAUAUAUAUAUAUAGAUGUAAUCACUACCAAGCCAAUGCGAAAAGCUAUAACAAUGAGGAUUACAAAGCUUCAAUUAUGUCUUGGAGAUUCAUAUUGACAAGUUGUAAAUGGUGGGUGAAGUCUCUUUAAAAGGAGCUUCAACAUGUUAGCAGUUACCAAACUUAAGAAUCUAACAACUUGGCACUAUAUAUCAUUUUGCAACUCUUUCAUAAAGUAAUUGUGUAACCUCUAUUCACAUGUUCUAUCUUUAAUUUUUUUUAAAAAAAAAAGAAAUUGAAUUGGUAAUUGUGUGUUGAAUCAUUCUUACAAUAUUUAAUAGGUACUUAUACACUAAAUUGAUAAAGUUAUUUUACAAUUGUUUCAACAUGUUCUGAAAACAAAAAAGAUUAAUAAGUAUAUUUUUUCUAAAUGUAAUCACUACCAAGCCAAUGUGAAAAGCUAUAACAAUGAGGCUUACAAAACUUCAACUAUGUUUUGGAGAUUCAUAUUGAAAGUUGUAGAUUAUGGAUGUAUAGUAUAGGAGUUAGAUUGAGUUUAUCAUUCUAUCUUUGACAUCUUAGUUUUCUAUGUAUUGUCCAUCAUAUAUAUUUGUCAUCUAUUCUUUACAACCAAUUUUUUAAGGACUUCUAUGAUUUGUUUAAAUUUAUAUAUUUGUUUUUAUUUGUACUAGAACUUCACCAAGCUACAAAAGCAUCACAAGUUUUGCAAUUGGAGUUCAUGGAUCAGGUAUUUUAGUAGUUUUUGUAUCUGAAAUUUUUUUAUGAUACUAAUGAGGAUGUUUACCUUGAUUAAUUUAACACUUAUAUUGCAAAUAUCUAUAUAGGAGUUCUAUACAUUUAUUUAAACAUUUAUAGACAUAUUUAUCCUCUUUCUAGCACAUUCUAAUGAUAUUUUUAACAUUGAUAUAAAUUGUUUGCUUGAAGGUUUCAACUAUUGAAAAUUAUUAUUCAAGCCUAAUGUUAAUCUUUUUCUAUAGUGGAUUUCAAAUAAUAAAUUCUUAUUUGAUUAUUUGUAGGGAAAAUAAACAACUUCUAUGUUUGAUAAGAAAGAAGAUAGAGUAGAUCAAUUUCACAAUGUACGAAUCCUACGCAUUCUAUACUUUUAAAGAUGGUUACAAUUGGCUUUCUAUACUUAACAAGUACAUCUUAGCUAAAAGUGAAAAAAUGUUUCUCUUUGCACAUGCCUUCACUACUAUUUUAAUUGCUAUCUUAAUAUGUUAUGGAAAAACCACGACAAAUAACAAUAAUAAGGAGAAGAAAUAAAAGAACAAAAAUAUAAAACUUAUAAAGUAGGAUGAUAUAUGUGGUUUGGCCUAAACCUACAUUUAUAUGUGAAAAUGAAGAAGAACUUCUACUAUUAUUAAAGGAGAUUAAAAUCCUAAAGCUUUCAAAUCUCAUGAUUACACUAAAAAUGGACUUUUUUUUUUUUUUAAUCAAAAUCUCUUCCUUUAUUUUCUUGAUUAUAUAAGAAUAUUCUAUAGAGAAUUAAUUGUGUAAUUAUCAAAGAUAACUAUUCCUAAAAGAAAAAUCUUAUAAUAUGAUAUUUCCUUUAGAAUAAAAGAAAAAUCUCUUAUAUAAAUAUAUCAUAAUAGGAAAAUAUUAAAGACUUAUAAAUUGACUCAAAAGAAUUUGAAAUAUUUUUCAACAAUCUCCACAUUGGCUCAAAUUCUCAAUAUUCAAAUAAACUCAAAAUUCUUCUAUGUUACUUUGCUCUUAUGCACCCUUAAGGGGACUUCAAGUAAUAUCAAUACCAAUUAAGUCUAAGCAAUGCAUAAACUUAAUCAUAGAAAUAAGUUUAGCCAUCAUAUCUAUAAAAUUAUCAACUAUAGGGAUCUUUUUCAUUACAUUAGUACCUUGUUCAAUCACAUCUCUAAUAAAAUGUAUUCUAACAUCAAUAUGUUUGGUUCUCUCAUGUAACAUAUGAUUUUUAGUCAAAAGUAUGACACUUGGCUACCAUGAUAACAAUAAUCAAUGAUUGGAACCAAAUAAUUACAUUUUGUGUGCCUAAAAUUAGGCAUUCAUAUUUAAUAUCCAAUUCUAGUUUCAUCCCUUUACUCAAUUUUAUUCCUAAGUCCUUAAUUUUGGGUUUAAUGUAUUUUUUAAAUAUUUUCCUUCUUUUUUGGUAUAUUUAUAUCACAUUUUUGCUAGCCAUUAUAUUUUUCAUGUAUUGGUUGCUAAUUUUACACUCCAUAGUUGUCACAUCAUCCAACUAAUGGUUGUUACAUUAUCCAACUAUGGGCUGCCACAUGCUCCAGCUACCUUAGCCUCCUUGCCAAGUAUUUUCCAUGCCAAAAAAAGAUUGACAACUAUUUCAAUUGGUUGGUAAAGUUGAGAAAAGCUUCCACCAACCUCGCCAUUAAGUUGUGCUCCUUGCUCCAAUUUCUAAUUUUGCUUCCUACCCUCUUGUGGAGUUAGUGUGGAAAUGACUUUAUACAAGGGAGAUGAAGGUUGGUUUUAAGUAAGGUAGCUUAUUUGUAAACUUGUAUUUCCUUUAUUCAGGCGGUAGUUCUCAUUUCUUAGCCUUGAUUUUCAAUUUUGAUCCUCUUGUCUUGCCACUAUGAGUGGCCAACAUCCAAACCAAGGAAUAAUUUUUAAUAAAAUAUUAAUAUUCAAAUAAAAUCAUAUAUUUAUAUUCCUUAUCGCAUUUAUAGGAAGAGAAAUAUUUGGGACUAGGCCCAGUUCACUUUUUAUAAUUAUAAAUAUCAUAAAAAUAUGAAUAUUAAUAUCCUUAUCCUCAUAAAAGCAUAAUUAAUUUAUUUUAUAAAAAAUUAAUAUUAAAUGGAUUUAAAAAUAAAUAAAGUUUAAUUUUUAAGGUAUACAUGCAUAAGUUUUUCAUUACAUAUACACAUUCAAUACUUAAUUAGUAAUAGUGUAUUCUAAAUUUUUUUAUCUAGUCUAUAAUUAAUUAAUCCAUUUUUUGGAAUUCUAAAUUGUUCUUAAAAAUUAAAAUAUUCAUUAAAGAAUUGAAAGUGUUUAUUAUGUUUAACUUAAUUUAAAUUUAUUUAUCUAGUGAGAAAAUUCAUAAAAUAUAGUUUUAUGUAUAAAGGAAAUAGUAACGACUUUACAUUUAACGAAUCUUUUAUUUUAUAUUGAUUCAUUUAAUAGUCUAUUAUAUAUAUUUAAAAUUUAUUAAACUCAUUAAUAAAUUCAAUACAAAGUUUUACUUAAUUUGAAAUUCAUCUCUCUAGUGAAAAAAUUGAAAAAAUAUUAUUUUGUGAAAAAAAAAAUACAAUAAAAUCAUUCUAAACUAAUUUUUAUCCAAAGAUUUUUUGUAUUUAUUAGUUUAUUAUUUGAUUUUUAAAUUAAUUUAAAAAAUUAUUAGACUUAUUAAUGAAUCCAAUACAUUUUUUGUUUGUUUAAUUUAUUUAUCACACUAUCAAACAAACUUUUAUUAUUUAGUAAAAGACCUCUCAAAAGAGGUUUUUUUUUCUUAAUAAAAAUAAAAAUAAUAUUCUAAACGAUGUUUGAUUCAAGAGUUUUUUAAAAGUAAAAAUAAAAAUAAAAAUUAUUUUAAAUUAUGUGUACAUAAUUGUUGCAAAUUUAUUUCUUUUUCCAUUACCAUUUUCAUUCCUACCUAACAUUGAAAUGGAAACAAAUAAUCAAUCAAACCUUACAUUUAUUCCUAAUCUAAUGACAAGAAUUGGUGGUAUCACCAAAUUCAUUCCAUUCUCUAGUCUCAUGUAUCAAACAUAGUUGUAUAAUACCAAAAACUUCGUCUAAGUAAUGUGGGAUCUCACAUUCACUUUCAUACAGAUACAAUUUUUAUUGUAUCACAUGGAAUUGUGAGGCCUUUAAGUACCAUUUGUAAUGACCCACCUCCAAUUAUAUAAAUAUUAUUUGGUCUAAGUCCAAUGGACUCUAAUCGGUUUUAAAACUUGACUAUACUGUUAAGAGAAGUCUACUAUGUAUACAAUCUUCUCCUAAUAAACGUGUGACAUAACAAAUGGUGGGACUCAAACUAAAGCAAGGCCUUUCAAACUGUCUACCAUCUUAGUUUCAGCAUGAAUUCAGUUUGUUCCAAACAACAUAACUCUGGAGUAUUUUAAACAAACGAUUUCCAUUGAAAACACAUAAUUAAAGUAUAAGGAAAACAAACCCGAUCUUCAAGCGGUUUUGGGGAUCGCCUGUGGAAGAGCAGUGAAAUAGAAAUAUCCACUAAGUGUAUAGGGACCCAAGAUCAACACAUGCAACAGGAUAUCUAAUUCCUCCUAAUAUCAUCAGCAUGAAGAAAAUUGGCAUCAUUUCCACUGAGUUCUGAUGCCCUCUCUGAAAAAAAAAAUAAAUGCAAAACAUUUGUUUUUUCUAAUCAUCGGUCAUCCAUACAUAGAAAAAUCUAUGUGUGAUCUUAAGCUAGAAAAGAUGUUGCAUCUAAUCAAAUUCACUAGACAUGAUGAUAUCUAUACUUUUUUAAAAAAAAAUUAUAUUCAUAUUUAUGUCAGAAAAUAAAUUUUUUAUUUUUUAUUUUUAGAACAUUAAACUUUUUAAAAGUCCUUUCUAGGAUAUUUUCUAGCUUUUUCCUUUUGUUAAUUUUUGCUAUUCAAACAAAUCUUAAGAAAGGAAUCAAACUUGGACACAAUUGAAGAGCUUGGCAUUCUUGUUUUUAGAUUCCAAAGCAUAUAUAGAGAUUGGGGUAAAACACCUUGUACCGAAGAAAAAAAAAAGGAAAAAAAAAACACCACAACAAAAAAUUAACCAAAAAUCAGAAAAUUAAUUGGAAUAAAAAAUCAAGAAAAUAUUUUUUUGGGUUAAUAAUUAAUUAUAAUGAAAUCAAAAGAAAAAAGAAAAAUACAUACUUCUUCCUGGCUUUGCCUACACUGAAAGCCAUGAAAGAAUUAGGAAAGCAGUAAAGAACAAGAAGAAGAACCACAUCCAUAUUCUGGGGAAAGCAAAUCCUCUGCUGCCUUCUUCAGAUUGAAGGCAACUAAUAAAUGGUUUAAGGGGUUAUGAGUUUGACUUGGUUGAGUUUGAAGCUACAAAUGUAAGAAAAAUGGUAGUAAUUUUGGAAGCAUUUCUAACUCUUCUAUAACUUGAAAGAUAAAAAAUUUUAAGGGUUAAAAAUGUUAAAAGAGCUUUUUAGAAUCACCCCAAAUGUACUCUAAAUUAUUUAUGACUUGAUGUCACCUUCACACUCAUUUUUCAGUGUCAUUUAAUUUUGGUGUUCCCAUAUUGAAGAUUUAGGGUAAUGUAAUAUUCAAGCCUUCACAUUUUGCCUUCACUAACCUUUGAAUUUUAAUUAAAUUCUUUGAAGGAUAUUUGACCACUUCAUUGUCCAAAAAUGCUUAUAUUGCCAUUUUUUUUUUGUCUUUUUCUACAAUUCCAAUUUUACUAUUUUUCUUUUAAUUUAUUCCUAUUAUUAUUUAGGCUAUUAUUUAUAAUAUUCUUAAUAUUAUAUUUAUAAUUGUUAAUAGUAUAAUUACUUUUUUUCAUUUAUUUGUCAUUUAUAUUGCUUAUCUUAUCUUUAAUCAUGUAUAAGACUCAAAAACUGCAGAAAACAUUAAUAAGUAACUACUAAACUUCAAAGAGAUAAUAAAAUUCAACUACAUUGAUAUUACAAUAAUACAAAUGAAAUAUAUAGCAACUAGCCCUUAAAAGGGCUUUUAAGAGAUAAUGAGUCUACUUCAGAUUGACAUUUAAAGUAGAAUCACCAUCUCUAUAGAUAUAUAUGAAGCCUAAAAAGAAUAGAACAUCACUAAAUAAUAUUAAUAAAACAACAACUAGAUCAAUUGAUAGUGAAAGUAAAGGUUUACAAGAUGAAUCACAUAAAUAAGAACAACUAAAUUGAGAAACAAAUUACAUGUCUGACAAAUCUAAUGAGGGAAAACAUUGGAGCUAGGUGCCCAAUGAUUGGCUCCUUGAAGUUGACCUACCUCCUCAAUAGGUACAUAGGAGUCCUUACCUAAAAAAACAUUAAAAUCAAUAGGGUGAACAUAAGAUCUAAUAAAUAGGCACGAUAUGCAGAUGCUAGGAUGGUUAGUCCAAGGUAAAAAAAAUAGUUCUAAAAUGUAUCACGUAAUAAUUUUGGUGUAUUAUGAGAGGAAAAUGGACUUGUGAGAACUAUACUUUGUGGAUAGAAAUGUGAGGAAGAGUGAAAGACACUCAGUGGAGUAAGAGAGCUAACAGUUUAGGGUAGUCAUACAAAGUGUGGGUAAAUAGAUGUAUCUAUUUUUGUUCCUAACAAUAUUUUUUUGUUGUAUAGUGAAAUAUUAUCUUUCAAAUAUGGAAGUAAGCAUGGUUAGGUGUACCAUGUUAAAAUCUUAAGUAUUUGUUUUAUUUUGUGUUCUUCCAUUAAUAUAUUUCAAUAUUAGAGCUUUCAUUGACUCAAUAAUUUAUUAUACGAUGAAUCAUCAUAAGUGAAUAUAUUUUUAUAUUAGAAUAAACCAUUUUCUUAAUUAUAAGUAUAUUUGAAUAUUUUACUAAACUAUUUUAAAAUAAAAAUAUAGUAAAAAAAAUUAAUAUAUAUAAUAAUAACAUGAUAAAUAACAUAUCCCAAACCAAAUGCAACAUAAAUUUCUAAAUUGUCUCUCCUUUCUUAGUUCUCUAUAAUAAUAUUGCCAUACCCAUUGUUUAAGCUAUAAAUUAACAUUUUAUGUUCUUUGAAACAUAUGUAUUACCAACUCAAUAUAUAUAUAGCUACGAAGACAUAUUUCUCAUUUUUCCAAUCAAAAAGCAUUGUGAGUUGAAACCUUUUUGUUUAGAAAGUUAACUUGCAAUGUUAAUAUUCUUUUUUAAUAUUAGCCCCCUAGGAAUAUCAUUGCCUUUCACCACACUUUAAGUUUUUUUUUUUCGAUAUUCUUUUUUACUUCUACACUAGAAUUUAUGUAACUUCUUGUUCUUUAUUUAUUAUUAUUAUUAUUUUUUUGCAAUAUUUUCUCUUAAGUCUACCUUACACUUCUUAUUACCUCUCAUAUAUUUUUUUUUUUUGUCUUUUUCAAAUACUUGGUUGCUUCUCUAUUACAAUUCAUUAACUUCCUAUCAUUUUAUUUAUUUUUAUUUUUUGCAAAAUUCUUUCUUAAAAUACAUAAAUCCAUAGUUUUUAUUUUAAAAGUAUCAAGUAAAGAACAUAGACCUACUCAAACACCAUUGUAUAAUACCACUAAAAUUUCCAAAAAUCCCUAAAAUUUCAUAAAUUCUCUGCAAACUUAUCCCUAAUUAGAUGCUAUUACAUUAAAUAUAUCUAAUUCAGUCUAAACACAUGAUUGAUAAUAAUAUAAAAAAACUAAAACAAUAUUAAUAUGCAAUUUAUUAUUUUUCAACACACUGUAAUAGUUCCCAAAUAUUUUCAAACAUCAGCUAACAAACCUAAAUUUAUUCACUCAAAAUACAUAAUUGAUAACAAUGGAGAACUAAAAAAAAAAAAUUAUAAAUAUAACAAUUUUAUACUUUGAAUACAAUUCAAUAAAUCCUAAAUUUUUAAAAACAUUUAACUAAUAAACUUAACCAUACUCAAAUAUUAUUGUAUAACAUCUCUAAAAAUUUCAAUAAUUUAUCAAACGUGAAGACUACACUCACCGGUUUAGUAGAAUCACUUGCCUCUUCUAUUGGUAAUUGGGAUUUUUGUUCAGUAGCUUCGCUUUCCUUUGCUUCACUUUCUUCUGCUUUACUUUUUUCUUCUGUUCGCAAUUGACAUUUUUGUUUUUUCGUUACUUUUUUUAAUCUUUUUAUCAAAUCAUUCUUCAAUGAACUCAUUGUUUCAUUCGUGCUUGAAGAUACAAUAUGAGAUAACUUGAAAAAAACAGAAUAACGAUUUUUCUAAGGAUUCAGAAUGAAACAAAUGAUGAAAUGAUAGACGAUAAAAUUUCUAGGGUUUUUGAAGGAAAGAUGAGAUUUUUGUUUUGUGCAUCAAAGGAAUAUAAUGGAAUAAAAGAAGAUGAUGAAAGAUGAAAACUCGUUCUGUAAAUGAAGUGAAAGAGGAUAUGAGUUUUCCUUUUUGUGCACCAAAGGAAGAUAAUGAAGUAGAAGAAAAUGAUGAGAAAUUUUUUUUGGAAAAUAUGAGGAGUCGUUCUGUAAAUGAAGCAGAAGAGGAGAAGUUGUAAGUGUUGGAGAGAAAAAAGAAGAAGGACAUUUUUGUCUCAAUCAAUAAUUUUGUUUUGUUUUUUAACCGGUGGAUUAUAUUUGCAAAUAUGGGGGUUAUUUUGACCCCUUUAACCAAAUAACCCUUUUUUUUAUCGAGUUACAACUUUAAAUUAGGUGUAAAAAGAUAUUUUGAUAUGGUAGAUACUGUACAGUUAUAUAUUGAAAUUCCAUGGUUCAUUAGAUAAACCAUCCUUGAAUUUCUUUGGUUUCAAUUAAGAUGAUAGAUCAUCCUUCCAUAGAGUGACCUGAUAUGACAUUGAUUUUCUAGGGCUUCAAACACGAAGGGUGUCAAUGACUAAGAACUCCGUUUGAUUGUCGAGAAAAUGAGGAAAAAAACCCUUAAAUAAAAUAUAAAUACAAUUCAGAAUUUCAAUUUUACAUUGUUAGGGACCCCAAAAAUGGGAACAUUCACUUAACUGAGCCUAAUCCAACCACCUGCCUUAGUUUAAUUUAGUCCCCACUUUCUAGAAACCAAAAAAAUAUAAACAUUCCUGUGUUUGACUACUUAGAAAGCAUAGGACAAGCAAAGAAAAGGACAGUGCCUCCUCGAUCAAACAGUUUUUUUUUUCCUUUUCUUUUCUUGCAUUUUCUUUUUUCGGUAACCAAACAAAACUUUUUAAUUGAGCAUUGUUGUAUACAAUUUAGAUUUCUUUCCCUUAGUUUCUCCGCAACCAAACAGAAUUUUUCUCAAUUGAGCGAGGGUCUAGUAUAUCCUUCGUUUUCCUAUAACCAACAUAAUUUCCCUUGUUAUUUUUUUUAAUCUUUUCUUUGAAUUUCUCAGAAACCCAACGGAGUUUACUUCUGGUGCAACCGUGCAAGAAAAUGGUUUUACCUAAUCGCAUUUCACCGGACUAGCUGAAGCAAUAGAGGCUUAAGAAAAAGAGACUGAGCUUUGUUUGUUAAACUCCCUAUGUGAGUACGCAAAGUAAGAAGAAUUGAAGCUGAAAUUAGGCGGCUUCUAAACACGUCCUAGGAGUUGGUUUUAAAACCCAUUUUUUCCCCUUUUUGGUUGCAAUCGGUCUACAAAGAUGCCAUUAAAAGGUAACCGCGGUUGGUUGCAUGAACAAGAAAAUGAAAAAAAAGAAGUUAAAACUAAUUAAAAUUAUUUAAUAUUUUCAUUGAAAAGUAAAAAUAAUUACAAUAUAUUUAAAUAAACACAUAAAAAUAAUAAUUUAUUAAUUUUAAAUCUAUUUUUUAAAUUUUCAAUUUUUCAUUUAUUUUGUUCCCUCUAAGCUUUCUAACUAAGGUCAUAAUUUGGACAAAUUGUUGGAUUCAUAGCUAAUCUAAAUAAUCUAAUAGAGAUAAAUAAAUAAUUAAUUUAAGUUCAACCCAACCUCUAAGCUUUCUAACUAGGGUCAUAACUUGAACAAAUUGGAUGGUUAACAUACAACUUGGACAAAUUGGUGGGUUCAUAGCUAAUCUGAAUAAUUUAAUAGGGAUUAAUAAAUAAUUAAUUUAAGUUUAGCCCCACUUCUAAACAGAGGUAUUUAAUUCAAGCUCAACCAACUUCAUUUCUUCGAGCUCUGGUUGAUGAGGUUAAACUUGGGUUAGCCCCUGAUUGUAUAAUUCAAAAUACAUGUAGAAUGUUUUUUAAUAAAAAAAAAAUUAUAUACUUAUAUCAAAUUUUAAAUAGUAAGUAGGACAAAAUUUUAAAAUAACAAAAAAAAAAAAAACAAAAACAAAAACAAAGUUAUAUAUCUUUUUUAAAAAGUAAAAAAAUAUAUUAUAUAAUAUAAUUUGAUUUUUUAUUUAUAAAAAUUUAGAAAGAAUAAAAUUAUUAUAUAAAAUAACAUAUAUUGGAAAUAUUAUAAAAACAUUAAAAGUUUGUUCAGUAGUUAUUCAAAUAAGUGUUUCUAUCCCUAAUUUAAACUUUGGUUUCAAUCUAACUCGAAUUAAAUUUGAGUUGAAAAAGUUUAACUUGAAUAUUAAAAAUAAUUGUCUAAACACGAUCAAAUAUCUGAUUGGAUUCGACUAAUCUGCCAAAGUUGCACUCCUACCAAGAACCAUACACAAUAAAAAAAUUUUAAAAUAUUUUUUGUUCUAGGAAAGUACUCAAAAAGGAGAAAUAAAGAAAAAAAAUGAUUUUAUAUGUAUAAUUAAAAUUAGUUAAAUUUUAUAUAUUUUAAAAUUAUUUAAUUUUUUUAUAUGGAAAAGAAAAAAAAAAAGAGUGAAAUAAGUUUGAAAAAACAAGUAAAAAUGAUUUGUUAACUUUAAUAUUUUUUUUCUUUUCUUUUCUUCUAUUUUUUUCUUUUUAGUUUAUUUUUCUCAAAAUUUUCAAAAAAUAAACAUAGAAUUAAAAAAUAAGAAAUAAUUACAUAAUUGGAAAAUCAAUUUUAGAACUUGCUUAUAUGAUUGCAUUAGUUUGUGUAAAUAAUAAUUUUAUUGAAUGUUAAGAGAGUGGUAUUAAAUGCACAUUAUUUAAUAUUUUUCUAUGGAUAUUUUUAUGGGAGAAUUGUGUUUUGGGCCCAGCUAGACCCAAAAAUUAAUAAAAGAUCCUCCAAACACCUAUAAUUGAUUGUAAGGAUAUAAGGUUGGAAUAGACAAAAAUACCCCUUUUUUACUUACACCAAUUAUUUUGUCUUUAUACCACCACUCUUUACAUGCCCCAUCUAUAAAAUUCUCCUUUAUUUAAUCAUUUUUUUUAUUUUUUUUUAUUUUUUAAACUCCUUUAAAAAUAAUUGAAAAAUCAACAUUAUUUUCUAUUUUUAAAUUAUAAAUAAAUAAAAAUUAUAUUAAUGAUUCAAAAAUUAUUUUGGAACAUGCUUUUGAAAAAAAAUAUUAAUUUAAAUGAAUAAAAAUUAUUUUUUACAUUUUACAAGUAAAUAAUUUAAUGAUUAAAACACUAUUUAAAAUAAAUAUAUUUACUAUUUUUUUUCUUUUAUACUAAAAAGUAUUUUAAAGUUUAUUUUUUUAUUAUUAUAAAAUAAAAAGUUUAAAGUUUUUUUUUUAAUCUUUUUCUUUCCAUAGUUUAAUAAUUUUUUGAACAUAGACUUUUGUAAUAAGUUAUAUGAAUGUUCCAAAUUUGUUUAUUAAGGAAUUUUUUUAAUGAUUUGAAUUAAUUGAAAAUUUAUUGAAAUGAGAAAAAAGAAAAAGAGAGAAAGAGGAUAGAUGAAGAGUUUUUAUUUUAAAUAUCCAACUAAAAUGUUUUCGUAUUUAGAAAUGGAUUAUAUCAAUACAUAGUAUAGUAGAGAUUGAUUUUUUUCUCAUACAAAAGGGUCAAAUGAUAUGUUUACUCAUUUUAAAUAAAAACAAGUAGCUAAAAAUUAUAUAGAUUAUGUUUGAGUUUGGUUUUAAAAUAUUUUUUCUAGUUUUUAUUAUUUUUUUAUUUUUAAAAAUUAUUUUUAUUUUCUAUAUUAUCUCUUUUUGAAAAUACAUUUAAUUAAAAAAAUGAAAAAUAUUUUUAAAAAUGAAAAUUGAAGACCUUGUUUAAUACUAAGAUAAUAAAAAGAAUUAAAUUUCAUUUAUUAAUUAUUCUUUUUUAUUUUUAAAAUAUAAUAUGUUCACAAUUAAAUAAAGGAAUUGGUCAAUUGUAUAUUUUUUUCACAAAAAUGUAAUAUGUUCAUAAAAAAAUUGGAUUGAAGUUUUUCAUCAUUUUUUUAAUCAAACUACUAGAAUCAUGUUUAAUACAAAUAUAGGCAUAUAUGCACUACGGGAAUAUGAAAUUUGUGUCACUAUACAAGAGUAUUUACUAACUGUAUAAGGGAAAUGUACUAAGUGUACAAGCAGUGUAUAAGAUUACCAUUUAUAAAAGAUUUCAAUCUAUUUUGAACCACUCCUUUAUUUUCCUUGUCACUCAAAAAUUGCAUACUCAUGUCAUGCACUUUAUUUAACUCCCAUAUGGAAAUUCCGAUACUUUCCCCAAUAAUGAUGUUUAGGAAAAAAAAAAAAACUAACCCUAAUUCAUCCAUCCUUUUAUUAGUUAAACCAUUAGAAAUAUGAUUAACACACCUACAUGGACAUAUUACUUAGGAUAGAUAUAUUGUACAAUGGUAUUACACUAAUUGUACAAGGGAAAUGUACUAAGUGUACAAAGAAAAUGUACUAAGUGUACAAGGGUUUACAAGACUACCAUCUAUAAAAAAAUUUAAUCGAUUUUGAAUCACUUUUUCAUUUUCCUUGUCACCCAUAGAUUGCAUACCUACAUCAUGCAAUUUAUUUAACUUUCACAUGAAAAUUUCGAUACUUUUCUUAGUAAUAAUGUUUGGGGAAAAAAAUUUAAUCAUAAUUCAUCCACCAUUUUGUUAGCCAAACCAUUAGAAAUAAGAUUAAUAUAUCUACGUGGACACACAACUUAAGAGGGAUAUAUUGCACCAUUGUACAAUGAUGUUACACUAACUGUACAAGGGAAAUGUACUAAGUGUACAAGGGAAAUAUACUAAGUGUACAAGAGUGUACAAGGCUACCAUUUGUGAAAGAUUUUAGUCGAUUUUGAAUCAUUUCUUUAUUUUUUUUGUUACCCAUAAAUUGUUUAUGAAAUUUGCACUAUUAUAUAAGAGUGUUACACUAACCAUAAAAGAGUAUUCCACUCACUGUGUAAGGCAAUGUACUAACUGUAUGGGGUAAAUGUACUAAUUAUACAAGGGUGUACAAGGUUAUCUUUUAUGCAAGAUUUUAAUCAAUUCUGAACUUUUUUUUUUCUUGUCACCUAAGGAUUGAACACUUUUCCCCCACACAUUCCUUCACCUAAAAAUUGUUUUAAUUUGAAAUUUUAAAUUUCUUCAUCCAAAAUUUGUAAUUGCAUAUUUCAUUUAAGUAGUUUUAACAAUAUUUUUUCUUACUACAUUUACAUCAUAUAUAAAGGAAAAUUAACCAUAAUAUUUAGGUAUUACCUUUUUUUUUUUUUGUGAAAUCAAAUUAAUAUAAAUGGAUAACACAUUAAUGUCAUUGUUUCAAAUAACUUAAGACAAUAUAAACAACAUAUAAUAACUGUUGAGGAAAAAUUAUGAAUAUUUUUUUACCAAACUAUGUCAUUUAGAUCUUCUCUACCAAAAUUAAAACAUAGGAAAUAAAAUUAAAAUUAAUCACAUUUAAAGUGUUUAUUACAAGUAAACCGAAUGAAAUAUAUAUUUUUACUAUUUUACCUUUAUAAACAUAAUGUUAGCAGAUAUUAAAAAAAUCAUAUUUAAAUAGAAUUAAAAAGGAUAAAAAAUUAUCUUUGUAAAAUUUGUAAUUUUUUUUUAUAUAAAAAAUCAUUAUUUUAAAUUAUCAAUUUAAUUUAAAAUAAUUUUUUUGUUGUAAUUAUAGUUUUAAAGAUUCUACUAUUUUUAUAUUAUUACUUUUAAUUUAUUUUCUUUGAUUUUUUAUUUUAAAUUUCAUCUAAACUUGUUUUUUCUUACAUUUAUAUGUUUUCUAUUAUAUCAUUAUUUAAAGUAAUUUUCAUCUAAUUUGUAUUCCAUUAUAUUCUCUUUUCAAUUUUAAUGUGUUGUUAUACCUCUUUACAUAACAAAAGAUUUUAUUAUUUUUCAUCUACAAAACUUUAUACAAAAGAUAUCAUGUACAGGGAAAAAAAAUUAAAAAAAGAGAAAAUUAUGAUAUAAUUUACAUACACAUCUCUUAAUAUGAUACAUUUGCUUGACUUAAUGACAUCAUGCUUUAAUAAUUUAAAUCAUGUCAGUCCACAUCUAUUUUAGAUUUAAAAAGGCAUUUGAAUAUUUUUCAAAUUAUUAAGUUAUAAUACAUUAUUCAAUUAAAAAUUAAGUAUCACUAUUAGUUAAAAGAUGAUUAUUUUAAAAAAUAAUAUAUUAAAACAAUAUCAAUGUGUUGUCCAAAAAAUGGAGAAAAUAUUCAAAUAAUUGUCUACAACCUUAAAGAUAUUUAUAUAUAUAUUGGAUAAAAAAGAAUAAUAAUAUUUUUUAAGGUGUUUAAAAAUUAUUUAUUAUAUAUUUUGUAAGUUUAAAAAAAAUAUUUUAUGAGGUAUUUAAAAAUUUUUUACUUUAAAAAUAUAGUAAUAAUCAUUUUCAACCAUUGAUUACCAAUAUUUAAUUUAUUAGGCAUGGUUUUUGGGAGAAAAAUAAUUGAUGAAAAUAGUAACACCUUUCUAGAAAAGAAUUAAUGAUAAGGUGAAUGAUGAAAGAGAGGGAAAAAAAGAAUGAAAGAGAGUGGGAAGUUAGUUGUUUUCUUUUUCUUUUUGACAAUAAAUGACAUUUUCGGAAAAUUAAAUGUUUCAUAUCCUUCUUUUCAAUUUGUAGACUUUCUUUAGGUGUUGGGUUUAAAUAUGAAACUUAUGAGGAUCUUUUAUCAAUUUUUUGGCCCUGGGCCCAAAACACAAUUCUCCCUAUUUUUAUUUCUAAAGAAAGUAAUCUUUACAUGGAUUGGACCACUGUUUAUUUAUCCAUGUGGCCCAGCCCAUUAAAAACAUCAAACCAACAACCCAAGGGACGACCCUGGUCAUUCUCGGGGGCCCACAACCUUCAUCUCAAACAAAAGCCCAUGGGCAGGAUCACCUUCCACACACAUCUUCAUACCAGCCACCACGCUACCAACAAUCCUCCUCCAUGAAAGCCCACCUCCAUCACAGCAAGCAGAAAAUCCAACACGCCAACCAUCAACCUCCGCACAGACCUAACACUGCAUAGCCGUGUUUUAGGAGUGUCAGGACGUGAUUAGAGAGGAUCUACUUUGAGUGUUCAUGGAGUUUCGCUAUAAGAGGGUGAUAGACCAGAGUAUCAAUGCUCCCUUUGUAACUUUAGGGGCAAGGAGGAAUCAGUUUACCAAAAAUUCUUCAUGAAACCAUCCAUUUAUCUCAGGGAACAUUUAUUAAGUAGAGUCAAAUUGAUUUACAACUAAGAGAUGAUUCAUUCCUUUUAAUGAAAGAACCUUAUUUCAAAUUGCCCUAAUGUGGCCUAAUAAAGCAAUAUUACUGGUUAUAUUUUGGACACAUCUCAAUGCCAUCAAUGGCUUCUCCUUUUUCAUUCCUUUCUCCUCUUCUUCUGCUCAGAAGAUUCAGACUCAUAAGUGGAGGCAACCGGUAGUCUCGGUUCUGGAGCUUGGUGGAGUCAAGAUUGGCAGAGAUGGUAACAUACCCACAUCCCAAAAUUGCGUUUAAAAAGGAUCUUUAGCUUGAAUUUUGUGUGCCCAAUUUGCGUUUUUGCAGGCAUUUGCACUCAAGUCGUGUCGUUUGUUUGCAAUUUCACAAUCUGAUUUCUUUUCUAUUGUGCUUUUUUUUUUUUUUCCUGCUAGGUUCAAAUUCAAGCAUCCAAUUUGUGUUUUUCUGGGUAUUCUUAUGCCCAACUUGUGUCAUUCAAUUUGCAAUUGUCGUUAUCAGACUUCCUUCUCUCUUUUGAGACUUACAUGGUUAGAGACGUCAUUUCUGUGAAAUUAAGAAUGCAUGUUUCAACUUUCACUUCUUUCUCUCUUUCCUUUUUUUUUCCCUGUCAUACUCCUCGGUUCUGUUUGGCGAUAGUAGAAUUCAGGAAUGGUUUCCCUUUUCUUUUUUCUUUUAUUUAUUUAUUUUUCAAUUUUUGGGUUUCUUUUGGUUAUAUGGAUUCUACAUUUUUAUUUUAUUUUUAUUUAUUUAUUUUUUUUGUGAAAUUGGAAUUGAAGAACUUAUUUUGCGUUUUACAAGCUUAGCGGGUUACGUUUCUGUUCUAUUUGUUGUACUGUUGGAGGUGUUUGGUGCAUUUAUAUAACUAGGCUUGCAAUUUCGCCUUCUGAUAAAGGUUAAAUUUUCUCCCUUUUUAUUUAUUUAUUUUUUAAUGGUGUAUUUGUGUUGGGAUUUGGUGAAAUGGGGAUUCUGUACUGGGUUUAUGGCAUUUUUUCAAUUGGUUUGAUAUUUGUGAAUGUGGGUUUUGUAGGGAAGAUGUGCAAAUUUUUUGAAAGUAAGAAUGCAAUUACAACUUUGAUUUCCUUUAUAUUUAUAUUUUAUAUUUUUUAUGCUUAUUUGCGUAUAGGUUGAUGUCAAAAUUCAUCUAAUGGGUUGUUUUUUAUUGCUUUGGAUUGGUUUAAUGUAGUUGGAUGGUGGAUUUUGUUUCUAAAACUUAAGGUCAAUUUCAAUUUUUUUAUUUUUUUAUUUUUUAUUUUUAUUUUUUCAAUUCGAAGACCUGGGAAUUGAUGUACUCAAGUUUUUGGAUUUUGCUGAUUGCCUUGAUAAACUUGGCUUGCAGAGCCUUAAAAAAUAAACUAUACUCACUAAGCUAUAUCUCAGAUGAUACUUCAUCAGGGCGUGAAAUGCAACUUGGAGUCUUUGUAUUUUUUAAAUUAUUUGGGUUAUUCUAUUCUGAAUAUUUGGUAAAAUUAGAAUUCAUGUACUGAACCUUUUUCAAGUUCUUUUGGUUGGCUUGAUAUAUUUGGUUGUGGGGUUUGUAGAUGUGGUGAGGGAUGAUCCUACAAACAAUGUCCCGGAUGCAAUUUUGUCGAAACUUGGAAUGCAGCUUCACAGGAGGGAUCAACACCCAAUUGGAAUUCUGAAGAAUGCAAUAUAUGAUUAUUUCGAUGCCAAUUACUCUAACAAAUUUGAUAAGUUGGAUGACCUUUGCCCAAUAGUCUCCACAAAAGAGGUUUGACCAUUAAGAUAUAAAAUAGAAAUUUUAUGCAUGUUUUUUUUUUUUUUCACUGUUUUGAGCUAUACAUUGCACUAUUUGGAACUUGUAUUAUCUUGCUAUGACUAGUGCUUGGCAUUUUGUUGCUGUUUAUAUUUAUUUUGCUGCCCAUUUCCUGUUGGUUUCUGUCCUGUCCUUGGUGUUUUAACAUUUAAGAAUCCAUGAAAGUGGUAUUUGCAUCUGUUGCCAAUUAUUCCAUCAACGAUGUUUUAAGUAGGAAACCUAGUAUCCAAACUUCCAUCCAAACUUACAUAUAAAAAAAAGUCCAGAACAGGCAUUCAGUUUACCAGGUUUAUCAAUUCUCUCCAAUGUUUAUUCAACUCUUAAAUGCAGUAUUCUGGACGUACUCCAAAUUUGAAAUUCCUUUGGUAAAAUAAAAGCAUGGUACUUACAGUGGUCUAUUAAGGAAAAUGUUUGUUUGACCUAGCUUUUGUACAAAAAAUUCAAAGAUAGUCUUGCAGAUAUGUAUCAUAUGGGUGUAUAUUUCUCUAUCAUGAUACAAGUGAGAAAAAAUUCAGGAAAGUUGUUUUGUUGAAAAAAAAAUUGAAAGUUAAUUUAUGUUUUGAGAGGGACAUUAGACAACCUAGGAUUCAAAGGGACAUGUUGUCUCUUAGGAAAAUAUAAUUCAUAACAUUCUCAAUCACUUACAAGUUAUUUUCUUCCUUUUAAAUUGAUUUAUUUAAUUUUUUUCUUUGUUGUAGGCAAGCAAAGAAUAUAUUUACAAAACCUACUAUUAUCAUUAUUUUGGUACUUAGCAUUGAUGGAGAUUGUAAAAAUUCUCUAAUAGUAUUGCAGGAGAAAAAUAAUAUUUAUGAAUUUUUGUUAAACACAAUUGUCAUAAUGAUAAUAAUUAAUUAGAAUAAUAUAAGUUUGUAAUUGGAAAAUUUUUUAAAAAUAAAAGCUUUUGGAAAUAGUUUGAAUAGGAGUAGAAAUUCUUGGAUUUCAUGGAGAGCUUAGGUGGGAUCUAUGCAUGGGGUUGUUUGCUAACUAUUUUAGUAUUUGCUGCUCUUCUCUCUUAUAGGUGUUCAGUUGCAGCUUGUAUUCUCUUAGCAUACUUGGGUUGUGCCCCCUUUUGUGUUCUUCAAUAUAAUCUUCAAGCUCAUGACUAGUGCAAUUUCUACUAAUUGAACACUUUUCACUUCAAAUAAUAUUUAGUAAUCUAAAUAGCAUUUAUCAAAUUAUUUCUAACUCGCCAUUAGAUUUAUAAAGAACCCAAAAUAUGAAAUUUUCUUCUUAGGCAUGAGAAAUUGUCAUUGUUAUAAACCCCAUGUUUGUCUUCUACUUACAAGCAUAAUUAUAAAGCAUGAUCUGCACGUCUUAUCAUGAAAUAUAACAAUGUCAUAAAAUAGAUGAUUGAUAAAAUAUUAGAAGUCCAUUGCAAAUGCUUAAUGGAACCAAAAAUUAUUACAGAGCAAGUGCAUAUUUCACUCAAACUUUUAUGCAGUAGUGGUAGCUUAUAAACUCACAACUUGGACUUUAUAUGGUGCAAAUGUAUGUUAUCAGCUAUUGCUUUUGACCAGUCAUGAGUAGAUACUAUUUAUAAAAGGACACAAAGGAGGAUAUAAUCCAAGUGCACUUGUAGUCAACAAGUUACUCUAGGCAUCAAAAUUGAAAGAAACAACAAUGAAGAAAAGCAGCAGAAAGUGCCCCUACCUCCCAAACUGUCAAUGAACUACUGGAAGGAUCUACUACUAUUCAAGAUAACUUCUUCUAAGCACAACUACAUGUAACAGUUCUUAGCCUGCGCUAUGGUGUCAAGAGGUAGGCUCAUUGGAACAUGCCUAUUUUGAUGGAUUUAAGUUUAUGGGGAUAGUUAAAGUGUAAAGUGUUUGAUAAAAUAAAUUUGCUAGUUUUGAUAAAUUGGAAUUACUACUGAAUGAAAUGUGAAGCUAGAUAUUAGGAGGAGAAAGAAAGAUAAUUAAUUUAUUUGUAUGAAACUAUGACUUAUGCAUUGUGAAGCUUAUUGGUUGGGAAUUGUUGAACAGGGGAACUUACUUAAUAGGGGAGAAAGAACCACACAUAUUUCUUGAUGAGAAAAUAUAAUUACAUUAGCCAAAGGCCAAAAAUAUAUGAGUAGUUCGCUAAUUGCAUAUUAUUGGAAAGAGUGCUGAGCAACAUAUGAUUCAUAAACUUUUUACAAUUUAAAGGCCUAGGUCCAAUGAGAUAUGUUGCAUCAUAUUACCUAAUGAACCAAUGAAGUUUAUGGAUUUCCAAAACUUCUUGGAGAGGUUCAUUAUUUUAUGGUUCUUUUUUUCUUUUUUAGGGUUCUUUAUUUUCUUUUUGCCGAGAUAUCUAGAAUAUGGCAUGGUAGGUAUUUUUGCUCCAUACCUCUUUGGAGCUCAAUUAUUUGGCAAAGUAGGAAGAAAACAAAUUAGCAUCAACUUUGGCUUGACUUGAGAUCACAAAUCUGACUAGAGAUUUUGCAGUAGUGUGUUGAGGUCUAAUCCGAAUCUAGGUUGUGAUGUGUGCAUCAAAGAGUCUUUCCAGAAGUCGUGAAGCUUUGAGGUGUUUUGUGAUGGCAUGACUAGAUAAUGAGCUGCAUUUUGGUCUGGAAUUUGGAGUUUGGUUAUGCAAUUUCUGUAUCUAUAUCUCCAAAAUUAUUAACUAAUUUUAAUUAUUUUAUCUAUUUUUCAAAAUAAACAUUCAAAAUUGAAAGUUUGUGUCACGAGUAUUCAGGCUUAUCCGGAAUAGAAUGCCCUGCAUUAACUCUUGCUGUUAAUGCAUAUAAUACCAGGUCACUCAACACAACCAUUUGCUUGCUUAUGUUGACUUUCAAUGGCUUAAAAUUUAUGGCUUCAAUGGUUAUUACCUGCUAAUACUCAAACUAAUUUUUUUUUUGCUAGGUAAAUAAGAGCUUGUAUUAGAAGCGCCUAGAAGUGGCGAAAACAAUACACAUGAAGUAUACAAACAGAUUGCCCAAGAAACUAGACAAAGAAGACAAAAAACCUUUCCCCUAACUAGACAUAUGACCACUCCAUAAAAUCAAACAUAGACAAAGUAUGAUCCUCUAUAAACACCCUAGCUCAAUUUACAAGAGUAUACAAAAAGGAAUGUUUUAAAGCUUGGUCGGACUGUUCGAUAUCAUUUAAUGCUCUUUCGUUUCUUUCCUUCCAUAAAGUCUACAUUAAGCAUAAAGGGGCGACCCUCCAAGACUUCUCCCUUCUCUUACCCACAAAGGCACCAUACUAACCAAGCAAAUUCCUUUCAAUCGAAGAAUGCAAAACCCACUGCACACCAAAAAGGGAGAAAAUCAAACUCCAAAGCAUUGUAGCCUUUCUGCAAAACAAGAUUAAAUGGUCACUGGUUUCCUCUUUCUCUGUAUACAAGCAUAUUCAAACUAAUAACUAAUAGUUAUUGGAUUUAAAGCUUGUUUGUUAAUGUUCUUCAUGGUUGUGCUUCUAUUUUUAAUCGAUUCUCUUGGCCAUCACCGUUUCCCCCUUAUUAAGAUUGGAUAUUUAAGUUUCAACAAAACAGCCUACUAAAUCCUCAAGAUAGAUCUUAUUUAUAAGGCAUGGGAGUUUUGGUCAAUGUCUGCUUCCAAAAUUCUUAUCCAUAUUUCUGUGAAUUCUUAUGCCAGAAAUUUUACUUCUUGCAGAAUUUUGAUGAUGUCUUGGUUCCUCCUGAUCACAUCAGUAGGAGUUACAAUGAUACAUACUACAUUGACUCUCAAACUGUCUUGAGGUGCCACACUAGUGCUCAUCAAGCAGAGCUGUUGAGGAGGGGACACACUCAUUUCCUUGUGACUGGAGAUGUUUAUCGUAGAGAUUCCAUUGAUUCAACUCACUACCGUGUUUUUCAUUAGGUUUCUUGUCUAUGAUUUGAUCAAUGAUUGUUUUCUAUUAACAAGUUUCUUAAUGUUUUCUUCAGUUCAAUAACUUAUCAUGCAGAUGGAAGGUGUUCGUGUCUUCUUCCAGGUGAUUGGGAUGGCACGUCUUAUGCAGCUGAGGAUUUAAAGAAAUGUCUUGAGGGUUCGGUGUAGCACUUGUUUGGUAAACUUAGAUCAGGAGAUUGUCUUAAUCAGAUGCAAACUUAAUACUAUCUGUUGAUGUUGCAGUGAGAAAUAUGGGUUAAGGAAUUAUUUUCCAGGUCUAAUAAUUCAAAAUCUGGGAAAUACUGCAAGUAAAAGGGGGGAGGGGGAAUAAUGAAAUAAUAAAAUAAUAAAUUUAAGUGGGCAAAGCAAUUCAUGUUAUGCAAAAGCAGUACAGGUUGGUCAUUUAGAAGUCAAAUCAAGAUAGUCCAGAAUAAUAUAGGGAAUUAUUUGUGAUUCUCAAGGUACUUGUUAAGAAUCAUUGACAAAUUACCUAAAGAAACAUUUAAGAGUGCUAUUAUUAUUGAAAUUUCUGAAAUCUAUCAGAAAGGUAGUUUUCAUCUUGGGGUUUACCAUAUACUGUAUAGAAUCUGCGUGGGCUAAAUGUAUUGAAAUUUGCAGGUAAUGUGGAAAUGCGCUGGAUUGAUACAUAUUUCCCUUUCACCAACCCAUCAUUUGAACUUGAGAUAUAUUUUUAGGUGUGCUUUUGAUCUGGCUGGUGGUUACAUUUUAGCACUAUAUAUUUUGAAUUUCUUUAAAACUUUGUUUUUGAACUAAUUUUAGUAGAAACAGGCUCCAUUUCAUUUUUUUGUUUUUACCUUUUGUAAGAAAGGGUAAAAAUCAUUUAAAAAAUGUGAACUUCAGUUUAUUCCAUUGCUGGCAUGUGUGGCUUUCAUAUGUUAUUGAAGACACUAAGAUUCAUAGACUGAUAAUAACAGUAAUAACAGUAAUGUUGAUGAUAAAAUAAUAUAAAAGUAGAAACAAAAUUAGUUGUCACCUUUUUUUUUUCUUUUAAUUUCUUUGUUUUUCUUACUCCUCUGAUGUCGGGAAGGGGUGUAGGGCUCUUUGUUGUCACCAAAUGUGAAAAAGAGGAUGCAUUAUGUCCUUUUAUUUUGGACUUACAGGACUUAUGAUGAAGGCAUUGCUUUCUUCAAUGUAUAUUUAUGACUUCAAGACAUUUUUGUAUUUUAUUUUAUGGCAGCAUUUUUUAGUGUCACUAUUGAAGGAGAAAUUCAUAAGCAUACAUACACACAUGUUAGUGGGCAUACACAAACACUGAUGUUCCACACAGUAAUUAAAAAAUUCUUGCUUUAAGGAGUAUCUUUUUCCAGAACGCAUGUCCAUGUCAAAUGGCAACAUGCCAAUGACUAUUUGCCAGCAGAUGGAAUGCUGGCAACACUUUUAUGGAUUGAAUGUUUUCCUUUCCCUGUUCCUUGUAGUGAAUGAUAUGUACACUUUAGUUGCUCUUACAUAUUUGAUGCAUUGUGCUUCAUGCCCUAACUAAUGUAGAACAGAAAAGUACCAGAAAAAAUGAUGGGAGUCUAGGAAUUACUUCCAAAAACCUUAGGCUUCGCAUAUAGGUUUAGUUUUCAUCACACAAAAAAGAAAACAAUGAAAGCUGGAAGCUUUUGUGUUUUCAUUCAUUGAUCCUUAUUAGAAAAAUUAGGAGAACCCAACCUAUGGUAAUCACCCUGGGGGAGGUGAAUAGGUGAUGGUCUCUUUUUGCAAAUUUAAACUAUAUGAAUGUAAGAGACAAUUAUAUGCAAGUAUAUAAUAAACAAUGUAAAGACAAUUGCAUAUAAAUUAAAAGAGUAGGGAAGAGAGAAUGCAAAUACAAGAUUUUAUAGUGGUUCGAUGCAACCUGACCUACAUCCACUCUCCUCUAGCUUCAAUCCCAAGCUUGAGGUUGCAUAUAAAUUAAAAGAGUAGGGAAGAGAUAAUGCAAACACAAGAUUUUAUAGUGGUUUGGCACAACCCGGCCUACAUCCACUCUCCUCUAGCUUCAAUCCCAAACUUGAGGUUCCACUAAUUCAAGGCUUCUAAACCAAGCCUUCAAGCAAUAUAAUUGAAUUAUGGUUCCAAUUCACCCUCUUGGACUUUUGGCUCCAAGCACCCUUUACACUUCUCAAGAGAUAUCCCAAUCUUGAACAACCCCUCAAGUGAUACCCCACACUGGAGAAACUUCCUCUCAAAGAUUUACAAAUAAAUGAUUUCACAAAAUCCUAGUACAAAAACUUUAAGCUCAAAUGAUACAAGAAAACUAGGAUUGAAAUGUGCACUAAGGAUAUGCAAGUUUUAGAAUAAUGAUAUACUCAAAAACACUCUUUCAAGGCUCAAAUAUAUUCAAGAAAGAUUUGAGAAGGUUAAGAUCUUGAAACAAUGAAGACUGAAACCUUUUUAUAACGGAAAAAAGCCAAACUAGUCGUUGGGGGUUCGACCGGUUGACUAGCCGUUAGUAUUUAAUACUUGGUAGGUGACCGUUGAACCUCGACCGGACCUCAACCCGACCUCAACCAGUUGAGGUUCAACCUUGACCGGUUGAACAACCGUUCUGGAAGAAAGAGAAAGUUUUUUGCACCCUCGACCGGUUGAGUUGGGGGUCGACCCAGACCUAGACCGGUUGAGCUGGCGGUCGACCGGUUCCUCAUCCGGUUCAACCAGUUGAGCCGUUUUUGGCUCAACAACCAAGCUUUUUUAACUUAAAACCUUUUAAAACAAGUUUGAAAAACAUUUAACACAAGGUUUUAGUUGAAAACAUGAAAUCAUCCAAUUUUUAAAAUAUUUAAAACAAAAUAACUCUUGGAUGAUUUUGGUGCAUAAGUAAAGAAUGUAAUGCAUGAAAAUCCUAGUGCACCAACAACCUUACAAAGAGAUCUUAUGAAACUUAGGUUUUAAAAAACACUUCUCUUUGAGGUGGUCUUCUUCUUCAUGAUUUCUCCUUGGCUUGAUUUGUCUUUGUGAUUGCCACUUUAGAAAUCGUUUUGCCUAAUCACAUUUGAAAUAUAAUCAUUAGUUCUAAACUUUGUUUUGUUAUCAUAAAAAUCAAGAUUAACCAAAUCUUGGUUUCACAAUCCUUUUAGAAGAUAGAGUGAUUAGCUUUGUAAAUACAACCCUAAGACCCCUAACACUCUUUGGAACCAAUCACAGUAAUAAUAAAGCUGAGAAAUCAGAAACUUGAACUAAUAAAUAAAAAUUAAAAGGCACUUGCAAAUAUAAAGCAUUAAUGACUUUGGAAAUAAGAACACUCCAAUACCCCCCACGCCCUUUGGAAAACUCAACCUUGACAAGUUAAAGGCAUGAAAUUUCUCAUAAAGAUCACAAUUCAACUGCUGAAAUUCAUUGCUUGUGAUCCACAUACAAUCUCAAAGUGGCAUUUCUCUCCAUUUAACAAGAUACUUUUGAUAACCUCCUCUUCUGGUUGAAACAAUUUAGUGAUUAACAACUUUUCAAUCUUCUCUUUCAAUCAAGGGGCUGGUAGAAGAUGACCAUUUGGACCAUUAAUUGAUGUAGUAACUUUAGGAUUAGGAUAAAGGGUGUGGUCUUCAAUAUUAGAGAUCUUAUUAAUGCCCAUAUUUUCUGGCAAGUCAAGUACAUAAGCGUUGGGACUUGUUUUCCUAAGAAUUUUAUAGGGACCAACUUUCUUUGAGUGGAGUUUCUUAUAGGCACCUUUAGGAUAUUGUUCAGGCCUUAGUCACACAAUAACCAUAUUACCUUCAAUAAGUUCAGCAAAUUUUCUUUUCACAUCAUUGUAUGACUUAUUUAUUUAUUUGAUGGGCAAGCGGGAAAACACAUGUAAUCAUAUGACUUAUAAUUUCAUUGAUGAAAACAAUUUUCAUUGAACAUGAUAAUGUAUGUCAUCUAUAUGCUCACUAAAAGCAUCGGCUUCAAUGCUAGGUCAUGCAUCCAUUGUUAAAGGAACCAAAUCCAUAGGCUUUCUAGGAAGUGAUUCAGUCACAAUCUCGAAAGGACUAUGACUAAUAGACCUAUUCAAGGAGCUAUUAUUUGUAAAUUCGGCCAUUGAUCUGAUCUCCAACUAGGCAAUGAAGUAAAUGAUGCAAGCUUCAAUUAACAACUUCUAUUUGGCCAUCUCUUUGAGGGUGAAAAGCAAAAGAAAACUUUAGUUUGGCAUUUAGUAUUUUCCAUAAAGUUCACCAGAAGUAACUCAUGGACCUACCAUCCAGUUUAGGAAAAUCAUGAAGGCGAACAAUUUCCUUGAAGAAGAGUUUGUUUUUUUUUUUUAUAAGUAUUCCUUGAAGAAGAGUUUAACAAUCAGGCAACAUCUUUAGUCCUUAAGCAUGGGAUAAAUUGUACCAUCUUGGAGUAAUGAUUUAUCACUACAAGUAUGCAAUCAUGUCUCUGAUAGUUUUUGGCAAACCAGGGACAAAAUCCAUGCGUAGGUCUAGCCAUGGUUCAUGUGGCACAGAAGUGGCAUGUAUAAACCUGUAUUCUUCCUUUGCCUCUUUGAUAAUUUGUAGGUUUGAUGUCUGGAGACAUUCUUAGCCACAUCUUUUUUCAGACUUGGUCAGUAAAAAUGAUUUUCCACCAUUGUAAUGGUUUUAUCUCUUCCAAAUUGACCGGUUGUUUCUCCAGCAUGACGAAAUGAUGUUUUGGGUAAGCAAAGCCGAGUCCCUUUGAAGCAAUAUCAAUCAUGUAAAAAAUCACCAUAUUUUCCCGAAUUUCCAGGCACUAAAGCAACGCAUAUAAUGCUAAAAUCUUUGGAAGAAGGAUAAGGUCUCUUAAAUGAGUCAAAUCCAACAACUUGUACAACAAUAGAAGAAAGAGUGAAUGCCAAUUUGCUAAGAGCCACUGCAAAGAAUUCUUUGUCAUAGGUACAAUAUUUCUGCUUUGCUUCAUUAAGCUUUUUGCUAAGAAAUGCAAUAGGGACACCUCUAACUCUUAUAUUUGAUGCAUUGCAUGCCGCUUCUAACACCUCCCGGAAAAUUUGGAAGCUGCAAAACCAGUGCUUCAAUUAACAUUUUCUCAAUUUCUUUGAAAGCUUGUGAUGUUGCCUUGGUCCAAUUCAACUGAUUUUCUUCAUACAAUAAAUUAUAGGGGCUGUAACAUUGCUGAAACUUAUGAUGAAAUGUCCAUGGAACAUUUCUAGCCCAUGGUAACUUUGUACUUGUUGUGAUGUGUUGGGAAUUAGGAUGGCUUUUACUUCAUUCAUACUUCCAAUCCUUUUGCCAAAACAACAAGCCUAAGAAUACUACUGCUGAGAUCAUGAAAGAGCAUUUCUUGAAAUUUAUGUAGAGCUUUUCUUGGCGAACAACUGUCAUAACUUGCCAUAGAUGGGAGAUGUGAUCUCCUUUGGUCUUGCUGUAAUUAAGAUGUCAUCAAAGUAAACAACCAGGAACUUUUCAAUAAAUGGCUGAAGUACUUGAUUUAUGAAGCACAUGAAUGUGCUAGGGGCAUUUGAAAGGCCAAAAGGCAUGACUAGCCACUCAUAGAGGCCAUCUUUUGUUUUAAAGUCCGUCUUCCAUUCAUUUUCCAAUAUACUGCUUAUUUGAUGAUAUCCACUCUUUAAAUCCAUCUUUGAAAAUAUGCAAGAGCCAGCCAUCAUGUCAUAUCUAACAUAUGAUUGAAUCAAGGGAUAGGAAACUGAUACUUGAUGGCUAUCUUGUUAGUAGUGUGACUGCCAACUACUAUCUUUUUUUUUUGUGUUAGCAAGGCAAAGACAACAUGAGGGCUUAAACUUUCAUGAAUAGUUCCCUUGGACAGCAGCUACUCUACUUGUCCUUUUAGUGCUUCAUGCUCACUUGGAUUCAUAUGAUAGGCUGGAAGAUUAGGCAAUUGAGGCCUUGCCAUAAAAUCUAUAAGCAUGCUGAAUGUUGUGCAGAGAGGAAAGUUUUUUAGCAACAACUAUGGUAGGUCUUUUCGAGCAACAUCUAUGGUAGUUCUUUUUUAGCAACAUCUAUAGUCAUCAGGAUCAUAGGCUCUAUAAUCAAAUGAAUUUCGGUUUCUUCAUCUUUUUGUUGUUCUUGUUCUUCUUCAUGCUCCAUUCUGAUGUACAAAUUGUUCUUUGGACAAUUUAGGUUAUUUGGCUGGGUUGUUGACACUUAAAACACCUAUUAACCUUACCCUUAGGAUUAACGACAUUAGAAGAAUACAACUUAGACCCUGUAGGUUGGAUAAAUGGCUUGAAUUGGCCUAUUCUUGCACUGCAACCUACAUCAGUGAACCUCUUUGCACUGGUUCUAUGGAUGAAACUCACAUCCCAAGUACUCCUCCAUAUCUAAUGCAAAUUGAAAAACAUGUUCUAGGUUGUAUAAUAGCUUUCAAGGGAGAUCUGGCUGAGGGAGGGGGAUAGAAACACGGGUUUCUUCCAUCAUAUGGCAAACGCUCAUCAUAGAAACAAUUCUUUGGACAGAAUUAAGAUAAAUGGGGAAUGGCUUUCAGAGGAGCAGGAGAUUAGGGAAGGAAUUGCUAAUGCUUUUCAUCAGCUGCUAUCAGAAGAUACGGGGUAGAAGGCGGACAUUGGGAGGCUUCAGCUUGAUCAAAUCAGUCAGCAAAAAGCAGAGAAUCUGGAGAGUCUUUUUACAGAGAAUGAAGUUCAUAUAGCUUUGAUGGAGAUGAAUGGGGAUAAAGCCCCUGGUCCAGAUGGCUUUACUAUGGUUUUUUGGCAAAGUUGUUAGGACUUUGUUAAAGAUGAGAUCCUAGAAAUGUUCAAGGAAUUCCACGAGCAUAGCUCUUUCCUCAAGAGCCUCAACAAUACUUUUCUGGUUUUGAUUCCUAAGAAAAGUGGGGCUGAGGACCUUGGAGAUUUUAGACCUAUUAGUCUUCUGGGGGGGCGGGGCUUUAUAAGUUAUUGGCUAAAGUGCUAGCUAACAAGCUGUAGAAAGUGGUUGGAAAGGUGGUCUCCACUUCUCAAAAUGCCUUUGUGAUGGGAAGACAAAUUCUUGACGCUUCUUUAAUUGCAAAUGAAGUGAUAGACUCAUGGCAGAAACAAAACGAAAAGGGCCUUAUUUGCAAAUUGGACAUAGAAACAACUUAUGACAGCAUCAAUUGGAAGUUUUUGUUGAAGGUUUUGCAAAAGAUGGUCUUUGGGUCUAAGUGGUUGGGGUGGAUGUGGAGUUGCUUGUCUUCAGCCAAAUUCUCAGUUUUGGUUAAUGGGGUGCCUUCUGGCUUCUUCCCUAGCACUAAGGGCCUUAGACAAGGAGAUCCCCUAUCUCCUUAUCUCUUUGUUAUAGGAAUGGAAGUGCUGGAUGUUCUUAUCAGGAGAGCCGUGGAGGGGGGAUUUUUAUCAGGGUGUAACAUUAGGGGUGGUAGCAGAUCCUCUUUGAACAUCUCCCAUUUAUUUUUUGAUAAUGACACAAUUGUGUUUUAUGAGGCUAGUAAGGAGCAUCUAACUCACUUAAGUUGGAUUUUACUCUGGUUUGAAGCGGCUUCAGGUCUAAGGAUUAACUUAGUUAAAAGUGAAAUUAUUCCAGUUGGAGAGGUGAAGGAGAUUGAAGAGUUGGCUGUUGAGUUAGGUUGUAAGGUGGGGUCCUUACCCUCUCAGUAUUUGGGACUUCCUCUAGGGGCUCCUAAUAGAGCUUCUUAUAUGUGGGAUGAGGUGGAAGAGAGAGUAAGGAGGAGACUUGCGCUAUGGAAACCACAAUAUAUCUCCAAAGGGGGAAGAAUCACUUUAAUAAAAAGUACUUUGUCUAGCAUGCCAAUCUAUCAAAUGUCUAUUUUCAGAAUGGCCAAGAUUGUUGCUAGAAGGCUAGAGAAAGUGCAAAGGGACUUCCUAUGGGGAAGGGGAAAUCUGGAGGGGAAAAUUCAUCUAGUUAAUUGGGAGGUGGUUUGUACAGACAAGGAAAAGGGUGGGCUAGGCCUUAGGAAGCUAGCCAUGUUGAACAAAGCCUUGCUUGGAAAGUGGAUAUAGAGGUAUGCUUGUGACAAAGAUAAUCUUUGGAAACAAGUGAUUACGGUGAAGUAUGGGCAAGAGGGUCUUGGAUGGAGGCCAAAGAAGGCUAAUGGGGCGGUUGGAGUAGGGGUUUGAAAGGAGAUUUGGAAAGAAUCAGAUUGGUGCUGGGAUAACAUGAUAUUCCGAGCUGGGAAGGGCACCAAGAUCAUAUUUGGACAGAUGUUUAGUGUACCGAUACAACAUUGUCCCAUUGCUUUCCUCAUCUCUUUGUCAUGGCUGUUCAAAGGAGUUCAACGGUUGAGGAAAUGUGGGACCAAAAUUCUAGUCAAGGAGGUUGGAACCUAAACUUUUUGAGGGACUUCAAUAAUUGGGAGCUAGAUAUGAUUGGGGAUUUGCUCCAUGUGCUGAGGGGUCAUAGGCCUUCUUUGGAGGAAGACUCAGUUUUUUGGAGGCAAGGAAGAAAUGGUUAGUUCAGGGUUAAGGAAGCUUAUAGCUUGUUGACCAAUCCUAAUGAAAUCGGCUUUCCUUCAAGAAGUAUUUGGGUGGCUAGGGUGCCAACUAAAGUCGCCUUCUUUGCUUGGGAGGCGACGUGGGGGAAGGUGCUUACUCUGGAUAGACUAAAAAGAAUAGGGGUGCAACUUCCGAAUUGUUGUUUUUUGUGUGGGUGUGAAGAAGAAAAUGUAAAUCAUAUCCUUAUACAUUGUAUAGUGGUUAGAGUUUUGUGGGAUAUUGUCCUUGGGUUAGUAGAUGUUAAAUGGGUCUUUCCAGAAACUGUAAAGGAGGUCUUAAUUAGCUGGAGGGGCUCCUUUGUGGGGAAGAAAAGGAAAAAGGUUUGGGAUUCCAUUCCAUUGUGUAUUUUUUGGACGGUAUGGAAGGAGAGGAAUAGAUUAGCUUUUAGGAGGGGGUGUGUUGAAUAUUCAGAAGUUAAAGAAUUUUUUUGUCUGUAACUUGUGGAGUUGGGCCAAAUUGUAUUUUGGUGAGGAGUCUUUCUCUCUUAUAGGCUUCCUGGAGUGGGUAGCAUCCACUUAAGGGGAGGUGAUUCUUUUUAUCUUUGUUUUUUGAGGCCCUAGCCGCCUUGUAUACCCCCUGUAUGCUUUGUGGCUUUUUGCCUCUUUAUUAAUGCAUUUCCUUUUACUUAUAAAAAAAAAACAAAAAAGUUCUAGGCUGUAUAAUGGUUGAUGCAUCAACUCUCUUCUCAUUUUAGGUCUCAAUCCAGCUUUGAAUCAUGCAAGAGUUUGCCCUUGGAUCUUCUACUAUUUGACUCCAAGUCUUUAGCUCAUGAUAUCUUUGCAUGUACUUUGGUCUCUACAAUAGACAUGUUGUUCUGAUUCAUAGUAAUGAGGUGAUUACAUAACUUAUUACAAUAAUUGAUCCUGUAUGUAUUUUUCACAUAGCUUAUCCUUCAUCUCAUGCCAUGUGCUGACAGGUGGUAGCCUCAUCUUCCCAUCUUCCUAGUAUCUCUUUCAACAUCUGUCCACUAAUCUUUUGCUAAGCCUAUUAGUUUCAUUUUAGUAAACCACCCUCUCUAUUCAUCAUUCAUACAUACCAAUCAAAACAGUCCUCAAUUGUAGUUAGCCAAUCAAGAAAUUGAGUAGCAUUGCCCUUCAAAUUAGAACUUCUCCUUUUACUUUCCUUGUGAUAUCUUCAGCAGUUUCACAAGGUUUGCACCUUGUUUCAGGUAGUCCUCUAGCCCAUUCAGAUAUAGGAUAUUGUGGUGCAUGUCCAAUGUUCCUCCAAGUUUUUGUUGUUAUUAAUUUGAGAUAAUUCUCCUUGCACAACACGUGCUAAAUCAUUAGUGGGCUGAGAUAUUUGUGUCUCAAUGUUGCUUAGUCGAAUAUGCAGGCUAUCAAGCUGUUCCAUCACCACAUAGUAUCUCAUCAUGUUGACUAUUAGAUAAAUCUAUUUUGAAACUCUUGCUAGGUCUUGUAAUCAUGAUCUCAACUUGCUUUGAUGCCAAAAUUGAUGCUGAACAGAAAGGUAAAAGAAAACAUGUUGGGACUCUAGGGAUCACUUCCAAAUCUUAGGCUUCACACUUAAGUUCAGUUUGCAUCACGCAAAUAAGUUGAACUAUCAUAGUACGAUUGGUUCAUAAUAAGGUGUCAUCUGAUUGGUUCUCGUGGAGACAACUUGUGAUCAUUCAAACUGGAGGCUGCACCUGAUUGAUUACAUUGAAAGUUGGAAGGUUUUGUAUGAGAUAAAUGAACCAACUUUAUACACUAUAACUCUAGACCUUAGACUCUUUUAGAGCUAAUGGCAAUACUAAUGAAGUUGGAAAAUCAACAAUGUGAACUGAUAAAAAAAAUUGAAAGACUCUUGAAAAUGUAAAGCAUUAAUGAUUUUGGAAAUAAGAACACCUGUGAUCCUUUGACUAAACUCAUAAACAAAACUUAGACUGAAAUCCACAUUGAAGUAUAUAAAAUCCCGACUGGGCCUAUUAUCAUCCAAAGUAUGCCAAAUCAUAAUUUGGGCCUUAAGAGUCCAAUCUCUAUGCAUUUGUUAACCUUUCACAAGUGAUUGCCACUUGUCUUCAUCGCUAACAAACACGAUUAUAGCAUCAAAGAAGGGCCAUGUCCCCAAAUCUGGCAGUAAAAGUUCUUUUUACAAGCUAACCUCAGGGAUCCAAUUACUACAUUAUUGUGUUAACCAUGAACAUUGGUGCUCCUGUUCUGCUUGCAUGGUUACACUGAACCUGCUAUCCAAAUGUGUUGGUUGACCAAAUGAGAAACUCUAGGAAAAUGAAUGAAUUCAUAGUGACAUAGCUACAUUGAAUGCAACUUGUGUGUUUGUGUGAACAGGAUUGGGGGAGUUAAAGAGAGUUUUUAGAAGGGAGAAUACCUUUUUAAUUGGUCUUAGUGUUCAGUAUGCAGCUGGUUCAGUGAUCAAGAGGCCAGUUUAUAAUACAAUUUUCUUGAGAUUUUUAUUGAAGUGAUCCCUUGAAAAGUCAGGCUACUUUUUCAAGAAGUAAAUGUUUUAUCUUGGAGGUUGUAAAAGAUGCAUUCUCAGAAUAGGUGCCUUGAUUAUGUUUCUUCAGCAGAAGAACCUACAAUUAGGGUCCUGUGUAUAUCCUUUCUUGGAAUUUUCAUAACUUUACCAGUAUUAACUUUCUAUUUUAGGACUAAACUGUUCAGCAAAUCUAUGGAAAAGACUAAAGAGUAAGUACUAAGUAGUUCCUCCAAGGGCUGCCAAAAAGCACUUCCCAAGGCCAUGAGCCAAAACUGGGCCACAUGGAAAGGGGUUGUAACAAGUCACUUGACUUGGGGUUGUUAGAGGCCAUCAUUAGUCAAGAUUGGUUUUAGAUUUAACUUUAGGAAUUUAUUUAUUUUCCUGAUUCCUAUUUUAUUUUUAGUUACAAAAUCAUAUUUGACUCUUGUUUUCCACUCUAAAUUCACAAUAUGUGAACCUUUUUUUUUUUUAUCAGAAACGAAGAAGAUUAUAUUAAUAUAAAAACAAAUACAGGAGAAAUAAAAGAAACAAGAGAAAGAGAAAAAAAACCAAGGGAAGGAUGAGAGGUCUUUUCUACACAAAUUGAACAAAGGAGAAAACUCCCAACAAUAGAACUCUAAAAACAAAGAGAAACCCCAUCAAUUUUCAAACUUUUGAAAUGCAAACCCCAAUCCAAUUGAGUUGUAGAACAUUUAGAGGAACUCCUCUAAAAGCUUCAGUACAAGAAGCCCAUAGAGAAGAAUAAAACCGAAUCAAAUCCCAUACCAUCUCUUCCGUUCUCUCUCUAUCCUCAAAGAUCCUAUUGUUUCUCUCUUGCCACACCAUCCAAAUCAAAGUAAGGCAAGCAAUUUGCCAAAGUGUCUUGCCUCUUAAUGAGUUCCCCAAGCCUUUAAAAGUAAUAACCAACAUAUCCUCAAGGCUCCUUAGAGGACCCAAACCAACCCUACUAGAUUGAAUAACCUGUGCCAAAGUCCAAUGGUAACGGGACAAUGAAGAAAAAGGUGGUCAAUCGAUUCUCCAUUUCCUUUGCAAAGAAUGCACCAUUGAGGACAGAGGGCUUUGUAGGGUCUUCUCAAUUGCAACUUGUCAUUAGUGUUUACCUUCCCAUGUUCUACUAACCAAGCGAGGGCCUUAACCUUUGAAGGGACUUUUGAGCUCCAUAAGAACUUGGCCGGAAGGAACAAUAAAGGAUUUGAGACUUUUGACAAGGCCAAGAAAAAAGAUUUCACUGAAAACAAACCUAACGAAGACAAAGACCACGCUCUUGAAUCUGAUGAAGAAGUAGAGAAAAACACAAAACUAAGGGAGGACAUUAAUCUCUUAAGGAAAUCAAUUUCUGAAUCCGUUAGAUUGCGGCGAAAAUUAAAAUUCCAAGACAGUGGUAAGGAAUUGCCAAGGACAUUUAAGACAGUGAGGUUUUUCACAGAAAUAACUCUAUAAAGAUCAACAAAUUGAGAGCACAAAGUUUGGUUACCCCACCAAAGAUCUUCCCAAAACCAAAUUCUCUCCCCAUUGCCCACUACUAGGCGGACAAAAGGGGAAAACUCCUGGAAAACUUGAGCAAUAGCCUUCCAAGGACAUCUGUGUGACCAUCUAACCACCAUGUUGGUGUUCCAUCCAUUUGGAUGUGUCCCAUAUACUCGCAAUAACCUUAUGCCAAAGACCACUUGUGGAUCCGCAUUUUUCACGUGUGCCCCCAUUCAAUCGGCGAGACUCGCUUUUUAUUUGUGAAAAAGUAAUUUUUAGAAAAGUUGGAGUCGCCAGUUAUUUUAUUUUAUUUUAAAGGGAAAAUAAAACCCUAAAAAAAGAUGACUCCAUAAUAUUUGGAAAAGCGUGUCUUUGAAAAACUCAAGUCUAAGUCUGAGGAUAAAGUUACCUAUUAAGAAGGUACCUCUAGGAGGUAGCACCCCUCUAAGCCCUAUAAAGGUCUCUACUCACUAAGUUAAGGGAGAUAAGGCAAUUAAUUGAUUAAUUGAGGGUACCUAGGUAGACUAAUGUGAUUUCAAAAAAUAGCAUGUCAAACAAGAUCAAAUCACAAUAAAGGAGAGUUAGGGUGUGUACCUGAACCGCUUCUUAAGCACCAUCAAAAGGGAUCAAAGGUUAGUUUGAAAAUAUGACACGUAACAUGCAUUUUUAUCAAAGAUGAUCAAACAAGCAUCAAGGCAAUCGAGUAUGACAUCAAACAUGGACAUGGCUCAUGAUAACAUACACAUUCAUAGAAUUUUAGAGUUGAAGGGGUAGAAAGAGCGUAUCUGAUUAGCGAGCAUCCACACCUCUAUGGGAAACAAGGGUAGCUCAACAAAUAAAUACAAAACAAAUUCAUGUAUUUCAUCAAGAGGAAUAAAAAAUCAAUCAGAUAUCAAGCAAACAAUAUUGAAGAGAAUAUCAUGAAUGUCGGGCCCCCCUCUAAAGGCCUAAUUAAUGUUGCAUGAGUUGAUUCUAUGAAUUCCAUUGUUUGGAAUCAUGAAGUUCGUUCAUGCUUAAAAAAAUCAAGAAAACCAAGAAAAAUGUUGAAAGACCCAAAAGAUGCAUGCCUAAAUGAAACAUGGUAGCAAGGGUUUUUAAAACUGAAUUUUCUCAACCUGAAAUCCUUCAAUGAUGAAAUUAAAAAAUGAAUAAUAGCUUUGAUGGAAAAGAGAUUUUGAAAACGUGAUUCAAAACAUGUAAGAUCACAAGGAAAUAUAAAAGCAAUAAGGGAAUGGUGCAUCAAGAUGGCCACUGUAUGAGUGAGGUCUGGGGGUGUGACUGAGACUACUUUGCUAAAUUUGAAGAUGAUUUCCUUAAUUCCAUUCUGCUGCAACAUUCUGAUACGCCUCAAUAAUUCAGGCACGUUCAUCUCCUUGGCCAUCUGAAACAAGCUCCAUGGUUUGCAGAUAAUUAUAAGUCUCAUGAAUGCAGGAGCAAUCAUUACCUAUUUCCAGUAAUUAACAUAUUUAACAUCCUGUUCACGAGUCAUGCAACCUGGUUAACCCACCAGAUUGCAAAGAAUUAAUGCCAAGUAAAUUCUAUGAGGAACAAGUGGGUGUCACGAUUCUCAAUUUUUGAAGCUUCAAUCACAGACUACACAAAUAGUUGACUUUCAUUAAGUUCGUCAUCAUCAUCAUCCACACAACCAGGUUGUUGUUUCAAUUCAGUGUCAAGUUGGUGAAUCUUCUUCUGUUUUAGCCAUAUAGGAAGCCUUUUCGAUUGUAAAUCCGGAAUGACAUCAAGCUUAAUCUCCAAUUCUGAACCCUCAAGGUACAGUUUCUUCAUUGAGCCUUUAUUACUUUUCCUUUACUGAUAUUACAGUAGUUCAACUCAGGCAGCCAACUUAGCGAAUUAAGCAAGCAUUUGUUGAGAAGACGUUCAGUUCAUUUAAACAGCAGAGAUGCUUCCCAAACACUUUGAGAAGUUAUAAAAGGAUUUCUCACCAAUCUGCUCACUGUCCUCCAUAUUUAAAAGUCCCUUUAGCCAUCUCAGUUGUGAAUCUUCAAAUCUAUGAUCCUAAUCUGUCCGGAUAAUUUCCCUCCUAGCAAAUUCGGGAAUCGACUUAGAAUUUCUAAGAUGUUCAAGGUCUUCCUUGAGUUUUGAAUACCCUAAUUUCAAUAUAGAAACCUUUUCUGUAAGAACCUUUCCUGAAGCAAUCUCAACAGCAAGUUGUUUAGCGAACUUUUGUGUUUCAACGCCUAUUUCAUCAACAUGACUUUGUAGAGAGCUUACCUCCAGCUUAAGCUCAAUAAUAGAAGACUCCGCAACUUCCAAGCUUCCUUUAAGCCUAUUGCUCUCUUCAUAAGAAAUUGACAAGUCAUUAUCCACAGAAUUGUCUAGACUCCGUCCAUGAACCCAAUCAUUGCUUCUCUGUGCCAAAAACCUUUGAUCUGAUGGGCCCUCUUUCUCUGUCUGGGGACUUUGAGUGUAGGAAAGUCCAUUUAAAUCACCAGAGGUUGCAUUCUUAAGACUAUCGAUCUCAUGUGUGCUGGAGGUAUCAUGCUUUUCAGUUUAUAAAAUUUCUGAUGUAUUGAAUGAGCCAUCAAAUCUAAUAGCUGAGUCUGAAUAUUCUUCAUUUAAUCCUCCCUCUUCUUCAAGUGAAGGAAGCUCUGUUGAUUCUGGUUUGAAUCUAACCUUUACAUUGACCUUAUCCAUGUGUUCAUUGACAGUUUCUUCGGAUGAUAAUGCUUCUCCUCCGUUAGAUCCAUCACGCCUAAUUUGUCCAGUGUUCAUCUGCAACCCUCUCUCUCUUUGUUCCCUCUGCUGCUCAAACUCUCUGAACCUGAUUUUAGAAGUUAACAGCUGCACAGUAACAUGUAAUACAGUCCCAGAAUUGCAUCCAUGAAGAGGCAGUGCAACAGUAGAAGGCUUUAGGGCAUUGGAAUAAUCAGCAAGGUUGAUAUUAGCCUCACCCAGGAUAUUAGACCAUGAAGAACCCAUUGCCACUAUAACUUUACAGAGCUUCUCAUCGUACUGCUUGGUUAGACUUGUUUGAAAGCUGAGCGUUCACAUCAGCUUUCAUACGUCGCAGGAGGUAUGGCAUACUCAAGUCACGUAGGACUACUGCACACUUGUAAAUGGUGGAUGCAUGUAAUGGAGAAGCAUUGGCAUAGCCACCAACAGAUAUAGGAACUGUAAAUUCUGCUUCAAAUAUAUGCAACAUCCCCAAAUUCCCAGAGAAUAUAAAAUCGAACAAAGACCACAGCUCAGCCAGCUUAUUCUGAAUUGGCGCACCAGUCGUUAUAUGGUGAAGGGUCUGUAACUGUUUAUGGAGUAUGCUAACUCCAGCAUUUGAAUUCCAAAUUCAGUGUUCUUCAUCUAAAAUUGCAUAACCCGUUUGAUAUCAAGUAGCUUUCCAGCCUGGAUGGUCUUGCCAAGUCCCAUCUCGUCUCCAAUAAUUCCACCUACUUGUUGGCGAUGCAGUUCUCACAGCCACUGAACCUCCACCUUUUGAUAAUAAAAAGGUUUACUGAAAAUGCUUUUAGGUAUUCUCAGACCACCUUCAAGUGUUACAUAAGGGGGGUUCAUUAUCGUCUGUAUUUUCAGUAUCUUUUUGGUUUACUUCUUCAUUACUAGAGGUCACUAAAUUGUCACUUGUAUCUUUCAUCAUGAUCUGCCUCCUCAAAUUCUAAGAUUAAAGCACCUGCAGAAACAUUCUGAGCUAUGUCUAUGCUGGAAGAUGGACAAGACUGCCUCUUAACUUCACUUCGAACAGCUGGAGUUUCUGAACCCUUACGAUUUGGAUGGCAAGGUGGCUCUGAGGGGAGCCAAUUUCUAAUCAGACGGCACAGCCUUCGAAUCGCAGUUUUCGCUGUAAGAAGUGGAACAGAUUCACCAAGAGAUGCAAGACUUUGAUCCAGUUUUAGCGUAGAAUUUUUAGAACCAGUCAUUUUCAAUCUACUCACUAUACAUUCUGAUUCAAACAAAAAUCCUUUCGAUCGAAUGAGUUUCGUUCCAUCGCCUACCACAAUCUUUUUUUUAAUUUUGAACAUGAGAGAAAGAGAGCGUCAUAAAUUUUGUUUUGAUUUUCCCAUUUCAAAUAGCAUUUGCCUCAGCUUUUUGAGAAUAGCUUCAUCAUCUGGCCUGGCCAUUUUCAAUGCUUCUGGGAGAUUCUUACAGCCUGCAUCAUCUUGAUCACUUGGUUUGCUGUGAAAAUUGUUUGUUUGUAUGAGAGGAGCAAAUAUCGAUUCUGCAUUCGGUGUACAGGUGGUUGCCAGAAACUCCAGUCUUUAAACACAAAUUGAGUCUUCAUCAUAGGGUGGAUGCUAUUGAAGCAUUAGAAAUCCUUCAAUUAAAUUGUUUGAGCAUUCCAGAACCUUUUGGCAGAGUAUCUUCCAGCGCUAUGGGAGACAAAGGUUAAAUGCUUGGCUGGAUUUAUGGCAGCACACUCUUCCAGUGAUGCGGCGAUUUCGACGUGUUCCUGACUGAUUUCAAGAGCAUUUUUGCUGCUCUUUGUGGUCAAUAGUCUGACCAACAAAAACUUCAACACUUGUAUUAACUGGAAAGUUCAUCAGCUGAUGGCCAAGAGAAUCCCAAGAUCUGCCUCAAAAUGGGUUUAGUUCUGAUGCGAAUGCUGCUCUCUCUUUUUUUUUUUCUCAGGUAAUCUGUUGAUAAAGCUCACCAAAUUUUCACAUUCAACCCGAUCUUCCUCCCUCAGAGCAAAACUGGUUAGAGAAGACCUCCCAGGAAGGAGUUGUCCAUAUGUUUGAACUAGAGUUAUUUCAGGGACAGCAGCUAAAAUUUUCAACAUGGAAUGAGUGAGUGUACAAGGAUGACGCUUGAAAAUGAGGUUUAAGGCCCCAAUUUUUCCUCUUUCAGCGAGUGCAACAGCAGCUCAUCAGAAGGCCACUUUCUAGAGAGAAUGGACGGAGUAAUAAGAUUCUUGGUCAUUCGUUGCAUAAGCAUCAACCUGGUACUCUGGCUAGGGGGCCAUAGUUUGAUUGACAUCUUGCGUUAUUGAAGAUUUUGGGCAGUGGAGUCCAUGUCAAAGAAACCUAUGUUUCUGGGAAAACCUCUUUCUGGGAGAUUUUGGGUGAUUUUGAGAAGGUUAUGGAAAAAUUAAAGGGGAAAACUGAAGGAAAAUUUCUGAAACCAAGGAGCAUGGAAACUGAUCCUUUUGGGGCAGCAUGUCAAAUGCCCUCCUUGCCAAGACUAGAGCAUCAUAUUUUGAGUGCAUAUUUACAAGUGCACCACUCACAAGUACCUCUUUGCUAACUCAUGCUUGAAGAGCAUACCCAUGAACUUCCUUUCCUUUUUCUAAGGAAUGAAGAGCAGAACAUGCAGUUAGAGCUGCAGUUAAAGUCAUUUGAUCUGGUCUAAUUUCUUCUAAUAGCAUCUCUCUGAAUAGCUGAACAGCUUGUUCUGCAUGGUCAUGCUCUGAAAACCCAGAGAUCAGGGAGGCCCAUAAAACAUAUUCUUUGUCAGGCAUUUGCUCAUAAACUGUGCAAGAUUCCUCUAAACUACCACAUUUUGAGUACACUGUGGAAAGAAAACUGCCCACAGAAAUAUCAGUAAACAAGCCAAUUUUAAUAAUGCAGCAAUGAAUCCGUCUCCCCAAACUUACUGUCUAUUAUGCUCAAGACACUAGAACUACAAAACUUAUCAGGUCUCAGACCCUCCUGAAGCAUCUCCUGAAACAAUUCAACUGCCUUUCCAGUACUCCCACUUUGAGCAAAGGUGGAUAUCAUAACAGCCCACGUGGCUAGAUUCUUUGUACUUUCCAUCUCUCCGGACACCCUUUUAGAUAAAUCAACCACUCUUAUUUUUGAAUACAUAUUGAUCAAAGUAUAACUUACAGUGGAAUCCAAAUUAAUAGAACCCAGUUUUGAAAAUCUAGGAAUGUAGUUAGAUUGCCUCUUUAUUCAUAGCUGGUUUAGCGCGAACAGUAAGUACACUAGUUAUGGGGUAGUUGCCUAUUUUCUCUCCUACUUUUCUCAUUUCUUUGAAGAAGUGGAAAGCAGAAAAAAAAGCUGUCAUCCUUUUGAACAAAAACAGAAAUGGUGGUAGUCCAAGAAACUACAUUACAUAUUGGCAUUCACAAAAAUUCUUUCACAGCUUGAUCCAUAUCCCUGAAUUUGGCAUACAAAUCAAUGAUGGCAGUCCCCACAAAAACAUCUUCUCCUGCACCACAUUUAAUUACUCGUCCUUGAAUCCCUCUUCCAAACUCAAGUUCCUCAAGCGCAGCACAAAUUGUUAAAAUGCUUGAAGACGUAAAACUAUUUGGCAUAAAAAAAAUCUGCAACACAUUCGGCAGAAAAGAUCUAAAGCAACCCAAUUUUCCUUAUUUUUAACAACCCCAGAAAUGAUAGCAUUCCGGCAAACCACGUUCUCACAUAAAACGUCUUGAAACACCUUCAAAGCUGCAAAGCUUUGUAAACAAAUUAAUCAUUCCAGCCUGAACAUACCCAUUUGAGAAGAACCCAUUUUUCAAUGCGAGUGAAUAUACCAAUUCACCAUACAAAGGAGACCCUAAGGCAGUACAAGCCGAAAGAACACUCCCAUAGGUGAACUGGUUGGGAUCAAAUCCUAGAAAAAAAAACUCCAUCUUACAACAAAAAAAUCCUCCACGAAUCCUCAAAUUAAAAGUUCUGGUUGCAACCUGAAAUCGCAAUAUCCCAAGAAAUAACAUUUGGGUGAGGAGUUUUAUCAAACAAUCUGGGUACAUGAACCAGGGAAUUGGAUUUACAAUACCAAUCCAUUAAAGAAUUAACUAUUCAAAGUCAGUGAUCCCUCUCCAUAUGAUGAUAAGAUCAGCAGAGCAUGGCAACAAGGUUGCUUCCAUAAGGAUCAUCAGUUGCAGUAUAAACUCCCAUUUUCUAACAGAAACGAAAAUCAAACUUCCAGAAUUUCUCCCAUUUUUCCAAGGUCGGUGAUGUGUGAUGGAUCCAGAUUUCAAUGAUGCGUGUUCCAGAUUUCUGCAGUUCACUGGAGGAACCUUGGAAUCAACUAUCCAAUAUUUGAGUGAGAUUGUUGCAUACUUCAUCUCUCAUAUUAACACUUCCGUCAUUCCUCAAUAUACGCCCAAAUGCAAUGACAAAGACUCGGACAGCAUGCAGGAAAUGGGAUAGAGAAGAAAUAAAAACGAAGUAAAACUCGGAGAAGGAAGGAGCAGAAGAUGUUGAUCAGUAAACAUAAAUAGCCCCCACUUCAAGUAUUAAUCCAUGGGAUAAGAACAGAAUAGAGGGAACAAUGUAAAAUAGGAUUCAAACGAAAACAGAGUAUGAUCACAUUCAGGCAUGGAGUUAUAUAUUUCCGAAGGCAUCCAUGACACAUAAAAUAAUCAGAAUCAAAAUAAGGUAAAGAAGUAAACGACCAAUCUCAACAGAACAACUUGUGGCCCUUAACGUCCACACCAACCAACAAUAUAUUAAAUAUUCAAAAAUGAACACAUGGAGAAAUCGAACAUGAGUAAGAAUUCCGAGAAUAACUAGGAACGCAUCUGGAAGAACCUUGGCUGCAAUCACUCCUUUCCCACUUCUCUAUGCUUUUCCUCCAAGACAAUCAAAGAAUUCCUGGUUCCUCUUUCUUUUCCCCUCCUCUUAUCAUUCGUUCCUGCUCAAGAUCCUCUAGAAAAAAUCCCCCUUUCUCUAACAUCCUUUCUCACGUAUAUAUAUCACCCCUAAAAAAAUAUUCAAUCUGCUGAAGGAAAUCCACUUUCCUUUCUUUUAUUUUCUUUCCUUUUCGAAAAUCAGAAUGUUUCUUCCCUUCUAUGUAGGAUCCCCUCCUUCCAUAUGUAUGCAGCCACAUUAAUCCCCUUUUCCCUCCAAAAAUAUUUUUCUUACCUUCUUUGAGUGCACAUGCCUUUGUGAGAGUUGAACAACAGCCCCCAUUCUCUUGUCAAACAAUAAAAAAUGAAAAUAAAAGGAAUAAAACCAAAAAGAGUUAGCAAUCUUGCAACAUAUAAAAGAAUAAAGUAAAAUAAAAUGAAUAAAUAAAGUAAAAACAAAAUAAUUAAAUAAAAUAGAACGAAAUGGUCAAUCCUAUGCGGGCCAUGCAAGUCAUGCGACUAUGUGAAACAUGUAAGAAACACUAAAAAGUCUAAUAGGCCAAGUGUGCCUAAGAGGGCCUAGGGGGAUCAGGAUAUUGUGUAGGUGACCUAAACAUGUCUAAGUGUGUCAUCUUAAAAGUGCACCUGAAAGCUAUCCUAAAAGGAAGGAAAACCCUAAGUCUAACUUAGGGCUGCCAAGAAUCACAAUGGGGUUAGACAAAUCCCUCAACCAAAGUCUCUGAGGUGGCUCAAAAAAGGUAAGUAGUGUGAGUAGCAAUGGGCCACCAAGGAACUACUGUGGAGCACUAGAAGUGAACUUAAAGACAUGUGCUAAAGGGACAAAAUUGAGGGUCUACACCACUCCUUUCUCUAGGGAACCUCCAAAGUCAUUUCCCUAAGAGAGCAAUAUUUCUCAUAUUAGUCUCCCCAAAGCUCAAACCUCCCAACUCCUUUGGUCUACUAACAACUUCCCAUCUGAUAAGAUGAUCUUUCUUCCCUUCCCUCGCCCCAGACCAAAGAAAAUCCCUUUGCAUCUUCUCAAUCUUUGAAGCUAUUGAUACUGGGAUUUUAAAGAGGGAGAGGAAGUAGCUAGGGAUGUGAGACAGACAAGACUGAAUUAAGUAAUCAUCCCUUCCAAAGACAAAAAGGCCUUUUUCCACCCAUCUAGCCUCCUCGAAAUUCUCUCAACCACCGGAUCCUAAAAGCCUAUUGUCUUUGGGUUCCCUCCCAAAGGAAGGCCUAAAUAAGAUAAAGGUCACUCUAACACUCUGCAAUCCAAAACCGAAGCCAAACUAGACAACAGCUUUUGCCUAGUGUUAAUACCUGAAAUGGUGUUUUUUUCUAAGUUGAUUUUUAAACCAGAUACUUGCCCAAAAACCAAAAUGAUGAUCUUGAGGUUUUGAAGAUGUUUCAUAGAGGCUUUAGAGAAAAAUAUGGUGUCAUCAGCAAACUGUAACAAAGACACUCUAGUCCUAUCCCUCCCCAUAAAGAAACCCUCAGUUAUCCCAGUUUCCUUCUCUGAUCAUCAACCUACUUAGAACAUCUGCCACUAGAGUAAAAAGGAAAUGAGAAAGGGGGUUUCCUUGUCUCAAACCUCUAGAGGCCUUAACCCAACCCUUUGCAUUCCCAUUAACUAGGAUUGCAAAACUUGAUGAAGACAAACAACCCCUUAUCCAAGAUCUCCAUUUCUGGCUGAACCCCUUCCUUUGUAGUACAUGAUCUAAAAAACCCCAAUCCACAUGAUCAUAGGCCUUCUCAAAAUCAAUUUUGAAGACUACCCCUUCCUCCCCUGACCUUCUUUUCUCAUCCACCACUUCAUUGGCUAUCAACACAACAUCCAAAAUGUGUCUCCCUUCCACAAAGGCUCCUUGAGAGCUAAAGAUUGUUUCAUGAAGAACUUUGUGUAAACGCCUUGAUAAGACCUUAGCAAUUAUCUUAUAUAAACUUGCAACCAAGCUAAUAGGUCUAUAAUAUGAUAUUUUAAAAGUUUGGCUUUUCUUUGGCACCAUAGCAAUGAAUGUCGCAUUUGUACUUUGAUUUAUUACCCCCUUAGUGUGGAACUCAAGAAACACCCUCAUAAGAUCCUCUUUUAUCACAUCCCAACACUCUUGAUAAACUGUUAUAGUAAAGCCAUCAAGGUUAGGGGCCUUUUCCUUAUUCAAUUGGAAAACUGCCAUUCGAACCUCCUCUUCAGAAAACGGUCUAUCCAGCCAAACUGCACUCUCUCCAGAAAUAGGGGCCCAAUCAAUCCCUUCAAUCCUCCAAGAGUCACCUUUAGGUUUGGAAUAGAGUUUCCGAAAGAAAUUUACAAUCUCCUCAUAAAUAACCUCAAUGUUACUUAAAGUCUCCUCUAUCUCAGAAAUCAGAGACUUAAUGAACUUCCUGCUUCUUAUUCCAGUGGCCACUCUGUGAAAGAACUUAGAGUUGCAGUCCCCUUCUUUAAUCCACUUAACCCUAGAUUUUUGUCUCCAUUGAACCUCUUCCUUUAAUAACAAAUCCUCUAGCUCCUUCCUUCUUAAGGUCAUUUCCGAUACCAAAUCAAGAUUUAAAUUCCCUUCUUGUUCAAUUAGAUCAAUUCUACCUAAGUCCGAAAGAAUGUGUUUUUUCCUCUCUCUUAAAUCUCCAAAGGCCACUAUAUUCCACUCUUUCAACUUUGAUUUAACAAACUUUAGUUUCCUCAUGAACUUGUGACCUUCCCAACCUUCAACCAUACACUCUUGCCACCAAUCUCUAAACUUCUCUUUAAACUCAAGAUGGAGCAACCACAUAUUCUCAAACCUAAAAGGAGUCGGUCCCCAUUUUAAAGGAUUAGUUUCCAAACAAAUUGGGCUAUGAUCAAAGGUCCAUUUAGGAAAGGCCUCUUGAAAACUUUGAGAGAAAAAAGAAUCCCACUCAGAAGAAAACAAAAACCUAUCCAAUCUCUUGCAAAUAGGAUCCACUUGCAUGUUUGACCAUGUAAAAGCCGCAUUCCUUAGAGGGGGAUCCAACAAACCACUCUCCCUUAUAAACUCAUCAAAACACCUCAUGUUGAUUGUUAACCUAGAAUCACCCAUCUUCUCAGAUAUCCUCCUGAUAACAUUAAAAUCCCCUCCUACACACCACCUUGGGAAAGUUAGACCAUACAGGUCUUGAAGCUCCAACCAAAAGUCCUUCCUCCACAAAGGCUUAUUCGGACCAUACACUGAGGUUAACCAAAAAGACCCUUCCUCAUCAGAGUUCAACUUUACAGUUACAGAGAAGGAUCCUAACACCUUCUCUGUACACUUGAACUUAAUUGAAUCCCACAACAUCACAAUCCCCCCCAAGCCCCACAAACAGGAAGAGCAGCCCACUCCAAACUUCUGUCUUUCCAAACACUGCUCACAAACCUCCUGUCCUAAAUUACUCUCUUUGUUUCCUAAAGCAUCAGAGGUUAUGCUCAUUUUUUAAUUAUUUUUUUAUGAUUCUCAUAUGUCUUAGCACAAAUAAAGGAAAGGUUUUUUUUUAAUUAAGUUAAUUGAUUGAUAUUGAAAAAAUUAAUUGUUAGUUAUGUUCUAACUUUACAUGCUUGUUAAAAAAAUUAGACUAGUUAAUUUUAAAAUAUCUAUCAUUCUUGUAAUAAUUCACUAUUAAUUGCAUAGCUAAGUGAUUAUGUUCCUUCAUGUUUUCUUUUCAUAUCAGGUUGAUAAUAAAAAUGUAAUAUUGAGAAUGAGUUGAGCAUUGUUCAAUUUCUCAAGAUAAAUGUUCAUAAGGUAUGGAUGGUUGAUGUAUAUGGAAAGGAUUAGUUCACUUGCUUAAUAUCUAUAAUAUGUACUCAUUCUUGAUAUUUGUGAUCACUUCCUAUCUUUCUUCUUUUAUUGUCUUGCUUGUUAAUUUAUAACUUUACAUUCAAUUUGUUAUGAACCAUUAUACUCUAUUUGAAGUUUUGAUUUUAUGAUUCUUAUACACAAAAGAAUACUAACCAUUUGAGCAAGGAGGACAUGAUACUAAAUCAUUUAUCAAUUUGGCUAUUUUCUUCUCUCUAAUUUCUUAGCUUGGGAAUCAAAAUGCUUUGGAAUAUACAAGAAACAAUGGGGAUGAGUCUUUUUUUCAUCAUCUUUAGUUUUAUUGAUGGUCAACUUGAAGUAUCAUCCUUCCUAUUCCCUAAAGUACCCAAACUUGAUAGUUUGAAAUACUUAACAUGUUUACAAAAAUAUUCUUACAUCCUGUUUAGGUUCUAUAUAUUUGGAAAGUUUAUGAAGUUAAUUAUUUUAUUAUAGUCAUUGGCAAAAUGUUGCUCAUACCUUGAACAUAUCUACGAGCUAUUAAUGGCUAGUGCACGAGAAAGCCCCUCUUUCCUCUACUAUCCUUAGUUAGCAUAAAGGGUUCAUAUUUUGUUUUUAUUAUUUAGUCUUGUAAUUUCUACUUGUUAUCCCACUUUUUGUCUCUUUAUGGUUUAUUACUUGAAAAUCAAUUUUUGAAACAUGUUCUUAUAGGUAAUAGUGCUAUAACAUGUUAAAUUCAUGAGAAAAAAAAUUCUAAAUUGAUAUUCAAGGUUUAGUUUAUCUUCAAGUGUCUUCUAGAUGUGGAUUUUUGUGCUUACAAUCCAAAACAUUGAUAUAUGUUCUUUGUAGCUAAGGUUUGGUUUAUUUUCAAAUGCCUUGUGGAAAAGGCUUACGCUUUUCUUCUCUUUCUUUUUGAGAAAAUAUAUUGAUGAUUGCUAGAGAAUGAGGUUGUUGGAAAUCAAUACCAUAGAAAAUGUUUUGACUUUUUAAAAUUAUUUAAUGAAUUUGGUUGAGAACUUACUUGAUAUAGAAAAACAUAUUUAUUUGUGAAACAGGGAAAAAGAAAUAUUUUUUUACACGACUUGCCUUGUGUUUGCUUGAUGUGUGCACACAAACAAAUCAUAUAAUUAGGAAUAAAAAUUGUUUCUCCUUUUUAUAAAUAAAACUAUAACCAAAAUGCAAUAUAGAUAAGUCACAUUAAUUUAUUAUAUCAGUCCUAAAAAAAUGUUUGAACUAUGUUAACUAGUAGGUAUUGGAAAAAGGAAUUAUGUCAUCUUUAUUUGCUAUUUACUUAUUUUAUAAAAUUCUUAUAUCAAUAAAGUUUGAAAUUUGUAUGUAAUAAAUCACUAGCAUUUUGAAUUUUCAUUGUUAUAAUAAUUGUUUCUAAUUGUCUACUCUUUUUUUUGCUUUAUUUUUACAAUUUUUUUAGAAAGUUUCUCAUGUUAGUUAUUGUGUCAUAAAUAUAAUAAUUUUCAAGACAAUGAGGACUUGUGGUAUAUUGCUCACAUUCCAUAAAUAUAUGCUGACAAGGUGGUUUUUAGGUUUAUAUUUUAGAUCUUUUUUCCCACUAUUUAUCUCUUUAUCAUUUAUUACUUGGUAGUCAAUUUCUAAAACACAAUGAGCCUUCUUCUUUUUUCAAGACCAUUUUUUUCGUUCUCAAAUGUACUUGCAUUUGAAAAACUUAAGAGAAUGUUGAUAGGAGUUUCAUUAUGAGGACAUGCCACAACAACAUCACUUGUUAAUAAUAUUAUUCUAUGAGUUGACAUUAAUGUCAAUGCAUCUACACCUAAAAGGAUUCAUUAUACAAAAGUAUCUUCUACAUUUCCAUUCUCUCCCCUUCUCUUAACAUUAAUAUCUACACAUAUUGUAAACAUCAAAGAUCCAACAUCUUUGCUAGCAUAGGAACACAUCAUAGGCUAGAGCAUGUGCCAACAUAAGGACUUAGAGGCUUAAUGUAUCUUUGAGGUCUAAAUACUUAUGGUUUUUCUAGAUCAAUUAAAUUGUAUAUUCACCUUACCCUAACGCUAAUCUUUUACAAAGGACCAUCAAUAAGCCCCCACACUUGAAAAUCCAACAAUUGAGCUCUAUGCACUAUUUUGUAGCUCAUCUAUUUAGUAAUUAUAUUGAUCUUGUUACUUUAUGUUUGCAUUCUUCAUCUUUGGAGAAUUUCUAAGGUUGACAAUUUUGUUAAUAUUGUAGAUGUGAUUCUUUGCAAGUUGAUGCAAAAAAGCAAUACUAUUGUCAUAGUGACCUUGGUACUUUUCUUGAGUAAGUGAAAAAUGAAGAUUGUCAUAGACUAAGUUCUAUCUCAAUAGUUGCCUCUAAAUAUAUGGAACAAAUAGCUCAAAGACCUCAUUUGUGAGAUAAUGGGGAAUGUGAGAGGAUGACCUAUAAUUCCAAGCCCUUGGAAGCUUGUUCCAACAACAUUUUAGAAUUGUUUCCAAAUUCGUGUCUCUAUCAUCAAGAUCUCAACAUGUUGCAGCCUUGAAAAUCCUAAAAACUAGUUACUAUUCUAUUUCAAGAUCAAAUACCUUACCAGACUUGAUAUUAAGCUAUGAAUUUUUGAAUAAGCUUCAAACUGUUAAAUGUUAGAAGGAAUUGAUCUCUUAACUCUCUCCAAAGAUUCAUGAAUUACAAUUUCUCACACUUGUCAAAGAGAUGCCAAAGAGAAAGAUGAAGAUUUGCCUAUGAUUUCUCAUGUUCUUGAAAUUGGUACUGACAAGGAAUGAAUGGUUGAUUCAUAAAGAGCUUAUAUACUAUUUAAUUCAAGCAUGAUAUUUAUAAUAUAUUUUAGGUUUGUGUAAUAGAAAGUGAGAUAGGAUCACUAUUGUUGAUAGAAAUUGAUAUAUUCUAUGAUUUGUGUAAUAUUGAUAUUCUUAGUUGAUUUGAAAAUUCAUUUAUGGAGUUUCUGUAUUGAAGUUGCUAACUUUGGAUUUUCAGCACUUGUAAGUGUUUCACCACUUACAUGUCCCCUUUUUGUCAAGCUUCAAUGAUAUUUUCAACACUUACAAAUAGUUUGUUGCUAACCUUUUUCACUACAAGAAAUAAUAGUUUUAACAACAUGAAUCAAACGUUGUCAAAAACCUUUCAAAAUGUACACAUAUAUGUUGUUGAAAAAGAUGUUUAGAGCAUGCAUUAAACCUCAUUUAAGUUUUUUACAAUAUGCGUGUACACAUUGACAUUACUAUUCACAUCAAAAUGAAAGAGAUUGAAAUAUUAAAUAUCAUUGCUAUCAUUUAGAUUCUAUAUAUGUUUUACCUUCAACACACUUAAGUUGAUUGAAAUUUUCAUAAUAUAUCUAAUUUAAUUGUAAUAUAAUAUAAAGACCACAAAAAGAAACUUAAGAUGAUUGAAAAUUUCAUAAUAUAUUUGGUUUAAUGACAAUAUAAUAUAAAGACUGAAAAAAGAAAAUAAUGUUUGACAUUCCAACCAUAAUACAUUGUUGUUACUUCAAAAAUUUGAAAAAAAAAAUACAUUCAUAAUUCAUUCAAUAAAAACAAAUACAAGAUUCUAGAAACUUUUAACACCUAAUUUCUACAUGUAGAACAAGAACAAGGUUAGGAUUUUUUUGAGUAGUUAAGUGAAACUCAGUUUCUUAUCCUACUUUACAAUUUUUGGUUUCUUACUUAUUCAAAAAAAAAAGUUGAUAAUAUUAAUACUUUACUUGGUAUAUAUGGAAUUACAAAAUACAACAAGAUUUGCAUAUGGAAUCAUAAAAGAACACUAGAAUGAAAAUUAAUAGACAUACAAAGAUAUACAUUUGAGUUGAAACACACCUUGAGGAGAGGUACAACAAAAAACUUAAGCAAAUGUACCCAAGGAUUAUGGAAUUCUCCUCGUUUUUCCUCUAACAAACCUCACUUUUCUACAUGAUACUGAAGUUGUCAAAAAUACAAAUUGAUACUAAAACAUAAUAAUUAUAGUCAUAUCCCAUUAAGACAUUAAAAUAUUAGAAAGUCUCUUGAUGAGCAUUAAGAGGGUUAAAAUUAUGUUUAUUGCUCGGAUACAACAAAAUGAAGUUACAAGUAUACUAAAUAAUAUGCUAGGAAAUAACAAAUCGACACCAUAUAUAAGAGUAGAAUUGAAGCUAAAACAAGAACUUUGAAUGCUUGUUUUGCACCCUUUGUGUGGAAAGGCCUUAUUAUAUUGUUCUAAUCAUGUAUACUUUAAAAAAAAAAAAAAUUGUUUUGCAUCUUUUUUCUUAGGGGUCUUUUUAUGCAAUUUUAUUUUCCUAUCACAAGAAAUUUUAUUAAAGUCUUUGUAAGUUAUUUUUCGUCAUAAUUUCAUUGUAAAACAAAUAAGAAAAUUUGAGAUUUUUCCUAAUAUUUUUGCUUUAGAAUGGAGUUUUUUGCCUUUUUGUGUGAGACUUGGACUCAUCAAUAUCUCAUAGUUCAAAAUGGAGCCUUUCGCAAAGGUAGAAGAAGCACCUUCAACACUAAUGAUGGAGUUACUUUAGGAAACAUGACUUUCAUUCUUGUAAAAAUGCCUAAAGACAUUUCAUUGUUUUGACCACUGCACAAAAACCCAUGUUUUCUUGAUUUCUUAAGGAGUUGUAUCUUUUAAAUAAAUUUUAUACACAAACAACACUUGAUCUCAAGAUCAACUCAAGUAAUCCAUGUCUAAGAAAAGGAUGUGAGCCAAUUGAACCAAAGUGUUUUGAACAACUUGAAGACAAGCUAUGCCAUAUGUCAUACCACCUUUUUUGAUGGAACUCAUGAAAGGCUAGUGAAUAUGAGUCUUUGAGGAAUGAAUUGGGCUCAAUGUUGUUGUAUAUAAUUUAGAGUAGAUAUUUGAAAUGUAUGGAUAUUAUUUGUCAUACCAUCAUGGGUAUGAGUUGUGAUGUUUAUUUUCCUUGUAAUUUAUUUUAUGCAUUUAAGUGUCUUAUUUCAAAAAGGUAAAAUUUUUAUAUUUGAUUACAUUAGAGUUUAUAUUUAAUACUUUAAUUAGGAUGACUAAUGAUUAUAUAUUGAUGUAAAUAUUAUUUUUCUCAAAGGAAGUUCAAAAGUUAUGUUUGGAACCAAAUCCCAAAGGAAAAGAAUUCUAAAAUUAGAUUUCAAUCUCUUGGUGAUCAUGAUUGGUAUGAGAAGGAAUUGAAAUGAAAAUAAUUAUCUUGGGUUUGGUAUUAUAACAAGAAUAAAAAAUAAAUAACUUUGGUGUACUACUUGGACCAUGCUACGACAUAAAUAUGAAUGAUCUAAAUAUUAAUUCUUCUUAACUAAAAUCAACCUAAUUAUAAAUUUAAUUAUAAAAGUAAAUAAAUUUAUCAUAAUAAAAUUAAUUAAGAAUAUCAUUUAUAUAAAAUUUACAGAAACAAUCAAUUUCAAUUAUUUAAAAUCACUUCUCAACAUUAAACUUAAAAAUCCCUCCAGCAUGAUCUAAAUUAUCUUAUAUUCAGCUUUUUAAUUCAUUUAAAAUACAAAGUAACUUACACUUGUUAAAAAAUAAAAAUAAAAGAUUAUGAGCAUAAAAAAAUAUUGUUUUCGUUUAAAUCCCUAUACUUCUCUAUUAAUAAUUACUAAAAUAGAGAAAUAACUAAAAUAACAUGACAUAAGUGAUAAAAAAAGAAAAAAAAGAAUGGAUAUAUAACUACAAUGAUAUAAGUGAGAUUAAAAUUAAGAAUUUACUCAAGUUAGAGAAUUAUUUAUUCUAAUAAAAAUGUUAAAGAAAUACAUUACUUAAUAUAAUAAAUUCUUUUUUCCUUUUGUCAUUCCAUAUGAGCAUCUAUAAUAUUGAAAAUAGAAAGAAAAGAAUCCCCAUCCAUAUUUAAAAUAAUUUAUUUUAGAAUAUUCUACCUCUAAAAAAUCCAUUAAAGUUCAAAAAAAGUAAAAAGAUGAUAUGACUAGUAUGUAUAGAGAAGAGAGUGAAAGAGACAAAAAAAAUGUAUUUACUAAUUUAAAUUUAAAGAGAAAAGGCAAGAGUAAUAAGGCAUCAUUGAAAAAGGGAAAGUUUAUUUUAAUAAAAUUCAAAUCUCAUAAAUUGAAAAGUUGAAAAGUUGCCUUCCAAAUCCUUUAAAAUUCUUUCCUUCUAAAAAUUCCCUCAUUUCAAAUCUAUUCUUCCCUUUUCCAUUUAAUUCCCUUGAUUCCAAAUAAAGUAAAAUAAUAACAAUCUUUCUAACAAGUUAAUAACAUAUAAAAAAUAAUAAUAACAUAAUAACCUAUGAAGCAAAAUUACAGACAUUUGGAAAUACAUUACAAAAUUUUUGUGGAUUUCUUCAAGAAAGAUCCUAGAAGCAAAAAUUUAGAAAUAUUAAGAGGGUAAUUUUUUUAAAAUAAAUUAUACAAAUUCUAAUAAAAAAUAUUUAUUCAUUUAUUCAAGAAUAUUAAAAAAAGAAAAUAUUAUGAAAAUAGGUAAUAUAAAAAUUUUCAUAUUCAUCUCAAGGUUUAUAUAAAAAUUAUUAGCAAUAUUUUUUUGUGAAUAAUUAUUAAACUGUUAAUUAUUUGUUUGAUGGUAUUAUAAUAUGAGAUGGUGAGAUUAGAAGAGUAAAGUACAAAGUAGGUCCCAUAUGAUAUAAUUAACAUAUCUUUUCUCUUCCAACUUAAGCCCAACUAAAUAAUGGGCUUAGGGCAAAGCCCUAAGUACUCAACUGAAUGAACUGGCUUUUGUUAUCUAGGAAUUUGUUGCUAGCGUCAUCAUCUUUCGUUGUGGAUUUCUAUGAAUGCCAUUUUUUUGUAAAUCCAAUUAAUUCACCAAUUAAAACCAUAAACAUACUUAAUUCACCAAUUAAAACCAUGAACAUACUUAUCUAUAACAAGGGAUUUGAAGAGCUUUUUAAAUACUAAAAAUGGGGUUUAAAAGUCAAGAAAGGUUUAUUUCCUUAAAAUAUAUAACAAUAUCAAAAAAAUAUCUUUAUUUUAAAUGAAAGUGUUUUUAAAAUAUAAUUCACAAAUAUAAAAUUCAAUUGCAUGACAAUAAUAAUUACUUUCAUAGGAACUUCUACUAAACAAACAAGUUAUGGGGGGCUUCCCUCCACGUGUCCUUCCCAGACUCAAGACCCCUUGGGUGACCAAGGUAGACAUAUAACACGUUUGGGAUCACUUCAUCUGGACCAAAAUAAGCUUUGUAUGGCACUAGAAGUGAGAAGUUUUCCUUCUUCCACAAUACCAGACGAAAUAGACAGACCAAGCCGACUGGACAUUUCAGACGGACAAAUAAAUCUAAUCAGCAGCCCUUACUUGAUGUGAUUGCCCAGUCCAUGCAGCAGUGAUGGAGUUGAUUGUCCUAUCAAGGCUCGAUUUCCAUCGAGCAAUCAUCAUUACAAGAAAUGUUAGAGUGCAUAAUCAACGCUAUAAUGAUGAUGCCAUCAGCUCUAUAUAAACCCCUCAAGAAGCAUGAACAAGGUACACAUGCUCAUUCUCUCCCACUAAAAAUAGUUAGAGAUAUUCUUGUUGAUUUCUGACUUGAGCUUUGGAGGGGCAUGCCCGAACCACUUGUCCGGACAUCCUUCUUUGCAAGGAAGAAGUCUGUCUGACUCUAGUGAAGCUGGAUGGACCUGAAUCUAAUUGGCUCAACACCAACAUUAAUGUCGUAUAUGGGAAAGACUAAGGAUGUCAACACUUUCCAGAAGCUAAUCAUCAACUAUGGGUGGUGAAGACUACUUUGCUUGGCGUGAAAGAAUAGAGAGACGUCAAUAAGAGAAUGAUCGGCAGAUGUAGUCUAUGCUUCGCCAAACAAAGCGACUCAAACAAGAGAAUGAAGAGUUGCAGGCACAGAUGUCAGCAUCAAGCCCCUCUCAAAGUCGAUAACCUCAAAGACAACAAAUAGCCUCAAGACGGACUAAUGAAACAUCUUUCCCUGGGAACACAGAGUUCUUCUCUGGUAGCUACACGAGACAGUCUAAGGAGGAGGUUUCGCCAGCUUGCCAAAUGCAGCUGGACGAAGGCACUAACUCUACCCGGGCAUCAAUGAAGAGGAGGUACGAUAGAAGGUUACAUUUGUCAGAUGCGAUGCGAGCCUGAUUAGGACCUCAGGCACCAAGCGUGGAGGAGCAACCAUGCAUAUUAGAAACCCUGAAGGCCCGUCUAGGUCCCCCAACCACAGUAGUUAUGUUGGGAUGACCCUCUCAACCGCCAAGGCAACAACAAGCUGAGGCCCCGAAGAUCUGAGCUUUGCCUUGCUCUGUCAGUCGACGGUUGGAUGACAUGCUCUCCAUGCGGUUCAACCCUCAUAUUAUUAACUAUGAGCCAUCUAGAGGGUUCAUAGUGCCAAAAUUCACAACGUACGACGGAAAAAACAAUCUGUUUGAUCACAUCAUAUGCUUUAAGUUACUCAUGACCCUCGAUAUAGGGAAUGAUGCACUAUUGUGCAAGGUCUUUUCGGCCAGCCUACACGGCCAAGCUCUUUCUUGGUUCCACCGUCUCCCACAUAAUUCUGUGAACACUUUCUGGGAUUUAUCAAAAGCCUUUGUGGGCCACUACUUAUGUUUGGCUCAUCAUAAACAUAACAUAAACACCCUACAGAACAUCAAGGUGCAGGAGAAUGAGUUGCUCAAAGACUUCAUGAAGCGGUUCGGGCAAGCCGUGCUUUAAGUGGAGUCCUGUAGUAUGGAUGCCAUCCUGUAGAUCUUUAAGUGAAGCAUUGGCCCGGGCACGCCAUUUUUUGAGUCUCUCGCAAAGAAGUCGCCUGCAACAAUGGAUGACCUGUUCAGACGAGCAGACAAAUACUCCAUGCUCCAAGACGACAUCUGGGCAACUACUCAACAGGUCUUGGUCACCAAUCGUCCGACUAAGGAUGAUGAGGCAGAAAGUUUUAAGCCAUCGAACCAAUCGAGGCAUGCUAACAAGAGGUGGGCUAGCUAGCAACAGCAAAAUCAGGCGAGACUAAUCCUCCUCGGUAUCUCAUAUCAGAGACUUCUUCUGAUGAUUCGUGAUUUGUCAAACUUUAGAUGGCCAGAACUUAUCAAAAUAGAUCCAGCUAGAUGGGAUUAGAACAGAAGGUGCUCCUAUCAUAAGGAUCAUGGUCAUACCACCAAGCAAUGAAGGAGUCUCCAUUACUUGGUGGAGAAACUAAUCAAAGUUGGGCACCUAAAACAGUAUGUCCACACAACUGGCGGGCAAAGAGAGACGGUGCAAGAGUUAGCCAUCCAAGCCCUUGCAUUUUUGGCAGUUCUUAGAGUUGUCAUUAACUACAUACAUGGAGGCUUCGUAGAUGAUAGAGACAAUUCUAAGCGACAAAGGCGAAGGUUGCUCCGUGUAGCCUCUGUAAAAGAGCGAGUUCACUCCGUUUAGUGCAACUUUUCGGAAGAGAGUGAGUGCUCCAUUGAUGACACAGUUAUCUUCCUUCCAGUAGGUGUUAAUCAAGUAUUGCAAUCGCAAGAAGAUGCCCUAGUCCUAACACUAGGGGUAGGCAGAUUCGAUGUGAGAAGGGUUCUAGUUUAUCCGGGUAGCUCACCAGACCUUUUACAAAUGUCAAGCUACAAGCAGAUGAGCUACUCCCUAUCCAUCCUAGAAAACCCAAAGCGUUUGUUGUCUGGGUUCAAUAGAGCUACGAUGACUUCUCUGGGUGAUGUUGUGCUGCCCAUCCAAGUAGGCUAAGUCACCCUAAACGUACAAUUCUUAGUCAUCGACGAUUUGUUCCCAUAUAAUGCCAUUAUGGGACGUGCAUGGCUUCACAUAAUGAAAGUCAUUCCCUUUACGUACCAUCAGAUGGUGAGCUACCUCACGGAGGAGGGACCAGUCGAUCUCCUUGGCAACCAACUAGCCGCGCGCCAAUGCUAUCAAGUGGUGCUAGAUUAUGGACAUUUAGCCGGUUGGAAUCAUCAAAUACAAUGGAGCAAUAGCAAUUAUUGAGCUUGGUGAAGAAAGAUCCAUCUGCAACUGAUCCACUCCAGCCAUUAUGUCUCUUACAUAGCACAUAUCAAAUCACCUAUACCAGUUCGCUGCUUACGUAGGAUGAACUGGAACUACUAAGAAGUGUGCUUCAGCAAAACAAGGACAUCUUCGUUGGGAUUCACUCAGAUAUGCUAGGAAUUCAUCCAUCUGUGGCCUCCUAUGAACUUAACACCACGCCCUCCUCACAUCCUAUCUAGAAAAAGGUCCGAUGUUUUCAUCCGGACAGGCAGAAAAUCAUCCUAACGAAAAUUGACAAACUAUUGGUAGCCAGAUUUAUCAGAGAAGUCAAAUAUCAAAACUAGUUGGCAAACGUGGUGAUCGUUCAAAAGAAGAAUGGGAAGUGGCGAGUUUGUGUUGAUUACACCAACCUGAAUGAUGUCAGCUCAAAUGAUAGCUUUCCCUUACCCCAGAUAGAUUAGAUAGUCGAUUCCACCGUUGGCUAUGAGAUGCUCUCCUUCCUAGACGUCUUCUUCGAAUAUCAUUAGAUUCCUAUGUUCUAGUCGGAUAAGGAGAAGACAGCCUUUGUUACACCACAUGAGUUGUACUGCUUCAAAGUCAUGUCAUUCGGGCUUAAGAAUGCUGAUGCUACUUAUCAGAAACUAAUGACGAAAAUUUUCAAGCCCUUGAUUGGUCGAACUGUGGAAGUCUACAUUGAUGGCUUUGUUUUAAAAAGCGAAACCCGAGCUAAGCACGUCCAGCACUUAAAAAGAAACAUUCUGUCUUAUGCGGGCAUACAACAUGAAGCUCAAUCCAACUAAGUGAGCCUUUGGCGUCAAUACAGGAAAGUUUCUAGGGUUUAUGGUGACCCAAAGAGGAAUUGAAUUUAAUCCGGCUCAAAUAAAAGUUGUCCUCGAAACACCUACUUCAAGCAACAAAAAGGAGUUGCAACACCUCACAAGUUGUCUAACAGCUUUAGGGCGUUUCAUAACCCAUUUCACAGACAAGCUGAGACUUUUCUUCCUCACUCUCAACAGAGCAAACAUGUUCAGUUGGACAGAUGAAUGCAGGCAGGCAUUUGAAGUAGUCAAGCGCUACCUCACUGAACCACUCAUUUUAAGGAGCCUCAAGUCCGGUAAACAACUUUGUAUGUAUUUGGUUGUAUCCCGACUACGUUGUUAGUGUCGUCCUGUUUCGGCACAUACAAGACAAAGAGCAGAGGCUCAUUUACUAUGUGAGCAAAGUAAUGGUAGACGCUGAGACUCGGUACUCUAAAAUGAAGCAGACGAAUCUAGCCCUUCAAAAUGUCACUCAAAAGCUCUGCCCAUACUUCCAGGCUCAUCAAGUGACCGUACUCACAAACCAGCCACUCCGAGUUACCCUGCACAAACCGGAUCUAUCCGGACAAAUGUUGAAAUAGGCCAUCGAGUUGAAUGAGUGCGGAAUCAAGUAUUAGCCAAGGUUAUCAUUGAAGGGACAAGUUAUGGCCGACUUUAUAGUUGAACUCCCUAAAAAUCAAGUACAUCCGGUUGAUCGCCCUGGAGAGCAAUGGUGGACACUUCAUGUAGACGAAGCGUCCAGAGUGUUCGGAUCUGGAGUAGCUCUGAUCCUAUAAUCACCAAUUGGGGAACUAAUGGAACAAGCUAUCCAUCUCAACUUUUCUGCCUCCAAUAAUGAAGCAGAAUAUGAAGUUGUCCUAGCCAGGCUAGAUCUUGCCCUAGUAUUAGCAGCCCAAGUUGGAAAUCAGGAGUGACUCUUAGCUAAUUUUCAAACAUAUUCAACGAGAGUAUGCAGCAAAGGAUGAAUGCAUGGCUCGCCACCUCGCCUGGUGGAAAGUCACCUGAAAAAGCUGGACGAGUGGGUCACUAGACGAGUGCCGCAUGGGAGAAUGGGAAGACAGACGCACUAGUCGGAAUAGUUGCCACUCUUUCCAUAAAAGAGGCGGUGAUGCUACCUGUUUACCUCAAAGCUGCCACCUUAAUCAUACUCGAGCCAGUGUGCAACACCAGUCAAACGAACUUAGGUUGGAUGCUUAACAUCGUGAAAUACCUUCAAACAAGGGAGGUACCAGGAGAUAAGAAGCAAGCUCAUAAACUCCGCAUACAAGCAGCACGCUUCACUCUAAUUAAUGACCAAUUGUAUAAACCAUCAUUUGGAGGUCCAUACCUAAAGUGUUUGAGCGAUCCGAAGGCCAAAUAUGUUUUAGCCGAACUCCAUGAAGGCGUAUGUGGCAAUCACCUAGGCGGACGAACUUUGGCACAUCGCGCUUACACGCAAGGGUACUAUUGGCCCACCAUGAAGCAGGAUGUUGAAAACUAUGUUAAGAAAUGUGAUCGGUGUCAACGACACACUCCCAUUCCCCGUGUACCUUUAGAAGUGGUCAACCUAGUCACAAAUCCUUGGUCAUUUACAUAGUGGGGGAUGGACAUAGUCGGGCGCUUACCCAUUGCAGCAGCACAAAAGAAGUUUUUGCUCGUUGCAAUCGACUAUUUUAGCAAGUAGGUGGAGGCAAAAGCCUAUGCCAACAUCAAAGAUAAAGAUGUCUCUAAGUUCAUCUGGAAAAACAUCGUAUGUCGAUUCAGAGUUCCACGAGCGAUUGUUACUGACAAUGGGCCACAGUUUGAUAGUAUUGUAUUUCGAACAUUUUGCUUGGAGUUAAACAUAAAGAACCUAUACUCAACACCUCGUUGUCUACAAAGCAACAGACAAACGGAGGCGACAAACAAAACCCUAUUGAAUGCACUAAAGAAAAUGUUGGAAAUGGCAAAAAGAAAGUGGGUGGGUGAACUACCCGAAGUCUUAUGGGCUUACCAGACAACAUCCAAACGACCAACAUAGGCCACUCCUUUUACCCUUACUUAUGGGAUUGAGGCCAUUAUUCCAACUGAGAUUGACAUGCUUACUGCUAAAACAGUCGUGUAAGACUAUAGGAACAAUGAUGAAAAAAUCAUAAGACAACUAAAUUGGGCAGAUGAAUUAUGAGGAGACGUGGAGAUACAACUAUCUGGAUAGCUUCAUACCAUCAGAAGGCAAUUGCUCAGUACAACAAAAGGGCACGACCACAAAUUUUUUAGCCAGGAUCUUUAACUCUCAGAAAAGUUUUUGAGAAUACAACUUAAGUAGGAGCAGGGAAGCCGUAAUCUAAUUGGGAAGGGCCAUAUGUUGUAACUAAGGCAGGAUACUCGAGGGCAUACCACCUUCAGACUCUAGACGGAGUACCCCUACUCUGCCCAUGGAAUGUGACCAACCUAAAGCUAUAUUAUCAGUAAAAUUGCUUAUUACAAGUAGGGAAGACUAGGCUUCAGUCGACUAGAGUAAAUAAAUACAAAGAAUCAAACCCUGUCCGGGUAUCUUGCAAUUCCUGCCUCAGCCGGACAUCUUUUUCUUCAAUCUUCUCUUUCUCGGCCACCAUAGCCACAUUUUCCUCAACUAGUUGGCCAGCUUCAGCCUGAGAUGCCUCCUUCUCCUCCUCGACCUUCCUCAGUAGACCGACACCUUCUUCAGCCAGCUCUUGGGUAGCAACAACCUCACUCUUCGUCGUCUUCAAGUUAGCAAGGAGAUCCUCAUUCCCGUCCACGUUAUGGGCAACACAUGUCCUCAUGGUCUCGACUGCUUCCAACUAGUGAAAAAGGUGAGCGCAUUGCCGCAUAAGGUUUUGGAUUCCGGUUCCCACCUGGGGGCAACAGAGAAAUUGUUAUAAAACGAGAGACUAAGGUAAAGUAAGCGAAAAAAUGGGAGAUGGCCUACCACUUCUGUUGUCUCAAAAGCUAUGUAGUCCUGCAUAUGGAGAAUGCAAGCAAUAGCAAUAUUUAGAGUAUCGUACGGAAGUCGUGUCGAAGUGGCAUGUGCCCCUUGGCGCCCAAAAACUUGAAAAUGAAUAAUAUGUCUUACCUCAACCCGACAGCUACCCUACUAGAAAAAGGCAGACGAAUUAGGGGGCUUUGUGAGGGGCUUCCCCCCACGUGUCCUUCCUAGAUUCAAGACCCUUUGGCCGACUAGGGCAAACAUAUAACCCAUUUGGGAUCACUUCAUCUGGACCAAGAUAAGCUCCGUCUAGCACCAGAAGUGAGAAAUUUUCCUUCUUCCACAAUGCCAAAUGGAAUGGACAAACCAAGCCGACUGACAUUUCAGAUGGCUCACAAUGUCAGACAGAAUGGACAAACCAAGUCGGUUGGACCUUUCAGACGGGUAAAUCAAUCUAGUCAAGUCCUUAGGAUUUCUUAUAGGCAUGGUUAACCAUGCCUGAUGUCUAAGCAUCGGCUUAGACACCUAAUGUCUAAGCGUCGGACUAGACGCCUGAUGUCUAAGUGACGAACUAGAUGCCAUUUACACUCAAAAGUCAAUGUCAAUUAAUUGUUACACACAAUCCCAAACAUUGGCAAAAGCUAAAUGGACAUCAGCAAAUGGCACUAGUCAGCAACUCUUACUUGAUGUGAUUGCCUAGUCCAUGCACCAGUGACGGUGUUGACUGUCCUACCAAGGCUCGAUUUUCGUCGGACAAUCAUCAUUACAAGAAAGGCUAGAGUGCAUAAUCAGCGUUAUAAUGACGAUGUCAUCAACUCUAUAUAAACCCCUCAAGAAGCAUAAACAAGGUACACACGCUCAUUCUUUCCCACAAAAAUAAUUAGAGCUAUCCUCAUUAAUUUCUUACUUGAGCUUCGGAGAGGUGUGCCCGAACCACCUAUCCGGACAUCCUUUUGUGUAGGGAAGAAGUCCGCCUAACUCCAGUGAAGCUGGACAGACCUAAAUCUAGUUGGCUCGACACCAACACAAGUAAAAUGCUAUUAUAUGAAAACAUGUUUGAAUUUUGUAUACGCAUUUGAUAAAAUAAAAAAAAACCAAAAACCUUUUUUCACUUUGUUAAUAUAAGCUUUCAUGUUAUUUAUUUAUUUAUUUAUAAAUAAAACCAUUAUUAAGAUAUUAAAAACAACAUUUUUAUUUUUAUUAUUCAUUAAAUCUUAUUGACACUCCCUACUUAUUAAUACUCAUAUUUAAAUAACUUUAAAAGUUAUUAACUUUUUAUAAAAGUGUCUGAUAAAUCUACAUCAAGAGUUACUAAUUUUUUCUAUUUUUAAAAACAAAAGGUAUAUUUACCCAGUACCUAAUUCAUUAAAAUUAUAUGCCUCUUAACUAGUCUUGUAAAUGCAUUAUUUUUUUAUUCCACUUUCAAUGUACUUCUUAUCAUAUUUUUCAUGGUUAUAAUGAUUUAAUUAUAAUACAUAUUCAACAAAGCUUCAUCCAAACAAUGAAUAUGAAAAGGUAUAUAUGAAAAGGUAUAAAUUGAAUGAACCUAGAUAUUGCCCAAUAUUGAUAAAAACACAAUAGGAUGAUCAUACUGUUGUAAUACUCUCCUCUUCCUUUUUCAUACAAACAUAAUUUAACAUUUGGAUUAAACUUUCUAAAAUGUAAGUUUUCAUCAUUAAUUUGAAUCAAGAUAUCUAAUUAAAAAAUUAAAAGUCCUUCGAAGAGCUUACAAUACAGAAAAUUAAAGUUAAUUAUUAAGUAAUUAUAUAAACUUAAAUGAAAAGAAAUCUUAUUUUAAAAAUAAUGAAAAAAGAGAAAAUUAGAGACAUGGAAUUGCUUUUAGAACUAAUCCAAUUGAUGGAAAUUUGAGAAUGCUUACUAAUAGCCAAAGUAACAAACCCUAAAAAUAAUAAAGGGUAUGAAGACUUAAAACUUCAUUCAAUGCAAACCAAAUCAUCUAAUGAGCUAUACUUUUUGUGAAGAAGUUAUUUCUUAGCUAUAUUCCUUGGACACUACAAAAAUAUUUAGAUGGAUGGCUUAAAACUUAAGAAUUUUUUUUUUCAUUAAUGUGAUCUCAUGUAAUGCAUAUAUCCUAAUGUUUUCAAUUUUUUAGUUUUAUUUUCAUAUUUAUCUUGGGGUUAUGUAAAAAGCAUUAACAAUAUUCUUUUCAAAUAACUAUUAAAAUGUUAAUUAUUUAUUGGUGGUAUUAUAAUUUGCGAAGGUGAGGAUAGAGGACAAAGUACAAAGGGUCACCGUACGUAGGGCACAUGUAAUAUAUCUUUUCUCUUCCAACUUAGGCCCAACCCAAUAAUGGGCUUGGGGCAAAGCACCAAUUAUUCAACUUGAUGGAUUGGACUGGGUUAUCUAAGAAUUUGUUGCUAGUGCCUUAAUCUUUGUUUGUGGAUAUCUAAGAAUUUCAUUUUUUUUUUCUUUAAAUACAAGAAUUCACCUAUUAAAACUAGUCAAGAAAGUUUUAUUUCCUUAAAAAUUUCAAUAAUAUAAAAAAAUUAUCUUUAUUUUUAAUAAAAGUAUUUUUAAAAUAUAAUUCUCCAGUAUAAAAUUCAAUUGAAUAACAAUGAUAAUUAUUACCUAAUCUACUAAACAAACAAAUUAAAUGCUAUCCUUUCAUAACACACAUUUGAAUUUUUUUAUAUGUAUUUCAUAAAAAGUUUCUUUUUUCACUUUGUUAAUAUAAGCGUUAAUAAUAUUAUUAUUAUUUAAAAAAAAAUUAGAUCAAACCCUUAUUAAGAUAUCAAAAACAAUAUUUUUAUUUUUAUUUUUCAUUAAAUAUUAUUGACAUUCACUAUGUAUUCAUACUAGCAUUUUUUAAGUAGCUGUAAAAAAUUAUUACCUUUGUAAAGUAAGUUUCUAUGAAGUCCGAGUUACAAUUUUUUUUUUUUUAAAAAAAAAAUAGAAGAUGUAUUUAAAUGAUACCUAAUUCAUUAAAAUUAUAUGUCUCACUACUAGUUUUGUUAAUUUCAUUUUCAGUAUACUUGUUAUCAUUUUUUUAAUGGUUGAAAUCAUUUAACAAUGAAUAUAAAGCUUCACCCAAACAACAAAUAUGAAAAAUUAAAAAUUGAAUGAGCCUAUAUAUUGCUUAACAUUGAUGAAAAUAUAAUAUGAUGAUAAUACUAUGGAAUACUCUCCUCUUUGAUGGGUUGAUCAUGUUCAUACAAACACAAAUUAACAUUUGGAUUGAUUAAACUUUCUCAAAUGUAAGUUUUUGUCAUUAAUUUGAAUCAAGAUGCUUGAUCGAAAAACUAGGAUUCCUCAUAAGAACUUACAAUACAUAAAAUUAUAGGUAAUCAUUGAGUAAUUCUAUGGACUUGAAUGGAGAGAAAUUUUAUUCUAAAAAAAUAGAGAAAAAAAAUAGAAAAUUAAAGUCAUGUGAUUACUUUCAAAACUAAUCCAAUUGAUGGAAAUUUGAGAAAGCCUCCUAACAGCUAAAGUAACUAACCCUAAACAUCAUAAUAAAGCACUAUGAGAAUGAUGAUUGAAACUUCGCUUAAUGCAAACUACUAUCUUUGCAUAUCUAAGUCAUCCAAUGGGCAAUAAUACUUUUUGUGGAGAAAAUUGGACUUUUACCCCUUGCGAUAUAUAGGCCAAGACUAAGAUUAAUUGCUUUCUUUAUUGAUUACUACCCAAAAAGUGCUAUUUUACACCUUUAAUGCAUUAUGUUUUAAGCACUUUUGUGUAGUAGUUCUCCAUCUUUAGUCCAAUUGGCAUGUUAAGGACCUAGCAAUGUCUUUUAAUCAUAUUUGUGGCUAGUUUUAAUGUUUUGACAGCUUUUUGGAUCGUUAAAACAAGUCAAGCAAAGGAGAAAACCAAAGAGAAGCAAAGUGAAGAAAAAUCAAAAUGUAGCAGCUGCAGUCUUCUUUCGCACUUUUGGAGCACUUCCCGAAGUCCAAUUUUUACAUGCUAUAUACCAUUUUAAAGAUUUUGAAGUCAAGAAUCCAACGCUUCAAACCGUGCAUGAUUUGGAGCUGAAACAAGGAAGAUAUGGCCUUCGGAAGACAACUCCUCCAGGUGUGCGAGAAUUUCGCACAACCCCUUUUAGCUGUGCGAAUGGUGUGCGAAGUUCGCACACCUCCUUCAGGUGUGCGAAAAUUUCGCACACCCCAUGCGUGCUCUGUUUUUGCCGACUCCACUUUAGAUAUUUUCCUAUGUAAUUUUUGAUGUAAUUUCCUUUCCUAUCCUUGUAACUAACCAAUCACAAGCUUUUGCUUUUGUAAAGACUUUAUAAGGGGUGGAAAUUACCUCUUGGAAAAUAUACGCAUUACAUUUGACACUUAGAGAUUUUUUACAGAGCUCUCUCGUUUUCCAUUUUUUCUCUACUAUUUUCUUUUUCUUGGAAGCCAAACAACCUCUGAGGAUGUUUUCUCAUAGGAUGAGAGGCUAAACUUUUGGUUUCUUGGAGUGAUGGAAGCUAGGUGAAAAGUUCAGAUGCAAGGUGGAAAACGCUCGUGCAUUAAAUUCAGGUAGUUGGAAUUCAUAAAUGGCUUUUAAAUCCAAAGUUUUGCUUUAAAUCCCUUAGAAUCACUUUGAAUGACCAAUACAUGGUAAGCUUCAGGUCUUUAUGGAUGCUUAUUGCUAGAUCCAUAUUAGUCCAUUAGUUAUCAUGUACGAGUCAUUGGAAAGCAGUUCAAGGUGAAGACCUAUAGUGUCUAAAGCCAUUAAUGGACUUUGACUACCAUUUAUAUUGAUUAUUAUGGAUUAAAUCUUCAUUGUUAAACCUAUACCGGUUCGGGAAAUAACUAUAGGUUAAAUCCCCAAUGCGAGGAGAAAAAUCCGGAAUUUUCCACUUUGCAUUCUAAACUUGAUCCUAGUAAUCCUGAGCUCCGGGAGACUUUCCUUCUUCCAUUUUUAAUUAGUUUAUGUUAGUUUAGUUUUAAACACUUUCAAAUCAAAUUUCAUUUUCUUUUAAAUUUUAAGUUUUUGAUUAAGGAAAUCAUUAAAUACAAUUUCUAAUUUUGAAUACAUCACUGGUAGAAUGAAAACCCAUCCCAGAGUUCGACCCUAGAGCCACUAUACUAUAGUAGCUUUACUACAUUAGUAUGAGGUCAUAGGUUUUAUAAAUGUUUUUGAUUAAAUGACCCAUUUGGAGUUACAUGCGCGAAUCAAAAUGGCGCCGUUGCUGGGGAUGGUGCCACAAUACAGUGAUGCAACCUUUUAGAGGCUACUUGUGAUUUCCAUCACAAGUUUGGUGAAUUCCUUUUUCACUAACUUCUUUUCCUUUCAUUUUAUUUUUGUUAGGUUUAUUUUCAUUUUCUUUCUAACCUUAACUUUUUUCUAGGUUUCUUUUGUUUUUGUUGUUUUUGUUUUAUUUCAGGUAAGUAGUAACUUUUGCAUGCCCUAUUGGAUUCGGGACCAAGAGGGAAGAUUAGUAAGGAUUGAGAAUCCUCAAGACACAGAGUUGGAUAUUUGUGUUAACAUCAUGGACCCUCCACCAGAGGAUCAGAAUUCUCAACAAGGUCAAGGGGGUAAUCCUAAUGCAUAUCUAUCCAUGAGGGAUAGAAUGCAUCCACCAAGGAUGAGUGCACCCUCAUGCAUCCUGCCUCCUCUUGAGCAGCUGGUUAUAAGGCCCCAUAUUGUGCCCCUUCUACCAACUUUCCAUGGAAUGGAGAGUGAGAAUCCAUAUGCCCACAUCAAGGAGUUUGAGGAGGUGUGCAAUACCUUUAGAGAGGGAGGAACUUCAAUAGACUUGAUGAGACUCAAGCUAUUCCCUUUCACUUUGAAGGACAAGGCAAAAAUAUGGCUUAAUUCUUUAAGGCCAAGGAGCAUAAGGAAUUGGGUUGAUCUUCAGGCCGAAUUUUUGAAGAAAUUUUUCCCCACCCAUAGGACCAAUGGGUUGAAGAGACAAAUCUCAAACUUUUCUGCAAAAGAAAAUGAGAAGUUCCAUGAAUGUUGGGAAAGGUAUAUGGAGGCCAUCAAUGCUUGUCCUCAUCAUGGCUUUGAUACAUGGCUCUUGGUGAGCUAUUUCUAUGAUGGGAUGUCAUCCUCCAUGAAGCAAAUUCUUGAAACCAUGUGUGGAGGAGAUUUUAUGAGCAAGAAUCCGGAAGAAGCCAUGGACUUUUAAAGUUAUGUGUCUNNNNNNNNNNNNNNNNNNNNNNNNNNNNNNNNNNNNNNNNNNNNNNNNNNNNNNNNNNNNNNNNNNNNNNNNNNNNNNNNNNNNNNNNNNNNNNNNNNNNGUAGUGAUUAAAGGAGGAUAUGAUGAAAAAACAUAUGCCUCCCCCUUUUCCUCAAGCUUUACAUGGAAAGAAGGAAAUCAAGAAUUCAUCAGAAAUUCUUGAAGUCUUGAGACAAGUGAAGGUGAAUAUACCCUUACUUGAUAUGAUCAAGCAAGUCCCCACAUAUGCAAAGUUUCUAAAGGACUUGUGCACGGUCAAGAGAGGGUUACAUGUGACAAAGAAUGCAUUCCUCACUGAGCAAGUAAGUGCUAUCAUUCAGAGUAAGUCUCCAGUUAAGUACAAAGAUCCGGGAUGCCCCACCAUUUCAGUCAACAUUGGAGGGACACAUGUGGAGAAAGCUUUACUAGACUUGGGGGCAAGUGUGAAUUUGCUCCCAUACUCUGUGUACAAGCAACUGGGACUUGGAGGAUUGAAGCCCACAGCCAUUACUCUCUCCUUAGCUGACAGGUCAGUCAAAAUCCCAAGAGGGGUGAUAGAGGAUGUUCUAGUUCAAGUGGACAAAUUCUACUAUCCUGUGGAUUUUGUUGUGCUUGAUAUUGAUCCCAUUGUGAAGGAAGCAAACUAUGUACCAAUCAUCCUUGGGAGACCUUUCCUAGCUACCUCCAAUGCCAUUAUCAAUUGUAGAAAUGGGGUGAUGCAGCUCACAUUUGGGAAUAUGACCUUGGAAUUAAACAUAUUCCACCUAUGCAAGAGGCAUUUUCACCCAGAAAAAGAGGAAGGAUUGGAGGAGGUGUGCUUGAUCAACACCUUGGUUGAAGAGCAUUGUGACAAGAAUUUACAAAAGAGCUUGAGUGAAAACCUUGAAAUGUUUGAAGAAGGGUUACCUGAACCCUCUGAUGUUCUAGCCAUCAUGUCUCCUUGGAGGAGACGGGAAGAGAUCUUACCACUGUUCAACCAGGAAGACUCACAAGAAGCAACUGUGGAGGACCCUCCAAAACUUGUUUUGAAGCCACUUCCUGUUGAUUUGAAAUAUGCAUAUUUGGAGGAAAAUGAGAAAUGUCCAGUGGUGAUUUCUUCAACUCUUACUAUUGAUCAAGAGGAUAAUCUUUUGGGAGUCCUCAGGAAAUGCAAGAAAGCCAUUGGAUGGCAAAUUUCUGAUCUGAAAGGGAUUAGCCCUUUGGUGUGCACCCACCAUAUCUAUAUGGAGGAUGAUGCAAAACCAGUGAGGCAGCCCCAGAGGAGGUUGAAUCCUCACAUGCAAGAGGUGGUGAGGGGUGAAGUUCUGAAGCUACUCCAAGCUGGGAUCAUAUAUCCCAUUUCAGACAGUUUGUGGGUGAGCCCCACCCANUAGUCCUAAAGAAAUCUGGAAUCACUGUGGUCNNNNNNNNNNNNNNNNNNNNNNNNNNNNNNNNNNNNNNNNNNNNNNNNNNNNNNNNNNNNNNNNNNNNNNNNNNNNNNNNNNNNNNNNNNNNNNNNNNNNUGAGAAUCCAUAUGCCCACAUCAAGGAGUUUGAGGAGGUGUGCAAUACCUUUAGAGAGGGAGGAACUUCAAUAGACUUGAUGAGACUCAAGCUAUUCCCUUUCACUUUGAAGGACAAGGCAAAAAUAUGGCUUAAUUCUUUAAGGCCAAGGAGCAUAAGGAAUUGGGUUGAUCUUCAGGCCGAAUUUUUGAAGAAAUUUUUCCCCACCCAUAGGACCAAUGGGUUGAAGAGACAAAUCUCAAACUUUUCUGCAAAAGAAAAUGAGAAGUUCCAUGAAUGUUGGGAAAGGUAUAUGGAGGCCAUCAAUGCUUGUCCUCAUCAUGGCUUUGAUACAUGGCUCUUGGUGAGCUAUUUCUAUGAUGGGAUGUCAUCCUCCAUGAAGCAAAUUCUUGAAACCAUGUGUGGAGGAGAUUUUAUGAGCAAGAAUCCGGAAGAAGCCAUGGACUUUUUAAGUUAUGUGUCUGAAGUGUCAAGAGGAUGGGAUGAGCCCAACUCAAGAGAGAAAGGGAAGUCUCCCUUCCAACCAACCCAAAAUCCAAAAGGUGGAAUGUAUGUAUUAAGUGAAGACAUGGACAUGAAAGCUAAAGUGGCAACAAUAGCAAGGAGAUUGGAAGAACUUGAGUUGAAAAAGAUGCAUGAAGUCCAAGCCAUUUCCGAGACCCAAGCCCAUGUCAUGCCAUGCACCAUUUGCCAAUCAUGUGAUCAUGUGGUAGAUGAGUGCCCAACCAUGCCAGCUGUGAGGUAGAUGUUAGGUGAUCAAGCCAAUGUUGUGGGGCAAUUUAAGCCUAACAACAAUGCACCUUAUGGAAACACCUAUAAUUCAAGCUGGAGAAAUCACCCAAAUUUUUCUUGGAAACCAAGACCACCUCCAUACCAACCACAAGCCCAAACCCAAGCACCUCAACAAACCUCUUCAGUGGAGCAAGCCAUUGUGAACCUAAGUAAAGUCAUGGGUGACUUUGUGGGUGAGCAAAAGGCAAUCAACUCCCAAUUUCAUCAAAAGAUUGAAAAUGUUGAGAGUUCUNNNNNNNNNNNNNNNNNNNNNNNNNNNNNNNNNNNNNNNNNNNNNNNNNNNNNNNNNNNNNNNNNNNNNNNNNNNNNNNNNNNNNNNNNNNNNNNNNNNNNNNNNNNNNNNNNNNNNNNNNNNNNNNNNNNNNNNNNNNNNNNNNNNNNNNNNNNNNNNNNNNNNNNNNNNNNNNNNNNNNNNNNNNNNNNNNNNNNNNNNNNNNNNNNNNNNNNNNNNNNNNNNNNNNNNNNNNNNNNNNNNNNNNNNNNNNNNNNNNNNNNNNNNNNNNNNNNNNNNNNNNNNNNNNNNNNNNNNNNNNNNNNNNNNNNNNNNNNNNNNNNNNNNNNNNNNNNNNNNNNNNNNNNNNNNNNNNNNNNNNNNNNNNNNNNNNNNNNNNNNNNNNNNNNNNNNNNNNNNNNNNNNNNNNNNNNNNNNNNNNNNNNNNNNNNNNNNNNNNNNNNNNNNNNNNNNNNNNNNNNNNNNNNNNNNNNNNNNNNNNNNNNNNNNNNNNNNNNNNNNNNNNNNNNNNNNNNNNNNNNNNNNNAGCAAUGAAAGUAAUCCAAUCAGGUUUUUGGUGGCCCUCUCUUUUCAAGGAUGCCCACUCUAUGUGCAAGGGAUGUGAUCGGUGUCAAAGGCUUGGUAAGCUAACACGCCGAAAUAUGAUGCCCUUGAAUCCCAUCUUGAUAGUGGAUGUCUUUGAUGUUUGGGGGAUAGACUUCAUGGGACCAUUUCCAAUGUCAUUUGGACAUUCCUACAUUUUGGUGGGAGUGGAUUAUGUCUCUAAGUGGGUAGAAGCAAUCCCAUGUAGGAGCAAUGAUCAUAAGGUGGUUCUUAAAUUCCUCAAGGACAACAUCUUUGCAAGAUUUGGUGUGCCUAAGGCCAUUAUCAGUGAUGGAGGAACCCACUUUUGCAAUAAACCUUUUGAGACUCUUCUAGCCAAAUAUGGGGUUAAGCACAAGGUAGCUACACCCUAUCACUCUCAAACAAGUGGCCAAGUUGAGUUAGCCAACCGGGAGAUCAAGAAUAUAUUAAUGAAGGUGGUGAAUGUGAAUAGGAAGGAUUGGUCUAUUAAGCUCCUAGAUUCCUUAUGGGCAUAUAGGACCGCUUACAAGACCAUUCUUGGAAUGUCCCCUUAUCGCCUUGUUUAUGGCAAAGCGUGCCAUCUUCCAGUGGAGAUUGAAUACAAAGCAUGGUGGGCAAUCAAAAAACUCAACAUGGAUUUGACAAGAGCCGGGUUGAAAAGAUGUUUGGAUUUGAAUGAAUUGGAGGAAAUGAGGAAUGAUGCUUACCUCAAUUCAAAAAUUGCAAAGGAGAGGUUGAAAAAAUGGCAUGAUCAAUUGGUAAAUCAAAAGAAUUUUGCCAAGGGACAAAGAGUCUUGCUUUAUGACUCUAAGCUUCAUCUUUUUCCGGGAAAAUUGAAAUCAAGAUGGACGGGUCCUUUCAUAAUUCAUGAAGUGCAACCAAAUGGAGUAGUGGAACUACUCAACUUCAAUAGCACUCGAACUUUCAAAGUUAAUGGGCAUCGUCUCAAACCCUAUAUUGAAUCUUUUUCCCGAGACAAGGAGGAAUUCAUCCUCCUUGAUCCACCUCCAACAUGAAAACACUUGGUUCAUGGUUGAACUUAGUCUCUCCAAAGACUAAAAAGUUCAUCCUCUUUUUAUUUUCUUUUAAGUUGAUUUUACUUUAAUCUAGUGUUUUCUUGUGUUUAUGCAUGUUUUGAUUUCUAUUUUUGACUUUAAUUUCAUUCUAAUGUGGUUUGAAUUGUGUUUUUUUGUGCUAACAUGUAGGUAGGAAGGCUUGAAGAAUGAAGUCUUGGUGAAAACAAGGGAAAACAGGGGAGAUAAGACAAGGCUCAGCAAAAUUCGCACACCCCCUUAUGGUGUGCGAAAAUUUCGCACACCAUUUACCCUGUGCGAAUUCCAUUUUUGCACCACUUUUCAAAAAUUACAUGCUCUCGGUCCCCUGUGCGAAUUUCACAGGUAUGCGAACCUUGUGCGAACCUUGUGCGAAUUCAUUUUUUGCGCCAAUUUUCAAAACCAUGCUCUCUGUCUUGGAGAAUCACAGGUAUGCGAAAAUUUCGCACACCAUUUUCCCCUGUGCGAAAUUCAUUUUCUCUUUAAAAGCUUUGUUCUCCACUUCAAAGACUUAGCUUCUUCUUCAAUUCUCUCAAAGCCUCUCUUCCGAUCACCCAUUGCCAUCCACAAAGCUCCUUUCCUUCAUCAUCCAUCAUCAUCAGCACCACCAUGGCAGCCAUUAUCCAUAGCUCCACUCCAUAGCCGCGGCAUCCACUAUUCACCACUUCCCAUUUUCGGCAAUUUCAUCUCCUUCCACCAUCAAAAUCCUUUCAAAUCUUCACCCAACCCUCUAAAUCCAUCCAUAAUUCAAUCCAAACCUUGUUCUUAUCAAGCCAAAGCCUAAACCAUAAGCAUUCAAGCCAUGGUUUCUUCAUAAGAAACCCAUUGCCGCCGGCCAUGGGAGCUCCCAAUUUUCAAUUUUCCUUUUGAAAAGCUCCCAAUUUUCAAGCCUAAUCAUCAUGAAAAAUCUUUUUCAUACCUAAGCCAGCUUUUCCCGCCCUCAAAGGCCACAAAUUUUCACCAUCUCCAUCAAGCCCAAAUUCUUCAAGCGCACGGGUGAAUAGUACCCUGUGCGAAAAUUUGCGCACAUCAUUGAGAUGAUCUUGGAGAUCAGAAAGACCUAGACUUAUGAAUUGUCUUAACUCCUUAAUCUCCUUUUUAUGCUGCUUAACUUCUUCAUGAAGUUCCUUAAUACUGACAUCCUUGGGAGACUGCUGGUCGAACCUGUUUAAGAUAUCGUUAAGGUUAUAAGGAUUAACAGUCUUCUUGGCUUCUACCUUAACAACAGAUUUCUUAAAAACUUCGUAAAGGUUUUGCUUAGUUUUUUCAUCUUCAACUUUUCUAAAAGGAUCUAGNNNNNNNNNNNNNNNNNNNNNNNNNNNNNNNNNNNNNNNNNNNNNNNNNNNNNNNNNNNNNNNNNNNNNNNNNNNNNNNNNNNNNNNNNNNNNNNNNNNNUGUUUGUUGCAUUUAGAAGCUGUUCUCCAAAGAUGUAUUGAGAAAGACCUAGUGCUAAAUUGGGAGAAGUGCCAUUUUAUGGUACAACAGGGAAUUGUCUUAGGACAUAUCAUCUCCAAGAAGGGCAUUGAGGUAGAUAAGGCAAAGGUGGAGCUAAUUGUUAAGUUGCCACCUCCCACAAAUGUUAAAGGAAUUAGGCAAUUCUUAGGACAUGCCGGGUUCUAUAGGAGGUUCAUUAAAGAUUUCUCAAAAAUCUCAAAGCCUCUUUGUGAACUUUUGGUAAAAGAUGCCAAGUUUGUGUGGGAUGAGAAGUGUCAGAAGAGUUUUGAGGAACUGAAGCAAUUCCUCACAACAGCACCAAUAGUGAGAGCCCCAAAUUGGAAAUUACCUUUUGAGGUAAUGUGUGAUGCAAGUGACCUUGCUAUGGGGGCUGUCUUAGGGCAAAGAGAAGAUGGGAAGCCCUAUGUGAUUUAUUAUGCGAGCAAAACUUUGAACGAGGCUCAAAGGAACUACACAACUACUGAGAAGGAGUUGUUGGCAGUAGUUUUUGCCUUGGAUAAGUUUCGUGCUUAUUUGGUAGGGUCCUCUAUAGUGGUGUUCACUGACCAUUCCGCCUUGAAGUACUUGCUAACCAAGCAAGAUGCCAAGGCAAGAUUGAUAAGAUGGAUCCUUUUGCUCCAAGAAUUUAAUCUCCAAAUCAGGGAUAAAAAGGGAGUAGAAAAUAUGGUAGCUGACCACUUGUCAAGACUUGUGAUAUCGCAUGACUCACAUGGUCUGCCUAUCAAUGAUGACUUCCCUGAGGAGUCUCUCAUGUCAAUAGAGGUAGCUCCAUGCUAUUCUCACAUUGCAAAUUUCUUGGUUACUGGAGAAGUACCAAGUGAGUGGAGUGCCCAAGACAAGAGGCAUUUCUUUGCUAAGAUCCAUGCCUAUUAUUGGGAGGAGCCCUUUCUCUUCAAAUAUUGUGCGGAUCAAAUCAUAAGGAAAUGUGUUCCUGAACAAGAGCAAUUAGGAAUUCUUUCCCAUUGCCAUGAUAAUGCAUGUGGAGGUCAUUUUGCCUCCCAGAAAACAGCAAUGAAAGUAAUCCAAUCAGGUUUUUGGUGGCCCUCUCUUUUCAAGGAUGCCCACUCUAUGUGCAAGGGAUGUGAUCGGUGUCAAAGGCUUGGUAAGCUAACACGCCGAAAUAUGAUGCCCUUGAAUCCCAUCUUGAUAGUGGAUGUCUUUGAUGUUUGGGGGAUAGACUUCAUGGGACCAUUUCCAAUGUCAUUUGGACAUUCCUACAUUUUGGUGGGAGUGGAUUAUGUCUCUAAGUGGGUAGAAGCAAUCCCAUGUAGGAGCAAUGAUCAUAAGGUGGUUCUUAAAUUCCUCAAGGACAACAUCUUUGCAAGAUUUGGUGUGCCUAANNNNNNNNNNNNNNNNNNNNNNNNNNNNNNNNNNNNNNNNNNNNNNNNNNNNNNNNNNNNNNNNNNNNNNNNNNNNNNNNNNNNNNNNNNNNNNNNNNNNUCAUUUCAUCGAUCUAUCAUGCCAAAGACCUGAGGAGGAUCUACCACAGCUCCCCAGAGCAGUCAGAGAGCUGCCCCUGUGCGGGCCCCACUAGCUGCACCCUCACAUUUACCUGAUUCUGCCCCUCAGAGCAGAUACCAUACGAGGAGAGCAUCUGCCACGUCUGUGGCCCCUUCACAAGUUCCGCCUCGGAGUCCUCCUACAAAGAGAGCCAAGACUUCAGAGCCAGGAGACUCCUCCAGAGCACCUCGGGAUUCACAGUCUCAGCCUUCUUCUGCCAGGCGCCGUAGACCCAGCUUGCCCAUUGAGGGCAAUUCAGAUUGCCGAUCGAGAGACUUUCAUGUCGAGGCAUAUUUCGAUCACUCUCUUAUGCGACAGCAGCCUGAGUUACGGGAUUCAUACCACCUACUUGAGAGGUACCAUCUGAUACCCUUUAUGACUUUGCCCCAGUUCUUUUAUCCUCGAGUAGUUUUAGACUUUUACCAGUCUAUGACUACUCGUGGCGUCCCGGUACCUGCCUCGAUCCUUUUUACCAUUGAUGGACGCCAGAGUAUUUUGGGGGCUAGACAGAUUGCCGAUGCCUUCCAUAUCCCUUUUGCACCAGUAGAUCCCGCUACAUUUAGACGCUGGGUCCCAUUUUCUGAGUGGGACAUGGUUCGUAUCCUAUCUCGAGGGACAUCUUCCCAGAGGACCAUUUUGAGGAGAGAGCUUCCCCCAGAGAUGCUCCUAGUUGAUGUGGUGCUUCGCACCAAUCUUUUUCCUCUUCAGCAUAAAGUACAGAGACGAGGGGCCAUUAUGGAGGCAUUAUUCCGUAUCUCUGAGGGCUACUAUUUUGGCCCCCAUCAUUUGAUUAUGGCCGCUCUCCUCCAUUUUGAGGAGAAGGUGCAUACGCGGCAUCUUGCGAGGGCAGACUCCAUUCCUUUACUUUUCCCUCGGCUGCUAUGCCAUGUUUUGGCGCAUAUGGGUUUUCCUACAGACCCUCGUUCAGAGCCCCGCCGCCAUUGUCGAGAGAGCUUCUCUCUUGACCAAUGGACUCAGAUAUGGCUCCAUCGCCAGUCCCCAGAACUUCCCGAGCCAAGGGAAGUCCCUCCUGCUCCGUCCACUACAGACCCUCCACAGCCAGUACCGGAGGCAGCAUCAUCUGAUGCCCCACCUGUUGUUCCUCCUACAUCAGAGCCGCCCAUUACUAUCCUUGGUCCAGAGUAUCGUGCCUUGCUCACUUCUUUCCAGACUUUGACCACUACUCAGACGGCCAUUAUGGAGCGCAUGGACCACUUCCAGACUCAGCAGGACCAGCAGACUCUCAUUCUCCGUGAGAUUUAGCAGCACCUCGGUCUUGUGCCACCAGCUCCACCUGUAGCGGUGCCUUCCACAGUUGCAGCGGAGGACCCCUCCUAUCCACCAGAGGAGCCUACUACUUGAUCAUACGAUCACUCCUCUCCUUUUUUGUAUCUAUAUGCUACGUUUUGGGAUGUCUUAUAUAUUUUGGACCACUUUUAUACUGGGAUUGGAUGUAUUCCAUGUUUAUUUUGUAUAUUGUACUUUCUCAGUUUAUAUAGACAUCUUCUCUUUUAGUGUAUUUUAGCUAUUCCAUUUUAUUUCCUCUUUUCAUCACUCUUAUGAUUUUCCUUUUCUUAUGCAACAUGUGGUUUCUCCUGUUCAUUCAGAGUCCCUUACUAUCAGGAGGUAUCACUUCCUCCCUUAUUUUAUCGCUUGCUUUUGGAACAUUGGGGACAAUGUUCAUCUUAGUUGGGGGGAGAGUUGAGGAAGUAAUUUGUUGAAUUUGUUAAGUUAUUUUGCUAACAAAUUUUUUGCAAACUCUCUUUGUUUUCUCAAAGAUAAAUUCUCAAAAGUAAAUGGGAGAAAUUAAAUUCUUAUCUUAUUGCCAUAGUCUCAGAGUUUGUAUUAUGCUUAUUAAAGUUGAUAAAUUGUUGAAGCUUCUUUUGUUUUCAAGCUUAAGUCUUCCACUCUAAUCUUUUCACACACUGAACACAUUAGAUUCCAGUUAUAAGAUGGAAAACUUUCUCACCCCCUAAACUUUGGAAAUUAUCGACUUGGUGCCAUUGACCUCAUUCUAUUAGUGUUGGGACACCUUAUUAAAGGCCAAUGUGUCUUAUGAAAAUAAUUUUUGCUUCACUUGCUUUGAAACCCGAGCAAGGUCCGAGGGGUAUAUGGUGAAAAUCUUUAAAGCCUGGUGCCCUAAGCCUUUACUGGUUGGGAGUUCACCGACCUCACUGCUCGUUACAUGGGUGGAUGGGUGGAGUAACACUUAGAAUAAAAAAAUAAAAAAAAAUAAAAAAUAAAAAAUAAAAAAAAAAAGAAAGAGAAAGAAGGGUGCGUUCUUAGCCUUUUAUAUAUGAGUUAGUGUUACUUAAGUUAGAGAAAAACCUUAGUUGGGGGGAGAAUAUAGUUUGACAUACUAUAACUGGAAACUAAGCACCUUAACACUUAGAUUUUUGUGGAAGAUUAAGAAUUGAUCCUUUGGAAGUGGAAAUUAUUUUGAUACUCAAAUUUGCAUAAUGGCCGCUCUUUGAAUGUUGUGAUAAGUAAGUUAUUUGAUGACUCGUGUUGAUGAUUGAGUUUUAUAUCCUUGACUUGCCACGAGAGUGUUUGAUUCAAUCAUGCCACUUGGUUAUUUUUUGGAGUGAUCAGCAUGAUUUUGUAAAUUACUAUAUUAUCUAUUUUUCUUUCUUUUUUCUCUCCUUCAUUGCUCAGGGACUAGCAAUGUGUCAGUUGGGGGGAGUGAUUACUACCCAAAAAGUGCUAUUUUACACCUUUAAUGCAUUAUGUUUUAAGCACUUUUGUGUAGUAGUUCUCCAUCUUUAGUCCAAUUGGCAUGUUAAGGACCUAGCAAUGUCUUUUAAUCAUAUUUGUGGCUAUUUUUAAUGUUUUGACAGCUUUUUGGAUUGUUAAAACAAGUCAAGCAAAGGAGAAAACCAAAGAGAAGCAAAGUGAAGAAAAAUCAAAAUGUAGCAGCUGCAGUCUUCUUUCGCACUUUUGGAGCACUUCCCGAAGUCCAAUUUUUACAUGCUAUAUACCAUUUUAAAGAUUUUGAAGUCAAGAAUCCAACGCUUUAAACCGUGCAUGAUUUGGAGCUGAAACGAGGAAGAUAUGGCCUUCGGAAGACAACUCCUCCAGGUGUGCGAGAAUUUCGCACAACCCCCUUUAGCUGUGCGAAUGGUGUGCGAAGUUCGCACACCUACCCCAUGCGUGCUCUGUUUUUGCCAACUCCACUUUAGAUAUUUUCCUAUGUAAUUUUUGAUGUAAUUUCCUUUCCUAUCCUUGUAACUAACCAAUCACAAGCUUUUGCUUUUGUAAAGACUUUAUAAGGGGUGGAAAUUACCUCUUGGAAAAUAUACGUAUUACAUUUGACACUUAGAGAUUUUUUACAGAGCUCUCUCGUUUUCCAUUUUUUCUCUACUAUUUUCUUUUUCUUGGAAGCCAAACAACCUCUGAGGAUGUUUUCUCAUAGGAUGAGAGGCUAAACUUUUGGUUUCUUGGAGUGAUGGAAGCUAGGUGAAAAGUUCAGAUGCAAGGUGGAAAACGCUCGUGCAUUAAAUUCAGGUAGUUGGAAUUCAUAAAUGGCUUUUAAAUCCAAAGUUUUGCUUUAAAUCCCUUAGAAUCACUUUGAAUGACCAAUACAUGGUAAGCUUCAGGUCUUUAUGGAUGCUUAUUGCUAGAUCCAUAUUAGUCCAUUAGUUAUCAUGUACGAGUCAUUGGAAAGCAGUUCAAGGUGAAGACCUAUAGUGUCUAAAGCCAUUAAUGGACUUUGACUACCAUUUAUAUUGAUUAUUAUGGAUUAAAUCUUCAUUGUUAAACCUAUACCGGUUCGGGAAAUAACUAUAGGUUAAAUCCCCAAUGCGAGGAGAAAAAUCCGGAAUUUUCCACUUUGCAUUCUAAACUUGAUCCUAGUAAUCCUGAGCUCCGGGAGACUUUCCUUCUUCCAUUUUUAAUUAGUUUAUGUUAGUUUAGUUUUAAACACUUUCAAAUCAAAUUUCAUUUUCUUUUAAAUUUUAAGUUUUUGAUUAAGGAAAUCAUUAAAUACAAUUUCUAAUUUUGAAUACAUCACUGGUAGAAUGAAAACCCAUCCCAGAGUUCGACCCUAGAGCCACUAUACUAUAGUAGCUUUACUACAUUAGUAUGAGGUCAUAGGUUUUAUAAAUGUUUUUGAUUAAAUGACCCAUUUGGAGUUACAUGCGCGAAUCAUUUAUUCCAAGUCUUUUGCAUAUCUAAGUCAUACUAAGAUUAAUUGUUUUCUCUAUUCCAAGUCUUUUCCAAAUCUAAGUCAUCCGAUGGGCCACACUUUUUAUGGAGAAGACUAAGCUUUUGCCCCUUGGGAUACAUAGGCCUCAUCCAAUGGGCCACACUUUUUAUGGAGAAUGCUAGACUUUUGUUCCUGACAAUAUGAAUGCUAAGACCAAUACUAAUUGUUUUCUCUAUUCCAAGUCUUCUACAUAUCUAAGUCAUCCGGUGGGCCACACUUUUUAUGGAGAAGACUAAACUUUUGCCCCUUACGAUACGUAGGCCUCAUCCAAUGGGCCACACUUUUUAUGGAGAAUGCCAGACUUUUGUCCCUAACAAUAUGAAUGCCAAGACCAAUACUAAUUGCUUUCUCUAUUCCAAGUCUUCUACGUAUUUAAGUCCAUCCAAUGGGCCAUACUUUUUAUAGAUAAGACUAAACUUUUGCCCUUGUGAUAUGAAGACCAAGACUAAUUGGUUUCUUCAAUAUUCCAAGUUAUGUGCAUACUUUUAUGUAGGGUAAUAACAUAAGGAAGUUUCAUAUGGUUUUAUAAUGCAAGUCUAGAUUUGUUAUUCUGUAUUUUUUUUUUUUUUACAUGUUUAAACACUUUCCCUCUUAAAUAACAUAACUUUUUUUUUCAAAUAAUCUUUGACAAAACUUUUGUCAUACCCUUUUUUAACUAUUAUACUAUUUUCCCAUAUCUAAAAUUUUCAAAGCACAUAUUUUGUUUUGCAAUUAUUUCUUAACUACGUACAUUCCUUAGACACUACAAAAAUGAUUUUAUUUGAAAAUUAACCAAUAAAUAUAUUUAGAUGGAUGACUCAAAAUUAAAGAAAAAAAUUUGUUCAUCAAUGCUAUUUCAUGUAGAAUAUAUAUGCAUAUGUAUCAAAGAAAAACAUGAAAAAUAAAAAACCAUACAAGUACAAAAGAAACAAUAUUUCAACAAUAAUGCUUUUUCCCUUUGAAACUUUACAUGGCUUUACAUGGAAACAACAUUUGGAUACAAGUACCAUAUAAAAUUUGUAAAAACCGUUCUUCAAAAAAUGUUUCUUAAAUUAAAAUUGUUUAGGAUUUUAUGUGGAAUUUGUAUUUUGAAAAGAUUGGUUCAAUAUAAUAAAAGUAAACUCAUUUUUUUUUUCAAAAGACGAGUUCAGUAUAAAAAGUAGGAAUUACUCAAAUUUUGAAAAGAUAAAUUUAAUGUAAAAAUAAUAAAAAAGUAAAAAAUAUUGGAUUCUUUAUUUAUUUGUCAAAUAACCCUUUUUAACAAUAUUCUUUUAAAAUAACCAUCUAAUAGACACCUUCAUCCUUUAAAAACUCAACUGCUUUAUAGAGAAGACCAAGACUUCUAGCUCUUGAUGUAGAGUUGUACUUCUUAAUAUUUCUCAUUAAAAGAUAAGAUUAACCUUAGAUGCUACUAACUGUGAAAGUUUUACUUUAGCUUAUGCAGGGACCUAUUUUAUGAUUAAAGAAACUUAUACAAACUAAAUGGAUAUCAUUUGAGAAAUUAUUGUGGCUAAGGUGGGUAAGAAAUAUGCUACUUUUUCCAUGAAAUCUUAGCUUGUGAUUAAAAGUGGGCAAAAUAGUUCGACUCUUGAUCGGACAACGAACCCACAUUGUCAUUUUAAUGUGGAAGUGACUCUAAAUUUUUCUUUGAUUUGAAGUCAAUGGUCCCACAUUUGAAUUGGAAACUUUGAUGAAGUUUCUAAUAAUGAAAAUUUAAACUUAAAUUAUAAGGGAACCUUUGGGUAUAAAUUCAAGUCAUCCAUUAUUAUAUUUUUUUCAUCACACAUCAGCCAAUUUUUGUUAUAGCUUUUGAAGAUACGAUGUAUCGAAUCCUUUGCUUCCUCUUCUUUCUCUCAUAUUCUCAUGUUUUUUGUUUCUACGAAGCUGUGUCCUCAUCACCAGAAUGUUGCCUUGCUUCGACUUAAGCAAUUAUUUUCCAUAGAUGUCUCCGCUUCUUCUUCGGAUGAUUGAAAUUUAGCUUCUUUUGCCAAGACAGACACUUGGAAGGAAGGCAUUGUGGAGACAGACAUGUUCAUGAAUCUUGAAAAUCUUGUCUAUCUCGAUCUUUCAUAUAACAUUCUGACAUUGAGCAACUACAGCCAUUCCAACAGUGCGCUACCAUCCUUGGAAACAUUGUUGUUGUCUUCUUGCAACAUAAGUGAAUUCCCAAGAUUUUUAUGAAGUCAAGAGUUAUUGGCGUUUUUAGACCUUUCAAACAACAAGAUUUAUGGACAACUUCCGAAAUGGGCAUGGAAUGUGGGUACGGAGACACUGUCUUACUUAAAUCUUUCUCAAAACAUGCUAACCAGGUUUGACAGAUUUCCAUGGAGGAUUGUGCAAUAUCUUGACCUUCAUUCCAACUUGCUUCAAGGGCCACUUCCAUCAUUGAUUUGUGAAAUGAGUUAUAUUGAAGUUCUAGAUUUCUCUAAUAACAACUUGAGUGGCUUAAUUCCACAAUGUUUGGGAAACUUCAGUAAGUCUCUCUCAGUUUUGGAUUUGUGAAUGAAUCAACUUCAUGGUACCAUUCCUGAAACAUUUUCAAAGGGCAAUCUUAUUAGGAAUCUUGACUUCAAUGGAAAUCAAUUGGAAGGGCCUCUACCACGAUCUUUGAUCAAUUGUAGAAGGUUGCAAGUUUUAGACCUUGGAAAUAAUAUAAUAAAUGAUACAUUCCCCUUUUGGUUGGAAACUCUUCUAGAGCUACAAGUUUUGAUCUUGUGUUCUAAUAGGUUCCAUGGUCACAUAAGCGGUUCAAAUUUCCAAUUUCCAUUUCCUAAGUUACGAAUAAUGGAUCUUUCAAGCAAUGGUUUCUCUAGCAGUUUACCCGAAAUGUAUUUGAAGAAUUUCAAGGCAAUGAUGAAUGUCACUGAGGAUAAAAUGAAAUUGAAAUAUAUGGGGGAAUACUAUUAUCGAGAUUGUAUAAUGGUAACAAUCAAAGGAUUUUAUUUUGAAUUUGUAAGAAUCAUGUUUACCUUCACAAUGAUUGAUUUGUCAAGCAAUACAUUCCAAGGAGACAUUCCAGAUUUCAUUGGUAGUCUUAGUUCACUUCGAGAACUCAACUUGUCUCAUAACAACAUUAUAGGGCAUAUUCCAUCAUCUUUAGGGAAUCUAAUGGUACUUGAAUCAUUACACCUCUCUUCGAACAAGCUUAGUGGGAGAAUUCCAAGGGAGCUGACAAGUCUAACAUUUCUUGAAGUCCUAAAUCUUUCGAAAAAUCAUCUCACUGGAGUCAUUCCUCGAGGCAACCAAUUUGAUACAUUUGCAAAUAAUUCAUAUAGUGGGAAUAUAGGAUUAUGUGGAUUUCCCUUGUCUAAGAAAUGUGUAGUUGAUGAAGCAUCACAACCUCCCAAAGAAGAAGAGGUGGAAUCCGAUAUUGGAUUUGAUUGGAAAGUCAUAUUGAUGGGGUAUGGUUGUGGACUAGUAGUUGGGUUGUCUAUGGGGUGCCUCAUCUUCUUAACAAGAAAGCCUAAAUGGUUUGUAAGAAUGAUUGAAGGAGAUAGACACAAGAAGGUUAGAAGGUCAACAAGGAGCACUCGCAAGCAGGGAGCAAGAAGAAGUUAGGCCAUUUCUAUGAUAUUGUAUUUUGUGGUGAAUGAUACUAAUUAAUGUUGCAUUCUUAUGUAAACAAAUAACAUGUAUUGCGAUUAAUGAAGUAAGAGUCUUUGAAGUUGUAAAAAUGUUUAUUUUUAUUUUUUCUUUCUCGAAAUGGAAUAAUACGUAGUAACAAUAUUUUCAAAUCAUCACUACCGUUUAACUUAUUUACAUAUCAUGACUAAAAGUAUUUUUAAAUGUUGGGUCAUAUAAUUAGAAAAGGUUGAACUCACAAGGUUUUGCAUAGAAUUAGAUGCAAUCGACUACUUAUCACUAAAAGACUAACGAAUUUUUGUUAGGAACAAAAGGUGAUUUUUUAAAAGAAUGAUAUUAAAAGGGCUAUAAAUUAAUGAAAUCCAAAUUCCAAUUUUAGGUUACAAAUUUUCACUAAACUCUUGUCCACAUAAUACAUUUAUCUUAAUAUGAAACAUUUAAUUGGGGUAGUCAAACACCCUCAGCCUUACUAGGGCUGAAAUUUUGGUGAUGCCAUAUCUUUGGAGUCAUUGCAGAACAACCAGUGUUUUAAUGGCAUUCCAUAAGAAGAAUGAAUGAGUUAUGAUUUUUUUUUUUUCUUUUUCAAACUGACAUGUAAUUUUUUAAGAAAAUUCUUAAUGAACUUAUUGAAUUUCUUGACACAUUAAAAUUUUCUUCAUAUAUCAUUCUUUUGAUCAUUUUUCCUUUUGACAAAAUUUUGUUUAUCAAACUUCAUUAUAGACUUCAAUUCUAUAUGAGUCAGACAGACAAAUUGCAACCCAUGAAAGAAGACUCUUAUCUUACCUUAAGUUUAUUACUAUCUACCCAAUAAAAUGGUGUGCUGGAUUUAGCAUCUUGAGUUGGACUCUAAGCAAUAUUGGUAGCAUUAUUUUAAGGCUAUGUUGCUCGAUAGUGUUAAACAAAGGAGAACAAUUUGCUAAAAAAAAAAAAAUUCAUAUCAUGAAAAAGAAAAUAUAUAUUAUUUUCUCCUAUUUGAAUGUGAAAAUUUGGAGAAAGUGAAUUAAAUUUUUUUGAAUGUCAUGCAAAGAGAUUACAUAUAUAUAUACUCCAAACUUGUAGAUUUUUUGUUGUAGAGAGUGAAUUCCUUAUAGAUUUAUUUUAUUGUCGUAGAGAGUAAAUUCCAUAUAGAUUUUUUUUCCCUCAAAUUUUUUUUUAUGGAAAAAUAAAUUAAAAUAAUUUUUUCAUUUUUUUCUUUUAUAUUUCUUUGUUUUUCUUUCCUCCAAAUUUUUCACAAAUGAAACAAAGUCUUCUCACAAAAUAAAGAAGUGCUUACCAAUAGGAGGAUUUAAAUAAGUUGAAGAAAAAUAUCAAUGAGAUGGAAAUUGAACAAAUCUUAUAGUUUUGUAAAAAAAACUUCAACUAAGAAUAAAAAAAAAAGUAAUAAUAUACAUAUUAAGUUGUUUUAUUGAAAAAAAAAUCAAUAUAUGUAUAAUAAAAUUUAUGAUAAUCCAUAAUAAUUUACAAUAUUUGAACUCAUUUAAUAUUUAGUUUGCAUAUAUUUAUGAUAAUGCAUAUAUAAUAAUAUACAUGUAUUUCUCAAAUAUAGAUUCACAAAAUAUUGAUUGCUUUCUAAUAUUUUUUCGAGAAUCAUUCAAUGAAUUUUUCUACUUUGAUAGUACCUUGGAUUCUUUUUGAAUCAAUCACUUUAUUGUAACUGUUAUCCAAUAGAUCCCCAGAAUCUUGAGAUUUAAACAAGACACAUCUGAAUACACUAGAAGUAUGUUUGAUAAUGAUUUUAACAAGUAUUUCUAAUAUUUUUAAUACUUAAAAAGGUAACAAUUUUCAAGUGUUAGAAAUAUUAGAAACGCUUCAAAAAAUCACUAUCAAACACACUAAAAAUACUAGAAACACUUCCAAUAAUCACUAACAAACACACUCUAGUUAUCAAAAUUUUUACCCAUGAAUUUUAAGAGUUGAGGAUGAUUUAAGUUAUUAUUUGUAGUCAUAAUUUUACCAACAAAAUUACAAUUUUCUUGUGAUUGUGUACUUUCUUGGUAUUCUAGCUUUGAUUUGGUAUUUUAUAUUCCCCAAUCUUCUAACUCUAAUACCAUUUGUUGGAAUACACACAAUUAGAUAUUGAUAAUAUUUUUUCGAAAAUAAUGUUUUAUUGCAUUUUAUUAUAUUAUUUUUCAAUCUAAUAAUAAACUUAUUUCUAAUAAACUAAUCAUACUUAGACUAUAACAUCAAUUCUUAACUACCUACAUUCCUUGGAUGCUACAAAAAUGAGUUUAUUUGAAAAUUAACCAAUAAAUAUAUUUAGAUGGAUGACUCAAAAUUUAAGAAAAAAAAUUGUUCCUCAAUGCUAUUUCAUGUAGGAUAUAUAUGCACAUGUAUAAAAAAAAACAUAAAAAAUCGAAAACUAUACAUGUAUAAAUAUUAAGAUAAGAUUCAUUGGUGCAAGUACAAAAGAAACAAUAUUUCAACAAUAAUGUUUUUUCCCUUGGAAACUUUACAUGGCUUUCCUUGGAAACAACAUUUUGAUACAAGUAUCAUAUACAAUUUUUAAAAAACCGUUCUUCAAAAGAUAAUUCUUAAAUUAAGAUCGUUAAUGAUUUUAUGUGAAAUUUGUAUUUUGAAAAGAUGAGUUCAAUAUAAUAAAAGUAUCUCAUUUUUAUUUUUUUUUCAAAAGACCAAUUGAGUAUAAAAAGUAGAAAUUACUCAUAUUUUGAAAAGAUAAAUUUAAUUUAAAAAAAAAAAUUGUAUUCUUGUAUUUAUUUGUCAAGCAACCAUUUUUAACAAUAUUCUUUUAAAUAACAUUUUUUAAUUUUUUUUCCCAUGUUUUUUUUUUUUUUGCCUCCCAAUUCAGUCUAAUAGACACCUUUGUCUCUGUUUAUUGACAACAUAGAUGAUAUGGUGUCUCCCCCGGAGGAGCUGCUUCAACAUCUUUCCCCUCUCCACAAUUUGAAGUGCUCUGGUUUGGCAACAUCACCACACUGGAUAGGCAGCCUCACCUCACUUGCUGAAUUAGAGAUCAGUGAUUGCCCAGACUUGACAUGCUUAGAACUGCCGUCAUCUCCGUGUCUUUCUAGUUUAAAGGUCAGUGAUUGCCCAAACUUGACAUGCUUAAAACUGUAGCCAUAUCCUUGUCUUUCUAGUUUAAAGAUUGGAAAGUGCCCAAAGUUAGCAUCCUUCGAAGUGGCUUCAUUACCUUGUCUUGAGAAACUAAGCCUGGGUGGACUUGGAGCAAAGUUACCGUCAAAGUUAGUCUCCGUCUUUGCUUCUUCUUCAUUGAAGUCUCUGUAUAUGAUAUCUAUCCCGGAGGAUCUGCUUCAACAUCUUUCCACUCUCUAAACUCUCUACAUUUUGAAAUGCUCUCGUUUGGCAACGUUACCACACUCGAUAGGCAGCCUCAUCUCACUUACAGAGCUUGGAGUUCAUGAAUGCCGUCAAUUGAAAUCACUACCAGAAGAGAUGCGUUCCCUUAAAAACCUGCAGAAAUUCUAUAUCUGGGAUUGUCAACAUCUAGAGAAAAUAUGCCGACAGAAAACAGGGGAAGACUGGCCCAGGAUUGCUCAUAUCCCACAUAUUGAUUUCUACACUGAUCAACGAAUAACAAGGGAGCUCCGAAAUCCCUAACCUUUCUUCUCAUUUUUAUUAUUUUUUCGAUCAAAAUGCAAGGUUUUCUCAUUCUGUCUUGGUAAUUCUUUUAUAUUGGCACUUCAUAUGUUUGUUGAAAUGCUCACAUCAGUAAAUCGAUUUUUUUUUCCAGACCAUAUAUACAGUCGAUGAUGAUAUGCACGAAACUCAUCAUUUUACUUGGAGUUGAGGUGAGAUUUGAUAUGAUAUCUCUCCCAGAGGAGCCGAUUCAACAUGUUUCCAUGAUCUAAAGUCUCAACAUUAGACAUCGCUCUGUUUUUGCAACAUUACAACACUGGAUAGGCAGCCUCCCGUCAGGUACAGAACUUGGAAUUCAUGGCUGCCAGAAGGUACGUUCCCUCGAAAACCUGUAGAAGCUCAAAAUCUACAUUGAAGUCUGAAUGAGGGCUGAGGUGCUGUGUCAGUUAAUGUUUCUCUCCCCUUCAUUGAAGUCUCUGUCUAUUGGAUGCUCAGGUGCUAUGAUGUCUCCCAGAGGAGCUGCCUCAACAUGUUUCCAGGAUCCAAACUCUCAAAAUUGAAUACUGCACUGGUUUUGCAAUAUUCCUGCCCUGGAUUGGUCGCUUCACCUCACUUAUGGACCUUCAUAUUUGUGACUGCGCUGAAUUGGCAUCACUUUCGGAAGAGAUGCAUUCCCUCAAAAACCUUCUGACACUAAAAAAUCUUUCAUUGUCAGCACCUGCUUGAAGAUGCCAAAAAGAAACAUUUCAGGUUCAAGAACACAGAGAGCUAUACUUGGUGGAGAUUUCAUCAAUAUAGAGAGACAUUUUAGGUCUGAAAUCCACCCUUCUCAUUUUCUUAUGGCUUCAUUUUGAUUUAAUUUCCUAAUUACAUGAAUUCUAUAUCUGUAAUCCCAGUAUGAAUUAGCACAUAAAUCAGAAGUGAUUUUGAUUUUUUUAUGUCCACACUAUUCAUUUGAUGAAAUGCUUAAACAAGUAAGUUCGAAAUUUUUUCCCUUCAAAUCAAUUUCUAAUGCACCAUGAAUUGGUAAUUGAAGUUUGGAAAGAUGUUGGGAUGAUUUAAUUAUUAUUUUGUUGCAGAUUUCAACUUGCUUAAGACGCUUGUGAUUAUUUCUUCUUGGCUCAACCUGAAAUCAUUGCCUACGUUCUUCCAUUUGCUACCUCAAAAUCACCUACCAAAAGUUUUGGAUUGCCUAAAAAUUUUCUCAUGGCCCAUAAAUUCGUAUAUAUCAGAUGGCUAUAUAUUUCAGGUCCUGCUUUCCUUAGAAAUCAGGUCUACUCUCUGCCAUAUAUUUCAGGUAAUCUGUUGCCUGCUUUUAAUCUCUACAUCAUCUUUCAUUUUGCUUUCAAUUUUUGUCAGGAGUGUCAUACAAGUUGUAAUUAUAUUUGUGAACUUUCAUAUGCACUAUCAUUUUUUAUUGUUUUUUAAUAUAUAACUCCAACCAAACAUAUCAUAGACCAAAAACUUAUUAUGUCAGUUCGAGUAGUUUAUUUUUUUCCCCCUUUUGGUGAUGUUGUUUUGGGCCUAGAAAUUUUUUUAGAGUAAUUAUUGCAAAUGUAAUGUUGUCUAAUCAAUACAAAAACUAAUAGUUGUGAGGCUUGGAUACAUGGCUUCCUUGAUCAGUAACUAAAUUGAGUGUUUCUGUAGGCUGAUGUCUCUAUAUUUGGAAAUUCAGAGAGUUGCAAAUUCCAAGGACUUACAAGAUUGAGUCGCUGUCUCUACCAUUAGGGCUUCAACAAGUUACCAUUCUUGAAAUUCUAAAAAACAUCAGAUUGCCUCAUCUUUGAAUCGAAAUCACUCCCAGAAGGAUGUGCUUCCCAACACUCUCAUGGGCUCUUUGACUUUGCCAUCUACAAUAUAUCAGAGGUUCAUCAUCCAUCCUCUAUUCCUGCUUUGGGGGGCUCUAAUUUUUUAUAUUAUUUUUCCGUUAAUAUUCUAAAAAUAUUAUAUUCUAUUUUUAAUUCUUUUUACCUGAGUCUCAUGCAUUAGCACAUAAGAGAAAAGUCAUAUAACACUUUCAUAAUGCAAUCAUUUUCCAUUUUAGCCCUAUACUAUUUUUCUUGUAUAUGGCUAAGGCAUCCAAUAAAUAUGCCUUCACUCACCAGAAAAAUACCCAUCACGUCAUCUCCAACCCCCUCUUUCUUCUCCUUCUUUCUGCAACACCCAUGGUGGAUUCUUUUGUGUUCUAACAACAAAUGUACUCUGCUGUUUUGAGUUGCUUCUCAUGGCUCCAAAAUGAUGGGUGUUUUUCCAUUUUGUUUUGGUCUUCAGUGAGUUCAGAAGACGAGAUUUGAAGGACGGUGUUAGUGGGUUUUGGUGGGAAUGUAGAUUUGGUGGACCUAAUGCUACUGCUGUCUGGUUUUAAGAAAAGAGGGUUGCAGUGACGACUGACGAGAAUGAGGUAAUUUUGGGUGGUGAAUGGAGAAAGAGACGAAUUUGAGGUUGAGGGUUUGAUGAAGGAAGCUAUGUUGUGUGAGAUUAUGCUCUAAUACUUGUUUAGAAUUUUGGGUCUCUAUUGCAUUCACGUAUAUUGUUUGCCAUUCCAACCCUCUUAUUGCUUUUGAAGACAAAAUUAUUUUUGUAAAAUCCUUAGAUAGUAAAAUUUGAAGUUCCUACCUUCAAAGAUACCAAUUCCUUGUAUUUUUACUUUAAUGGUUAUAAUCUAUAUGUGAUCUUGUUAUUUUAUAUUUGUAUUUUACAUGUUUGGAAAUUUUAUUGCAGGUGUAAGUGUUGCCAAGUCAAAGCAAUGCCAGAUAGUGAUGUAGUUGUGACACCUUACUUCUCUAAAGCAACUCGAAAGUGGGGAUUGUUGCCUACCACAUCUCAUUUCGGGAAAGUUGUGUUUAUAGGCUAUGAUAUGGGAAAUAUAUGGUUUUGGAAACCCAUAUAAGUGAAAUAUGAGAUAUGCCUGUAAUAAGAAAAAUAUUAUAGGUUUCAUACACUAUUUACUGUUCAAAUUUUUAUUUUCGAAAUUACCCUUUAGGUCUUUUGUCAGCAAGAAAUUUUUUUUUUUUUUGGGUUUUCCUUAGGGGUUUUGCAUGGAUUUUCUCAGCAAUCAAAUGAGAAUGAAUUUUCCUGGAAAUCGAAUAGGGGAUGGAGACCCUUAGAACAGAUCCAAAAAGCACAAGGAGCAAAAACAAAAAGCAAUUUUUUUGGUUUUCCUUGGGGGUUUUGCAUGGAUUUUCUCGGAAAUCAAACAAGGAUGAAUUUUCCCGGAAAUCAAAUGGGGGCGGCGGCGAGAAUAGAUCCAGAAAGCGUAGGGAGCAAAAAAAAAAAGAAAAUUUUUUGGUUUUCCUUGAGGGUUUUGCAUGGCUUUUCUCGGUAAUCAAACGAGGAUGAAUUUCCUCGAAAAUCGAAUGGGGGAUGGAGACCCCUAGAACAUAUGCAUAAAGCAUAGGGAGCAAAAAAAAAAGCAAGUUUUUUGGUUUUCCUUAGGGGUUUUGCAUGGAUUUUCUCGAAAACCAAACGAGGAUGAAUUUUCUAUGAAAUCGAAUGGGGGCAGCGAUGAGAACAGAUCCAAAAAGUGCGGGGACAAAAAAGAAAAAAAAAAACAAUUUUUUUGGUUUUCCUUGGGGGUUUUGCAUGGAUUUUCUCGAAAAUCAAACGAGGAUGAAUUUUCCCGGAAAUUGAAUGGGGAAUGGAGACCCUAUAACAGAUCUAGAAAGCAUAGGGAGCAAAAAAAAAAAGCAAUUUUUUUGGUUUUCCUUAGGAGUUUUGCAUGGAUUUUCUCGGAAAUCAAACGAGGAUGAAUUUUCCUAGAAAUCGAAUGGGGGGUGGAUUUUCUUGGGGAUCAAACAAGGAUUUUUUUUUUUUGCUUUCGCUGCCGCCGCCCCCAUUCAAUUUCUGGGAAAAUUCAUCCUUGUUUGAUUGCCGAGAAAAUCCAUGCAAAACCCUCUAGGAAAACCAAAAAAAUUGUUUUUUUGGCUUGCUGACAGGAAGACCUAAAGGAUAAUUUCAGAAAUAAAAAUUUGAACAGUAAAUAGUGCAUGAAACCUAUAAUAUUUUUCUUAUUACCAGACAUAUUUCAUUUCUCUCAAGUCAUCGAAAAUUCAGUGAUGUGCUAGUAGCCUAAUGUCUUUGUCACAAGUGAUUUAGGGAUUCAGAUUAUUUCUCUGAAUUGACAUAAAUAAUAUGUUCUGGUUUGGUAACAUUAUCACACUCAAUGGACAACCUCCAUUUACUAACAUCUUCAAGUUUAUAGUUGUCCUGAACUGACAUGGCUGUCAGAAAACAUGCAUGUCCUCAACACCCUCUGGACACUUGUAAUUGAGUACUUUUUGGUUUGGCAACAUUAAUAGACUUAGUAGGCUUUCUUACGUCACUUCAAAACUUCAAAUUCAUGAGUGCCUUGAAUUGACAUAACUUCCAGAGAAGAUGGGUCACUCAUGCUCUGUAGACACUUACAACAUUAACGGACCUUAUAUGCAGUCUUACCUCACUUGCAUGCCUUGAAAUUGAUAGCUACCCUGAAUUGACAUCAUCUCCUAAAGAGAUUGUGUUGGAAAUCAAGCCCACGUCGCCUUCCUGCCUAUGCAUGCUCCUUCCCAUAUUUAGCAUCCUCUGUUUACUUCCUUGAAUUAGUGUAAUGUAUAGCCUUUAUUAUAAUUGAUUUAGGAGUAAUUCUAGCAAGGUAGUUUAUUCACUUUCCAUGUAAGAGUAGUUUAUUCACUUCCCAUGUAAGAGUUUAUUCACUUUCCAUGUAAGGGAAAUUCCGUCUGGUGAUAGUGUACCAUUCCGGAAUUGUCUCAUAUCUGUAGGCUAUUUAUUUAUGCUUUCAUUCAUUGUAAAAAAAGGUAUCACAGAAUGAAUUGAGGUGUUCCUCCAUAGUUUGUCUUCAAUUUCUUCAUAUUUUAGUCUUCAAAUUCUUCAUGGUAUCAGAGCAGGUUUAAUCCUAUCUCAUCGUCUUCAUCUUUAGUCAGUUUUUUUUCUACUCAAUUCUAUUCUUCUAAUUUAUGCCUAAAUACGGUCCAGCCUUUGGAAUGGCUACCAACUCAUCAUCCUCUACUUCUGAUAUCAUCAUCUCAUAGUCUUCAUCCUCUCAUCAGAUGGAAACCUCUCAUCUUCCAAUCACAGCCCAUAAACUGAAUGGGCAAAAUUAUUUGCAAUGGUCUCAGUCCAUAUUAAUGUUUAUACGGGGAAAGGAGAAAGAUGACUACAUCACUGGAGCUUCGGCGGCACCAGAAACCACAGCAUCAACCUACAAAAAGUGGAUAGCAGAAAAUAAUAUGGUCAUGUCCUGGCUAGUCAACUCUAUGACCGCUGACAUUGGUGAAAAUUUUCUGUCAUUUGAUACUGCCAAAGAAAUCUGGGACACUGCAAAAGAAACUUUCUCAGACAAGGAAAACACAUCUGAAAUCAUCCAGAUUGAAGGCAUCCUCCACGAUUUGCGUCAAGGAAACCUUACGGUAACUGAAUAUUUCAAUACUCUUACUCGUCUAUGGCGUCAACUUGAUACGUUUGAGGUUCAUAACUGGAAUUGUGUUACAGAUGGUUUUUUGUAUAAAAAGAUUGUCGAAGGGAAACGUGUGUUUAAAUUUUUGUUAGGUUUGAACAAAAAUCUUGAUGAAAUCAGAGGAAGAAUCAUGGGAGUAAAACCCCUACCUAGCCUCAGAGAGGCAUUCUCUGAAGUCCGUCGCGAAGAAAGUCGGAAAAAUCUCAUGAUGGGAUCCCAUCAACAACUGAAUAUGGCAGAAAGCUCGACUCUUAAGACUCAAUUCGCUCCUUUUGACAAUCGUAAAAAAAUUAAAGGAGGUAGACCUUGGUGUGAUCAUUACAGAAAGUCGGGACACUCAAGAGAAACUUGUUGGAAGAUUCAUGGAAAGCCAGUAGAUUGGAAGCCACGUCAACCACUUGAGAAAGAAGGACGAGGUAAUCAUGUGGCUACCGAUGAACAAUCGCCACAAACUGAAGCUAGCCCUUUUAAUAAGGAGCAAAUGGAGAUGCUUCAGAAACUACUGUCUCCUCUUUUGUCAAUACAGUCACAAACUAGCUCAUCUUCCAACUAGGUCAUUGGUUCCGGAACCUUGGCUCACAAAGGUAAUUUUUUGAGUGUCUUCACUGCUGGUAAGAAACGUAAAAAACCUUGGAUAGUGGACUCAGGAGCAUCUGAUCAUAUGACGGGAGAUGCGACAAUUUUUUAUACAUAUAGCUCAUGUCCAAAUAAUUUAACAGUUCGAAUAGUAGAUGGUUCACUAUCAAAGGUUGCCGGAACAGGUUCAGUUGUGCUAUCAAGGGAUCUUACUCUCAACUCUGUUCUCCUUGUUCCUAACUUGGACUGUAAUCUAUUGUCAAUUAGUAAACUCACUAAGGAAAAGAGGUGUAUUACUAAUUUUUCCUCCACUCACUGUGAAUUUCAGGAUUUGGAUUCGGGGAAGACGAUUGGCAAUGCUGAGGAAUGCUCUGGACUCUACAUCCUUAAGGAGCGCCACGAUCCACAAGAACAACCUCAAAUGGCAGUUGGUAGUAAUUCUUUUUCGGUUUCAUGUCAAAAUAACGAUAGUGCAAUUAGGUUGUGGCACUAUCGCUUAGGUCAUCCAAAUGUUAUGUAUCUCAAGCAUUUAUUUCCUUCAUUAUUUAAUAAAAAUCCAAAAUCCUUUGAGUGUGAAAUCUGUCAAUUAUCAAAGCAAGUCCGGUCUCAUUUUCCCAUUCAACCCUAUAAAGAGUCUAGUCCAUUCUCAAUGAUUCAUAGCGAUAUCUGAGGUCCGUCAAGAAUAAAAAAUGUAACUGGUACCAGGUGGUUUGUCUCAUUCAUAGAUGAUCACACUAGAUUAACUUGGGUAUUCCUCAUGAAAGAAAAAUCUGAAACGAGUCAAAUUUUCAAAAAUUUUAAAAAUAUGAUUCAGACCCAAUUCCAGUCAAAAAUACAAAUUCUAAAGUCUGAUAAUGCUAGGGAUUAUUUCAACUCCAUUCUAGGAGAAUUUCUAGCACAAGAAGGGAUAGUUCACUUAAGUUCAUGUGUUGAUACCCCACAACAAAACGGAAUCGCUGAAAGGAAAAAUAGGCAUUUGUUAGAGGUGGCUAGAUCACUAAUGUUCUCCAUGAAUGUUCCAAAAUUAUUCUGGGGGCAAGCUGUCCUUACGGCAGCCUACCUCAUCAAUAGGAUGCCGUUUAGGGUACUAAAAUUCCAAACACCUUGUCAAACACUCCUAAAAUCCUUUCCGACUACUCGUCUCAUCUCCACCGUCCCACCCAAAAUUUCGGGUGCUCUGUCUUUGUUCAUAUCAAUCAACAACAUAGAAGUAAACUUGAUCCUAGGUCACUCAAGUGCAUCUUUCUUGGGUAUUCUUCAAAUCAAAAAGGGUAUAAGUGUUACUCUCCGGUCACAAGAAAAUUCUACAAUUCAAUGGAUGUCACCUUUUUUGAAACCCAUCCUUACUAUCCCAAAAACGAUAUUCAGGGGGAGAAUUCAACUCAGGAAUAUCAAUUUUGGGAUCUUGAGUCAUUCAGUGAGUCACCCAUCACCACUGAAAAUCACAUUCCUCCAGAGUCAUUUAAUCAGCCCGAGUCCAUUGUUGACUUGUGGGAUAAGGAGCACAUCCAAGAGGAAACGGAGGAAGGAGCACUUUCUCAACAAACCCAUGAGGCAGAACCGGGUCCUAAUCCAAGCAAACUUCCAGGUAACAACGCUCCUGAUGGUACUGUUGAUUCCGAGUUAGAAAAUGAUAUUCUUAAUAUGCCCAUAGCUUGGAGGAAAGAAGUUAAAUCAUGCACUCAGCAUCCCAUUGGAAAUUUUAUUUCUUAUGAUAAGCUAUCACCUACGUUUCGUGCAUUCACUUCUAGCAUCACAGAGAUACAAGUUCCUCAGAAUAUUCAGGAAGCUUUCAAGUAUCCUAAGUGGAAGGCGGCAGUCGAUGAGGAAGUUCGGGCGCUGGAAAAGAAUGGUACGUGGGAAAUUACUGACCUCCCAAGAGGUAAGAAACCAGUUGGGUGUAAGUGGAUUUUCACAGUAAAGUACAAGGCAGAUGGUAAUGUGGACAGGUAUAAGGCUCGGUUGGUCGCCAAAGGAUUCACCCAAUCCUAUGGCAUUGACUAUCAAGAAACUUUUGCUCCAGUUGCCAAGCUCAAUACUGUUCGUGUACUUUUAUCCUUGGCAGCUAAUCUCGAUUGGUCGCUUCACCAACUUGAUGUGAAGAAUGCCUUCCUCAAUGGUGACUUAGAGGAAGAAGUUUACAUGGACAUUCCUGCUGGACUCGAGACGACAUCAAAUUUCAACAAGGUUUGCAGACUCCGAAAAUCCUUGUAUGGUCUCAAACAAUCUCCCAGGGCCUGGUUUGAACGGUUCACUAAGGUAGUGAAAGGGUACGGAUUCGUUCAAUGUCAAUCCGAUCACACAUUAUUUGUGAAACACUUCCCAGAAGGGAAACUGGCAAUUAUCAUUGUAUAUGUGGACAACAUAAUUUUGACAGGUGAUCAUGAAGAGAAAAUUGACUUACUUAAAAAAUUACUGACAAAGGAAUUUGAGAUCAAGGAUCUUGGAAACCUCAAGUACUUUCUCGGAAUGGAGAUUGCUAGGUCAAAGAAAGGUAUAGCAGUCUCACAACGCAAAUACGUUCUGGACUUAUUAAAUGAAACAGGAAUGCUAGGAUGCAAGCCAGCAGAAACACCUAUGGAUACAACUGUCAAACUGGAAGAAAGUGAUGGAAGUGCGCCAGAUGAUAAAGGAAGAUAUCAACGUCUUGUGGGGAAACUCAUCUAUCUUUCUCAUACAAGGCCAGACAUCGGCUUCUCCAUUAGUGUGGUAAGUCAAUUCAUGAAUAAUCCAACCGAAAAACACAUGACUACUGUGAUCAGAAUAUUGAGAUACCUCAAGAUGACACUGGGAAAGGGUCUCUUCUUUCAAAGAACAACAAAGAAAGAGAUUGAGAUUUUUUCAGAUGCAGAUUGGGCAGGUUCAGUGACUGAUCGGAGAUCAACUUCAGGCUAUUGUUCAUUUGUCUGGGGGAACUUGGUUACAUGGCGAAGCAAGAAACAGUCAGUGGUAGCCCGUAGCAGUGCUGAGGCAGAAUUUCGUGCUAUGGCACAAGGUAUCUGCGAGGGAAUCUGGUUGAACAAGUUGUUAGAAGAAUUACGGGUUCCAUUGAAGCAUCCCAUGGUGUUAUACUGCGACAAUCAAGCUGCCAUCAAUAUCGCUAAGAAUCCGGUUCAUCAUGAUCGAACUAAGCACGUGGAGAUAGAUCGACACUUUAUCAAGGAAAAGAUUGAAGAAGGAGUUUUCAAAGUCAGCUACACUCCGACAAACUGUCAAACGGCUGACAUUCUCACAAAAGCUCUUGCUCGAGUUAACUUAGAAGAUCUGACAGAAAAACUUGGAAUGAUCAACAUCUACAACGCGGCUUGAGGGGGAGUGUUGGAAAUCAAGCCCACGUCGCCUUCUUGCCUGUGCAUGUUCCUUCCCAUAUUUAGCAUCCUCUGUUUACUUCCCUGAAUUAGUGUAAUGUACAGCCUUUAUUAUAAUUGAUUUAGGAGUAAUUCUAGCAAGGUAGUUUAUUCACUUUCCAUGUAAGAGUAGUUUAUUCACUUCCCAUGUAAGAGUUUAUUCACUUUCCAUGUAAGAGAAAUUUCGUCUGGUGAUAGUGUACCAUUCCGGAAUUGUCUCAUAUCUGUAGGCUAUUUAUUUAUGCUUUCAUUCAUUGUAAAAAAAGGUAUCACAGAAUGAAUUGAGGUGUUCCUCCAUAGUUUGUCUUCAAAUUCUUCAUAUUUUAGUCUUCAAAUUCUUCAGAUUGGUUUCUUCGGAUCCAUACUGCCACAAUCUCUUAUUGUCCAUGGCUAUUGGAAAGAUGUGAAAGUGAAACAAGUGAAGAUUGGUCAAAGAUUGUUCAUGUUAUAGAAAGUUAUUCAGGUUUUAAAUCCCUAUCUUUCUUCUCAUUUGCUAUGGUUUCAGUUUAUCAAUAAGCUUUGUUUACCUUCUUUUUUGACAAUUCUAGUAUGCAUUAGCAUAUAAAGCAAAAAAAAAAGAAAAAAAAAGAUGAGAUACUAUUAAACCUAGUUGUUAUUUGGUUAUUAAAGACCAAACUAUUCAUGUUACUUUAAGUUUUGCACACUAAGAGUUUGGGAAUAAGCUAGUGUUAUGAAAAACGAAAAUAGACCACAAAAAAAAAUAAAAAAAAAAAUAAGAACAUACACAGAUUUACGUGGAAAACCUUAGACGAGAAAAACUACGGGCAGAGGAGAAGAAUAAUCCACUAUGUCAAAAAUUGGUACAAAAUGGGAGAGCAUUAAGCGGUUACAACAGAAAUCCCUUAGAACCUAUACACCAUCCCAUAUAUAUAUAUAUGGGAGAAAAAAAAAAUAAAGCAGGAAAGAAAUCUAUAAUUUUUUCUUCACCAUAUAUAUCGCACCGUAAAGAUUUCGGGUUGGACCAAAAAAGGAAAUUAGGUCACCAAGCUCUAACAAUCUCCACCUUGACACGAAUUCCAAUGUAAGGAAUUAGAAAAACAAACUCUAAUCUUCAACAAAAAAAAAAAAGAAAAACUCUUCACCUCUUCCACAAACCCUAAAGGGUAAUUCAACAACGAAUACUAACCAAGUCCAAGCAAUGCUCAAACUUGGCUAGAGGGAGUAUCUUCAUCAUCAUAUCAGUAGGAUUAUCAUGGGUGCUAACUUUGGCCACAUAAUAUCACCACGAGAAAUGAUAUCACACACAAAAUGAUACCACACAUCAAUGUGUUUUGUCCUCUCAUGAAACAUCUAAUCUUUUGUGAGGAAAAUAGCACUCUGACUAUCACAAAAAACUAUGGUAAUUUGCAAGUUGUCACUAAGUUCUCUAAAUAGUUCUUUUAACCAAAUAGCUUCCUUUCAAGCCUCUGUAAUAGCCAUGUACUCAACCUCAGUAGUAGAUAAAACAACUGUAGUCUACAAAGUAGCUUUCCAACUGAUAACACAACCACCAAUAUUAAAAACAUACUUUGUAAGAGAUCUUCUUUUAUCAAGAUUACCAGCAAAAUCAUAAUCAACAUACCCAGCAACUCCACCUCUAGUUCUCCCAAAAUGGAAAGAAACAUCAGUAGAACCACGCAAGAAUCUAAAAAUCCAUGAAACUGCUUUCCAAUGUUCUUUACUAGGAUUUGCCAUGUAUCUACUGACUGCACUGACUGCAUAUGAUAAACCUAGACAUGAACAAACCAUAGUAUACAUGAGAGACCCCACUACACUAGAAUAUGGAACUCGUGACAUAUAAUCAAUGUCAUCAUCUGAUUGUGGAGCUAAAGCAUAUGAAAGUCGGAAAUGAGCCGCUAAUGGAGUACUAACAUGUUUAGCAUUCUGCAUAUUGAACCUGUAAAGAACUUUCUCAAUGCACCAUUUCUAAUUUAGGUAUAAUUUACCUGCCUUUCUAUCUCUUAGAAUCUCCAUUCCAAGUAUCUUCUUUGUUGCUUCUAAGUCUUUCAUCUCAAACUCCGUACUGAGUUGGACUUUUACCUUUCUUAUAUUUUCCUUAUCCUGGGCUGCUAUUAACAUAUCAUCAACAUAUAAGAGGUUUGACUCAUUCAUGACCACUCAUGAUAUUGAUUAUUGUUUAUACAUAUCCCUAAUGAAGUACAAAAUUUUGAUAUUAUGAAGUGGUGAAAAUCUCAUGAAUCCACUUUUCCUGUACUAUCUAAAAUGACACGUGAUCUACUAACCCCACCGGUGUCUACUGUAGCAUUAGAAUCUUCUUUUUCUAUAGUUGCAAAUAUAACAGGAGACAGGAGGACAACUCUUACAGCAAAGAUGCUAGAAGCUUUGACAUGUUUGAAGGAUUGAGAAGAUGGACGCAUGAGACUUCAAACUUUAGAGGAUGAACUUAAAGAAGCCUUUGAGAAAUUGCAUCUCAAUGCAGACAAUGAUGUUCAAGAGAUUGAUGAUGAUUGAAGAUGAAAAAAAGAAGAAUGAAGAUUGAAUAAGAAGACAAAAGUGAAUAUGAUAAUUGAAGAAUUAUAUGUUAUUCGUUUUUUUUUAAAUCUAUUAAAUGUAGCUAAUUUUUAAAGGUUGAGUAAUGCAUAUGAUUGAUAGUUGGGUGAGUGCCAACCUAGUUGGGAUGUACUCAAACUAUAGUGAUGCAAUUCUCACAUUUUUCUUUCUCCUUAUUUUUUUCAUGUAAUUUGUUGAAAUAUUGAAUAAAAGAAUUAUUUUUUUAUAUUUCAUUUCCUUUUAUAUUCCAUUAUUUUAAAUUUAUUGUUAUUUUGAUCAAAAAUAAAAAAAUUCAAAUAUAAUUUUUUUACUAUUUUUAAAAACAAAAACUAAUAUUUCUAUAAAUUUUACAAUUACAAACUCGAUAAAUAUAAAUGUAAAAAAUAAAAAGUAUAAUUAUUAGAGGUGUAUAAAUAUAUAUAUAUAUAUAUAUAUAUAUAAUUAUUAGAGGUGUUUAAAGUAACAAAAAGAAAUUUUAUUUAAUAAUGAAAAAAACUUAAGAAAAAAUGACUUAAAAAAUUAAAUUAAAUUUUUUAACAAAGUGACUGGCCCAUGGGCCACGACCCGCUAGCAUGGCCCGGCCCGGACCGACGCAACACGUAUGGGUCGUGUUGAGCCACCUAUUUGGCUUGCAUAGGCCAUCGGCCUGACUCGACAAGAUUUUUAAGUGGGUCGUGCCGGCUCGACACGUUGACUCUAAUGGCCUAGUCAAUAUCGGGCCGUACCUAGUCAUAUCCCAUUAUGGCAUUAAGAUAUUAGAAAGCCCCUUGGUGAGCACAAAGAGGGUUAAAAUUAUGUUUAUUGCUUGGAUACAACAAAAUGAAGUUACAAGUAUAUUAAAUAAUAUGCUAGGAGAUAAUAUAUUGACACCAUAUAUAACAGUAGAAUUGAAGCCAAAACAAGAACUUUAGAUGCAUGUUUUGCACCUCUUGUGUGGCUUUGCCUUAUUAUACUAUUCUAUAUGUCAUGUGUAUUUUGUUUUGUGUUGCCUGUAAAAUAUACAUACAUACAUAUAUAUAUACAUACAUACAUAUAUAUAUAUAUAUAUAUAUAUAUAUAUAUAUAUAUAUUUGCACCUUUUUUCUUUAGGGGUCUUUAUAAAUUUAAAGAAAAUAAAAAAUUGUUGGCAAAUAAUGCAUAUAUGAUUGCUCAUCCACGUGUUCUCUUAUCCACUUCCCUUCUUUUAAUUGUGUUAUGAUUCAAUCCCUCUAAAAUCUUCAAGUAGCAAAUAAAACACGUAAAAUAGCAAAAAGAAGUCAAAAUUAAUAAGAAUUCUUACAACAAAGUAGCAUGUAAGAUAUUGAAAAUGGAGUGAAGAUGCAAAUCCGGUUGAAAAGUUCUUUCUUACUUGUCUUUUACAAUACUCUCCCUUGCUUCUCUAUUACAAUUUAUGCAUGUAACUUCCUAUCUUUUGUUUCUUAUCAUUCAUAUAACUUAAUUAUAGUUGACAUCCAAAUAGUACUUAAUCAUAUAAGGAUUCAUUUAUAUAGUAAUAUAGUAAAAGUAAGUUACAAUUAUCAUCUUAAUCAAUGUGGAAGCUACCAUGUUAGGAGUGUUAAAAUAUCCACAAAUCCAUAGUUUUCAUUUAGUAAAAGUACAAUUUCUUGUUUAAUGAAAUACACACUUUAAAGAAAAUGUAAAAAUUUAUAUGAACCACACUUUUCUAUAACUAGACCAAAGUUUCAUAUGCAUGAAACUAUAGAAAGUAUGAUUAAGUUCAACCAAUCAUUAAUCACAUCUAAUAGUUAUGGCCAAAUUAAACCCAAUGUAAAGAUUCUAAUAAAAUACAUUUGGGAUUUAAUAAUUGUUGGUGAGAAGCUCUCAACCAAAAAUAAACUAUUAUAAAAAAGGUUUAAGAAAAAAAAAACCCCAAGAUAUUUUAAUUAAAAUAACUAUAAUUUAAAUAAUUUUUUAUAGGAAAAAGAUCUUAAUUUUUUUAAGAAAAAAAAUUCAUGGUUUUUCUUCAAAUAACUAAAUAUAAGUGGAUUAAAGGUUAUGCAACUCUUUGUUUGAAAAUUAGCAAUAAUUUCAAUACAAUACACCUUUCAAAAUAUAAGUGGUUUUUAAUUGGUAGUUGUUUGAGUCAGAGAUUUAUUUAUUUUUAUUUUUAUUUUAUUUUUAAAAAAAACUUCUUAUCAAAACAUAUUUUAUAUUUUGAUAAAUCCUAGAUUCAACAGUUCUAUUAGAUUAAAAUGACAAUAUUUUUUAUUUGAACUUUAAAUAUAAUAAAUAAAUUCUAAGAACUUUUACUUAAUAUAAUCUUUUGUAUGUUUAUAUUACAUAAAUUGAUAAAUUUUUUCAAUUUAUUCUUACAUUGUAAAUAAGAUUAAUUACAGAUUAAACUUUCCUUCCAAAUAAAAUGGUUGAACAAAACAUUCAUAGAAACCAAAAAAUAAAAAAGUUGAAAUGCAAUGAAAAGAAAAAAAAUAAAUAGAAAAAUAUGAUGCAUUUUACAUUAAGGAUAUAAUUUUCUUAAUGUGGUAAAUCAUUUCUAGCUAGUGGCACCAGGGAUCAUAUUCUUGUUUCAUUGGCUCUUCCAUAUUGCUUUAGUGUUGUUUUUUUGGGACCAAAGCACUUUUGUUGAAACCUUACUUGUAGUGCUAAUGUUCUCUUUUAUACUUGCAUAUCAGCCCAUGGUUAACCUCUUUCCUUGAUUCCAUGUCUUCUAAUAUUCUCUUGUCUAAAUCAAGUGACCUCUCACAAAAGCUAAUAAAGUAAAAGUUUAUGCACUUUAUCAUAAUAAAUACUAAAUCAAAAAAGGUGUGAGUAUUACAUGAUACUAGGAGAUUUUGAAAAAAUUAUAAUAAAUUUAAAAUAGUUUAAAAUUUAUUUUUCAAAUCUAUGAUGGUUUAAAAAAAAUUCAAAUUAAAAGUUGUCUUCUGAAAAAAAAAAAAAAACUUCAAUAUUUUAAUAUCGAAAAUAAAAUGUCCUCACUAAUUUAAGGUCUUUAUGAAUUUAAAGAAAACAAAAAAUUGUUGGCAAAUAAUGCAUAUAUAUAUUGCUCAUCCACGUGUUCUCUUAUCCACUUCCCUUCUUUUAGUUGUGUUAUGAUUCAAUCCCUCUAAAUACUUCAAGUAGCAAAUAAAACACGCUUACAACAUGUAGCAUGUAAGAUAUUGAAAAUGGAGUGAAGAUGCAAAUCCGAUUGAAGAGAAGACCGAUGAAGAGAAGAUGCCAACAGAAAGUUAUGAUUUUAGGAUUUCAUAUUAAAUUUUAAUUUUCUUUCAUUUGUUUAUUAUCCCUUCUACUUUCUCAGUUUACUCAUACAAUGUAAAAGAAAAAAAAAUCAGUUUAAACGCAAUGAAGAAAAAUAAAUUAAUACACCAAUAUGAUGCAUUUUACAUGAAAUAUAGAUAGGUGGCCCCAAGCAUCACAUUCUUGUUUUCCUUGAUGCUGCUUUUUGGACCAAAGCACUUUUGUUGAAACCUUACUUGAAGUACUAAUGUUCUUUUUUGUUAAUCUCAUUGCUUCAUUCCUAUUCUUAUAAUAUUCUUUCCUAUAAUUCAAGUGACUUCUCAUAGAAGUUAGGUAAAGAAAAAAUUAAUUAUACUUAUCUUAAUCAAUACUCAAAAAAAAAUAUUUGAAAAUAGGUGGUAAUGUUUAAAUAAAAUAAAAUAGACAUGCUCUCAUUGUAUCAAUAAUUUUGAGACAAUUCACCUUUUCAAUAUAUAGGUUUAUAACUGGUAUUGGUUUGGGUUAGAGGGUGUUUUUUUUUUUUUUUUUUAACUUCUUAUCAAAACAUAUUUUAUAUUUUGAUGAGUCCUACUUUCAGUAUUUAUAUUAGAUUAAAAUGAUAAUAUUUUUUUUAUUUGAACUUUAAAUAUAAUAAAUCAAUUCUAAGAACUUUUACCUAAUCUAAUCUUUUAUAUGUUUAUAUUAGAUAAAUUGAUAAAUUUUCUCUACUUUCUCAAUUUAUUAUUAAAGAGUAAAUAAGAUUACAAAUUAUACUUCCUUCCAAAUAAAAUGGUCGACCAAGAAACCAAAAAAUAAAAAAGUUGAAAUGCAAUGAAAAAACAAAUAAAUACAAAAAUAUGAUGCAUUUUACAUGAAGAAUAUAAUUUUCUCAGCGUGGUAAAGCAUUUCUAGCUAGGUGGCACUAGGCAUCAUAUUCUUGUUUUCCUUGAUUGUCUCUUCCAUUUUGCUUUAGUGUCUUUUCAUUUUUGGACCAAAGCACUUUUGUUGAAACCAACCUUGUAGUGCUAAUGUUCUUUUUUAUACUUUUAUAUCAAUCCCUUGUUAACCUCAUUGCUUGAUUCCACUUCUUCUAAUAUUCUCUCGUAUGAAUCAAGUGACGUCUCAUAAAAGUUAAUAAAGUAAAAGUUAAUAUGCCUUAUCUUAAUAAAUACUCAAUCAAAAAAGUGCCGAGUAGCACGUGGUAUUAUGAGAAUUCGACAAAAUUACAAUCAUUUUAAAAUAGUUUAAAAAGUAUUUUCAAAUCCAUUAGUUAUCCAAACUUUUCUCAUCAUUUUCUAAAAAAAAAUAAAAUAAUUUUUUAAUGUUUGGUUUUCACAUGGAAGAGAUCAAAUAUAAUUAAAAUUAGUUUAAAAUUUUUAUAUUUUUAAAUUAUUUAAUUUUUAUGUAGAAAAUUUAAAAUAAAUAAAAUGAAUUUAAAGAACAUAUCAAAUAAUUUAUUGAAUUUAAAAUUAUUUUUAAUUUUUAUUCACUUUUUUCCUCACAUUUUCUAUUAAAUUUAUAUGAGAAACAAACACAAUUUUAGUAUUUUCUCUUUUUUUUUUUUGGUUAAUGUUGUUUUCCCUCGUCUUUUUCCAUGGUAUUUAAAAAUAAUAAAUUUGUUCCCUUUAAUUGCAGCUUGUUGACUUGUCCACCUAAUCCAUGAUAUCAGCCAGUACCCAUGUGACCUGGCCCAUCCCAUCCACCCCUAUAAAGAUAUCUCUUACUUUGUUCCCUAUUCUCUCACAAUUCCCUCAGCUUCUCAUCUUCUACGUGCUGUAUUUUCUUGGCUUUCAGCUACUUUGAGUUGUUCCAAAAUGGCUGACCAAAUUCCAUUCGGUGUUGUGGAGCACAUUUUGACCAACUUGGGGUCCUCGGCGUUUCAAGAAAUUGGAUCCAUGUAUGGUGUUCCAAAGGAGAUGACCAAGCUCAAGGGGAAACUGGGCAUCAUCAAGGCUGUGCUUUUGGAUGCUGAGGAGAAGCAGCAGCAGAGCAAUCAUGCAGUCAAAGAUUGGGUCAAAGAUUGGGUCCGGAGUCUCAAAGGCGUUGUGUAUGACGCAGAUGACUUGCUGGAUGACUAUGCAACCCAUUAUCUUCAGCGAGGAGGAUUGGCAAGGCAGGUCAGUGAUUUCUUCUCAUCUGAAAAUCAAGUUGCUUUUCGUUUAAACAUGAGUCAUAGACUCAAGGAUAUCAAAGAAAGGAUAGAUGACAUUGAAAAAGGCAUCCCCAUGUUAAAUCUGACUCCACGGGACAUAGUACAUAGGAGAGACAGCCAUUCAUUCGUGUUGCCGUCUGAAAUGGUAGGAAGAGAAGAAAACAAAGAGGAGAUAAUAGGGAAGUUGUUGUCGUCCAAGGGUGAAGAAAAGCUUUCGGUUGUUGCCAUUGUAGGCAUUGGGGGGUUGGGAAAGACCACCCUUGCUAAAUUGGUAUACAAUGAUGAAAGAGUGGUCAAUCAUUUUGAGUUUAAGAUAUGGGCUUGCAUUUCUGAUGAUUCUGGUGAUAGUUUUGAUGUUAUUAUGUGGAUCAAAAAAAUUUUAAAAUCUCUGAAUGUUGGGGAUGCUGAAAGUCUGGAGACUAUGAAAACUAAGCUUCAUGAAAAAAUAAGUCAAAAGAGGUACUUGCUAGUCCUCGAUGAUGUUUGGAAUCAAAAUCCUCAAAAAUGGGAUGACGUGAGAACUUUAUUAAUGGUUGGGGCUAUUGGUAGUAAAAUUGUAGUGACCACCCGUAAACCAAGAGUUGCAUCAAUCAUGGGAGAUAAUUCUCCCAUUAGUUUGGAAGGUCUGGAACAAAAUCACUCCUGGGAUUUAUUUUCAAAAAUCGCAUUUAGAGAAGGCCAGGAGAAUUUGCAUCCAGAAAUUCUAGAAAUUGGAGAAGAAAUUGCAAAAAUGUGCAAGGGAGUUCCUCUCGUCAUUAAGACUUUAGCAAUGAUAUUGCAGUCUAAAAGAGAACAGGGCGAAUGGUUGUCUAUUAGAAACAAUAAAAAUUUGUUGUCACUUGGCGAUGAAAAUGAGAAUGUUCUAGGGGUGCUGAAAUUAAGUUAUGAUAAUUUGCCAACUCAUUUGAGACAAUGUUUUACAUAUUGUGCUUUAUUUCCAAAAGACUUUGAGAUUGAGAAAAAGUUGGUGGUACAACUAUGGAUAGCACAAGGUUAUAUUCAACCUUAUAAUAAUAAGCAAUUAGAGGAUAUAGGGGAUCAAUAUGUUGAGGAAUUAUUGUCAAGGUCAUUGUUGGAGAAGGCAGGAACCAAUCAUUUUAAAAUGCAUGACCUUAUACAUGAUCUUGCACAAUCAAUUGUAGGAUCUGAGAUCCUUAUUUUAAGAAGUGAUGUAAAUAACAUUCCAGAAGAAGUUCGUCAUGUAUCAUUGUUUGAAAAGGUAAAUCCUAUGAUAAAGGCUCUAAAGGGAAAACCCGUAAGGACCUUUCUAAACCCUUAUGGAUAUUCUUAUGAAGAUAGUACAAUUGUAAAUUCAUUUUUUUCGAGUUUUAUGUGUCUACGUGCAUUGAGUUUAGAUUAUGUGCCAAAGUGUUUAGGCAAAUUGAGUCAUUUAAGGUAUCUUGAUCUUUCCUACAAUAAUUUUGAGGUACUUCCAAAUGCUAUUACAAGGUUAAAGAAUUUGCAAACACUAAAACUCACAGGGUGUGUCAGUUUAAAAAGGAUUCCAGACAAUAUAGGAGAAUUGAUCAAUCUUAGACACUUGGAGAAUAGUAGAUGUCAUGACUUGACUCAUAUGCCACAUGGAAUCGGCAAGUUGACUUUACUUCAAAGUCUACCAUUGUUUGUGGUUGGGAAUGAUAUAGGGCAGUCUAGGAAUCACAAAAUUGGUGGCUUGAGUGAAUUGAAAGGCCUUAACCAACUAAGAGGAGGGUUAUGCAUACGUAAUCUUCAAAACGUGAGGGAUGUUGAACUGGUAUCCAGGGGGGGAAUUUUGAAAGGAAAACAAUGUCUUCAGUCCUUGAGAUUGAAAUGGAUACGGUCGGGCCAAGAUGGGGGGGAUGAGGGUGAUAAGUCAGUGAUGGAAGGCCUUCAACCACACCGACACCUAAAGGAUAUCUUUAUACAAGGUUACGAAGGUACGGAGUUUCCAAGUUGGAUGAUGAAUGAUGAGUUGGGUUCCCUGUUUCCCUACCUAAUUAAAAUUGAAAUUUCAGGAUGUUCAAGAUGCAAAAUUCUGCCACCCUUUUCUCAACUCCCUUCUCUCAAGUCUUUGAAGCUUAAGUUUAUGGAAGAACUGGUGGAGUUAAAGGAGGGUUCAUUAACAACGCCACUCUUCCCAUCUCUUGAAUCGCUCGAACUCCAUGUCAUGCCAAAGUUGAAGGAAUUGUGGAGGAUGGACUUACUAGCAGAGGAAGGUCCUUCAUUUUCUCAUCUUUCGAAGUUAUAUAUUCGUGCAUGCUCUGGUUUGGCAUCACUGCAUCCUUCUCCUUCUCUUUCUCAAUUAGAAAUCAGAGAUUGCCCUAACUUGGCAUCCUUGGAACUGCAUUCGUCUCCUUCUCUUUCUCAAUUAGAGAUCAUCAAUUGCCAUAACUUGGCAUCCUUGGAACUGCAUUCGUCUCCUUCUCUUUCUCAAUUAGAGAUCAGAAAUUGCCAUAACUUGGCAUCCUUGGAACUGCAUUGGUCUCCUUCUCUUUCUCAAUUAGAGAUCAGAUAUUGCCAUAACUUGGCAUCCUUGGAACUGCAUUCGUCUCCUUCUCUUUCUCAAUUAACGAUCAUCGAUUGCCAUAACUUGGCAUCCUUGGAACUGCCGUCAUCUCUUCGUCUUUCUGAUUUAGAUAUCAGAAAAUGCCCUAACUUGGCAUCCUUGGAACUGCAUUCUUCUCCUUCUCUUUCUCAAUUAACGAUCAUCAAUUGCCAUAACUUGGCAUCCUUGGAACUGCAUUCAUCUCCUUGUCUUUCUCGAUCAUGGAUCUAUGAAUGCCCUAACUUGGCAUCCUUCAAAGUGGCUCCAUUACCUUCUCUUGAGACACUAUCUCUGUUCACAGUUAGAUAUGGUGUGAUAUGCCAGAUAAUGUCUGUCUCUGCUUCGUUGAAGUCUCUGUAUAUUGGAAGCAUAGAUGAUAUGAUAUCUCUCCCGAAGGAGCUACUUCAACAUGUUUCUGGCUUGGUAACGUUACGGAUCCGUGAGUGUCCUAACUUGCAAUCCUUGGAACUGCCGUCAUCUCCUUCUCUUUCUGAAUUAAGGAUCAUAAAUUGCCCUAACUUGGCAUCCUUCAAUGUGGCAUCAUUACCUCGUCUUGAGGAACUAAGCCUGCGUGGAGUCAGAGCAGAGGUACUGAGGCAGUUCAUGUUUGUCUCUGCUUCUUCUUCAUUGAAGUCUCUGUGUAUACGGGAGAUUGAUGGUAUGAUAUCUCUCCGAGAGGAGCCGCUUCAAUAUGUUUCCACUCUCGAAACUCUCCACAUUGUUAAGUGCUCUGGUUUGGCAACAUUACUACACUGGAUGGGCAGCCUUUCCUCGCUUACGGAACUUAUUAUUUUUGGCUGCUCGGAAUUGAAAUCACUGCCAGAAGAGAUCUAUUCCCUUAAAAAACUGCAGACAUUUUAUUUCUGUGAUUAUCCAGACCUAGAGGAAAGAUACAAGGAAACAGGUGAAGACCGGGCCAAGAUUGCUCAUAUCCCACAUGUUAGUUUCUACAGUGAUUCGAUUAUGUAUAGUAAGGUAGGUCCGAAAUCCCUAACCUUUCUUCCCAUUUUUAUUAUUUAAGAAUCAAAAUGCUAUGUUUUCAUUUUGUCUCUGGUAAUUCUUUUAUGUUGGCACCUCAUAUGUUUGUUUAAAUGCUCACAUCAAUAACUUUUUGAAAAAUUUUCCAGAUUAACAUCAUUUGCUGAUGCUGUGCACUAAACUAAUCAUUUUACUUGGGAGUUGUACAUUCUAAGAGUUUGAGGAAAUAUUGAGGUCUGGUAUGAUAACUCUCAAUCCUUGGAACUGCAUUCAUCUCCUUCUCUUUCUCGAUUAACAAUCCAUGAUUGCCCAAACUUGGCAUCCUUCAAUGUGGCAUCAUUACCUCGUCUUGAGGAACUAAGCCUGCGUGGAGUCAGAGCAGAGGUACUGAGGCAGUGCAUGUUUGUCUCUGCUUCUUCUUCAUUGAAGUCUCUGUGUAUACGGGAGAUUGAUGGUAUGAUAUCUCCCAGAGGAGUCGCUUCAAUAUGUUUCCACUCUCGAAACUCUCUACAUUGUUAAGUGCUCUGGUUUGGCAACAUUACUACACUGGAUGGGCAGCCUUUCCUCGCUUAAGGAACUUAUGAUUUAUGAAUGCUCUGAAUUGACAUCACUGCCAGAAGAGAUCUGUUCCCUUAAAAAACUGCAGAAAUUUUAUUUCUGUGAUUAUCCACACCUAGAGAAAAGAUACAACAAGGAAACAGGUAAAGACCGGGCCAAGAUUGAUCAUAUCCCACGUAUUAAUUUCCAAAGUGAUCGAGUUAUGGAAUAUAAGGUCCGAAAUCCCUAACCUUUCUUCCCAUUUUUAUUAUUUAAGAAUCAAAAUGCUAUGUUUUCAUUUUAUUAUUAUGUUUUCAUUGUAUCCCUGGCACCUCAUAUGUUUGUUUUUACUGCUCACAUUAAUAAUUUUGAAAUUUUUUUCUAGCUUGGAUGCGCUUUCCGAUGAUGUGCACUAAACUAACCAUUUUACUUGGAGUUGUACAUUCUAAGAGUUUGAGGAAAUACUAAGGUCUGAUAUGAUAACUCUCAAUCUUAAACGUUGUUUUGUGUUUGGAACGUUACUACACUUGAUACAUACCCUCACCUCACCUCACUUACAGACCCAAGAAUACAGAGGGCCACACUUGGUGAAGGUUUCAUCAGUAAGGAGAACCAUUUCAGGUAUGAAAUCCUCCCUUCUCAUUUUCUAAUGACUUCAUUUUUAUUCAAUAUCCAUUUGAAAUUAUUUAAGUUCAUUUUCUUUAGAUAUUAUAUUUUCUUGCUUGCUCAAUAAUUUCAUUUAAGUAAGUUUUUUGGAUAUCACAUUUUCUUUGGGGUUUUUUUUUCUUUUUAGAAUAAUUUCAAAAUGUAAUUUUUAACUAUUCACAAAAUUUGAUCAUAGUUGAGUGAUUAAAAUUCAAGUUUAUUCUUAUUAUCAUUAGUAGUUAUUUGAUAUGUUCGUUUGCUAAUACAAAAAUAAGACUAACAAGUAAUGUGCAUAGAGUUUGUAGAAGAGAAGAAAGAUUUGAUCCAAGAUAUUCCUAAAGAUCGGAAACUUUCAAAGCCACCCAAGAUCGCACAGGUUGAAUUCGGAUUCAUCCAGUUUACAAUCCAUUAAUUCUACUUAUAUCAUCUUUGUUAUGUUACAAUUUGCCUUUACUUGUUAUGCAACCUACCUUAAUAAUUUAGGGAGACCAAGAUAAGGUAUUCCUAGUAGAACUGGCUCACAAAUUGAAAAGGUAAACUUGUAUCACCUGCCUACAUGCCUACAACAAUACAAACACUAGCUCAUGUCUUUCUCACUAUUGAAAUUGUUAUUGCGUGCAGGGAUUUCAGGCGAGGAGGCCCAACUUGUGAUCAUAGAGCAUACUUUUAUCAUAGAGAAGCCCAAGGAAAUAUUUAAGCACUUGAAAUCCUUUCUCAUUGAUUUGCUUCCACCUCCCAAGCAACACCUAGAACCACUCCCACCAUGACGAAGUUAAAAGGUACUAAUGCAACAUUCUCAAUAUAUUAGAAUAUAUCCAAGGAAGGGUGGCCACAUAUGAAGACCCUAUUCCAAGGUCAAAUUUUAGAUUUUUGUGUUUUUCCUAUCACUAUUCCUAUACUAUUACUAGUGCACCUUAUUUGUCAAGAUGAUUAAAAGGGAAUUCCCUAGGAUAAUUAGUGUCUCAAGUGAUCUUAAGGUUCAUAAAUUUUUGGUUUCCACAAGAUAGGUGCCAACUAUUUAUUUAUUUAUUUAUUUUUUUUACACCCAUGCAAUAUUCCAGUCAUCUAUUAACAAAGGCUAAAAUUUCUUGUAGAGAAUAGAAUAAAGAACUAAAUUACAUGAAAAUAGGACAUUAUUAUUCUAUUUACAAGUAAGGGUAAAAAAUUGUUGAGGGCCAUCAAGCACAUUGUUCCUAAAAUAAUAACAUCCAUGUUGUUGAGCAAAAGUUUUUUAUAUUGGCACCUCAUAUGUUUGUUUAAAUGCUCACAUCAAUAACUUUGAAAAUAUUUUCCAGAUUUUUGAAAAAUUGUAAUGUUGUGCACUAAACUAAUCAUUUUACUUGGAGUUCUACAUUAUAAGAGUUUGAGAAAAAACUGUUUGAUAUGACAACUCUCAAUCUUAAAUGUUGUUUUGUGUUUGGAAUAUUACUGCACUUGAUAGAUGCCUCACCUCUCUUACAGAACUUGGAAUUCAUGGCUACCCUGAAUUGACAUCCCUGCCAGAAGAUAUGUUCCCUCAAAAGCCUGCAGACACUAAACAAUUUGCAUAUGUUCACACUUAAAGGAAAGCUGCUGAAAGGAAAAGUGAAGACUAAGCAAAGAUUGCUCAUAUCCCACAAAUUGAUAUCAUACAUCCAUGAAGAUUGAACUGAUACAAAAUGCCUUUCAGGUUCGAAAUCCCUAACUUUUCUUCUUAUUUUCUAUUACUUCAUUUUUAUUAUCUUACAUUAAAAAAUCCUCUGUUUUCAUUUGUUUUGGUAGUUCUUUUUAUUUGCACCUUAUUUGUUUUAUUAAAUGCUUACUCCAGUAAGUUUGAAAAUUUUUACAUCUUCAAAUCAUUUUGCUUGAGUGUUUUGCAUUCUAAGAGUUUGAGGAAAUAUUGAGCUCUAAUAUAAAUAGUAUUGGUCAUAGAGUCUUCCUUUCUUAAGAAGCUUACCAUUAACCUAAUGGCCAAAGGAUCCCAAAAGGAAACAACUUUGGGUUGACUUGAAGAUUUCACAUGGUCCAAACAUUCAUAUUUACUAGAUGCCUGAUACAAAAGAAAUUUUGCUCUCUUUUCAAUUUAGCCAUUGAUGUAGUCUAAAUGUUUUAUUAGAGCAAUAAUUGUCCAGUAAAUGCAAAAUAGAGAAUGGUGUUAAUGAAUUCAGUACUUCAUCUAUGUUGUAGACUUGUAGUUUAGCAGCUUCUGUUGAUAAUGAGUGUGAGGUUGGCUUUAUCAUGUCACUGUUCCAAAUAUUCUUAAAAAAAAAUCAUUUAAGCUCUAUUUGGUUCUUAGAAAAUUUAAGGGAAAAUGUGAGGAAAACAAAAUAGAGAAGAAAAGUGGAAGGAAAAAAAAGUGAAAGUCAAUGAAUUAUUUUUGUAUGCUACUUCAAACUCACUUCACUUUUUUUAACUCUUCAAUAUAAAGAUUAAAUCAUUUGAAAAAUGUGUAAAUUUCUAAUUAAUUUUAAUUAUAUUUGAUUUUCUUUGGUAUUUUCCAAAAGACAACCAAAUAUGAGAAAAUCAUUUUCCUUAACAUUUUUUUUCUUAGUACUUUUAGGGAACCAAACAUAACCUAAAUGUUUUAGUUUAGUAGUUUCAUCAAAUGAGAUAGACAACCUCACAUCUCUUAGUGAGCUGAGGUGCUAUGUCAAUUAAUGCUUUGUCUCUACUCUUCAUUGAAGUCUCUAUCUAUUGGAUGCACAAAUGAUAUGAUCCAAACUCAAAUUGAACACUAUUCUGGUUUUGCAACAUUACUGCACUCGAAAGGCAACUUCAACUCACUUAUAGACCUUCCUAUUGGUGAUUGCACUGAAUCGACAUCACUUUGGAAGAGAUGUGUUCCACACAGAAAAUCUUUCAUUAUAUGCACCUACUCGCGAGAUACCAAAGGGAAACAGGUGAAUACUUGCCCAAGAAUACAAAGGUCAUACUUGGUGAAGGUUCCGUCAAUAAGGAGAACCAUUUCAAGUAUGGAAUUCUCAUUUCUUCUCAUUUUCUUAUGGCUUUAUUUUUAUUCAAUAUCUAUAUGAAAUUAUUUAUGUUCAUUUUCUUUAGAUAUUACAUUUUUUUGCUUUCUCAAUAAUUUCAUUCAAGUUCUUUUGGAUAUCACAUUUUCUUUGGUGUUUUUUUUAGAAUAAUUCAAAAUGUCUUUUUUAACGAUUCACAAAAUUUGAUCAUAGUUGAGUGAUUAAAAUUCAAGUUUAUUAUUAUUAUUAUUAUUGGUUAUUUGAUAUAUUUGUUUUCUUAUACAGAUAAAAGACUGGCAGCUAAUGUGCAUAGAAUUUGUAGAAGAGAAUAAAGAUUUGAUCUAAGUUAUUUCUAAUAGGUUGAGGAAUUCAUUCUUGUAAAAAUUGAGUGUUAAAGCCUUCAAGAGGUUUGAAUCUUGAAGAAAUUAUGUAAGAGCCCAUUGGAGCCAGAAUCCAAGUGUAAAGGAGAUUGGAAGCUUGGUUGAAGCUUCAAGUUAGUGAAACCCUCACUCGGUUAGGAGAUUGAGGAGAGUGGACGUAGGCAAGGAAAUGCCGAACCACUAUAAAAUCCAAGUUUAAAUUCUCUAACUCUAUCUCUUUAUUUUUUUAUUAUAUUGUGCUUGAAUUUGUUGUGUUGAAAAAGUUUUUGAAAAACCCAAUUCACCCUCCUCUUAGGUGUUUUUCUCAUUUAAGCAUAACCUUUAUUUUCUCACACUUGAAAUCCUUUCUCAUUAAUUUGCUUCCACCUCAUAAGCAACCCUCGAAACCACUUACACCAUGACAAGGUGAAAAGAAACUAAUGCAGCAUUCUUAAUAUAUAAGAAGAUAUUAAAGGAAGGUUGGCCACAUAUGAGGACCCUGUUUCUAACGUAGAAUUUUAGAUUUUUGUGUUUUUCCUAUCACUAUUCCUAUACUAUUACCAAUGCACCUUAUUUGUCAAGAUGAUUAAAAGGGAAUUCCCUAGGAUAACUAGUGUCUCAAGUGAUCUUGAGGUUCAUAAAUUUUUGGUUUCCACAAGAUAGGUGCCAACUAUUUUUAUUUUUUUUUACACCCAUGCAAUAUUCCAGUCAUCUAUUAACAAGGGCUAAAAUUUCUUGUAAAGAAUAAAAUAAAGAACUAAAUUACAUGAAAAUAGGACAUUAUUAUUCUAUUUACAAGUAAGGGCCAAAAAUUGUUGAGGGUUAUCAAGCACAUUGUUCCUAAAAUAAUAGCAUCCAUGAAGAUUGAACUGAUACAAAAUGCCUUUCAGGUUCGAAAUCCCUAACUUUUCUUCUUAUUUUCUAUGACUUCAUUUUUAUUAUCUUACAUUAAAAAAUCCUCUGUUUUCAUUUGUUUUGGUAGUUCUUUUUAUUUGCACCUUAUUUGUUUUAUUAAAUGCUUACUCCAGUAAGUUUGAAAAUUUUUACAUCUUCAAAUCAUUUUGCUUGAGUGUUUUGCAUUCUAAGAGUUUGAGGAAAUAUUGAGCUCUAAUAUAAAUAGUAUUGGUCAUAGAGUCUUCCUUUCUUAAGAAGCUUACCAUUGACCUAAUGGCCAAAGGAUCCCAAAAGGAAAUGACUUUGGAUUGGCUUGAAAAUUUCACAUGGUCCAAACAUUCAUAUUUACUAGAUGCCAGAUACAAAAGAAAUUUUGCUAUCUUUUCAAUUUAGCCAUUGAUGUAGUCUAAAUGUUUUAUUAGAGCAAUAAUUGUCCAGUAAAUGCAAAAUAGAGAAUGGUGUUAAUGAAUUCAGUACUUCAUCUAUGUUGCAGACUUGUAGUUUAGCAGCUUCUGUUGAUAAUGAGUGUGGGGUUGGCUCUAUCAUGUUACUGUUCCAAAUAUUCUUAAAAAAAAAAAAAUCAUUUAAGCUUUGUUUGGUUCUUAGAAAUUUGAGGGAAAAUGUGAGGAAAAUAAAAUAGAGAGGAAAAGUGGAAGGAAAAAAAAGUGAAAGUCAAUGAAUUAUUUUUGUAUGCUACUUCAAACUCACUUCACUCUUUUUAACUCUUCAAUAUCAAUUUCUAAUUAAUUUUAAUUAUAUUUGAUUUUCUUUGGUAUUUUCCAAAAGACAACCAAAUAUGAGAAAAUCAUUUUCCUUAACAUUUUUUUUCUUAGUACUUUUAGGGAACCAAACAUAACCUAAAUGUUUUAGUUUAGUAGUUUCAUCAAAUUAGAUAGACAACCUCACAUCUCUUAGUGAGCUAAGGUGUUAUGUCAAUUACUGCUUUGUCUCUACUUCUUCAUUGAAGUCUCUAUUUAUUGGAUGCACAGAUGAUAUGAUCCAAACUCAAAUUGAACACUACUCUUGUUUUGCAACAUUACUGCACUCGAAAGGCAACUUCAACUCACUUAUAGACCUUCUUAUUGGUGAUUGCACUAAAUCGACACCACUUUGGAAGAGAUGUGUUCCACAUAGAAAAUCUUUCAUUAUAUGCACCUACUCGCAAGAUACCAAAGGUAAACAGGUGAAUACUUGCCCAGGAAUACAAAGGCCAUACUUAGUGGAGGUUCCAUCAAUAAGGAGAAUCAUUUCAAGUAUGGAAUUCUCAUUUCUUCUCAUUUUCUUAUGGCUUCAUUUUUAUUCAAUAUCUAUAUGAAAUUAUUUAUGUUCAUUUUCUUUAGAUAUCACAUUUUUUUGUUUUCUCAAUAAUUUCAUUCAAGUUCUUUGGAUAUCACAUUUUCUUUGGUGUUUUUUUUAGUAUAAUUCAAAAUGUCUUUUUUAAUGAUUCACAAAAUUUGAUCACAGUUGAGUGAUUAAAAUUCAAGUUUAUUAUUAUUAUUAUUAUUAUUAUUAUUAUUAUUGGUUAUUUGAUAUAUUUGUUUUCUAAUACAGACAAAAUACUAGUAGCUAAUGUGCAUAGAAUUUGUAGAUAGAAUUUGUAGAAGAGAAUAAAAAUUUGAUCUAAGCUAUUCCUAAAGACCAGAAACUUUUAGAGCUACCCAAGAUCUAACAGGUUGAAUUUUGAUUCACUUAGUUUACAAUCCACUAAUUAUCCUUAUGUCAUUUUUGUUAUGUUACAAAUUGCCUUUACUUGUUAUUCAACCUAUCUUAAUAAUUUGGGAAGACCAAGAUAACGUCUUCCUAGUAGAACUGGCUCAAAAAUUGAAAAGGUAAACUCAUAUCACCUAUCUACAUGCCCACAACAUUAUAAACACUAGCUCAUGUGUUCCUCACUAUUGAGAUUGUUGUUGCAUGUAGGCAUUUUGGGCGAGGAGGCUCGACUUGUGAUCAUCAAUAACAGAAGGCAUGCUUUUAUACAGAGAAGCCCAAAGAAACAUUUAAGCACUUUGUUAGCCCAAGGGUUCUCCUAAUCAGGUUUUGAUGAUAACAAACCAUGGUUAAGUGACUAAUUGGUUUGAAUGGUAAAAAAUCUUAGGUAUAAAUUUGGAAAUUCAUCAAAUGAUCAAAUGAAUACAAGAUCGAGACUUUUGGAAGACUUUUGAUCAUAGGAAACAAAUGUAAGAUGAAUGCAUGGGUGCACUUAGAUUUUACAUAUCUUUUCAUGAAUCUUUGAAAACUCAGUUUAUUCCUUUAAAUUACGAUUUCAUUAAAACCCGAGUUUUAUCAAAUGUACCUUAGGUAAAACGUUUCAAAAUUGGCAUAUUAAUUUACCUAAAGACCUUGCCUAAGUGUUAGAAAGGAAAAGAAUUGAAAAAUAUAGGUUUUCGGGGCCAAAAGGCUAAAUUGAUCGAGGCACAUGCCAGCCGGCUCAACCAACUAGGGAACCGGUCAAUCGGUUGCUCUUGUUCGAUCGAGAUCUGGUCGAGGAGUGUUAAAAACACUUUCUCUCAUCCAGUAGCCUUCUCUUCCCAGUCGAGGUACUCUCCUUACCUUUGGUCGAGGUUCGGUCGAGGCAACGGUAACCUGCCAAAGCAUUAAAUGCUUCAACGGCUAGUGAACCAGUCAACCCCCAGCUCGACCGAUUGAGGCUAUUUUUUGCUUUUUUUGGCUCCCGAGCUUAGAAACCAAUAAAUUGAGAGCUCCACUUCAUUUAUGACAUAGAGAAAACUUGCAAUCAAUUGUCUACCCACUUGUUCUUGCCUUAAAAGCUCUCAUUUAUUUCUUAGUGCAUUAAAUCCUCACUUGCAUAUCCUUUUAGUGCACCCUUGUGAAUCAUCCUAGCUUUGAUUUGUAUUUGAACUAUCAUUGAGCUAGAUUGAGGGAUUCAUUCUUGUAAAAAUUGAGUGUUAAAGCCUUCAAGAGGUUUAAAUCUUGAAGAGAUUAUGUAAGAGCCCAUUGGAGCCAGAAUCCAAGUGUAAAGAAGAUUGGAAGCUUUGUUGAAGCUUCAAGUUAGUGGAACCCUCACUCGGUUAGGAGAUUGAGGAGAGUGGACGUAGGUAAGGAAAUGUUGAACCACUAUAAAAUCCGAGUUUAAAUUCUCUAACUCUAUCUCUUUAUUUUUUAUUAUAUUGUGCUUGAAUUUGUUGUGUUGAAAAAGUUUUUGAAAAACCUAAUUCACCCAUCUCUUAGGUGUUUUUCUCAUUUAAGCUCACUCUUGAAAUCCUUUCUCAUUAAUUUUCUUCCACCUCAUAAGAAACCGUCAGAACCACUUACACCAUGACAAGGUGAAAAGAAACUAAUGCAACAUUCUCAAUAUAUCAGAAGAUAUCAAAGGAAGGUUGGCCACAUAUGAGGACCUUGUUUCUAAGGUAGAAUUUUAGAUUUUUGUGUUUUUCUUGUCACUGUUUCUAUACCAUUACUAGUGCACCUUAUUUUUGAAGGUGAUUAAAAGGGAAUUCCCUAGGAUAACUAAUGUCUCAGAUGAUCUUGAGGUUCAUAAAUUUUUGGUUUCAACAAGAUAGGCGUCAAACCAUUUUUAUUUUUUUCUACACCCAUGCAAUAUUCCAUUCAUUUAUUAAUAAGGGCUAAAAUUUCUUGUAGAGAAUGGAAUAAAUAACUAGAUUAAAUGAAAUAAGACAUUAUUAGUCUAUUUACAAGUAAGGGCAAAAAAUUCUUGAGGGUCAUUAAGCACACUGUUCCUAAAAUAAUAACAUCCAUGUCGUCGAGCAAAAGUUUAUUGCAAUUACAUUAGCAUAUAAAACAAAACUAAUUUUUUUUUAUGGAAAAUUUAACCGCACUUUAGAAGUUUGUGAUUAUUCUUUGGUCCAUCUUAAAACGAGUUCCUGCAUUUUUCCAUUCCUCAAAUUAAAAUCACAAUAAAAAGUUUUAGAUUGACCUAAAAUUUUCUCAUGGCCUAGAAAUUCAUAUCUACCAGAUGGCUAAAGCAAAAAACACUUCUACCUUGUAUUUUAAGUAAUCCCUGCUUGCUAUUUGUUUAUUGAGAGCAUCAUACAAGUUGUGAUUAUAUUUCUUAAUUUUUUUAUAUGAUAAGACGGUAACUGGAUUGAGAAAGAUGCAACUUGUAGAGCAGAAAAUUUCUUAACUACUUUCCUUGUAUUUGCUUUGUGUGUAUCAACUGUUCUGUUAAUUAUUUUUUAAAAAUAUCACUAAAACAAACCUAUUAUGUCAGUGCUCUCUAUUGUUAUGUAUCAUAAUUUAGCUAUUUUUUUUCCCUAGAAAUCAUGCUUGUUAUUGUGUUAAUCAGUAGGUAGCAUAAGAACUAUUUUGUUCAAGUUAUUUUGUAUUGGCAUUCUUCAUGUUUUAAAAUAUUGUCAGACUAGCAAUUUUACUGCAGAUAUAAUGUUCUCAAAUCAAUGCAAAAAGGGACGAUUGUGGGGCUUGGGCACAACCUUCCUUGAAUAGUUGAAUUGAGGAUUUCUAUAAACUAGGUCUCUAUAUCAACAGAUUCUACAUUUCAUCACUAUGGGGACCUUACAAUAAAUAUCGCAAAAAGCUUCAUUUACUACAUAGUAAGGAUAAUCCUAAGGACUUAAAAGCUUGAGUUGUCUUUUCCAUGGCAGCUUCAGAUCUCUUAAUAAGCUCCAAGUCAUUGUCUACCUUGAAUAUAAAUCACUGCUAGAAGUAUGUGCCCUCAACAUUCCCAUGUUCCCGAUAUUGACUAGAUAGUUUUUGCUAAUUCAUGAAGAAUUGAAGGGAUCUUUGAUAAUGACAUCUAUAAUGUACUUCAAGUUCAUGAUCCAAACCCUCUUAUUGCUUUCAAUAACUUCAUUUUUUUUAUAUUACUUUGUGGUCAAUGUUAUAAGGAUGUUGUAUUUUGUUUACCUGAUUCUCAUCCAUUAGCACACAUGAAAGGAAAAGUUUUACAUUGCUUUCCUUCCCUUUGCUCUGUGUUUGUAUAUGUUUAUGCAGCUAAUGCGAACUUCCACCGUAACUUUUUAAGUUUUUUCAUUCUCGAGUUUGGGAAACAACUGGAUUUGAUUGUAAUAUUUUCUUGUAGAUAUCACCUUUCUUAAAAAGCUUGCAUUUAUUCACAUUUUCAAGAUGGCUAAGUCAUCUGAUUAUGCUUAGAACUUUUGGUUUCUAUUAAAUUCAGGUAUGAUGUUUGCAAUUCUAACCCCCUUACUCCUCUUGAAGACUACAUAAGUUUCUAGUGCUUUUACUUUAAUGGUUAUAGUCAAUGUAUCCUCUUGUUACUUCCUGCUUGCAUUCUAUAUGUUCAAGAGCUUUAUUAAAGUAAUUAUUUUAUUGAAGAUAUAAUUGUUUUCAGGUCAAAGCAAAAUUGAAUAAUGACGUGGUUUCAACAACUUCUCAAAAGUAAUUGGAAAGUAAGGAACUUUGUGGUAGUAUUCUGAUAUCACAUUGGGCCUUCAAAUUGUUGUCUUGAAUUGACAUAAAUAACAUAAUUUCUUUCCUAGUUAAGCUGCUUCAACAUGUUAUUAUGCUUCAAACUCUUUCAAUUAUGUGUUGUUUAGGUUUGGCAACAUUAGUACACUGGAUAUGUUGCCUCGAGUUACUUACACGACAUAAAAUUCAUCUUUAUUGUUAACUAGCAUCACUACCACAAGAUGAGUUCCCUCAGCAUUCUACAGACAACUAUAAUUUGGGACAAUUCUGGUUUGGCAACAUUAUCGGAGUUGAUAGGCAACCUAACAAAAACCUUUAAAUUUAUAUUUAUCCCAAACUAGCAUCACUGUUGGAAGACGUGCAUCCUUAGCACCCUAUAACCACUCACAAUUGGAGACUGUUAUGGUUUGUAAACAUUUAACAGACUUGAUAGGUAACCUUGCACCAGUUACAGAGCUUCAAAUUCAUGGCUAUCUUGAAUUGACAUCACUUUCAAACUAGAUGGUUCAUCCAAACCUCAGUUGACACCCAUAAUUCAAGACUUCUCCAUUUUGGCAAUGAUAACAGAUUUGAUAAGCAUCCCUACUUCACUUACAUACACUAAAAUUGAUAGCUACCUCGGAUUCACAUCAUUGUCACAAAAGAUUGGUUCCUUCAUAUCCCUGCAGACACUUGUGAUCUUUUAUCAUCCAUGUAUAUUAGAAAGACUUAAAAGGGAAAUAGGUGAAGAUUGGCCCAAUAAUCUUCAGUCCUAGAUAUUGAUAUUUGGUGAAGAUUGGACUAAUAUAGAGUUAGUUCAGGUUUGAAAUCCCAAUCUUUCUUCUCAUUUUUUAUGGUUUUGUUUUUAUCAAUAUGCUUUGUUUACAUUCUAUAUGGUAACUUUUGUAUGUAUUAGCAUAUAGAUCAAAAAGGACUUAGAUGAUUAAUUUGAAAAGUUUGCAUCCUCAAUUAAUUAGUAAUUAAAGACCAAACUAAUCAUAUUACUUUAAGUCUUGCAUUGUAAGAGUUUGGGAAAAUGUUAGGGUUGACUGAACUACUAUUUUAUAACAGAUUUUGCCUUACUCAAGAAUCUUGUGAUUAUCCCUUGGCACAAUCAUUUCUCGUGUCUAAGAAAUUCAUAUCUACUACAUGGCCAAAGAAUUUAGUAGCAUUCAAAAUUUAUGUUUUCUUUCAAGUCAGGUGUAUUGCUUGCAGUUCUAACAUGUUUCCUAUUUUGAACAUUGUAUUGUUAUUUUACUAUCAAUGUGUUAAGAGCAUUAUACUCUAUUUUCUAUAAUGUUGUUUACUUGUCAUAUGUAUUAAUUAUUUUAUUGCAAAUGUACUUGUUGCCAAGUUAAAGCAAAAGAGGAAAGUGAGGAUUUUUCAUGGACCAAUGCCUCUCUCAGUUGCUGCCACACUUGACUUCUCUCUAAGUUGUUGAAAAUUUAAAAGUGUGGUAGCAUAAAGUAUUCAGCUCAAGUGCUUUAGUGCCUCACUACCCUUGAAGCUUUAGAAGCUGUCAAUACAAUUGGGGUUUCAACAUGUAACCAUUUUGGAAAUUCUAAGAAGUGUAAGUAUUAUGGUUUUACAACUUUAUUAGACUAGAUAGGCAACUUCAAAUUGCUGAAUGCCCUAAAUUAAAAUCACUACUAGAAGGAACCCAUGAGCACUCUAUAGAAACUCAUAAUCUACUACUUUUGCCACUUAUUAAGAAUGCUAAAAGGAAAAAGUGAAGAUUGGCUUGAGCAUGAUUGAUUAAUAAACCACACAUGGUCUCCUUAAUUCAAGUGUGUCAUUUGUUAUAUGUUUCAUGUCAGUAAUCCUACAUUUCUCUUGUUUCUAUUGGCUCUAUUUUUUUGAAUUAUUUUACAAUCAAUCUUCUAACAAUGUUCUACUUUUUUUACAAUUUUAUUUUUUUAUUCUAAAAUGAAUUAAGACAUAUAAAGAAAAAAAUCACCUUGUUUGAUUUUCAUAUACUAUAUGCUUAAAUGUACAUGUGUUAAAAUCUUUUGAUUUUUUAUUGAUUACUUUCUAUUUAAUUUAUUAAAAAUUGUUAGUCUAUUUGGAGAUGAUUUUUUUUUUCAUAUGUAAUAAGAUACCAACAAAUUGAGUGAGGAGCACAUCUUACUAAGUCGCUUAUCAAUCUAUCCACCUUCCUAAUCUCAAGAUUCUUCAUGUUUGAAUUAAAAUACCAUGAAUUACAAAAACAAAAAAUGAUGAAAAUGAGUAUUUCUCGUCAUCUUCAUUUUUAUUAGAAGGCAAUUUGUAGCAUCCUCUUUCCCAUUCCUAAAAAAUACUACAGCUUUGUAGGUUGAGAAAUUAGACAUGUUUUCUUAAAUGAUCUUCUUGGUCCAUGCAUGCUUAUAUUUGGAAGAUUUUUAAACCAAGUAUUUUAUGACAUAUAUGAUAGCUUUCAAGUUAAUGCAUAAAUGGUGAUGGUUAGGAUGCAAAAUAUAGUCUAUGCUGAUUACUACCAAAAAGUGCUAUUUUGUAGAUCUAAUUAUAAUGGUUUUAAGCACCUUUGAGUAGUAAUCAUAUUCAUUUAACCCAAUUAAUUCAUUAAGGUCCUUAGUAAUUGGUUUUAACCAUUUUGUGGCAAGUUUACAUGUUUUUAUCAGCUUAUGAAUCGAUUCAAGCAUGCCAAAUGAUGGAGGAGCUACUUGGACAAGUUAAAGCAAGGAUUUUGGAAGUUUACAGGCUUGAAUUUUAAGUGGAAACACGAGCACAAGCAAUGGAGAAGAGGAAAACAGAGUGAAGAAAACAGAGGACAGCAGCUGCAGUUUUCUUUUGCACUUUUGGAGCACUUUCCGAAGUCCAUUUUCUACAUUCUUUAUACCAUUUCAAAGCUCAGGAAGUCAAUAAUCCAAUGCUUCAAACGGUGCACGAUUCGGAGUUGAAACGAAGGAGUUACAUCCAUUGCAAGCAGAUCACUCCAAGCUGUUUUUGCACGGUUGCGAAAUCAGCCUUUUGUUGCGAGAAUUUCACAGCCAUUUUGCACAGUGCACGGGUGUUCUCCUGAAGCUUCCCGAUAGUUGCGACCGAAACUUUUAGAUCUUUUCUUCAGAUAUUUUUGUAUAAAUUUCCAUUCUUCUCCUUGUAAGCCACCAACCAUAAGAUUUCUUAGUUAGGAAGGUUGGAAAAACGUCUCUAUAUAUAUUCCCUUGCAUCCACUGUAUAUAAAAAAUAUGUAAUAUCAAUCAAUAUAUAAUAUAUCUACAGAGCACUUGCUCUGUUUUUCAUUCAUAUUCUUGUUUUCAUUUUCAUUUUCAUUUUCUAGCCAACCAAACUCUAAGGAUUUUUCCUCAGAGGAUGAGAGGCUAAGCUCUUUGUCUCUUGGAGUGAAGAAAGCCGGGUAAGUUUCCAUAUGCAUAAAUUGGAAGUUUUGUUGUUUUAGUUUUUAAUGAAGAGAAAGUGUGACCCGUUAAUGGUUUUUAUCUUUUUAGUUAACUUAAAACGCCUUUAAAUCACCUGGGCCAACACUUGGUAAGGCAAGUGAUUUCCGUCCAUGGAGAUUCACUAGUUUACCCCUUGCGAGCCUUUGGGAGGUGACUUGAAGGUAGGAUUUUCUAGAAUAGCCAACACUUGGUAAGCUUUUGGACUCCAAGGAGACAUCCAUUAGUUAUCUCUUGCGAGCUUUUGACGGGUAAUCCAAGGUUAAAGAUCACCUUGAAUGGCAAGUGCUAGGUGAGAGGUAUGAGCCAUUGCAUGGUGCAUCAGUGAGAGGGAUUUAGUGUUUGAACCCAUUAAUGGGAAGCAUCUGUACAACACCGGUUGGAGAAGGAACUAUAUGUUAAUUCUCUAAUGCGAGGAAAAGAAACAAGUGACCGGAACUCUCCAUUUUUGUAUGAGGAAUCUGAGCCUAGUGAUCUGAAACUCCAAGAAACAUCUUUUCUUUGUAAGUAAAAUCAGUUACUAUUUUUGGUUAGUUUAAAACCGAACUUUUUCCAUUUAAACAAGUUUAUGUUUUCUUUUAAAGCUAACCUUGAAAUGAAAAGGCACCAAUUCAACUUUGAAUUAAUAUCAUUUGUGAAGUGAAAACUCAUCCUAGUGAACGAUCCUAGAGCCACUAUGCUAUAGUAGCUUUGUCUUUGCUACCCUAGUAUAUGGUGUAAUAGGUUAAAAAUUUUGUUGAUUACUCCCUCAUUCAAGGAGCACCAGCUGGACACAAAUCAGCUGAGACACCAAUUGGGCACAAAUCAAAUGGCGCCGUUGCCGAGGAUGGUGCCACUUUACAAUGAUAUCACCUUUCUAGAGUACUUGUGAUCUUCAUCACAAGUUUGGUGACUUUUCUUUUCCUUUUACUAACUCUUUUUAUUUCUUUAUUGUUCAUAUUUUAGUAUACCUUUUAUUUAGUUUUUAGUUUACCUUAAUUUUCUUUCUUUGAAUUGUUUUUCUUUUGUUUUCUUUUGUGUUCUCUGUUUUUAAUUCACAAAUUGCUAGUUGUGCAUGCCAUAUUGAAUACGAGAUAGUAGAGGAAGCCAUGAACUUCAUGAGUUAUAUGGCUGAAGUCUCAAGAGGAUGGGAUGAACCAAAUGCUAGAGAUAUGGGAAGAAAGACGUCUCAACCUAAUGCUAAGGGUGAGAUGUAUAUUUUGGAUGAUGGCAUAGACAUGAAGGCAAAGAUUGCAGCUAUGGCAAGGAGAUUGGAAAAGCUAGAAAUGAUGAAUAUGCAACCAGUGCAAGCCAUCUCUUAGACACCAUUGCAAGCUAUGCCUUGUGCCAUUUGUCUAUCUUAUGAGCACUUGGUGGAUGAGUGUCCUACCAUUCCAGCCGAAAGGGAAAUGUUUGGUGAUUGCAACACCUACAAUUCCAAUUGGAGGGACCAUCCAAAUUUCUCUUGGAAACCACAGCCACCUCAGUAUCAGCAACCUGCUCAAGCACCACAGCAAGCCUCAAACCUUAAACAAGCUAUAGUGAAUCUUAGCAAGGUUGUGGGAGACUUUGUUGAAGCUCAAGAAGCCAUCAAUGCUCGAGUCGAUCAAAGAAUUGAUAGAAUGGAGAGUAUGUUGAAUAAAAGGAUGGAUGGAAUGCAAAAUGAUAUGGCCCAAAAUUUUGACAACAUCCAAUAUUCAAUUUCAAGGCUCAUAAAUUUGAACACAGUGCAAGAGAUAGAAAACUCCCCUUCUCAACCUUAUCAAAAUUCCAUGAGUAUCCAUGAAAUGGAGGCUCAAGAGGGAGAAUGUUCAAUGGUGAAGGAAAUUGAAGAGGUUAUCACUUUGAGGAGUGGUAAAGAGGUUGAUCUGCCCACAUGCAAGCUAGAACAUAAGGAAGAGAGUGAAACAGAGAAAGAAAAGAGGGAGGAAAUCAAAGGAAAGAAAAAGGGGAAAAGCAUAGAGAAAGAUGGCUAUGAUGUUAAUGUACAAAGAGAACCACAAAGGAUAGUCAUCAAGGAAGAAUUGAUGAAGAAACACAUGCCUCCACCUUUUCUCCAAGCUUUGUAUGGGAAAAUCAUACAAACCAAGUCUCAAGAGAGAGAUGCAAACUUCAUAUGGGAUCCGGGCAAGCUAAAUAAGGAUCAAAUUUUUUGAUGGACUUAGUCUUUUUAAAGACUAGUUAGUCCAUAUCUUUUUGUUUUGUUUUUUUUACUUGUUUUAAUUUUGAUUUCAAUGUUUUAAUUUUGAUUUCAAUACUUUAAUUCUAGUUUGUUUUGAUGUAAUAUAGGUUUUUGGAUGAUCAAAAUCAAGAGGAAUUGCAAAUAAAUUGAAGGAAGUCUUUCGGAGCAAAAUCGGAGUCAAACGGAGCGAAAAUAGGGGAAAAACAGGGGUCUGCGAAAUUUCGCAACCUCUGCGAAAUCGGCACUUUGCUGCGAAACCAGUUCGUAGCCUCAGGACCCUCUCUGCGAAAAUUUUCGCAGCUGCGAAACCACUUUUGGCACACGAGUGCCACUUCGCAGCACAAGAGCCCCCAUUUCGUAGCUGCGAAACGGCUGCGAAGUCCCAAAACGUGAAAAAUCCCAAUUUCGCAGCCAAAGCUCCAUUCCGCAGAGGAUUUCGUGGCUGCGAAACCAACUUUGGCACACGAGUGCCAUUUCGCAGCAUAGUGACUCUCAUUUCGCAGCUGCAAAACGGCUGCGAAGCUCCAAAGCGUAAAAAAUUCCCAAUUUCGCAGCCAAAGCUCCAUUCCGCAGAGGAUUUCACGGCUGUGAAACCAACUUUGGCACACGAGUACCAUUUCGCAGCACAAUGACUCCCAUUUCGCAGCUGCGAAACGGCUGCGAAGUCCCAAAAUGUGAAAAAUCCCAAUUUCAUAGCCGCACCCCCAUUUUGGCAAUUGUUGGACACAUCUCGAUCACUUCCCGAAGUUCAAAUUAUGCAUGCAAUAUCUCGUUUCAAAUAUUAGGAAGUCAGGAGUUCAUAGCUUCAAACGGUGUUCGAUUUGGAUUUGAAACGGAAAAGUUAUGGCCGUUUGAAGAUGACUGUGCAAACCAUGAGCGGAAAUGUCGCACCUCCAUUUUGCUACUGUUGGACACAUUUUUGAAGCACUUACUGGAGCUCAAAUUAUGCAUACCAUAUCUUGUUUCAAAUCUUGGGAAGUCAGGAGUCCAGAACUUCAAACGGUGCACAAUUUGCAGUUGAAACGAAGAAGUUAUGGUUAUUUGAAGACAAGCGCUCAAAGCUGAGCGGGAAUUUCGCAGCCGAGACACCAUUUGGAAGGGUGUUUCGCAGCUGCGAAACCACUUUUGGCACAUGAGUGCCAUUUUGCAGCACAGUUCCCCUCAUUUUGAAGCUGCGAUACACCUGCGAAAUCACUUUUGAGCUACGAAAUGAGUUGCGAAAUCAAUAUUGGGCUGCGAAAUCACUUUUGAGCUUUGAAAUGGCUAUGAAAUGAUUUUCAAACUUCAAAAUGGCUGCGAAAUCACCUCCAAGCAUCGAAAUGGCCUUCAAAUUUCGAAAUUGACUUGCGAGAUGGAGGAAGUUUUGCAAAAACACUUUGCAAAGCCAAUAGAAGUUGCUAAAAUGCCAUCAGAGCCUCACAAUCAUGCAUCUGAAGAGGAGAGCCCCGCACACCCUGGGAUCACACACACCAAGCCUCUCACUCCAUUUUUGACCUCCUUAAACCAUCAAAUCCCAUAGCUACCAGCUGAGAGCUCCAGCUAAGGAGACUAUGCCACCUAAGGAGAUUACCAGAACAGAGUCCAAAGUCCUGAUCCAACCCACUCAAGAGGCCACCAUAGUUGCAUCAGCUCCACAGGAUCCUACCACUACUUGAUCAUCUCUUUACUUUUUGUCUUUACAUAUUAUAUUAGUGUAGAUAAUUCCAUGUUUUGAUGUCUUAUAUUCUGGGAUUGGAUGUAUUACUGAUGAUGCAUCAUACAUAGACAUCAUUUUUGUUUAAACUUGACAUUUUUCUAUUUCCUCUACUCACUAACUCUUAUGUUUUCUUUGAAACAUGUGGUUUCUCCUAUACGACUCAGACUCCAUGUCACUAAGGAGGUACCACUUCCUCCCUAUUUUUUAAUCGCUUUUGUCACAUUGAGGACAAUGUUCAGCUUGGUUGGGGGGAGAGUUGAGGAAGUAAGUAUUGUUAAUAAUGCUAAGUUAUUUUGGUAAUUUAGUUGCUUUUUGCUUAAUUUUUAAAAUUUUUGCUUUAAACUCCAUGGAUAUUAAGGAUUAACUCUCAAAAUUAAAUGAGAGAAGUCGAGUUUCAACUUGAUUACAUGAGUCUUAGAGUUUUUAUUAUGCUCUUCUAAAAGUUGAUGAAUUGUUGAAACUCUCAUUGCAUGCAAACUUAUCUCUUCCACCUUAAGCUAUUCGCACACACAUACAUUAGAUUCCGGUUAUAAGAUGUGAAACUAUCUCACCCUCUAAGCUUGAGAAAUCAUAAUUUGACACCUUUAACCUCUCUUUAAUAGUGUUGGGACACCUCAUAAAGACCAAUGAGUCUUUGAAAAAAUAGAAAAAAGAAAAAGAAAAAGAAAAAAAUAAUAAUAAUAUAGAAUAAACUUCUUUGCUUGCCUUGAAACCUGAGCAUGGUCCGAAGGGGUGGCGAAAGCCUUUAAAGCCUGGUGUCCUAAGCCUUUAUUGGUUGGGAGUCACCGAUCCUCUGCUUGUUACAUGGGUGAAUUGGUUAAGUGUAGUAAGUGAAAAGAAUUGUGAAUAAGAGGUGCGUUCCUAACCUAUCAAGAGAUGGUUAAUUUUGCUAAACUUAAAGAAAGACUUAGGUUGGGGGGAGAUGAUAGUUAUCCAUACUAUACUCGGAAGCUAAUCACAUUAACACUUAGCUUUUAGUGGAAGAAUUUGAUUUGGAUAUUUUGAGAAUGGAAAUUCUUUUGAUACUUAAACUUGCAUAAUAUCCAUUCUUUGUACUCUAUGAUCAAGUGAAUGCUUUGACAACUCUUAUUAUAGGUUGAGUUUCACAUCUUUAUUGAUCCAUGGAUGUCCAUCAUGCCACUCAUAUCAUUUUUUGGAGUGAUAUGCAUGAUCUCUUUUAUGUAUAUUAUUAUAGUUUACUUAGUUUUUAUCUCCUCCAUUGCUAAGGGACUAGCAAUGAGUCGGUUGGGGGGUGUGAUUACUACCAAAAAGUGCUAUUUUGUAGAUCUAAUUAUAAUGGUUUUAAGCACCUUUGAGUAGUAAUCAUAUUCAUUUAACCCAAUCAAUUCAUUAAGGUCCUUAGUAAUUGGUUUUAACCAUUUUGUGGCAAGUUUACAUGUUUUUAUCAGCUUAUGAAUCGAUUCAAGCAUGCCAAAUGAUGGAGGAGCUACUUGGACAAGUUAAAGCAAGGAUUUUGGAAGUUUACAGGCUUGAAUUUUAAGUGGAAACACGAGCACAAGUAAUGGAGAAGAGGAAAACAGAGUGAAGAAAACAGAGGACAGCAUCUGCAGUUUUAUUUUGCACUUUUGGAGCACUUCCCGAAGUCCAUUUUCUACAUUCUUUAUACCAUUUCAAAUCUCAGGAAGUCAAGAAUCCAAUGCUUCAAACGGUGUGCGAUUCGGAGUUGAAACGAAGGAGUUACAGCCAUUGCAAGCAGAUCACUCCAAGCUGUUUUUGCACGGCUGCGAAAUCAGCCUUUUGUUGCGAGAAUUUCGCAGCCAUUUUGCAUAGUGCACGGGUGUUCUCCUGAAGCUUCCUGAUAGUUGCGACCGACACUUUUAGAUCUUUUCUUCAGAUAUUUUUGUAUAAAUUUCCAUUCUUCUCCUUGUAAGCCACCAACCAUAAGAUUUCUUAAUUAGGAAGGUUGGAAAAACGUCUCUAUAUAUAUUCCCUUGCAUCCACUGUAUAUAAAAAAUAUGUAAUAUCGAUCAAUAUAUAAUAUAUCUACAGAGCACUUGCUCUGUUUUUCAUUCAUAUUCUUGUUUUCAUUUUCAUUUUCAUUUUCUAGCCAACCAAACUCUAAGGAUUUUUCCUCAGAGGAUGAGAGGCUAAGCUCUUUAUCUCUUGGAGUGAAGAAAGCCGGGUAAGUUUCCACAUGCAUAAAUUGGAAGUUUUGUUGUUUUAGUUUUUAAUGAAGAGAAAGUGUGACCCGUUAAUGGUUUUUAUCUUUUUAGUUAACUUAAAACGCCUUUAAAUCACCUGGGCCAACACUUGGUAAGGCAAGUGAUUUCCGUCCAUGGAGAUUCACUAGUUUACCCCUUGCGAGCCUUUGGGAGGUGACUUGAAGGUAGGAUUUUCUAGAAUAGCCAACACUUGGUAAGCUUUUGAACUCCAAGGAGACAUCCAUUAGUUAUCUCUUGCGAGCUUUUGACGGGUAAUCCAAGGUUAAAGAUCACCUUGAAUGGCAAGUGCUAGGUGAGAGGUAUGAGCCAUUGCAUGGUGCAUCAGUGAGAGGGAUUUAGUGUUUGAACCCAUUAAUGGGAAGCAUCUGUACAACACCGGUUGGAGAAGGAACUAUAUGUUAAUUCUCUAAUGCGAGGAAAAGAAACAAGUGACCGGAACUCUCCAUUUUUGUAUGAGGAAUCUGAGCCUAGUGAUCUGAAACUCCAAGAAACAUCUUUUCUUUGUAAGUAAAAUCAGUUACUAUUUUUGGUUAGUUUAAAACCGAACUUUUUCCAUUUAAACAAGUUUAUGUUUUCUUUUAAAGCUAACCUUGAAAUGAAAAGGCACCAAUUCAACUUUGAAUUAAUAUCAUUUGUGAAGUGAAAACUCAUCCUAGUGAACGAUCCUAGAGCCACUAUGCUAUAGUAGCUUUGUCUUUGCUACCCUAGUAUAUGGUGUAAUAGGUUAAAAAUUUUGUUGAUUACUCCCUCAUUCAAGGAGCACCAGCUGGACACAAAUCAGCUGAGACACCAAUUGGGCACGAAUCAUAUGCUCAACCUAUUUAUUGACAAACUACCAAGGGCUAGUGCUAAGGUAAACACCCAGCACUUGCAUCAUACUCUCUCUUCUCUGCCCUCUUUAGUUGUUUUCCAAAGUUCAUAUAUAAUGUCUUUAUCAUUCAAGUUUUCAUUUUCAACCACUUUUUAAACUUUUGUCUUUUUAUGGUUUUUACACGACAAUCCAUUUCUAAGAAAUUAUUGUACUAUAUUUAUAAAUCUUAUCUUUUUGUUCUUAUAGACAAUAGAACAACGUGGUAAUUGCAUGACAUACAAUUUGUAAUAGAUGGUCAACUAUAUAUUAAGUAAUCUUUAAUUGCCUUGGAGUUGAAACGUUUGAUGUUGAUAAGGUUUGAUAAUUCUCGCUUUGGUGCUUUGUUGGAUUUCAAUUCAGGUGAUUAAUUGAUCUUGUUAUAAUUCUUUGAUUGUUAUUAUAACUAUCGUGAUAAUCAUUCUUAUUUUAUUGUGGUAAUUGACUUCACUAACUUUUUAACAAUUAUAUCAUGAGUGAAAUGCCCAACCUAUUAUUGUUAGUAUUCCAUUAACAUACCUCUAAUGCCACCACUAAUAAACAUCAUGUAUUUAUAUUUAUAACACGUUUCAUUACUGAAAUAAUUUAAUAUUUUCAAAUUUCUUUUUAGAGUGUGAGAAAUAACCAUUAAUCUUUACAACAACAUAAGUAUCAUUGAUUUGAUAUUGCUUUCUUGAGUAAUUUGGCAAUUUAAUUAUGAAGUUUAGUUGGACAUUACUUGAGAUUCAUGUCUUAUGUAUAUGGUAUAUUUUCCAAACUUCAAUUAUAUUUAGUAGACUUGUAAGUGGUGUUUGUCUAUGAGUUUCAACUCUUGAAAACUAUUAUUGGAGCCUAAGUUCACUUUCAGUAAGGAAAAAAAAAAAAAACAACCUUUUCCUCAAUUGUGUAAUUUUAUUCACUAUUGACAUGCCCUUAAAUGGCAUUGCUAUUAUUUGUAGGGAACAUUGUCAAGUUCCAUAUUUGUCUAGAAAGUUAGAAGAAGUAUUUAAUUUGACAUGGUUUGGACAUCUUGCUACUAUCUUUUUAAAUUAGUUAUCAAUAAUUUUUCAAAGUUGACCUUUUUGUUUAUCUCAUACUCCUUUUAUAUUAAAAGGUACCGCAUGGGUAUUAUGUAGAGGAAUCAUGCCUUCUUUAAUUGAGGUGAGCCUCUUGCAAAAUAUUUCAGGUUUGCUCUCAUUCCAUUUGUUACUUCAUGUCUAUUUUUUUGUAAUCAAUCAAGCAAGAGUUUCUUACUUGUACAAUGGUAAACUUGCUUGCAUGAAUAAUAAUCUUUUUGCUAUUUUUUUCUUUCUUUAUUAUAUUCAUUGAUACGCUUAGAAGUGAAUAGUGAACCAAGUUUUUUGUUAAAAGAAAUCAAAUAUUGGUAAUUAUUUAGUAUCAUGUUUGUAAUAAUCAAUUAUUGAUUGUAAAGAUACUUGGCUUAAUCAAUUAUUAUAUUGAAAUCAAUUUAGUACUAUGACUAAUACCAAAAGGAUAAUAUUUAGUCUUGUUUGACCAUUAGUCACUAUUCUAGAGACAAAUGCUCACAAGUUUUGCAUCUUUGAAGCAUAUGAGAAAAGUUGGUUCAACUAUAUCACCAACUUACAAGCUCCUUAUAGUGUCCAUAUAUAUAACCUUCGUUGUUCAGGUUUAUGAUUCAUAUCUAAUUUUUUUUUUCAUCUUUUUAUUGUUUAUAAUUUUUUAAUUGAUUUGUUUAUAAAUUUUUAAACUUUAUUGGCAAUACUAAUUUUUUUUUAUUCUCAUGUGCAAUAGAAUAAUAAGUUGAAUAAGAAGCAUAAACUACUUAAUUGGUAUAACCGUUUACUCAAUUCUCUUCUCAGAUAUUUUUGUUCAAGGUAAUCAAAGUAUCAUUCUUUUUAUUUUUAAAGGUACUUGAACUCAGUGAGGACCAUUCCCAAAACACGCAAUCACUACAGUUGGAUUACUGAUAUCAUAUCCUUGAUUGACAUCUAUGCCAUUACAUUUGCAUCUAAAGGAUUUAUGAGGAAAAAAAUAUCUUCUUUAUUUCCAUUUUCCUUCCUUCUUUUGACCAUAAUUUGUGUGCUUAUUGGUAGCAUUCAUACCCUAAUAUAUUUGCUAGCAUAUAUAUGCAUAUCAUAAUCUAUUGAAUUUUUUAGCAUAAGGUCUUAGAGUAUUCACAUAUCUCUAGGUUCUAUAUAUUUAUAAUUUUUACAACAUCAAAUGAAGUAUAUGAACCUUAACCUGAAGGUGAAGUCUCUUUAAAGGGAGUUUCAACAUGUUAGCAAUUACCUAACUUAAUAAUCUAACAAUUUGGAACUCUAUAUAAUUUUGCAACUCUUUCAUAAAGUAAUUGUGUUACCUUUAUUCACAUUUUCUAUCUUUAUUUUUAAAAAAAUGAAUUGGUAAUUGUGUGUCAAAUCUUGCUUACAAUCAUUAAUAGGUACUUAUAUGCUAAAUGGAUAAAGUUAUUUUACAAUUGUUUCAAAAUAUUUGGAAUAUAUAUAUAUAUAUAUAUAUAUAUAUAUAUAUAUAUAUAUAUAUUUAUAGAUGUAAUCACUACCAAGCCAAUGCGAAAAGCUAUAACAAUGAGGAUUACAAAGCUUCAAUUAUGUCUUGGAGACUCAUAUUGACAAGUUGUAAAUGGUGGGUGAAGUCUCUUUAAAAGGAGCUUCAACAUGUUAGCAGUUACCAAACUUAAGAAUCUAACAACUUGGCACUAUAUAUCAUUUUGCAACUCUUUCAUAAAGUAAUUGUGUAACCUCUAUUCACAUUUUCUAUCUUUAUUUAAAAAAAAAAAAAUGAAUUGGUAAUUGUGUGUCGAAUCUUGCUUACAAUCAUUAAUAGGUACUUAUAUGCUAAAUGGAUAAAGUUAUUUUACAAUUGUUUCAACAUAUUUGACACACAAGUACCUAUUAAUAAGUAUAUAUUUAUAGAUGUAAUCAUACCUAGCCAAUGCGAAAAGCUAUAACAAUGAGGAUUACAACGCUUCAAUUAUGUCUUAGAGAUUCAUAUUGACAAGUUGUAAAUGGUGGGUGAAGUCUCUUUAAAAGGAGCUUCAACAUGUUAGCAGUUACCAAACUUAAGAAUCUAAUAGCUUGGCACUAUAUAUCAUUUUCCAACUCUUUCAUAAAGUAAUUGUGUAACCUCUAUUCACAUGCUCUAUCUUUAAUUUUUUUUUUAUAAAAAAAAUUUAAUUGGUAAUUGUGUGUUGAAUCAUUCUUACAAUAUUUAAUAGGUACUUAUACACUAAAUUGAUAAAGUUAUUUUACAAUUGUUUCAACAUGUUCUGAAAACAAAAAAGAUUAAUAAGUAUAUUUUUUCUAGAUGUAAUCACUACCAAGCCAAUGUGAAAAGCUAUAACAAUGAGGCUUACAAAACUUCAAUUAUGUUUUGGAGAUUCAUAUUGAAAGUUGUAGAUUAUGGAUGUAUAGUAUAGGAGUUAGAUUGAGUUUAUCAUUCUAUCUUUGACAUCUUAGUUUUCUAUUUAUUGUCCCUCAUAUAUAUUUGUCAUCUAUUCUUUACAACCAAUUUUUUAAGGACUUCUAUAUUUGUUUAAAUUUAUAUAUAUAUUUUUAUUUGUACUAGAACUUCACCAAGCUACAAAAGCAUCACAAGUUUUGCAAUUGGAGUUCAUGGAUCGGGUAUUUUAGUAGUUUUUGAACUUGAAAUUUUUUAAUGAUACUAAUGAGGAUGUUUACCUUGAUUAAUUUAACACUUAUAUUGCAAAUAUCUAUAUAGGAGUUCUAUACAUUUAUUUAAACAUUUAUAGACAUAUUUAUCCUCUUUCUAGCACAUUCUAAUGAUAUUUUUAACAUUGAUAUAAAUUGUUUGCUUGAAGGUUUCAACUAUUGAAAAUUAUUAUUCAAGCCUAAUGUUAAUCUUUUUCUAUAGUGGAUUUCAAAUAAUAAAUUAUUAUUUGAUUAUUUGUAGGGAAAAUAAACAACUUCUAUGUUUGAUAAGAAAGAAGAUAGAGUAGAUCAAUUUCACAAUAUACGAAUGCUACGCUUUCUAUACUUUUAAAGAUGGUUACAAUUGGCUUUCUAUACUUAACAAGUACAUCUUAGCUAAAAGUGAAAAAAUGUUUCUCUUUGCACAUGCCUUCACUACUAUUUUAAUUGCUAUCUUAAUAUGUUAUGGAAAAACCACGCAAAUAACAAUAAUAAGGAGAAGAAAUAAAAGAACAAAAAUAGAAAACUUAUAAAGUAGGACGAUUUAUGUGGUGUGGCCUAAAACCUACAUUUAUCUGUGAAAAUGAAGAUGAGCUUCCACUAUUAUUAAAGAAGAUUACAAUCCUAAAGCUCUCAAAUCUCAUGAUUACACUAAAAAUGGACUUUUUUUUUUAAAUCAAAAUCUCUUCCUUUAUUUUCUUGAUUAUAUAAGAAUAUUCCAUAGAGAAUUAAUUGUGUAAUUAUCAAAGAUAACUAUUCCUAAAAGAAAAAUCUUAUAAUAUGAUAUUUCCUUUAGAAUAAAAGAAAAAUAUCUUAUAUAAAUAUAUCAUAAUAGGAAAAUAUUAAAGACUUAUAAAUUGACUCAAAACAAUUUGAAAUAUUUUUCAACAAUCUCCACAUUGGCUCAAAUUCUCAAUAUUCAAAUAAACUCAAAAGUCUUCUAUGUUACUUUGCUCUUAUACACCCUUAAGGGAACUUCAAGUAAUAUCAAUACCAAUUAAGUCUAAGCAAUGCAUAAACUUAAUCAUAGAAAUAAGUUUAGCCAUCAUAUCUAUAAAAUUAUCAACUAUAGGGAUCUUUUUCAUUACAUUAGUACCUUGUUCAAUCACAUCUCUAAUAAAAUGCAUUCUAACAUCAAUAUGUUUGGUUCUCUCAUGUAACAUAUGAUUUUUAGUCAAAAGUAUGACACUUGGCUACCAUGAUAACAAUAAUCAAUGAUUGGAACCAAAUAAUUACAUUUUGUGUGCCUAAAAUUAGGCAUUCAUAUUUAAUAUCCAAUUCUAGUUUCAUCCCUUUACUCAAUUUUAUUCCUAAGUCCUUAAUUUUGGGUUUAAUGUAUUUUUUAAAUAUUUUNNNNNNNNNNNNNNNNNNNNNNNNNNNNNNNNNNNNNNNNNNNNNNNNNNNNNNNNNNNNNNNNNNNNNNNNNNNNNNNNNNNNNNNNNNNNNNNNNNNNNNNNNNNNNNNNNNNNNNNNNNNNNNNNNNNNNNNNNNNNNNNNNNNNNNNNNNNNNNNNNNNNNNNNNNNNNNNNNNNNNNNNNNNNNNNNNNNNNNNNNNNNNNNNNNNNNNNNNNNNNNNNNNNNNNNNNNNNNNNNNNNNNNNNNNNNNNNNNNNNNNNNNNNNNNNNNNNNNNNNNNNNNNNNNNNNNNNNNNNNNNNNNNNNNNNNNNNNNNNNNNNNNNNNNNNNNNNNNNNNNNNNNNNNNNNNNNNNNNNNNNNNNNNNNNNNNNNNNNNNNNNNNNNNNNNNNNNNNNNNNNNNNNNNNNNNNNNNNNNNNNNNNNNNNNNNNNNNNNNNNNNNNNNNNNNNNNNNNNNNNNNNNNNNNNNNNNNNNNNNNNNNNNNNNNNNNNNNNNNNNNNNNNNNNNNNNNNNNNNNNNNNNNNNNNNNNNNNNNNNNNNNNNNNNNNNNNNNNNNNNNNNNNNNNNNNNNNNNNNNNNNNNNNNNNNNNNNNNNNNNNNNNNNNNNNNNNNNNNNNNNNNNNNNNNNNNNNNNNNNNNNNNNNNNNNNNNNNNNNNNNNNNNNNNNNNNNNNNNNNNNNNNNNNNNNNNNNNNNNNNNNNNNNNNNNNNNNNNNNNNNNNNNNNNNNNNNNNNNNNNNNNNNNNNNNNNNNNNNNNNNNNNNNNNNNNNNNNNNNNNNNNNNNNNNNNNNNNNNNNNNNNNNNNNNNNNNNNNNNNNNNNNNNNNNNNNNNNNNNNNNNNNNNNNNNNNNNNNNNNNNNNNNNNNNNNNNNNNNNNNNNNNNNNNNNNNNNNNNNNNNNNNNNNNNNNNNNNNNNNNNNNNNNNNNNNNNNNNNNNNNNNNNNNNNNNNNNNNNNNNNNNNNNNNNNNNNNNNNNNNNNNNNNNNNNNNNNNNNNNNNNNNNNNNNNNNNNNNNNNNNNNNNNNNNNNNNNNNNNNNNNNNNNNNNNNNNNNNNNNNNNNNNNNNNNNNNNNNNNNNNNNNNNNNNNNNNNNNNNNNNNNNNNNNNNNNNNNNNNNNNNNNNNNNNNNNNNNNNNNNNNNNNNNNNNNNNNNNNNNNNNNNNNNNNNNNNNNNNNNNNNNNNNNNNNNNNNNNNNNNNNNNNNNNNNNNNNNNNNNNNNNNNNNNNNNNNNNNNNNNNNNNNNNNNNNNNNNNNNNNNNNNNNNNNNNNNNNNNNNNNNNNNNNNNNNNNNNNNNNNNNNNNNNNNNNNNNNNNNNNNNNNNNNNNNNNNNNNNNNNNNNNNNNNNNNNNNNNNNNNNNNNNNNNNNNNNNNNNNNNNNNNNNNNNNNNNNNNNNNNNNNNNNNNNNNNNNNNNNNNNNNNNNNNNNNNNNNNNNNNNNNNNNNNNNNNNNNNNNNNNNNNNNNNNNNNNNNNNNNNNNNNNNNNNNNNNNNNNNNNNNNNNNNNNNNNNNNNNNNNNNNNNNNNNNNNNNNNNNNNNNNNNNNNNNNNNNNNNNNNNNNNNNNNNNNNNNNNNNNNNNNNNNNNNNNNNNNNNNNNNNNNNNNNNNNNNNNNNNNNNNNNNNNNNNNNNNNNNNNNNNNNNNNNNNNNNNNNNNNNNNNNNNNNNNNNNNNNNNNNNNNNNNNNNNNNNNNNNNNNNNNNNNNNNNNNNNNNNNNNNNNNNNNNNNNNNNNNNNNNNNNNNNNNNNNNNNNNNNNNNNNNNNNNNNNNNNNNNNNNNNNNNNNNNNNNNNNNNNNNNNNNNNNNNNNNNNNNNNNNNNNNNNNNNNNNNNNNNNNNNNNNNNNNNNNNNNNNNNNNNNNNNNNNNNNNNNNNNNNNNNNNNNNNNNNNNNNNNNNNNNNNNNNNNNNNNNNNNNNNNNNNNNNNNNNNNNNNNNNNNNNNNNNNNNNNNNNNNNNNNNNNNNNNNNNNNNNNNNNNNNNNNNNNNNNNNNNNNNNNNNNNNNNNNNNNNNNNNNNNNNNNNNNNNNNNNNNNNNNNNNNNNNNNNNNNNNNNNNNNNNNNNNNNNNNNNNNNNNNNNNNNNNNNNNNNNNNNNNNNNNNNNNNNNNNNNNNNNNNNNNNNNNNNNNNNNNNNNNNNNNNNNNNNNNNNNNNNNNNNNNNNNNNNNNNNNNNNNNNNNNNNNNNNNNNNNNNNNNNNNNNNNNNNNNNNNNNNNNNNNNNNNNNNNNNNNNNNNNNNNNNNNNNNNNNNNNNNNNNNNNNNNNNNNNNNNNNNNNNNNNNNNNNNNNNNNNNNNNNNNNNNNNNNNNNNNNNNNNNNNNNNNNNNNNNNNNNNNNNNNNNNNNNNNNNNNNNNNNNNNNNNNNNNNNNNNNNNNNNNNNNNNNNNNNNNNNNNNNNNNNNNNNNNNNNNNNNNNNNNNNNNNNNNNNNNNNNNNNNNNNNNNNNNNNNNNNNNNNNNNNNNNNNNNNNNNNNNNNNNNNNNNNNNNNNNNNNNNNNNNNNNNNNNNNNNNNNNNNNNNNNNNNNNNNNNNNNNNNNNNNNNNNNNNNNNNNNNNNNNNNNNNNNNNNNNNNNNNNNNNNNNNNNNNNNNNNNNNNNNUCAAGCAAGUACCCACAUAUGCAAAGUUUUUGAAGGACUUGUGCACUGUGAAAAGAUGACUCAAUGUUACAAAGCAAGCCUUCCUAUCCGAGCAAGUGAGUGCUAUAAUCCAAUGCAAGUCUCCAAUCAAAUACAAAGAUCCGGGGUGUCCUACAAUCUCAGUCAAUAUUGGAGGAACCCAAGUGGAGAAGGCAUUGCUUGAUUUGGGGGCAAGUGUUAACUUACUUCCAUACUCUGUAUACAAGGAGCUGGGGUUGGGAGAACUCAAGCCAACAUCGAUCACCCUAUCCUUAGUUGACCGAUCAGUGAAAAUCCCCAAGGGGGUAAUAGAGGAUGUAUUGGUUUAAGUUGACAAAUUCUACUAUCCAGUAGAUUUUAUGGUGCUUGAUACGGAUCCCAUUGUCAAAGGGAUCAACUAUGUUCCAAUCAUCCUUGGAAGACCAUUCCUUGCAACAUCCAAUGCAAUAAUCAAUUGUAGGAAUGGGGUCAUGCAACUCACUUUUGGGAAUAUGACAUUGGAACUCAACAUCUUCCAUCUAUGUCAAAAGCACAUCCAUCCUGAAGAAGAUGAGGGCCCAGAAGAAGUGUGUAUGAUAGAUACCCUGGUGGAGGAGCAUUGUAAUCAGAGUAUGCUUGAUCAGUUUGAAGAGAAUCCAAAUGAAAGACAUGAAGAUCUUGAUGAUGGGUUAGCUGAACCCAUGGGAAUGAAUGCCGUUAUGUCAAACUGGAGACAAAAGCCAGUGAUCCUCCCUUUGUUCAAGGAUGAGGAAGAGAUGAAAGAAGCUAAGGAUGCAAUCCUUAAGCUUGAAUUGAAGACCCUUCCUGCCGAGUUGAAGUAUGCUUACUUGGAGGAAGGCAAUAAAGCCCCGGUGGUAAUUUCUUCUUCUUUAACCAUUUCACAAGAGGACAAUCUUCUAAGAAUCCUUAGAAAGCACAAGAAGGCCAUCGGAUGGCAAAUUUCUGAUUUGAAGGGGAUAAGCCCAUUGAUUUGCACGCACCAUAUUUAUAUGGAAGAGGGAGCUAAGCCAACUCGUCAGCCACAGAGGAGAUUGAAUCCUCAUAUGCAAGAGGUAGUAAGGGCUGAAGUGUUGAAGCUUCUUCAAGCGGGCAUCAUUUACCCCAUUUCAGAUAGCACUUGGGUGAGUCCAACCCAAGUUGUUCCAAAGAAGUCUGUGAUAACCAUAGUCAAGGGGAAAAAUGGAGAUGAAGUGUCCACACGCCUCACAACUGGUUGGAGGGUGUGCAUUGACUACAGGAAGCUGAACAUAGUAACGAGAAAGGAUCACUUCCCUUUACCUUUCAUGGAUCAAGUCCUUGAGAGAGUAUCUGGGCAUCCUUUUUAUUGCUUCUUGGAUGGGUAUUCCGGGUAUUUUCAAAUAGAGAUUGAUGUGGAGGACCAGGAGAAGACUACCUUCACUUGUCCAUUCGGCACCUAUGCUUAUAGGCGGAUGCCUUUUGGAUUAUGCAACGCUCCUGCUACCUUCCAAAGAUGCAUGCUUAGCAUCUUCAGUGACAUGGUUGAACGAAUCAUGGAAGUCUUCAUGGAUGACAUCACUGUGUAUGGGACUUCUUUUGAGGAUUGUUUGUCACAUCUUGAAGAUGUUUUGAAAAGAUGCAUAGAGAAAGACCUCGUACUCAAUUAGGAGAAGUGCCAUUUUAUGGUAAAUCAAGGUAUUGUUCUUGGGCACGUAAUCUCAAAGAAGGGUAUAGAGGUAGAUAGAGCUAAGGUGGAACUAAUUGUGAAGUUGCCACCUCCCACCAAUGUAAAAGGAAUAAGGCAAUUCCUUGGGCAUGCCGGGUUCUAUAGGAGGUUUAUAAAGGAUUUUUCCAAGAUUGCCAAACCUCUUUGUGAAUUAUUGGUGAAGGAUGCCAAGUUUGAGUGGGAUGAUAAAUGUCAAAGGAGUUUUGAGCUUCUUAAGCAAUUCUUGACAUCAGCGCCCAUUGUGAGAGCACCAAAUUGGGAGUUGCCAUUUGAAGUGAUGUGUGACUCAAGUGAUUAUGCCAUUGGGGCUGUUUUGGGACAAAGAGAAGAUGGUAAACCUUAUGUGAUCUACUAUGCAAGCAAGUCUUUGAACGAUGCUCAAAGGAAUUACACCACCACUGAGAAGGAAUUACUUGCUGUGGUGUAUGCUUUGGAUAAGUUCAGAGCUUAUUUGAUAGGGUCUUCCAUUGUGGUAUUCACGGAUCAUUCAGCUUUAAAGUAUUUGCUAACCAAGCAAGAUGCCAAGGCUAGGUUGAUUAGGUGGAUACUUUUGCUUCAAGAGUUCAACCUUCAGAUCAGAGAUAAGAAAGGUGUUGAGAAUGUGGUAGCUGACCACUUGUCAAGGCUCAACAUCGCUCAUGACACCCAUGGACUUCCCAUAAAUGAUGAUUUCCCUGAGGAAUCCUUGAUGCUUGUGGAGGAAGUGCCAUGGUUUGCACACAUUGGCAAUUACUUGGUCACGGGAGAAAUACCAAGUGAAUGGAGCUCUCAGGACAAGAAGAAUUUCUUUGCCAAGGUCCAUGCAUAUUAUUGGGAGGAGCCUUUUCUCUUCAAGUAUUGUGCGGACCAAAUUAUAAGGAAGUGUAUGCCUGAACAAGAGAAGCAUGGGAUCCUAUCUCAUUGCCAUGGGAAUGCAUGUGGAGGCCACUUUGCCUCUCAAAAGACGGCAAUGAGAGUUCUUCAAUCGGGCUUUUGGUGGCCCUCACUUUUUAAGGAUGCCCAUGAGGUAAGUAAGGGAUGUGAUAAGUGCCAAAGACUAGGCAAGCUUUCAAGGAGAAACAUGAUGCCUUUGAACCCCAUCUUGAUAGUGGAUCUUUUUUAUGUUUGGGGCAUAGACUUCAUGAGACCUUUCCCUAUGUUUUUUGGCCACUCCUACAUCUUGGUAGGAGUUGAUUAUGUUUCAAAGUGGGUUGAAGCUAUACCCUGUAGAACCAAUGAUCACAAAGUGGUUCUCAAGUUCCUAAAAGAAAACAUCUUCUCGAGGUUUGGAGUGCCUAAAGCAAUCAUCAGUGAUGGAGGCACUCACUUUUUCAACAAGCCCUUUGAAGCUCUUUUGGCCAAGUACGGAAUUAAGCAUAAGGUAGCUAGCUACACCUUAUCAUCCUCAGACGAGUGGCCAAGUAGAGUUAGCCAACCGGGAAAUUAAGAACAUCUUGAUGAAGGUGGUGAACACCAAUAGGAAAGAUUGGUCUGUUAAGCUCCUUGAUUCCCUAUGGGGGUAUAGGACGGCUUAUAAGACAAUCCUUGGGAUGUCACCGUACCAUCUUGUUUAUGGCAAAGCUUGCCAUCUUCCCGUUGAGAUUGAGUUCAAGGCAUGGUGGGCCAUUAAAAAGCUCAACAUGGAUUUAACUAAGGUUGGGCUAAAGAGGAGUUUGGAUUUGAAUGAGCUUGAGGAAUUGAGAAAUGAUGCCUAUUUCAACUCAAAAAUAGCUAAGGAAAAGCUAAAGAGAUGGCAUGAUCAGUUGGUGACCAAGAAAGAAUUUUUCAAGGGACAAAGAGUCUUGCUAUAUGACUUUAAGCUUCACCUAUUUCCGGGAAAGCUCAAAUCAAGGUGGGUAGGGCCUUUUUUCAUCCACCAAGUACACUCACAUGGAGUAAUUGAGUUACUCAACUCAAAAAGUGCAAAGAUCUUCAAGGUAAAUGGGCAAAGACUCAAGCCCUACAUCGAGCCAUUUUCCCGUGACAAGGAGGUACUCAUCCUCCAUGACCCAUCACAUCCUUGAGAAAGUGUGGUAAGUUGAUGAGCUUAGCAUGAAAAGCUAAGUGCUCAUCUCUUUUUGUUUUAAUUUUAGUAUUACAUUCUUGUUUACUUUGCAUUUUUAAUACUUUUGCACAUAUUUUGUUUAGGUUUCUUAGUUUUGAUUUUGAUUUUUUAUGUUUUUAAUGGAGCUUUGAUGUCCAAUAGCAGGUACGAAAGCUCACAAGCUCACAAAUGUGGAGAGAAAGGUGAAAUAGGGGAGAAAUAUAUCUAAGUCCAAGCUUAAAAGCCCAUUUCGCAACUCAAAAAGUGAGUUGCGAAAAUUUGGCAAGGUGAAUUUCACCUUACGAAAUGCACAUUUUGGCAAGAUGCAAUUUACAACCUCUCGGGAUUGCACUUUUGCAAGGAGUAACCAGUGCGAAAAUUUUCGCAAGUCAUUUUUCACCUUGCAAAAUUGUUUUCAAAGCAAAUAUCAAAAUGCAACCUCUCGGGAUUGGUUUUUAAGGGGAGUAGCUAGUGCGAAAAUUUGGCAAGGUGAAUUUUCACCUUGCGAAAUUUUUUCUUCAUGCUUACCAAAGAUUUGAUUCUUUUUAAAUUCAUUUUCAAACUUCAAUUUUAUAGUUUUAACACUCCUCAGUUCAUCCCCGUACUUAGACAAAUUUUCAAAAAAAAAUUUCAUGGCCAAAAACCCUUUUUAAAGCCUUCUCAACUUCAUUUUUCAUGCAUAAAACGCUAUUCCCCUUGCAUUUCCUCUCUAGGCCGCGUGCUUCAUUGUUCCAAGGUGAGUAAUUUUUCAUUUUUCUCCAUUUUUGGCUCUUUAAAUUGCUUGUUUAUAUCAUUUCUAUGUUUUAGGAACCAUAAACAUGCAUUUUCAUCCAUUAAAACCAUUUCAAAAAUCCAUUUUUUCAAAUCAAAGACCCACAUGGCCGGCCACCAUUUUUGCAAAAAUCUCUAUCUUGCAAUGUGUUUUAGGCUCCCAAACUUACUCCAUUGCAUUUAGAAUCAUGUUUCCAUUAAAACCAUACCCUUUUUCUGAAUUUUAAACCGUUAAAAAUGAAAACUCAAAUUCAAAGUAAGCAUUGGAGAAGAAGAUGAAUAGUGCCUGUGAAUAGUGCUGCGUGAAUAGUGCCCGUUGCCAAAUUUAGCAACCACUAUUCAUGCCUUGCAAAUUUUGCACUGGUUACCAUUUCAACUGUAUUUUUGACACUUUACCCCUAGGAUGCUCUAUUUUUCGUGCUUUUCAGUCUUAUUUCAGUAUUUAUACCAUGGCACGGACAUGGGGGGCAUCCUCUUCAGCUAGUCAACGUGGGGCCCACUCACAGAGAGGUGGUCAUUCUACACCAUCUCAGCCUGCCCAAACCCUAGUUCCCUCUACUCAGCAUGGGUACGGGACCAGACGAUCAUCUGGGUCUUCCAGGGCACUAGUGCCACCCCCUAUGAGCAGUCCUCCACCUAAGAGGACUAGGAUUUCAAGACCAGGCGAGUCCUCCAGAGCCCCUCCAUCACCUCCAACAUCUACUAUCCCAGGCUCUUCACACCUAGCAAAGGUCCUCAAGCGGCCUAUGAUAGUAGGGCCACCCCUCCCAGGCAACACGGAGAUUAGAGAUAGGUCAUUUCACGAUGAGAUCUGUAUGGAGCAUAAGACUCUCCGCCUAUUACCAGAGCUAGAGGAGUCAUACCGCCUUCUGCAGAGGUACCACAUCGAGCCAUUUAUGACUCCUAGGUCCUUCUAUUACCCUAGGGUAGUCUUAGAUUUCUACCAGACUAUGACUACUAGAGGCGUCCAGGACCCCAUAGCCAUUCAUUUUUUGAUUGAUGGCCAGCAUGGUAUUUUAGAGGCCCGAGAUAUAGCCGCCACUAUGCAUUUUCCGCCUAUCCCUGAGGACCUUGGUUCCUUCCGGCAUUGGUCUCAGUAUUCAGAGCCCGACAUGGUGUCUACCUUAUUAGGAGGUAGAGUCACUGGUAGGACCAUUUUGAGGAGGGAGCUUCCUCCACGGAUGUUACUUAUCGAUUUGGUGCUCCGCACCAAUCUUUUUCCACUCCAGCAUGUCGUCCAGAGGAGAGGUGCUAUCCUAGAUGCGCUUUACCGCAUCUUUGAGGGAUUCUACUUUGGACCCCACCAUCUAGUUAUGGCUGCUCUUACCUAUUUUGAGGAGAAGGUGCAUAGGAAGCGCCUACGCAGAGCUGGUACUAUUCCACUCUUAUUUCCGAGGCUGAUCUCUCAGGUCUUAGAGGAUAUGGGAUACCCUUCUCAGCCCCACCUAGAGCGUCGUCAUCAUUGUCGAGAGCUCUUUACCAGUGAGAGUUGGACCCAUUUCUUAGACCGCUCACCCAUGGACCAGGGUAUCCCUAGACCAUUAGCUCCCGCGCCUCCAGCUUCUCCAGCGCCUCCCGAUUCUCCAGCAACCUCAGCACCUACAGUACAAACAUCACCAGAGCAAGACCCACAUACCACAGAGCCUUCUUCUUCAGUACCUGCUCCAGUGACUUGUACUACUGAUACUCCCACACCACCAGUCACUCCUGCUCCAGCCUAUGCUGAGUCUUCAGCCGGGCAAUCCAUCACUGUCCCCCACUACAGAGUUCAGAGCUCUCAUGUCGUCCUUUCACUCAUUGAGCGCCUCUCAGGCCACCUUAGUCUGUGAGAUGCAGGCCAUCAGACGACAGAUGGAUACCAUACAGACACAUCAAGCUCAGCAUACAACUAUUCAGGCUCAGCAUACAGCUAUCCUGGACCAGCACUUUGCCAUGCUCUCUCAGAUCCACCAUCACCUGGGCAUAUCACCUCCUCCACCUCAGGAGCCACAUCCAUGAUUGGAUAUUUCUAUCUCCAUUUUGUAUAUGUUUUUUGUAUAUGAUACAUGUUUUAUAUUCUGAGGUUGUAUGUACCUCAUGCUUAUAUCUUGUACUCAACUCUCUCAGUUUAUAUAAGCAUCAUUUUUUGUAUCUUAUUUCCUCUCUCACGUUUCUUAUGGUUUUUGAAUCAUGUGGAUGCACUCACACGCCUUGAAUACCACAUCACCAUAAGGUAUAUCAUUCCUUCCUCGUCUUUUUCGAUAGAAACAUUGGGGACAAUGUUCAUCUCGGUUGGGGGGAGAGUUGAGGAAGUAAGUAUUUCCUAUUUUAGUUAGUUAUUUUGUUGAUUUAGUAGUUUUUGACCUUUUUCAAAUUUUUUUGUUUCAUUCUCUAUGGUUGUUAAAGAUAAUUUCUCAAAAUAAAAUAGGAUAAGUCGAGUUUUAACUUAAUUACUUAAGUCUUAGAGUUUGUUUUAUGCUUUCAAAGUUGAUAAUCUAUUGAAGCCCUCUUUGAUUUCGAACUUAUUUCUUUCAUUUCAAGCUUUACACACACCGUGCACAUUAGAUCCCGGAUAUAUGAUGUAAAACUUUCUCACCCUCUAAGCUUAGGAAAAUUUUGACUUGGUUCAUUACUUAACCUCUUUUUAAUAGUGUUGGGACACCUCAAAAAUACCAAUGAGUUUUAAAAAAAAAAAAAAAAAAAAAAAAAAAAAAAAAAAAAAAAAAAAAAAAAGAAUAAGCUUCUAUUCUUUCCUUGAAACCUAAGCAUGAUCCGAAGGGGUGGCGAAAGCCUUUAAAACCCGAUGCCCUAAACCUUGAUUGGUUGGGAGUCAUUGAUCCUCUGCUUGCUACAUAGGUGAAUUGGUUAAGUUUAGUGAGUAAAAAGAAUUGUGAAUAAGAAGGUGCAUUCCUAACCUAUUAAGAGUUGGUUAAUUUUGCCAAAGUUCGAAAAAAGCUUAGGUUGGGGGGAGAGGAUAGUUGUACAUACUAUAUCCGAAAGCUAAUCUCAUUAAUACUUAGCUCAUUAUGGAAGAGUUUGAUCCGGAACCUUGAGAGUAGAGAUUCUUUUGAUACUUAAUUGCAUAAUCUCCACUCUUUGUACUUUUUGUUUAAGUUUUAGCUUUGACAACUCCUAUUGCAUUUUGAAUCUUCAUAUCUUUANNNNNNNNNNNNNNNNNNNNNNNNNNNNNNNNNNNNNNNNNNNNNNNNNNNNNNNNNNNNNNNNNNNNNNNNNNNNNNNNNNNNNNNNNNNNNNNNNNNNACUAUUUCAAUUGGUUGGUAAAGUUGAGAAAAGCUUCCACCAACCUCGCCAUUAAGUUGUGCUCCUUGCUCCAAUUUCUAAUUUUGCUUCCUACCCUCUUCUGGAGUUAGUGUGGAAAUGACUUUAUACAAGGGAGACGAAGGUUGGUUUUAAGUAAGGUAGCUUAUUUGUAAACUUGUAUUUUCUUUAUUCAGGCGGUAGUUCUCAUUUCUUAGCCUUGAUUUUCAAUUUUGAUCCUCUUGUCUUGUGAUUACUACCGAAAAGUGCUAUUUUGUAGACCUAAUUAUAAGGGUUUUAAGCACCUUUGAGUAGUAAUCAUAUUCAUUUAACCUAAUUAAUUCAUUAAGCUCCUUAGUAAUUAGUUCUAACCAUUUUUAGUGGCAAGUUUACAUGUUUUUCAUCAGCUUAUGAACCAAUUCAAGCAUGCCAAUUGAUGGAGGAGCUACUUGGGCGAGUUAAGCAAGGAUUUUGGACGUUUACAGGCUUGAAUUUCAAGUGGAAACACGAGCACAAGCAAUGGGAACACCAUUUCGCAAGGGGAGGCAAUUCACUUGCCAAAUGACCAAUUUCGCAAGGGGAUUUUCCUCAUGGUGCGAAAUUUGGCCAUUUCGCACCAUGAAGAAACCACCUUGCGAAAUUUGGACCUUUCAUCUUCCCCUUGCAAAAUGCCUUUGAAAUCCUCUGUUUUGAGACGCUGUUGAUGAUAUUCCACUGCCGGUUCUCCAAGAUAUUUUGCUUGACUUUUAGCUUUGUAAAUACCUAUUUUACCCUUGUAAUCAACCAAUGAAAAGGUUGCUUUUGUAAUAGCUCUUGUAAUUUAGCUUUUUAUUGUCUUUAAAUAGAGGUGAAGAGCCUCAGACACGAUCAUCUUGUAACCUGUAACUUUAUAAGUUAUAAGAGCACUUUUGUUCAUACGCUUCUUUUCUCUUUUCUUUCUCAUUUUCUUAGUAGCCAAACAUCCUUGGAGGAUGAAAUCCCCAAGGAUGAGAGGCUAAAACCUUUUAUUUUCUUGAAGUAAUGGAUGCCAUGUGAAGCUCCCGUGUUAGGAUGGAGAUUUCCAAGCCAUAAAUGUAAGUAGCUAAGCGUCAUAAAUGUUUUUAUUCAAAGUAAAGCUUUUAAUCCCUCUGACUUGCUUUGAAUGGCCAAUACUUGAUAACCUUUUGGUCUCAGUGGAUUUUAUUGUUAGAUCCAUUGACGUUCAUUAAUUAUCUCCUACGAGCCAUUGUAUUGCAAGUCAAGGAGAUGACCUAUACCAAUAAAAGAGCAUUUAUGAGGUUCAGCUACCCUUUUUGCAAGUUUUCAAGGACUAAAACUCAGUUGUUAAACUCGUACCGGUUCGGGAAGUAAGCAUCACCUUAGUUACUUCCCCAACUCGAGGUGAAAAGUCCCAAAAUCUCCAUUUUUACACAGUGAGUUAAGCAUGGCAAUCCAAAGCUUUGAGAAACUUCUUUUUCCAUCUUUUAACCUAUUUUCAUGUUAGUUUAGUUUACAACACCUUCAUCUUUUUAUGUUUUCAUCUUAACCUAAUUUUUAUUAAGAAAAGUUCACUCCAUCCUCCGAACUUCACCAGUUAAAGUAAAAACCCUUCCGAAUGUUCGAUCCUAGAGCCACUAUGCUAUAGUAGCUUUGCUACUUUAGUGUAAGGACCUUAGGUAUAAAUUUUGUUGAUACCCUUACAUGCCAAGCUACCAAGAAUCGGGUUAUCAAAUGGUGUCGUUGUCGGGGAAGGUGCUACUUCACUGUGAAUACAUCAGCCGGAGGUAACUUGUGAGACUUCUCAUGAGUGAGGUGAAUUCUAUCUCAUUUUUCAUUUACUAACUUUUUAUUUUAGUUUUAGAACAUUUUUAACUUAGUUUAGAUAAGUUUCUUUUAGCUUUUAACUUUCAUUUUUAGUUUAUUUUUCAUACUCUGUUUUUCUUUCCGCAUGCUCUGUUUUUUUUCUUUUUCUUUGUUUUGUUUAUUUGUUUUGUUCCAGCUGAAUCCGUGCAUGCCCUAUUGGAUUAGAGACCAAGAGGAAAGGUUAAUGUGGAUAGAGACUCCACGAGCUACUGAAUUAGAGAUUAUUUUGGAAGUCAUGGAGAAUCAUCCAGAGGAUCAGCAUUCACAACACGGGCAGGAGAAUGAUCCGAACUUGUAUAGGUCCAUGAGGGACAGGAUGCACCCUCCGAGGAUGAGUACACCAUCUUGCAUCAUUCCUCCUACAGAGCAAUUGAUUAUCAGGCCACACAUCGUGCCUCUACUUCCUCCUUUCCAUGGGAUGGAAAGUGAAAAUCCAUAUGCGCACAUAAAGGAAUUCGAAGAUGUGUGCAAUACUUUUCAAUAAGGGGGAACAACUAUUGAGCUUAUGAGGUUGAAGCUCUUUCCAUUCACAUUAAAGGACCAAGAUAUGGCUCAAUUCCUUGAGGCCGAGAAGCAUAAGAACAUGGACAAAACUUCAAGCUGAUUUUUUGAAGAAGUUUUUCCCUACUCACAGAACAAAUGGAUUGAAGAGACAAAUCUCCAACUUCUCAGCAAGUGAGAAUGAAAAAUUUUAUGAAUGUUGGGAGAGGUAUAUGGAGGUCAUCAAUGCAUGUCCUCACCAUGGCUUUGAUACAUGGCUUUUGGUGAGCUAUUUUUAUGAUGGCAUGUCAACUACAAUGAAGCAGAUAUUGGAGACAAUGUGUGGGGGUGAUUUCAUGAGCAAGAACCCUGAGGAGGCUAUGGAUUUCCUAAGUUAUGUCUCAGAGGUUUCCCGUGGAUGGGAUGAGCCCAAUAACAGAGAAAUGGGGAAGAGACCAGUUCAGCAAAUGUCAAGAGGGGGGAUGUACAAUCUGAGUGAAGACAUGGAGAUGAAAGCCAAGGUAGCUGCCAUGGCUAGAAAAAUAGAGGAAAUGGAGUUGAGAAAAGUUCACGAAGUCCAAGCUAUUUCAGAACCUCAACAACAAGCCAAUCCUUGCUCCAUCUGUCAGUCAUUUGAACAUAUGGUGGAAGAAUGUCCACCAUUCCAGCAGCAAGAGAAAUGUUCGGGGAACAAGCUAACCUGAUUGGCCAAUGGAAGCCAAAUUCAAAUGCUCCCUAUGGCAACACGUACAACUCUAGCUGGAGGAACCACCCAAACAUUUCAUGGAAGCCAAGGCCAAACCCAUAUCAGUCACCAGCCUAAUCAAGCCAACAGAGUCAAGGUCAAUCCUCAGUUGAGCAAGCACUCAUAAACCUUAGCAAGGUUAUGGGUGACUUUGUGAGUGAGCAAAAAUCCAUCAACUCUCAACUAAAUCAGAAGAUUGACAACGUAGAGAGUACAUUGAACAAGAAGAUAGAUGGGAUGCAUGAUGAGUUGUCUCAAAAAAUUGACAACAUCCAAUAUUCCAUCUCAAGGCUCACAAAUUUGAACACUGUCAAUGAGAAAGGGAAGUUUCCCUUUCAGCCUCACCAAAAUCCUAAGGGAAUACAUGAAGUGGAAUCCAAAGAUGAGGAUUCUUCAAAGGUGAGGGACGUGCAAGCUAUUAUCACUUUGAGAAGUGGAAAGGAAGUGCAUCAGCCGGAGCAUGAUCAGAGGAAAGCCAAAGAAGACAAGGCUGAUAGAAAAGAAGAAAAGAAGAAAGAACAAAAGGGAAAGGAAGUUCAGAUGAAAUAAAGCAUGGAUGAGGAACCUCAAAUUCUUUUAAAGGAAGGCAUGAUGAAGAAGCACAUGCCUCCUCCAUUUCCUCAAGCCUUGCAUGGGAAGAAACCGAUCAAGAAUGCUUCUGAGAUUCUUGAUGUGCUAAGACAAGUGAAGGUGAAUAUUCCUUUACUUGAUAUGAUCAAGCAAGUACCCACAUAUGCAAAGUUUUUGAAGGACUUGUGCACUGUGAAAAGAUGACUCAAUGUUACAAAGCAAGCCUUCCUAUCCGAGCAAGUGAGUGCUAUAAUCCAAUGCAAGUCUCCAAUCAAAUACAAAGAUCCGGGGUGUCCUACAAUCUCAGUCAAUAUUGGAGGAACCCAAGUGGAGAAGGCAUUGCUUGAUUUGGGGGCAAGUGUUAACUUACUUCCAUACUCUGUAUACAAGGAGCUGGGGUUGGGAGAACUCAAGCCAACAUCGAUCACCCUAUCCUUNNNNNNNNNNNNNNNNNNNNNNNNNNNNNNNNNNNNNNNNNNNNNNNNNNNNNNNNNNNNNNNNNNNNNNNNNNNNNNNNNNNNNNNNNNNNNNNNNNNNNNNNNNNNNNNNNNNNNNNNNNNNNNNNNNNNNNNNNNNNNNNNNNNNNNNNNNNNNNNNNNNNNNNNNNNNNNNNNNNNNNNNNNNNNNNNNNNNNNNNNNNNNNNNNNNNNNNNNNNNNNNNNNNNNNNNNNNNNNNNNNNNNNNNNNNNNNNNNNNNNNNNNNNNNNNNNNNNNNNNNNNNNNNNNNNNNNNNNNNNNNNNNNNNNNNNNNNNNNNNNNNNNNNNNNNNNNNNNNNNNNNNNNNNNNNNNNNNNNNNNNNNNNNNNNNNNNNNNNNNNNNNNNNNNNNNNNNNNNNNNNNNNNNNNNNNNNNNNNNNNNNNNNNNNNNNNNNNNNNNNNNNNNNNNNNNNNNNNNNNNNNNNNNNNNNNNNNNNNNNNNNNNNNNNNNNNNNNNNNNNNNNNNNNNNNNNNNNNNNNNNNNNNNNNNNNNNNNNNNNNNNNNNNNNNNNNNNNNNNNNNNNNNNNNNNNNNNNNNNNNNNNNNNNNNNNNNNNNNNNNNNNNNNNNNNNNNNNNNNNNNNNNNNNNNNNNNNNNNNNNNNNNNNNNNNNNNNNNNNNNNNNNNNNNNNNNNNNNNNNNNNNNNNNNNNNNNNNNNNNNNNNNNNNNNNNNNNNNNNNNNNNNNNNNNNNNNNNNNNNNNNNNNNNNNNNNNNNNNNNNNNNNNNNNNNNNNNNNNNNNNNNNNNNNNNNNNNNNNNNNNNNNNNNNNNNNNNNNNNNNNNNNNNNNNNNNNNNNNNNNNNNNNNNNNNNNNNNNNNNNNNNNNNNNNNNNNNNNNNNNNNNNNNNNNNNNNNNNNNNNNNNNNNNNNNNNNNNNNNNNNNNNNNNNNNNNNNNNNNNNNNNNNNNNNNNNNNNNNNNNNNNNNNNNNNNNNNNNNNNNNNNNNNNNNNNNNNNNNNNNNNNNNNNNNNNNNNNNNNNNNNNNNNNNNNNNNNNNNNNNNNNNNNNNNNNNNNNNNNNNNNNNNNNNNNNNNNNNNNNNNNNNNNNNNNNNNNNNNNNNNNNNNNNNNNNNNNNNNNNNNNNNNNNNNNNNNNNNNNNNNNNNNNNNNNNNNNNNNNNNNNNNNNNNNNNNNNNNNNNNNNNNNNNNNNNNNNNNNNNNNNNNNNNNNNNNNNNNNNNNNNNNNNNNNNNNNNNNNNNNNNNNNNNNNNNNNNNNNNNNNNNNNNNNNNNNNNNNNNNNNNNNNNNNNNNNNNNNNNNNNNNNNNNNNNNNNNNNNNNNNNNNNNNNNNNNNNNNNNNNNNNNNNNNNNNNNNNNNNNNNNNNNNNNNNNNNNNNNNNNNNNNNNNNNNNNNNNNNNNNNNNNNNNNNNNNNNNNNNNNNNNNNNNNNNNNNNNNNNNNNNNNNNNNNNNNNNNNNNNNNNNNNNNNNNNNNNNNNNNNNNNNNNNNNNNNNNNNNNNNNNNNNNNNNNNNNNNNNNNNNNNNNNNNNNNNNNNNNNNNNNNNNNNNNNNNNNNNNNNNNNNNNNNNNNNNNNNNNNNNNNNNNNNNNNNNNNNNNNNNNNNNNNNNNNNNNNNNNNNNNNNNNNNNNNNNNNNNNNNNNNNNNNNNNNNNNNNNNNNNNNNNNNNNNNNNNNNNNNNNNNNNNNNNNNNNNNNNNNNNNNNNNNNNNNNNNNNNNNNNNNNNNNNNNNNNNNNNNNNNNNNNNNNNNNNNNNNNNNNNNNNNNNNNNNNNNNNNNNNNNNNNNNNNNNNNNNNNNNNNNNNNNNNNNNNNNNNNNNNNNNNNNNNNNNNNNNNNNNNNNNNNNNNNNNNNNNNNNNNNNNNNNNNNNNNNNNNNNNNNNNNNNNNNNNNNNNNNNNNNNNNNNNNNNNNNNNNNNNNNNNNNNNNNNNNNNNNNNNNNNNNNNNNNNNNNNNNNNNNNNNNNNNNNNNNNNNNNNNNNNNNNNNNNNNNNNNNNNNNNNNNNNNNNNNNNNNNNNNNNNNNNNNNNNNNNNNNNNNNNNNNNNNNNNNNNNNNNNNNNNNNNNNNNNNNNNNNNNNNNNNNNNNNNNNNNNNNNNNNNNNNNNNNNNNNNNNNNNNNNNNNNNNNNNNNNNNNNNNNNNNNNNNNNNNNNNNNNNNNNNNNNNNNNNNNNNNNNNNNNNNNNNNNNNNNNNNNNNNNNNNNNNNNNNNNNNNNNNNNNNNNNNNNNNNNNNNNNNNNNNNNNNNNNNNNNNNNNNNNNNNNNNNNNNNNNNNNNNNNNNNNNNNNNNNNNNNNNNNNNNNNNNNNNNNNNNNNNNNNNNNNNNNNNNNNNNNNNNNNNNNNNNNNNNNNNNNNNNNNNNNNNNNNNNNNNNNNNNNNNNNNNNNNNNNNNNNNNNNNNNNNNNNNNNNNNNNNNNNNNNNNNNNNNNNNNNNNNNNNNNNNNNNNNNNNNNNNNNNNNNNNNNNNNNNNNNNNNNNNNNNNNNNNNNNNNNNNNNNNNNNNNNNNNNNNNNNNNNNNNNNNNNNNNNNNNNNNNNNNNNNNNNNNNNNNNNNNNNNNNNNNNNNNNNNNNNNNNNNNNNNNNNNNNNNNNNNNNNNNNNNNNNNNNNNNNNNNNNNNNNNNNNNNNNNNNNNNNNNNNNNNNNNNNNNNNNNNNNNNNNNNNNNNNNNNNNNNNNNNNNNNNNNNNNNNNNNNNNNNNNNNNNNNNNNNNNNNNNNNNNNNNNNNNNNNNNNNNNNNNNNNNNNNNNNNNNNNNNNNNNNNNNNNNNNNNNNNNNNNNNNNNNNNNNNNNNNNNNNNNNNNNNNNNNNNNNNNNNNNNNNNNNNNNNNNNNNNNNNNNNNNNNNNNNNNNNNNNNNNNNNNNNNNNNNNNNNNNNNNNNNNNNNNNNNNNNNNNNNNNNNNNNNNNNNNNNNNNNNNNNNNNNNNNNNNNNNNNNNNNNNNNNNNNNNNNNNNNNNNNNNNNNNNNNNNNNNNNNNNNNNNNNNNNNNNNNNNNNNNNNNNNNNNNNNNNNNNNNNNNNNNNNNNNNNNNNNNNNNNNNNNNNNNNNNNNNNNNNNNNNNNNNNNNNNNNNNNNNNNNNNNNNNNNNNNNNNNNNNNNNNNNNNNNNNNNNNNNNNNNNNNNNNNNNNNNNNNNNNNNNNNNNNNNNNNNNNNNNNNNNNNNNNNNNNNNNNNNNNNNNNNNNNNNNNNNNNNNNNNNNNNNNNNNNNNNNNNNNNNNNNNNNNNNNNNNNNNNNNNNNNNNNNNNNNNNNNNNNNNNNNNNNNNNNNNNNNNNNNNNNNNNNNNNNNNNNNNNNNNNNNNNNNNNNNNNNNNNNNNNNNNNNNNNNNNNNNNNNNNNNNNNNNNNNNNNNNNNNNNNNNNNNNNNNNNNNNNNNNNNNNNNNNNNNNNNNNNNNNNNNNNNNNNNNNNNNNNNNNNNNNNNNNNNNNNNNNNNNNNNNNNNNNNNNNNNNNNNNNNNNNNNNNNNNNNNNNNNNNNNNNNNNNNNNNNNNNNNNNNNNNNNNNNNNNNNNNNNNNNNNNNNNNNNNNNNNNNNNNNNNNNNNNNNNNNNNNNNNNNNNNNNNNNNNNNNNNNNNNNNNNNNNNNNNNNNNNNNNNNNNNNNNNNNNNNNNNNNNNNNNNNNNNNNNNNNNNNNNNNNNNNNNNNNNNNNNNNNNNNNNNNNNNNNNNNNNNNNNNNNNNNNNNNNNNNNNNNNNNNNNNNNNNNNNNNNNNNNNNNNNNNNNNNNNNNNNNNNNNNNNNNNNNNNNNNNNNNNNNNNNNNNNNNNNNNNNNNNNNNNNNNNNNNNNNNNNNNNNNNNNNNNNNNNNNNNNNNNNNNNNNNNNNNNNNNNNNNNNNNNNNNNNNNNNNNNNNNNNNNNNNNNNNNNNNNNNNNNNNNNNNNNNNNNNNNNNNNNNNNNNNNNNNNNNNNNNNNNNNNNNNNNNNNNNNNNNNNNNNNNNNNNNNNNNNNNNNNNNNNNNNNNNNNNNNNNNNNNNNNNNNNNNNNNNNNNNNNNNNNNNNNNNNNNNNNNNNNNNNNNNNNNNNNNNNNNNNNNNNNNNNNNNNNNNNNNNNNNNNNNNNNNNNNNNNNNNNNNNNNNNNNNNNNNNNNNNNNNNNNNNNNNNNNNNNNNNNNNNNNNNNNNNNNNNNNNNNNNNNNNNNNNNNNNNNNNNNNNNNNNNNNNNNNNNNNNNNNNNNNNNNNNNNNNNNNNNNNNNNNNNNNNNNNNNNNNNNNNNNNNNNNNNNNNNNNNNNNNNNNNNNNNNNNNNNNNNNNNNNNNNNNNNNNNNNNNNNNNNNNNNNNNNNNNNNNNNNNNNNNNNNNNNNNNNNNNNNNNNNNNNNNNNNNNNNNNNNNNNNNNNNNNNNNNNNNNNNNNNNNNNNNNNNNNNNNNNNNNNNNNNNNNNNNNNNNNNNNNNNNNNNNNNNNNNNNNNNNNNNNNNNNNNNNNNNNNNNNNNNNNNNNNNNNNNNNNNNNNNNNNNNNNNNNNNNNNNNNNNNNNNNNNNNNNNNNNNNNNNNNNNNNNNNNNNNNNNNNNNNNNNNNNNNNNNNNNNNNNNNNNNNNNNNNNNNNNNNNNNNNNNNNNNNNNNNNNNNNNNNNNNNNNNNNNNNNNNNNNNNNNNNNNNNNNNNNNNNNNNNNNNNNNNNNNNNNNNNNNNNNNNNNNNNNNNNNNNNNNNNNNNNNNNNNNNNNNNNNNNNNNNNNNNNNNNNNNNNNNNNNNNNNNNNNNNNNNNNNNNNNNNNNNNNNNNNNNNNNNNNNNNNNNNNNNNNNNNNNNNNNNNNNNNNNNNNNNNNNNNNNNNNNNNNNNNNNNNNNNNNNNNNNNNNNNNNNNNNNNNNNNNNNNNNNNNNNNNNNNNNNNNNNNNNNNNNNNNNNNNNNNNNNNNNNNNNNNNNNNNNNNNNNNNNNNNNNNNNNNNNNNNNNNNNNNNNNNNNNNNNNNNNNNNNNNNNNNNNNNNNNNNNNNNNNNNNNNNNNNNNNNNNNNNNNNNNNNNNNNNNNNNNNNNNNNNNNNNNNNNNNNNNNNNNNNNNNNNNNNNNNNNNNNNNNNNNNNNNNNNNNNNNNNNNNNNNNNNNNNNNNNNNNNNNNNNNNNNNNNNNNNNNNNNNNNNNNNNNNNNNNNNNNNNNNNNNNNNNNNNNNNNNNNNNNNNNNNNNNNNNNNNNNNNNNNNNNNNNNNNNNNNNNNNNNNNNNNNNNNNNNNNNNNNNNNNNNNNNNNNNNNNNNNNNNNNNNNNNNNNNNNNNNNNNNNNNNNNNNNNNNNNNNNNNNNNNNNNNNNNNNNNNNNNNNNNNNNNNNNNNNNNNNNNNNNNNNNNNNNNNNNNNNNNNNNNNNNNNNNNNNNNNNNNNNNNNNNNNNNNNNNNNNNNNNNNNNNNNNNNNNNNNNNNNNNNNNNNNNNNNNNNNNNNNNNNNNNNNNNNNNNNNNNNNNNNNNNNNNNNNNNNNNNNNNNNNNNNNNNNNNNNNNNNNNNNNNNNNNNNNNNNNNNNNNNNNNNNNNNNNNNNNNNNNNNNNNNNNNNNNNNNNNNNNNNNNNNNNNNNNNNNNNNNNNNNNNNNNNNNNNNNNNNNNNNNNNNNNNNNNNNNNNNNNNNNNNNNNNNNNNNNNNNNNNNNNNNNNNNNNNNNNNNNNNNNNNNNNNNNNNNNNNNNNNNNNNNNNNNNNNNNNNNNNNNNNNNNNNNNNNNNNNNNNNNNNNNNNNNNNNNNNNNNNNNNNNNNNNNNNNNNNNNNNNNNNNNNNNNNNNNNNNNNNNNNNNNNNNNNNNNNNNNNNNNNNNNNNNNNNNNNNNNNNNNNNNNNNNNNNNNNNNNNNNNNNNNNNNNNNNNNNNNNNNNNNNNNNNNNNNNNNNNNNNNNNNNNNNNNNNNNNNNNNNNNNNNNNNNNNNNNNNNNNNNNNNNNNNNNNNNNNNNNNNNNNNNNNNNNNNNNNNNNNNNNNNNNNNNNNNNNNNNNNNNNNNNNNNNNNNNNNNNNNNNNNNNNNNNNNNNNNNNNNNNNNNNNNNNNNNNNNNNNNNNNNNNNNNNNNNNNNNNNNNNNNNNNNNNNNNNNNNNNNNNNNNNNNNNNNNNNNNNNNNNNNNNNNNNNNNNNNNNNNNNNNNNNNNNNNNNNNNNNNNNNNNNNNNNNNNNNNNNNNNNNNNNNNNNNNNNNNNNNNNNNNNNNNNNNNNNNNNNNNNNNNNNNNNNNNNNNNNNNNNNNNNNNNNNNNNNNNNNNNNNNNNNNNNNNNNNNNNNNNNNNNNNNNNNNNNNNNNNNNNNNNNNNNNNNNNNNNNNNNNNNNNNNNNNNNNNNNNNNNNNNNNNNNNNNNNNNNNNNNNNNNNNNNNNNNNNNNNNNNNNNNNNNNNNNNNNNNNNNNNNNNNNNNNNNNNNNNNNNNNNNNNNNNNNNNNNNNNNNNNNNNNNNNNNNNNNNNNNNNNNNNNNNNNNNNNNNNNNNNNNNNNNNNNNNNNNNNNNNNNNNNNNNNNNNNNNNNNNNNNNNNNNNNNNNNNNNNNNNNNNNNNNNNNNNNNNNNNNNNNNNNNNNNNNNNNNNNNNNNNNNNNNNNNNNNNNNNNNNNNNNNNNNNNNNNNNNNNNNNNNNNNNNNNNNNNNNNNNNNNNNNNNNNNNNNNNNNNNNNNNNNNNNNNNNNNNNNNNNNNNNNNNNNNNNNNNNNNNNNNNNNNNNNNNNNNNNNNNNNNNNNNNNNNNNNNNNNNNNNNNNNNNNNNNNNNNNNNNNNNNNNNNNNNNNNNNNNNNNNNNNNNNNNNNNNNNNNNNNNNNNNNNNNNNNNNNNNNNNNNNNNNNNNNNNNNNNNNNNNNNNNNNNNNNNNNNNNNNNNNNNNNNNNNNNNNNNNNNNNNNNNNNNNNNNNNNNNNNNNNNNNNNNNNNNNNNNNNNNNNNNNNNNNNNNNNNNNNNNNNNNNNNNNNNNNNNNNNNNNNNNNNNNNNNNNNNNNNNNNNNNNNNNNNNNNNNNNNNNNNNNNNNNNNNNNNNNNNNNNNNNNNNNNNNNNNNNNNNNNNNNNNNNNNNNNNNNNNNNNNNNNNNNNNNNNNNNNNNNNNNNNNNNNNNNNNNNNNNNNNNNNNNNNNNNNNNNNNNNNNNNNNNNNNNNNNNNNNNNAAAAAAAAAAAAAAAAAAAAAAAAAAAAAAAAAAAAAAAAAGGAAUAAGCUUCUAUUCUUUCCUUGAAACCUAAGCAUGAUCCGAAGGGGUGGCGAAAGCCUUUAAAACCCGAUGCCCUAAACCUUGAUUGGUUGGGAGUCAUUGAUCCUCUGCUUGCUACAUAGGUGAAUUGGUUAAGUUUAGUGAGUAAAAAGAAUUGUGAAUAAGAAGGUGCAUUCCUAACCUAUUAAGAGUUGGUUAAUUUUGCCAAAGUUCGAAAAAAGCUUAGGUUGGGGGGAGAGGAUAGUUGUACAUACUAUAUCCGAAAGCUAAUCUCAUUAAUACUUAGCUCAUUAUGGAAGAGUUUGAUCCGGAACCUUGAGAGUAGAGAUUCUUUUGAUACUUAAUUGCAUAAUCUCCACUCUUUGUACUUUUUGUUUAAGUUUUAGCUUUGACAACUCCUAUUGCAUUUUGAAUCUUCAUAUCUUUAGUUUGCCAUGUGAGAUGUGUUUUGAUAUCAGUCAUGCCACUCAAUUAUUUUUUGGAGUGAUUUGCAUGACCUCUUUUAUGUAUAUUAUUAUGUUUGCUUAGUUUUUAUCUCCUCCAUUGCUAAGGGACUAGCAAUGAGUCGGUUAGGGGGUGUGAUUACUACCGAAAAGUGAUAUUUUGUAGACCUAAUUAUAAGGGUUUUAAGCACCUUUGAGUAGUAAUCAUAUUCAUUUAACCUAAUUAAUUCAUUAAGCUCCUUAGUAAUUAGUUCUAACCAUUUUUAGUGGCAAGUUUACAUGUUUUUCAUCAGCUUAUGAACCAAUUCAAGCAUGCCAAUUGAUGGAGGAGCUACUUGGGCGAGUUAAGCAAGGAUUUUGGACAUUUACAUGCUUGAAUUUCAAGUGGAAACACGAGCACAAGCAAUGGGAACACCAUUUCGCAAGGGGAGGCAAUUCACUUGCCAAAUGACCAAUUUCGCAAGGUGAAUUUCAUCUUGCCAAAAUUUCGCAAGGGGAUUUUCCUCAUGGUGCGAAAUUUGGCCAUUUUGCACCAUGAAGAAACCACCUUGCGAAAUUUGGACCUUUCAUCUUCCCCUUGCGAAAUGCCUUUGAAAUCCCCUGUUUUGAGACGCUGUUGAUGAUAUUCCACUACCGGUUCUCCAAGAUAUUUUGCUUGACUUUUAGCUUUGUAAAUACCUAUUUUACCCUUGUAAUCAACCAAUGAAAAGGUUGCUUUUGUAAUAGCUCUUGUAAUUUAGCUUUUUAUUGUCUUUAAAUAGAGGUGAAGAGCCUCAGACACGAUCAUCUUGUAACCUGUAACUUUAUAAGUUAUAAGAGCACUUUUGUUCAUACGCUUUUUUUCUCUUUUCUUUCUCAUUUUCUUAGUAACCAAACAUCCUUGGAGGAUGAAAUCCCCAAGGAUGAGAGGCUAAAACCUUUUAGUUUCUUGAAGUAAUGGAUGCCAUGUGAAGCUCCCGGGUCAGGAUGGAGAUUUCCAAGCCAUAAAUGUAAGUAAUUGAGCGUCAUAAAUGUUUUCAUUCAAAGUAAAGCUUUUAAUCCCUUUGACUUGCUUUGAAUGGCCAAUACUUGAUAACCUUUUGGUCUCAGUGGAUUCUUAUUGUUAGAUCCACUGACGUUCAUUAGUUAUCUCCUACGAGCCAUUGUAUUGCAAGUCGAGGAGAUGACCUAUACCAAUAAAAGAGCAUUUAUGAGGUUCAGCUACCCUUUUUGCAAGUUUUCAAGGACUAAAACUCAGUUGUUAAACUCAUACCGGUUCGGGAAGUAAGCAUCACCUUAGUUACUUCCCCAACUCGAGGUGAAAAGUCCCAAAAUCUCCAUUUUUACACAGUGAGUUAAGCAUGGCUAUCCAAAGCUUUGAGAAACUUCUUUUUCCAUCUUUUAACCUAUUUUCAUGUUAGUUUAGUUUACAACACCUUCAUCUUUUUAUGUUUUCAUCUUAACCUAAUUUUUAUUAAGAAAAGUUCACUCCAUCCUCCGAACUUCACGAGUUAAAGUAAAAACCCUUUCCAGUAUUCGAUCCUAGAGCCACUAUGCUAUAGUAGCUUUGCUACUUUAGUGUAAGGACCUUAGGUAUAAAUUUUGUUGAUACCCUUACAUGCCAAGCUACCAAGAGUCGGGUUAUCAUCUUGCCACUAUGAGUGUCCAACAUCCAAACCAAGGAAUAAUUUUUAAUAAAAUAUUAAUAUUAAUGUUAAAAUAAAAUCAUAUAUUUAUAUUCCUUAUCACAUUUAUAGGAAGAGAAAUAUUUGGGACUAGGCCCAGUUCACUUUUUAUAAUUAUAAAUAUCAUAAAAAUAUGAAUAUUAAUAUCCUUAUCCUCAUAAAAGCAUAAUUAAUUUAUUUUAUAAAAAAUUAAUAAUAAUAAUAAUAAUUACUAGUACGAUUUUAUUUUAAAUGGAUUUAAAAAUAAAUAAAGUUUAAUUUUUAAGGUAUACAUGCAUAAGUUUUUCAUUACAUAUACACAUUUAAUACUUAAUUAGUAAUAGUGUAUUCUAAAAUUUUUUUAUCUAGUCUAUAACUAAUUAAUCCAUUUUUUGGAAUUCUAAAUUGUUCUUAAAAAUUAAAAUAUUCAUUAAAGAAUUGAAGUGUUUAUUAUGUUUAACUUAAUUUAAAUUUAUUUAUUUAGUGAGAAAAUUCAUAAAAUAUAGUUUUAUGUAUAAAGGAAAUAGUAACGACUUUACAUUUAACGAAUCUUUUAUUUUAUAUUGAUUCAUUUAAUAGUCUAUUAUAUAUAUUUAAAAUUUAUUAAACUCAUUAAUAAAUUCAAUACAAAGUUUUACUUAAUUUGAAAUUCAUCUCUCUAGUGAAAAAAUUGAAAAAAUAUUAUUUUGUGAAAAAAAAAUACAAUAAAAUCAUUCUAAACUAAUUUUUAUCCAUAGAUUUUUUGUAUUUAUUAGUUUAUUAUUUGAUUUUUAAAUUAAUUUAAAAAAUUAUUGGACUUAUUAAUGAAUCCAAUACAUUAUUUUUUUGUUUAAUUUAUUUAUCACACUAUCAAACAAACUUUUAUUAUUUAGUAAAAGACCUCUCAAAAGAUGUUUUUUUUUCUAAAUAAAAAAAAAUAAUAUUCUAAACGAUGUUUGAUUCGAGAGUUUUUUAAAAAUAAAAAUUAUUUUAAAUUAUGUGUACAUAAUUGUUUCAAAUUUAUUUCUUUUUUCCAUUACCAUUUUCAUUCCUACCUAACAUUGAAAUGGAAACAAAUAAUCAAUCAAACCUUACAUUUAUUCCUAAUCCAAUGACAAGAAUUGGUAUCACCAAAUUCAUUCCAUUCUCUAGUCUCAUGUAUCAAAAAUAGUCAUAUAGUACCAAAAACUUCUUCUAAGUAAUGUGGGAUAUCACAUUCACUUUCAUACAGAUACAAUUUUUAUUGUAUCACAUGGAAUUGUGAGGCCUUUUAGUACCAUUUGUAAUGACUCACCUCCAAUUAUAUAAAUAUUAUUUGGUCUAAGUCCAAUGGACUCUAAUCGGUUUUAAAACUUGGCUAUACUGUUAAGAGAAGUCUACUAUGUAUACAAUCUUCUCCUAAUAAACAUGUGACAUAACAAAUGGUGGGACUCAAACUAAAGCAAGGCCGUUUCAAACUGUCUACCAUCUUAGUUUCAGCAUGAAUUCAGUUUGUUCCAAACAACAUAACUCUGGAGUAUUUUAAACAAACGAUUUCCAUUGAAAACACAUUAUUAAAGUAUAAGGAAAACAAACCCGAUCUUCAAGCGGUUCUGGGGAUUGCUUGUGGAAGAGUAGUGAAAUAAAAAUAUCCACUAAGUGUAUAAGGACCCAAGAUCAACACAUGCAACAGGAUAUCUAAUUCCUCCUAAUAUCAUCAGCAUGAAGAAAAUUGGCAUCAUUUCCAUUGAGUUCUGAUGCCCUCUCUGAAAAAAAAAUAAAUGCAAAACAUUUGUUUUUUCUAAUCAUCGGUCAUUGACUCAUGCCCAAUUGGUGUCUCAGCUGAUUUGUGUUCAGCUGGUGCUCCUUGAUUGAGGAAGUGAUCAACAAAAUUUAUACCUAUAACACCAUACACUAGGGUAGCAAAUAAAAAGCUACUAUAGUAUAGUGGCUCUAGGAUCGUUCACUGGGAAUGAUUAAAUUAACAAGCAGUCAAGGAUACCAAUUCCAAGUGAAUUGGUCUCGUUUCAUUUCACGGUUAGCUUAAGAAAUAAAACACAAACUUUGAUUGGUAAAGGUUGAGACUUAAACUAACUAACUUAACAGAAGUCUGGAAUAAUUUAGGAAGAAAAACAUUCCUUGGAGAUUUAGGUUCACUGGGGUGGUUCCUCAUGCAAAAGACAUAGCUCCGGUCAGAUGGUUCAUUUCCUCGCAUUAGAGAUUCAACUUAGAGUCAAUUCUCUAAUCGGUGAUGUACAGAGACUCCUUCAAUUAGAUUUCACUUUAAUUCUCUCACUGAUACAACUUGCAAUGGUUCAUGCCUCUCACGAGCACUUACCAUUCAAGGUGAUCUUUAACCUUGGACUUCCCUUCACAAACUCGCAAGAGAUAACUAAUGGAUGUCUCCUAAGAGUCCAAAAGCUUACCAAGUGUUGGUAAUUCCAGAAAAUCCUACCUUGAAGUCACCUACCAGAGGCUCGCAAGGGGUAAACUAGUGCAUUUCCAUGGUUGGAAAUCACUUGCCUUACCAAGUGUUGGCCUAGGUGACUCUAAGGUGUUUUAAGUUAACUAAAAAUAUUGAAAUCACUAAAGGAUUUCACUUCCUCUUCAUUACUAGCUAAAACCACAGAGCUUAGCAUUCUUGCACUUGGAACCUUCCCCGGCAACCUUAGCUCCAAGGAAUUGGAGGUUUAGUUACUCAUUCUCUGGGGAAAACUCCUCAGAGAAUUCAUAACUUAGAAAUAAAAUGAAAAUACAAAGUGAGAAGGUAAGGUAGUAGAAAGAAAAUAGACUUUACUUGCUUACCAAACGGUUAUAGAAGGAAUUCCUCCCUGAGAACAGGCUCCCGAGAGGUAUAUAUAUCAAAACAAUAUAAAACUAAUUGUUACAGAGAUAUUUGGUCUUUUUUACUAACUUAAAAACUAAGGAAUCAUGUAAUUGGUGGUUUACAAGGAGUAUUUUGGGAUUUAGACAACAAAAAUCUAAUGGAAAAUAUCUCCCAAUGUCGGUAGCAAGCUUCGGGAGGCUUCAGGAACCAUUUCGCAGGAGUAAAAUGGUGUCUGCGAAAUUUCGCAGACACCCAAGAGGGCUGCGAAAUUAUUUCGCAACACCGAGCUAUCUUCAUAGGGCUGCGAAGUUGGCUUCCACCUUGAGGUUCCCAGCUCCCUUCUCGCGGCAUGGUUCGUGAAUCGUCAGAAGGAGAAACACCUUACUGUACAAAAGUGCUGCGAAAUUCUCGCAACAAAAGGUUGAUUCCGCAACACUUUAGAGUGAUUGACUUGUAAUGGCUGCAACUUCUUCGUUUCAAAUCCGAAUUGCGCACCGUUUCAAGCAUUGGAUUGUUGACUUCCUGAGCUUUGAAAUGGUAUAAAGCAUGCAUCAUUUGGACUUCAGAAAGUGCUCUAAAAGUGGCUGCUACGACUGUCAUCAAGAAUAGGCUUCAUGGCAGAUUCUCUUUGCUUUUUCUCCUUGCAAUCCGGAUUCACUCUUGGCAAAUGAAUUCUAAGCUUUGCCCAAGAUUCCUCAUAGCUCUCCUCAGACUUGACUUGCUUUGGUGAUCAAAAUACUAGCAAAAACACCAAAACUUACACAAAGUGAUCAAAAUUGCUUUAAAGGAUCCUUAACAUGCCAAUUGAGUUAAAAUGCCUAAACUACUACUCAAAAGUGUUUAAAAGGAUUAAUUAUAGGCUAUCAAAUAGUACUUUUUGAGUAGUAAUCACUCCCCCCAACCGACAUAUUGCUAGUCCCUUAGCAAUAUAGGAGAGAAAAAUGAAAAUAAAUAGCUAAUUAUACUAAAAUUUACAACAUCAUGCUAAAGGAAAAUAAUUCUCAAGUGGCAUGAUGAUCUAUUUCUCACAUGAAGCAUUGAAGAAAUACAAACCCAAAUCUCAACAAGAGUCAUAACAACUAUGCUAAACACUGUCAAUCAAGGGAGUGCAUUAUGCAAACUGAAGUUUUAAAAUCAUUUCCCCUUUCAAAGAACUAAACUUCAAUCUUCCACAAAAAUCUAUGUGUAUUGGCUCCUUAGGUUCCGAGAAUAAUAUGCUAAACUAGCCUUUCCCCCCAACCUAUCUCUUUUCAACACUUUAGCAAACUGACCAAAAUCAAUAAGAAAAUAACACACUUUCAUCAUUCUUUUUUUUUUUUUUUUUUUUUUUUUUUUUCAGGGCAGCUUUAUGGGGUACUCUUUCUGACUUGUCCAUGUAAUGGGGGUCCAUCGAUGACUCCCAACCAAUUAAGGUUUAGGGCACCAAGUUUUAAGGAUCUUUCAACCACUAACUACUCGGAUUUUUCCCCGGACUUUUAAGAAUGAGUUUCUAAUACCCAAGCAUCUACCAUAUGCUAACUCUACCUAUUCACCCAUAUAACGAGCAUUGAGGUCGGUGACUCCCAACCAAUUAAGGCUUAGGGCACCAGGCUUUAAAGGCUUUCACCAUAUGCCCCUCAGACCUUGCUCGGGUUUCAAGGCAAGCAAACAACUUUCUUUAUUUCAAAGGCUCAUUGGCCUUUUGCAGGGUGUUUCAAUUUUUAUCAAAUGAGGUCAAAUAUACCAAGUCCCAAAAUUAUCCUAAGUCAAGAGGGAAAUAGCUUUUCAUCUUAUAAUCGGAAUCUAAUGUGCACAGUGUGUGGAUAGCUUAAAGUGGAAGAACUCAAUUCAAUUUCAGUAGAAGUUUCAACAAUUGGACCACUUUAGGAAGCAUAAUCCAUACUCUAAGUCAAGUGAAAAACAACAGUUCAAUUUCUCUUGGUUUAAUUUGAAAAUUUUUCUCAAAAUUCAUGGAGAAUAGAGUAACACUAGUAAAAAGUAAAAACUACAACUAAUUAACCAAUAUAAUUGCAAUACCAAAAAGGUUUAGACUACUUCCUUCCUCAUACCCCCCAACCGAACUGAGCAUUGUCCUCAAUGUGAUUUGAGUGACUGUAAUAAAAGGGAGGAAGUGGUACCUCCAUGCUGAUAUCAAAUUCGAAUAUUGAUUGGGGAAAACCACAUGUUUCAAAAGGAAUAGAAUAUGUGAGAAAAGGAAAUAAGGAAACUUUAAUGCUAACUUUUAACAAGAAAAAUUCAACUUGUAUUACUUUGAGUUCAUUUGAUUACAAUGCUAAAGACAAGUAACACAAGGAAUCCCAUAUAUAGUACCAAAAUACUGGGAUUUCAUUUCAACUAAAACAAAACAAACAUAAAAACAUAAAUAGCAAAUAUAUAUAAUGUCUGAUGAGUAGGGUGAUGGUGCUAAGCAGAAGGAUCUGCCUCUUCAGUAGGUGGAUCAGCUGGUGCUUCAGGCUCUGGAGGAUGAGACUCUGAAGGCUGAGAGUGUGGCUCUGGUGGAGUAGGAAUGGAGGGCUCUACAGCUUGUGGCAGAUCGAAAUGGACUUGGAGCUGCCUUAGGAUGGCAGCUUGUUGAGCCUGAGAGGCUAACAUCUGCUCCUGGCAUGCUUUAAUGGCUGCCAACUCCUGAGCAAGAUUGCUCUGAGAAGCUGUAAGAGUCUCCAAUGCACGGCACAGCUCUCGAUAUUCGGAUAUAGGGAUGGCCAUCCUCGGCUCAGCUGAUGUGGAUGGCUGUGAUGGAGUAGGUGCAGCUGGUGAAGCUCGAGGGAUGGCAGGAGUAGCAAGUGUUAUACCUUCAGGUAUAUGUCUUGGGGAGGCUCUCCUUGCUGCUGGUUGAGGCUGCCCAGGCUGAUCAACUUUGUAGGCCGUCAUAUUAUUCCAUUUAUCAAGGGUAAAUGGCUCACGGCAUAUUCUCUUUCUUUCCUGCUGAGGCUCAGAGGGGUAUCCGAGAUGCUCCAAAACUUGGCAUAGCAACCUUGGGAAGAGGAGUGGAAUGCAAUCUGCUCUUUGAAGCUUCUUCUUGUGAACCUUCUCCUCAAAGUAUAGAAGGGCUGCCAUGAUAAGAUGAUGAGGCCCAAAAAAGAAUCCUUCUGACAUCUUGUACAAGGCUUCCAGGAGAAUUCCCCUUCUUUGGGUCCAAUGCUGCAGGGGAUAGAUAUUAUGCCUCAAAAAGGCAUCAAUAAAAAACAUCACUGGAGGUAGCUCCCCCCUCAACAGGUGUGACCGAUUUGCAGCUCCUCUAGUUAGGGUGCGAACCAUCUCUAACUCAAUAGGAUUUGCCCAAGCUUUAAAAUUGUCGAAUUGGGUUGGCUCAAAAGGAAUUUGCAGGGCUUCAGCAAUAUGUCUUGCUCCCAAAAUUCCAUGUCUUCCAUCAAUUGUGAAAUGGAUCAGAGUUGGAUUUCUUACCUCUUUGGUUGUCAUGGACUGGUAGAAAUCAGUGACUACCCGGGGAUAGAAAAAAUCCCUUGGAGCUAGCAGAUGCUCCAUAUGAUAUCUCCUCAGCAGCUGGAAGGAUUGGGCAAGCUCUGGCCUCACUCUAAAUGCUGUUAAAUCGAAACAAAGCUCAAAAUGGAAUGCCCGAGUUCGACAAUCCAAGUUUCCUUCGAUUGGGGGCUGAGGCAGCAUUGGCCUCCUAAUCACUUCUUCCAGAGGUGCUUCAGCUGCAAUUUGGGGCUCUGGAAUUGGCGCUUGAGGCUCCUGAGCUUUUUCUUGGGGUUCCGGAGAUGGUACCGGCGAUGGAAUUGGCAGGGGACUCAGCGAGGGAAUUGGCGAGGGAACCGGUGACGGCACUGGAAUUUGUACCGGUGAAGGAUUUGGUGAAGAUACCGGAGAUUGAACCGGUGUUAGCUUUGGGGAUUUCUCAGGGGAUUGCUCAGUCAAAUCAAUUGGUUCAGAGCUCUCAACCCUGGGCUUCUUCUUCAAUGGCCGACCGCCUGACCUUGUUAAAUAUCGCCUUGCCGGCGGCUUUGGUGGCGCCGGCUUCACUAGAGAAGGUUUUGGUCUCGAGGGCGAAGGCUUUGGAGCAGGUUCUGGAACAGAACCUGGGCUUGGCUCCUUUCGCAGACUCCUUUUGCGGUUCGAAGGGGAUGAAGACUUUGCCCCUCGCGUUCGUGCCAUUUUGGGCUAUCGAUCUUUGGCCGGCGCUGCUGAACGGAGAAGACGACCGGAGGCUUGGACGGCGAAGCUUGGUGAAGAAGACGAAGGGGCUGCGAGAAUGGUGCUCUGAUUUUUGAAACCCUUUUCGCAGCACUUUUGAUCGGUAUAAAUAGGAAAAACGGAAGCCCAAGGAUCAGUUUAAGUUUCGCAACAAAACGCCAAUUUCGCAGCAACUUGCCAUUUUCGCAGCAACUUCGCAGAGAGUUUCGCAGCUGCGAAAUUGAUGUUACUGUGCUGCGGAGUGGCACUUGUGUGCCAAAUCCACUUUCGCAAUUGCGAAAUACCCUGCGGAAUGGGACUUUUGGUGCGAAAUCACGCAUUUCCACUUCGCAAUGGGUUUCGCAGCUGCCAAAUGGAUGCUACUGUACUGCGAAGUGGCACUCGUGUGCCAAAUUCACUUUCGCAGCUGCGAAAUACACUCACAGAGGCUUCUACAGUGCUGCGGAGUGGUUUGGCAACAAAAAUCACAUUUCGCAGAAGUUUCCUUCUCUCUGCGAAAUUUCGCAGAGCUCUGUUUUUCCCCUGUUUUUGCUCUGUUUCGGCUCCAAUUUCGGCCCGAUUUUUUUUCUUUUCAAUCCCCUUGAAAUUUCUUCCACCUGGGAUCAUUUAAAACAAUUAAAACACAUCUAAAAACAUGAUUUAAGAUCAAAAACUAAGAUCAAAAGUAUGGAAACAACUUGAAAAUUUACAAAAUUUACAAAAAUUUUGGACUGUGGUUAAACCACGUCCAGCAAACCCUUUUUCACUUGGUUUUUUGAGGCUCAAGGAGGUUGAUUGCCUCCUUUUUUGAUUUGAAUGACUCCAUGAACGGCUUAAGACGAUAUCCAUUGACUCUAAAGCUGUCCUUGCCAUUGGAAUUCAAUAAGUCCACCACUCCAUUGGAAUAUACUCGGUGAAUAACAAAUGGACCAAUCCACCUUGAUUUGAGCUUCCCAGGAAAGAUAUGGAGUCUUGUGUCAUACAUCAAAACUUUUUGCCCUUCCUGAAAUUCCUUAUUGGAAAUGAGUUGAUCAUGCCACUUCUUCAUCCUCUGUUUUGCAACUUUGGAGUUGAUAUAAGCAUUAUUUCUUAAUUCCUCCAUCUCAUUAAGGUCUAGAAAUCUCUUUUCUCCGGCCUUGAUCAAGUCCAUAUUCAGCUUCUUUAUUGCCCACCAAGCCUUGUAUUCAACUUCCACAGGGAGGUGGCAUGCUUUACCAUAGACAAGACGAUAGGGAGACAUCCCAAGAAUAGUCUUAUAAGUUGUUCUAUAUGCCCACAAUGAAUCAUGAAGCCUAAUAGACCAAUCUUUUCUGUUGGAAUUCACCACUUUCAUCAAGAUGUUCUUUAUUUCCCUGUUAGCUAGCUCAACUUGCCCGGAAGUCUGAGGAUGAUAAGGUGUGGCCACCUUAUGCUUCACUCCAUACUUGGAUAACAGAGCUUCAAAAGGUUUGUUGCAAAAAUGAGCACCUCCAUCACUGAUUAUGGCCUUGGGCACCCCAAAUCUUGAGAAAAUGUUCUCUUUAAGAAACUUGAGAACCACCCUGUGAUCAUUUUGUUUACAGGGGAUUGCCUCAACCCAUUUAGAAACAUAAUCUACCCCCACCAAAAUGUAAGAAUUACCAAAAGACAUUGGGAAAGGUCCCAUGAAUUCAAUGCCCCAUACAUCAAAUAUCUCAACUAUCAGAAUGGGGUUCAUAGGCAUUUGAUUUCUUUUUGUUAGCUUUCCAAGCCUUUGGCAUCUAUCACAAUUUUUACACAUGAUGUGGGCAUCUUUGAAAAGAGAGGGCCAAGUAAACCCUGACUGCAAUACCUUCAUGGCUGUUUUCUGAGAGGCAAAGUGGCCUCCACAUGCAUUCUCAUGACAAUGAGAUAGAAUCCCUUGCUGCUCAUCUUCAGGGACACAUUUUCUAAUAAUCUGAUCUGCACAAUACUUAAAAAGAAAGGGCUCUUCCCAAUAAUAAGAAUGAAUUUUGGCGAAGAAGUGCUUCCUGUCCUGUGCAUUCCACUCACUUGGAAUUUCACCAGUUACUAAAUAAUUAGCAAUAUGAGCAUACCAAGGAGUUUUCACUAGGAACAUGAGUGAUUCUUCAGGAAAAUCAUCAUUGAUAGGCAAGGGAUGGGAAUUAUGUGCUAUAACUAACCUUGACAAGUGGUCAGCUACUACAUUUUCCACACCUUUCUUAUCUUUGAUUUGAAGAUCGAAUUCUUGUAACAAAAGAAUCCAUCUAAUCAACCUUGCUUUUGCAUCUUGCUUUGUCAAUAAAUACUUCAAGGCUGAAUGGUCAGUAAACACAAUGAUGAAAGACCCCACUAAAUAAGCUCGAAAUUUGUCCAAAGCAAAUACCACAGCUAACAAUUCUUUCUCUGUAGUUGUGUAGUUCCUCUGAGCUUCAUUUAGUGUUUUACUUGCAUAGUAAAUCACAUAGGGCUUCCCAUCUUCUCUUUGGCCAAGCACAGCUCCUAUAGCAAAGUCACUGGCAUCACACAUUAGUUCAAAAGGUAAUUGCCAGUUAGGGGCUCUUACUAUUGGAGUUGUUGUUAGAAACUUCUUCAGUUGAUCAAAGCUAUGCUGACACCUUUCAUCCCAUAUAAACUUAGUAUCCUUAGCUAACAAAUCACAAAGAGGUUUUGAAAGACUUGAAAAACCUUUUAUAAACCUCCUAUAGAAUCCUGCAUGGCCAAGGAACUGCCUUACUCCUUUCACAGUUGUUGGAGAUGGUAAUUUGGCAAUAAGCUCCACCUUUGCUUUAUCAACUUCAAUGCCUCUUUCAGAGAUGAUAUGGCCAAGGACAAUUCCUUGACGUACCAUAAAAUGGCAUUUCUCCCAAUUCAGCACCAAAUCUUUUUCAAUGCAUCUAUGAAGAACUGCUUCCAAAUUAACCAAGCAUUCCUCAAAUGUACCUCCAUAUACGGUGAUGUCAUCCAUGAAAACUUCCAUAAUUCUCUCCACCAUAUCACUGAAAAUACUCAACAUGCAUCUUUGAAAAGUAGCAGGUGCAUUGCAUAACCCAAAAGGCAUUCUUCUAUAAGCAAAUGUUCCAAAUGGACAUGUAAAAGUGGUCUUUUCUUGAUCUGCCAAAUCAAUUUCAAUCUGAAAAUACCCUGAAUACCCAUCCAAGAAACAAUAGAAUGGAUGUCCAGAGACUCUCUCCAGCACUUGGUCAAUAAAUGGCAAUGGAAAAUGAUCCUUCCUGGUGACAGCAUUCAGCUUUCUAUAAUCAAUACACACCCUCCAACCUGAAGUGAGGCGUGUAGUAAUUUCUUCCCCUUUUUCAUUCUGAAUCACUAUGAUCCCUGACUUCUUUGGUACCACUUGAGUAGGACUCACCCAAGGGCUAUCAGAAAUAGGGUAAAUGAUUCCUGCUUGAAGUAGCUUCAGCACCUCAGCUCGCACCACCUCUUGUAGAUGAGGAUUCAACCUUCUUUGAAAUUGACGAAUUGGCUUUGCUUCCUCCUCCAUAUAUAUAUGAUGAGUACAAACUAAAGGACUAAUGCCUUUCAAAUCAGAUAUUUGCCAUCCUAUUGCCUUCUUACACCUCUUAAGAACUUCCAUUAAACCAUCCUCUUGAUGACUGGUCAGAGAUGAGGAUAUCACAACAGGACAUUGAUUAUUUGCUUCAAGAUAUGUAUAUUUCAGCUCCAUAGGUAAAGGCUUCAGAUUGAGUUUUGGAAUUUCUUUUUCAACAGCUGCCUCCUCUUCUUCAUUGAACAGAGGUAGAAUUCCUUCUAUCUUUCUCCAACUUUGUAGAGUAGCAAGCCCAAUAGGAGAUUCAGAAAAACCUUCCUCAAUAUCCUCAAGACUUUCAUUCAACUUGUCUUGCAUAUUUUGAUUGCAGUGCUCCUCUACCAAAGUAUCAAUUAUACAUAACUCUUCUGGACCUUCUUCUUCUUCCGGAGUGAUUUGCUUUUUAGACAUAUAGAAAAUAUUGAGAUCCAAUGUCAUAUUACCAAAAGUGAGUUGCAUAAGCCCAUUUCUACAGUUGAUGAUUGCAUUUGAAGUUGCAAGAAAUGGCCUUCCAAGGAUGAUAGGAACUAAAUUAGCUUCCUUUACAGUAGGAUCUGUAUCAAGAACAAUAAAAUCUACUGGAUAGUAGAAAUUAUCCACUUGAACCAAUACAUCCUCAAUUACCCCUCUUGGAAUUUUCACUGAUCUAUCUGCCAGAGAUAAAGUGAUUGCUGUUGGCUUCAACUCUCCAAGGCCCAAUUGCUUGUAGACAGAAUAUGGACGCAAAUUCACACUUGCUCCCAAGUCUAACAAGGCUUUCUCCACUACCUUUCCUCCAAUCAUGACUGAAAUGGUAGGACUUCCAGGGUCUUUGUACUUCAAAGGAGACUUGCAUUGUAAGAUUGCACUUACUUGCUCAGUCAAGAAGGCUUUCUUGUUUACAAUCAACCCUCUUUUGAUAGUACACAAGUCCUUAAGGAAUUUUGCAUAUGUUGGAACUUGUUUGAUCAUAUCCAGCAGUGGAAUAUUAACUUUCACUUGCCUCAAGACUUCAAGGAUUUCAGCUGCAUUUCUAACCCCCUUUUUCCCCUAUAAUGCUUGAGGAAAAGGUGGAGAAGUUGAUUUCUUCAGCAUUUCUUCCUUCAGAAGCUCCUUCUCUGGAAUUACUUUCAUUGUUGCAUCAGAGUCCUUCUUUUCGUCACUGAUCUCACUGCCUUUAUCUUCCAUUUCCUUCCCUUUCUUCAUCUCUUCUUCUUUCUCAACAUGUGGCUUGGGUGUUGGCUGCUCAAUUUUCUUACCACUCCUUAGAGUGAUCAAGGCCUUCACAUCUUUCACCUGUGAUGAUUCUCCCUCAUGGCUUUCCACUUCAUGGACACCUUUGGGAUUUUGGUGAGGUUGAGAAGGAAAUCUUCCCUUUUCUUGCAGUGUAUUCAAAUUUGUAAGCCUUGAAAUUGAAUAUUGGAUGUUAUCAAAUUUUUGGUUCAUAUCAUUUUGCAUUCCAUCCAUCCUUUUAUUCAUCAUACUCUCCACUCUAUCAAUCCUUUGAUCGAGUCGAGCAUUAGUGGCUUCUUGCUUUUCAAUAAAAUCUCCCAUUACCUUGCUGAGAUUGGCUAUUGCUUGUUCAAUACUUGAAGAUUGCUGAGAUGGUGGAUCCGGCUGUUGGUAUUGAGUUGCUCUAGCCUUCCAUGAGAAAUUUGGAUGAUUCCUCCAACUUGAAUUGUAGGUAUUUCCAUAUGGCGCAUUGUUAUUGGGCCUGAAUUGUCCAACAACAUUUGCUUGAUCUCUAUACAUUUCUCUUUCAGCUGAAAUUGCAGGGCAUUCCUCCACCAAAUGUUCAAAUGAUUGACAAUUGGGACACAGCUUCACUUGCACUGGUGCUUCAGCAACAGCUUGCACUUCAUGUAUUUUUUUCAGCUCCAGCUCCUCCAAUCUUCUUGUCAUAGCUGCCAACUUUGCCUUCAUAUCAUCAUCUUCUUUCAAAGUGUACAUCCCAGCCUUUGCAUUGUAAGCAUUCAACUGAGACUUCAUCUUUCCCACUUCUCCUUUAGUUGGUUCAUCCCAUCCCCUUGAAACAUCAGCUACAUAGCUCAAGAAAUCCAUAGCUUCCUCUGGAUUUUUGCUCAUGAAAUCUCCUCCACACAUUGUCUCGAGGAGUUGCUUCAUUGAGGAGGACAUACCAUCAUAAAAAUAGCUCACCAAUAGCCAAGUAUCAAAACCAUGGUGAGGACAAGCAUUUAUAGCUUCCAUGUAUCUCUCCCAACACUCAUAGAAUUUCUCAUUCUCUUUAGCUGAGAAAUUUGAAAUUUGCCUUUUCAAGCCAUUUGUUCUAUGAGUAGGAAAAAAUUUCUUGAGGAAUUCAGCUUGUAAAUCAGUCCAAGAGCGGAUACUCCUUGGCCUUAAAGAAUUAAGCCAAAUUUUGGCCUUAUCCUUUAAAGUAAAAGGAAAUAACUUAAGCCUCAUCAAAUCAAUUGAAGCUCCUCCCUCUUGGAAUGUAUUACAAACAUCUUCAAAUUCCUUGAUGUGUGCAUACGGAUUCUCACUUUCCAUCCCAUGGAAAGUUGGUAGAAGUGGAACAAGAUAUGGUCUGAUCACUAGCUGCUCUGUAGGGGGCACUAUACAUGAUGGUGCACUCAUACGAGGUGGAUGCAUACGGUCCCUCAUUGAUCUGAAUUCAUUGAGAUUGUCUUGACGACCUUGGUGACUAUGCUGAUCUUCAGGUGCAGCCUCCAUGAUAUUCAAGAUUACUUCCAAUUCUCUUCUCUGAGGUGUAUCACACUUAACAAGCCUACCUCCAAUGUCUCGUAUCCACUUUGGCAUACACAACUAGUAUUCAGCUGCAACUUAAAUAAAAACAGAGGACACAAAGAAAAACAGGGCUACAACAACAAAAUUAAACUAGACUAAAUUUUAAAAGAUAAACUUAGAUUAUGAAUUAACUAAGAAAGAAUGAAAAUUAGUAAAGUGAAAGAAACUUUACCAACUUGUGAUGAAAAUCACAAGUGCUCAAAAAUGGUAUCACAAUGAACUUGACACUCAUUCCCCGGCAACGGCGCCAUUUGACUCAUGCCCAAUUGGUGUCUCAGCUGAUUUGUGUUCAGCUGGUGCUCCUUGAUUGAGGAAGUGAUCAACAAAAUUUAUACCUAUAACACCAUACACUAGGGUAGCAAAUAAAAAGCUACUAUAGUAUAGUGGCUCUAGGAUCGUUCACUGGGAAUGAUUAAAUUAACAAGCAGUCAAGGAUACCAAUUCCAAGUGAAUUGGUCUCGUUUCAUUUCACGGUUAGCUUAAGAAAUAAAACACAAACUUUGAUUGGUAAAGGUUGAGACUUAAACUAACUAACUUAACAGAAGUUUGGAAUAAUUUAGGAAGAAAAGCAUUCCUUGGAGAUUUAGGUUCACUGGGGUGGUUCCUCAUGCAAAAGACAUAGCUCCGGUCAGAUGGUUCAUUUCCUCGCAUUAGAGAUUCAACUUAGAGUCAAUUCUCUAAUCGGUGAUGUACAGAGACUCCUUCAAUUAGAUUUCACUUUAAUUCUCUCACUGAUACAACUUGCAAUGGUUCAUGCCUCUCACGAGCACUUACCAUUCAAGGUGAUCUUUAACCUUGGACUUCCCUUCACAAACUCGCAAGAGAUAACUAAUGGAUGUCUCCUAAGAGUCCAAAAGCUUACCAAGUGUUGGUAAUUCCAGAAAAUCCUACCUUGAAGUCACCUACCAGAGGCUCGCAAGGGGUAAACUAGUGCAUUUCCAUGGUUGGAAAUUACUUGCCUUACCAAGUGUUGGCCUAGGUGACUCUAAGGUGUUUUAAGUUAACUAAAAAUAUUGAAAUCACUAAAGGAUUUCACUUCCUCUUCAUUACUAGCUAAAACCACAGAGCUUAGCAUUCUUGCACUUGGAACCUUCCCCGGCAACCUUAGCUCCAAGGAAUUGGAGGUUUAGUUACUCAUUCUCUGGGGAAAACUCCUCAGAGAAUUCAUAACUUAGAAAUAAAAUGAAAAUACAAAGUGAGAAGGUAAGGUAGUAGAAAGAAAAUAGACUUUACUUGCUUACCAAACGGUUACAGAAGGAAUUCCUCCCUGAGAACAGGCUCCCGAGAGGUAUAUAUAUCAAAACAAUAUAAAACUAAUUGUUACAGAGAUAUUUGGUCUUUUUUACUAACUUAAAAACUAAGGAAUCAUGUAAUUGGUGGUUUACAAGGAGUAUUUUGGGAUUUAGACAACAAAAAUCUAAUGGAAAAUAUCUCCCAAUGUCGGUAGCAAGCUUCGGGAGGCUUCAGGAACCAUUUCGCAGGAGUAAAAUGGUGUCUGCGAAAUUUCGCAAACACCCAAGAGGGCUGCGAAAUUAUUUCGCAACACCGAGCUAUCUUCAUAGGGCUGCGAAGUUGGCUUCCACCUUGAGGUUCCCAGCUCCCUUCUCGCGGCAUGGUUCGUGAAUCGUCAGAAGGAGAAACACCUUACUGUACAAAAGUGCUGCGAAAUUCUCGCAACAAAAGGCUGAUUCCGCAACACUUUAGAGUGAUUGACUUGUAAUGGCUGCAACUUCUUCGUUUCAACUCCGAAUUGCGCACCGUUUGAAGCAUUGGAUUGUUGACUUCCUGAGCUUUGAAAUGGUAUAAAGCAUGCAUCAUUUGGACUUCAGAAAGUGCUCUAAAAGUGGCUGCUACGACUGUCAUCAAGAAUAGGCUUCAUGGCAGAUUCUCUUUGCUUUUUCUCCUUGCAAUCCGGAUUCACUCUUGGCAAAUGAAUUCUAAGCUUUGCCCAAGAUUCCUCAUAGCUCUCCUCAGACUUGACUUGCUUUGGUGAUCAAAAUACUAACAAAAACACCAAAACUUACACAAAGUGAUCAAAAUUGCUUUAAAGGAUCCUUAACAUGCCAAUUGAGUUAAAAGGCCUAAACUACUACUCAAAAGUGUUUAAAAGGAUUAAUUAUAGGCUAUCAAAUAGCACUUUUUGAGUAGUAAUCAGUCAUCCAUACAUAGAAAAAUCUGUGUGAUCUUAAGCCAGAAAAGAUGUUGCAUCUAAUCAAAUUCACUAGAUAUGAUGAUAUCUAUACUUUUUUUUAAAAUUAUAUUCAUAUUUAUGUCAGAAAAUAAAUUUUUUAUUUUUUAUUUUUAGAACAUUAAACUUUUUAAAAGUCCUUUCUGGGAUAUUUUCUAGCUUUUUCCUUUUGCUAAUUUUUGCUAUUCAAACAAAUCUUAAGAAAUGAAUCAAACUUGGACACAAUUGAAGAGCUUGGCAUCCUUGUUUUUAGAUUCCAAAGCAUAUAUAGAGAUUGGGGUAAAACACCUUGUACCUAAGAAAAAAAAAGGAAAAAAAAAACACCACAACAAAAAAUUAACCAAAAAUAAAAAAAUUAACUGGAAUAAAAAAUCAAGAAAAUAUUUUUCUGGGUUAAUAAUUAAUUAUAAUGAAAUCAAAAGAAAAAGAAAAAAUACAUACUUCUUCCUGGCUUUGCCUACACUGAAAGCCAUGAAAGAAUUGGGAAAGCAGUAAAGAACAAGAACAAGAACCACAUCCAUAUUCUGGGGAAAGCAAAUCCUCUGCUGCCUUCUUCAGAUUGAAGGCAACUAAUAAACGUGUUAAGGGGUUAUGAGUUUGACUUGGUUGAGUUUGAAGCUACAAAAGUAAGAAAAAUGGUAGUAAUUUUGGAAGCAUUUCUAACUCUUCUAUAACUUGAGAGAUAAAAAAUUUUAAAAGUUAAAAAUGUUAAAAGAGCUUUUUAGAAUCACCCCAAAUGUACUCUAAAUUAUUUAUGACUUGAUGUCACCUUCACACUCAUUUUUCAGUGUCAUUUAUUUUUGGUGUUCCCAUAUUGAAGAUUUAGGGUAAUGUAAUAUUCAAGCCUUCACAUUUUGCCUUCACUAACCUUUGAAUUUUAAUUAAAUUCUUUGAAGGAUAUUUGACCACUUCAUUGUCCAAAAAUGCUUAUAUUGCCAUUUUUUUUUUGGUCUUUUUCUACAAUUCCAAUUUUACUAUUUUUCUUUUAUUUAUUCCUAUUAUUAUUUAGGCUAUUAUUUAUAAUAUUCUUAAUAUUAUAUUUAUAAUUGUUAAUAGUAUAAUUACUUUUCAUUUAUUUGUCAUUUAUAUUGCUUAUCUUAUCUUUAAUCAUGUAUAAGACUCAAAAAUUGCAGAAAACAUUAAUAAGUAACUACUAAACUUCAAAGAGAUAAUAAAAUUCAACUACAUUGAUAUUACAACAAUACAAAUAAAAUAUAUAGCAACCAGCCCUUAAAGGGGCUUUUAAGAGAUAAUGAGUCUACUUCAGAUUGACAUUUAAAGUAGAAUCACCAUCUCUAUAGAUAAAUAUGAAGCCUAAAAAGAAUAGAACAUCACUAAAUAAUAUUAAUAAAGCAACAACUAGAUCAAUUGAUAGUGAAAAUAAAGGUUUACAAGAUGAAUCACAUAAAUAAGAACAACUAAAUUGAGAAACAAAUUACAUGUCUGACAAAUCUAAUGAGGGAAAACAUUAGAGCUAGGUGCCCAAUGAUUGGCUCCGUGAAGUUGACCUACCUCCUCAAUAGGUACAUAGGAGUCCUUACCUAAAAAAACAUUAAAAUCAAUAGGGUGAACAUAAGAUCUAAUAAAUAGGCACGAUAUGCAGAUGUUAGGAUGGUUAGUCCAAGGUAAAAAAAAAUAGUUCUAAAAUGUAUCACGUAAUAAUUUUGGUGUAUUAUGAGAGGAAAAUGGACUUGUGAGGACUAUACUUUGUGGAUAGAAAUGCGAGGAAGAGUGAAAGACACUCAGUGGAGUAAGAGAGCGGUGGAGUAAGAGAGCUAACAGUUUAGGGUAGUCAUACAAAGUGUGGGUAAAUAGAUGUAUCUAUUUUUGUUCCUAACAAUAUUUUUUUUAUUGUAUAGUGAAAUAUUAUCUCUCAAAUAUGGAAGUAAGAAUGGUUAGGUGUACCAUGUUAAAAUCUUAAGUGAAUAUAUUUUUAUAUUAGAAUAAACCAUUUUCUUAAUUAUAAGUAUAUUUGAAUAUUUUACUAAACUAUUUUAAAAUAAAAUAUAGUAAAAAAAAUUAAUAUAUAUAUAAUAAUAACAUGAUAAAUAACAUAUCCCAAACCAAAUGCAACAUAAAUUUCUAAAUUGUCUCUCCUUUCUUAGUUCUCUAUAAUAAUAUUGCCAUACCCAUUGUUUAAGCUAUAAAUUAACAUUUUAUGUUCUUUGAAACAUAUGUAUUACCAACUCAAUAUAUACAUAGCUACGAAGACAUAUUUCUCAUUUUCCCAAUCAGAAAGCAUUGUGAGUUGAAACCUUUUUGUUUAGAAAGUUAACUUGCAAUGUUAAUAUUCUUUUUUUAUAUUAGCCCCCUAGGAAUAUCAUUGCCUUUCACCACACUUUAAGUUUUUUUUUUCAAUAUUCUUUUUUACUUCUACACUAGAAUUUAUGUAACUUCUUGUUCUUUAUUUAUUAUUAUUAUUAUUUUCAAUAUUUUCUCUUAAGUCUACCUUACACUUCUUAUUACCUCUCAUAUAUUUUUUUUUUUUGUCUUUUUCAAAUACUUGGUUGCUUCUCUAUUACAAUUCAUUAACUUCCUAUCCUUUUAUUUAUUUUUAUUUUUUGCAAAAUUCUUUCUUAAACUACAUAAAUCCAUAGUUUUUAUUUUAAAAGCAUCAAGUAAAGAACAUAGACCUACUCAAACACCAUUGUAUAAUACCCCUAAAAUUUCCAAAAAUCCCUAAAAUUUCAUAAAUUCUCUGCAAACUUAUCCCUAAUUAGAUGCUAUUAUAUUAAAUAUAUCUAAUUCACUCUAAACACAUGAUUGAUAAUAAUAUAAAAAACUAAAACAAUAUUAAUAUGCAAUUUAUUAUUUUUCAACACACUGUAAUAGUUCCCAAAUAUUUUCAAACAUCAGCUAACAAACCUAAAUUUAUUAACUCAAAAUACAUAACUGAUAACAAUGGAGAACUAAAAAAAAAAAAAUUAUAAAUAUAACAAUUUUAUACUUUGAAUACAAUUCAAUAAAUCCUAAAUUUUUAAAAACAUUUAACUAAUAAACUUAACCAUACUCAAAUAUUAUUGUAUAACAUCUCUAAAAAUUUCAAUAAUUUAUCAAAUGUGAAGACUACACUCACCGAUUUAGUAGAAUCAUUUGCCUCUUUUGUUGGUAAUUGGGAUUUUUGCUCAGUAGCUUCGCUUUCCUUUGCUUCACUUUCUUCUGCUUCAUUUUUUUAUUCUGUUCGCAAUUGGCAUUUUUGUUUUUUCGUCACUUUUUUUAAUCUUUUUAUCAAAUCACUCUUCAAUGAACUCAUUGUUUCCUUCGUGCUUGAAGAUACAAUAUGAGAUAACUUGAAAAAAAUAGAAUAACAAUUUUUCUAAGGAUUCAGAAUGAAACAAAGGAUGAAAUGAUAGACGAUAAAAUUUCUAGGGUUUUUGAAGGAAAAAUGAGAUUUUCGUUUUGUGCAUCAAAGGAAGAUAAUGAAAUAGAAGAAGAUGAUGAAAGAUGAAGACUCGUUCUGUAAAUGAAGCGAAAGAGGAUAUGAGUUUUCCUUUUUGUGCACCAAAUGAAGAUAAUGAAGUAGAAGAAAAUGAUGAGAAAGUUUUUUUGGAAAAUAUGAGGAGUUGUUCUGUAAAUGAAGCAGAAGAGGAGAAGUUGUAAGUGUUGGAGAGAAAAAAGAAGAAGGACAUUUUUGUCUCAAUCAACAAUUUUGUUUUGUUUUUUAACCGAUGGGUUAUAUUUGCAAAUAUGGGGGUUAUUUUGACCCCUUUAACCAAAUAACCCUAUUUUUUAUCGAGUUACAUCUUUAAAUUAGGUGUAAAAAGAAAUUUUGAUAUGGUAGAGACUGUAUAGUUAUAUAUUGAAAUUCCAUGGUUCAUUAGAUAAACCAUCCUUGAAUUUCUUUGGUUUCAAUCAAGAUGAUAGAUCAUCCUUCCACAGAGUGACCUGAUAUGACAUUGAUUUCUAGGGCUUCAAACACGAAGGGUGUCAAUGACUAAGAACUCCGUUUGAUUGUCAAAAAAAUGAGGAAAAAAACCCUAAAAUAAAAUAUAAAUACAAUUCAGAAUUUCAAUUUUACAUUGUUAGGGACCCCAAAAAUGGGAACAUUCACUUAAUUGAGCGUAAUCCAACCACCUGCCUUAGUUCAAUUCAGUCCCCACUUUCUAGAAACCAAAACAAUAUAAAAAUUCCUGUGUUUGACUGCUCAGAAAGCAUAGGACAAGCAAAGAAAACGACGGUGCCUCCUUGAUCAAACAGUUUUUUUUUUUUACCUUUUCUUUUCUUGCAUUUUCUUUUUUCGGCAACCAAACAUAACUUUUUAAUUGAGCAUUGUUGUAUACAAUUUAGAUUUCUUUCCCUCGGUUUCUCCGCAACCAAACAGAAUUUUUCUCAAUUGAGCGAGGGUAUAGUAUAUCCUUCGUUUUCCUAUAACCAAAUAGAACUUCCCUUGUUAUUUUUUUAAUCUUUUCUUUGAAUUUCUCGGAAACCCAACGGAGUUUACUUCUGGUGCAACCGUGCAAGAAAAUGGUUUUACCUGAUCGCAAUUCACCGGACUAGCUGAAGCAAUAGAGGCUUAAGAAAAAGAGACUGAGCUUUGUUUGUUAGACCCCCUAUGUGAGUACGCAAAGUAAGAAGAAUUGAAGCUGAAAUUAGGCAGCUUCCAAACACGUCUUAGGAGUUGGUUUUAAAACCCAUUUUUUCCCCUUUUUGGUUGCAAUUGGUCUGCAAAGAUGCCAUUAAAAGGUAACCGCGGUUGGUUGCAUGAACAAGAAAAUGAAAAAAAAAGAGUUAAAACUAAUUAAAAUUAUUUAAUAUUUACAUUGAAGAGUAAAAAUAAUUACAAUAUAUUUAAAUAAACACAUAAAAAUAAUAAUUUAUUAAUUUUAAAUCUAUUUUUAAAAUUUUCAAUUUUUCAUUUAUUUUAUUCCCUCUAAGCUUUCUAACUAAGGUCAUAAUUUGGACAAAUUGUUGGAUUCAUAGCUAAUCUAAAUAAUCUAAUAGAGAUAAAUAAAUAAUUAAUUUAAGUUCAACCCAACUUCUAAGCUUUCUAACUAGGGUCAUAACUUGAACAAAUUGGAUGGUUAACAUACAACUUGGACAAAUUGGUGGGUUCAUAGCUAAUCUGAAUAAUUUAAUAGGGAUUAAUAAAUAAUUAAUUUAAGUUUAGCCCCACCUCUAAACAGAGGUAUUUAAUUCAAGCUCAACCAACUUCAUUUCUUCGAGCUCUGGUUGAUGAGGUUAAACUUGGGUUAGCCCUUGAUUGUAUAAUUCAAAAUACAUGUAUAAUGUUUUUUAAUAAAAAAAAUUUAUAUACUUAUAUCAAAUUUUAAAUAGUAAGUAGGACAAAAUUUUAAAAUAACAAAAAAAAUAAAAACAAAGUUAUAUAUCUUUUUUAAAAAGUAAAAAAAUAUAUUAUAUAAUAUAAUUUGAUUUUUUUUUAUAAAAAUUUAGAAAGAAUAAAAUUAUUAUAUAAAAUAACAUAUAUUGGAAAUAUUAUAAAAGCAUUAAAAGUUUGUUCAGUAGUUAUUCAAAUAAGUGUUUCUAUCCCUAAUUUAAACUUUGGUUUCAAUCUAACUCGAAUUGAAUUUGAGUUGAAAAAGUUUAACUUGAAUAUUAAAAAUAAUUGUCUAAACCAAAUCAAAUAUCAGAUUGGAUUCGACUAAUCUGCCAAAGUUACACUCCUACCAAGAACCAUACACAAUAAAAAAAUUUUAAGAUAUUUUUUGUUCUAGGAAAGUACUCAAAAAGGAGAAAUAAAGAAAAAAAAUGAUUUUAUAUGUAUAAUUAAAAUUAGUUAAAUUUUAUAUAUUUUAAAAUUAUUUAAUUUUUUUUAUAUGGAAAAGAAAAAAAAAAAGAGUGAAAUAAGUUUGAAAAAACAAGUAAAAAUGAUUUGUUAACUUUAGUAUUUUUUUCUUUUCUUUUCUUCUAUUUUUUUCUUUUUAGUUUAUUUUUCUCAAAUUUUUCAAAAAAUAAACAUAGAAUUAAAAAAUAAGAAAUAAUUACAGAAUUGGAAAAUCAAUUUUAGAAAUUGCUUAUAUGAUUGCAUUAGUUUGUGUAAAUAAUAAUUUUAUUGAAUGUUAAAAGAGUGGUAUUAAAUGCACAUUAUUUAAUAUUUUUAUAUGGAUAUUUUUAUUUCUAAAGAAAGUAAUCUUUACAUGGAUUGGACCACUGUUUAUUUAUCCAUGUGGGCCAGCCUAUUAAAAACAUCAAACCAACAACUCAAGGGACGACCCUGGUCAUUCUCGGGGGCCCACAACCUUCAUCUCAAACAAAAGCCCAUGGGCAGGAUCACCUUCCACACACAUCUUCAUACCAACCACCACACUACCAACAAUCCUCCUCCAUGAAAGCCCACCUCCAUCACAGCAAGCAGAAAAUCCAACACGCCAACUAUAAGGAUUGCACAGACAAUUUGGCAAGAAAGAAAAGCAUCUGUAUUCUUAUUAUAACUGGACUAUAUACAAUACAAUGCUGUGACUAAUUAAGGAAUAUACAUAUAUAAACAGAAGAUAGAAAGAGUGAUUACAAAUCAAUUUACAAAGAUAAUUCUAGAAUGAACGUAAAUCAUGGAAUUGCCGUUGUUAUGCAGAUUCCCUUAUACGGCCCCUCAAAAUUAAGGUGCCAUCAGCAACAUUGAUUUUGCUACGCAGUUGUUGAAAGCGAGAUCGUGCAAGGGGCUUGGUAAGUAAAUCGGCAAGCUGAUCAUCUGUAUGUACAUGUGCUACACGCAACUGGCCUCUUUGAACAAAGUCUCGUACAAAAUGAAGAUCAAUGGCUAUGUGUUUCAUCCUGGAAUGCAUGACGGGAUUGAGACUGAGUUGUGUGGCACCAACAUUAUCACUUAGCAGUAGUGGAGUGUCACGAAGCUUGACACCAAGUUCAUUGAGAAGAGAUUGAAUCCAGGCCAUGUUAGAGGCAGCAAUUGCGAGGGCUCGAUACUCUGCUUCGGUGGAUGAACCAGCAACGACCUUUUGCUUACGGGUGUGCCAACUGAUGGGGUUGUUACCAAGAAAUAUAAUGUAAGCAGUUGUAGACUUGCGAUCAUCAAGAUUAACCCCCUAGUCAGCAUCGGAGAAGCCACGAAGAACUGGAUUGAGUUGCCGUCAUAAUAGAAUACCAAAAUGAAUGGUAUGUUUGAGAUAUCGUAGGAGUCUUUUAACUUGCUACCAAUGGAAGACUGUAGGUUGAUGCAUAAACUGAGCAAGUCGGUUGAUAGCAAAGCCAAUAUCUGGGCGUGUAAGGGAUAGAUAUUGAAGAGAACCAAUGGUGCUGCGAUAUUCAGUGGCAUUAUAGCUCGUAGUGCCAUCAUUAAGGAGAAGUUUGGUAGACACGGACAUAGGUGUUUGAACUUCUUUGGCACCUAUCACCUUCAGUCGACGGAGGAUAUCAUGAACAUAUCGAUUUUGGGAGAGAAACAUACCUUACUUUACUAGUAUGACUUCGACUAUUAGGAAGUAAUGCAGAUCACUUAGUUCCUUUAAAGAGAACUUAUCACCCAAGGUUGAGACUUUGGUUGGAGCUUGUUUGUUCGGUAAGGAACAAGCCAAGGGUAACAUUGGCAACCAAAGGUCCGCAAUUUGUGAUAGUUAGGGGUACGACCAGAGAGCACUUCAAAGGGACUUUUGUACGAGAGCAAAGGAGUGGGGAGAUGAUUGAUGAGAUAGACCGCAGUGGCUAGAGCAUAAGUCCAAUAAGUGGAAGGGACUGAGGCAUGAUGGAGCAAGGUCAUCCCUGUUUCAACAACAUGACGAUGGUGACGCUCAAUCGUGUCGUUUUGUUGAGGGGUGUGUGGAGCAGUAGUGUAAUGGCUAAUACCGCGAGUAGUAAGAAAGGAUCGUAGUUUGAUGAAUUCGCCACCGUUAUCUGAGUACAAGUUUUUAAGCUUGCAUGAAAAUUGAUUUUCGACCAUGGUAGUGAAUUGCACAAAUGUGGAGUGAACAUCAGAUUUAUGCCGUAAAGGAUAAAACCAAUAGUACUUAGUGAAAUGAUCAACAAGCAGUAGAUAAUAGUGAUAGCCAUCAAUAGAAGAAACCGGUGAAGGUCCCCACACAUCAACAUACAAAAAUUCAAGAGUGAUAAUACUCUUGAGAGAAGUUGAACUAAAGGGAAGUUUGUGUGACUUAUUCCAUUGACAGGAAAUACAAGACAACGUAGACUUAGAAGAGGCAACGGGUAAAUCAUGACUUCGAAGUAACGAUGACAAAAUCUUUGGAGUUGGAUGCCCCAACCGAUGAUGCCAGCAAUCAAAGGUGACCCGAGUUCCAGCUAAGCGAAUUUGAUUUGCUUGAGGUGAGGAAGAUUGCAAUGCCACAGGAUACACACCAUUUUCACACCUUCUGCGCAUGAGCACUGCCCCUAUCAUCCGAUCCUUCACAAGGUAAAAGAAAGGGUGAAACUCAAUGGUAACAUUGUUGUCAUGAGUGAAUUUAUGAACAGAUAUUAAGUUUUUGUUAAUAAGAGGCACAUGUAAUGUUUCUUUUAACAUAAGAGAGUGGGACGGAGAAGAAAGGGUUGUGGAACCAAUGUGGGCAAUUUGCAAACCUGUACCAUCUCCAAGAACUACCUCAUCUUGUCCCUCAUAUUCGGAAUGAAUAGAGAGAUUGGCCAAGUCGGAGGUGAUAUUGUGGGAGGCUGCGGAGUCAAGAAGCCAUUUUUUGUUUGUCGAAGUGGCACAGUUCGCAGUAGGGCGUGACUGCAAUUUGGCACAUGUUUUGGCAGUGUGUCCAGACUGAUCACAGAUUUGGCAAACAACAUGGGACUUUUGUGAUCCAGACUUGUUGUUAUUAGAGUUUUGCUUGGAUCGGGAUAUGUUGUUUUUGAACCAACCAUUGGAUGACUUUCUUUGAGAGGAAUUUGCUGUGACGACUAGAGCGGAAGCAUUGUUAUCCAUACAUUUGAUGUAAUGCUCAUGACCAAUGAGCAAAUCAUGUAACUCAGCAAAAGAGAGAGCAGUUUCUCUAGUGCGAAUGGGCGCAACCAUAUCUCUGAAUUCCGAACCAAGACCAUUAAGCACGUAGAGCAUCAAAUCAUCAUUCGAAACUGGUGCAUCAAUAAGGGAGAGCUCAUCGGCAAUCACCGUGACCGCAUGAAGAAACUUAGACACCGUGCGAGAACCUCGUUGGAUAAGGGUUAAAUCCUCCUUCAACUGCAUAAUCCUAGCUCGAGAUUUGUUUGCAAACAAACGGGCUAGAUGCUGCCAAGCAUCACGACUCGUAGUGGUCAUUGCGAUGAGAGGCAUCACGGUUUCAGAAACCAAGGAGAAGAUCGCGUUGAGCAGCAACUGGUCCUGUCGAUACCAGUGUGCAUAGUGAGCCAAAGCAGAGGGAGAAGACUUCUCAGUGAAUGUGGGAGGACACGGGAGGGUGCCAUCCAAGUAUCCCAUUAAAUCAUAACCAAACAAGAUGGUUAUGAACUUUGCACGCUAGGAAGGGUAAUUUGAUGCGGUAAGCUUGUAAGGAAUUUGGCUGGAGGUGUUGAUGGUGACUAGGGGUAAGUAAGAGGAAGGACUGGAGUCACCCGAAACAGAGUGGGGAGUGGAGUGGACGCUGGACGACAUAGUGCAAAGGAGGAUCGCUAUGGUCGUGAGAGAAGAAGACCUUCUAAUACCAUAUAAGGAUUGCACAGACAAUUUGGCAAGAAAGAAAAGCAUCUGUAUUCUUAUUAUAACUGGACUAUAUACAAUACAAUGCUGUGACUAAUUAAGGAAUAUACAUAUAUAAACAGAAGAUAGAAAGAGUGAUUACAAAUCAAUUUACAAAGAUAAUUCUGGAAUGAAUGUAAAUCAUGGAAUUGCCAUUGUUAUGUAGAUUCCCUUAUACCAACCAUCAACCUCCGCACAGACCUAACACUGCAUAGCCGUGUUUUAGGAGUGUUAGGACGUGAUUAGAGAGGAUCUACUUUGAGUGUUCAUGGAGUUUCGCUAUAAGAGGAAUCAGUUUACCAAAAAUUCUUCAUGAAACCAUCCAUUUAUCUCAGGGAACAUUUAUUAAGUAGAGUCAAAUAGAUUUACAAAUAAGAGAUGAUUUAUUCAUUUGAAAGAAAUAACCUUAUUUCAAAUUGCCCUAAUGUGGCCUAAUAAGCAAAAUUACUGGUUAUAUUUUGGACACAUCUCAGUAGAGGUUCGGGGGAGAAAAUAGAAGAAGCAGAGAUGCUUACUUACUUCAGAGGGGCCACUGCUCGCCACCACCACUUCAUGGCUGUGCCCAUUUCACUUGCCCAAGCCACUCUCUUCUCCAAACCCUCCAUUUUACUCCACAGAAAUGCCAUCAAUGGCUUCUCCUUUUUCAUUCCUUUCUCCUCUUCUUCUGCUCAGAAGAUUCAGACUCACAAGUGGAGGCAACCGGUGGUCUCGGUUCUGGAGCUUGGUGGAGUCAAGAUUGGUAGAGAUGGUAACAUACACACAUCCCAAAAUUGCGUUUAAAAAGGAUCUUUAGCUUGAAUUUUGUGUGCCCAAUUUGCGUUUUUGCAGGCAUUUGCACUCGAGUCGUGUCGUUUGUUUGCAAUUUCACAAUCUGAUUUCUUUUCUAUUGUGCGUUUUUUUUUCCUGCUAGGUUCGAAUUCAAGCAUCCAAUUUGCGUUUUUCUGGGUAUUCUUAUGCCCAACUUGUGUCAUUCAAUUUGCAAUUGUCGUUAUCAGACUUCCUUCUCUCUUUUGAGACUUACAUAGUUAGAGACGUCAUUUCAGUGAAAUUAAGAAUGCAUGUUCCAACUUUCACUUCUUUCUCUCUUUCCUUUUUUUUAGCAUUUAAGAAUCCAUGAAUGUUAAAUAAUCUGCAUUAGCAGCUUGGCUUUCAAGGGAAGCAAGGUCCCACAUGCCCAUACCAACUGAAUAUUAAUAUUUAAGUUUAUCUGGCUUGUUCCAAUUCAUUUUAAUGCCAUUGAGAUUAGUAGUUUCAAGGGAAGCAAGGUCCCACAUGCUACUACUUCUUCAUGAUUUUUUUUUUAAAAAAACAAGUAGAACUAUAAAUCAAUACCCUAAAUACAGUUCCAUUUAUAAAAAAUCUUGAGAGUGGGUUGCUCCGUGGCCUGUAACGAGUCUAGUAAUAAUGUCACACCUCUUUUAAAUCUUAUUUUCCUAUAUUUAAUCCACAUAUUUUUUUAAAAGAAGCCAACACAAUCCACAUACUUGUGAAAGAUGACAAUAACUUAGUUGCAACUGCAAUAUUUUACUUAGAUAUUCUCCCAAUAUUGCCAUUUUUAUCAUUUGCUCUCCCUUAACAAAGUUUCAUCACCAUCCACCAACACAGCAUUUUAAGAUUGCAAAACCAAGUAAUAAAUCAUCACCUAUCAAGAAAUUAAAUAAAAUAAUAAACCAUCACAGAGAGCCACAAAAUAUAUUUAGGAUAGAAGAGAAAAAUUCUAGCAAGGUGGACUUGAGACCAUAACUCAAUCAGUUGACUGUCUUGGCAUUUGAGUUUGGUUGUAAGGUGGGUGUCCUUCCUUUCUUUUACUUAGCUCUUCCUUUGAGUGCCCCAUUGAAAUCUAUGAUGGCUUGGUAUGGGGUGGAAAAGAGGCUCUGUAAAAGGUUGACCAUAUGGAAAAAACAAUAUAUCUCUAAAGGAGUGAGAAUUACUUUGAUUCGAAACACUUUUUUUAGUAUGCUUAUAUACUUUUAUGUCUUUGUUUUGCAUGCCAAAGUCAGUCAAAUUCAGGUUAGAGCAUAUUCAAAGGAAUUUUCUUUGGGGCGACGAGGCUCUCAUUUGGAAGCCACACUUGGUAAGGUGGGCAAUUGCUUAUUUAGAUAAAGGAGGGGCUUGGGAGUUAGGUGUCUAAUCAACACUAAACAAGGCUCCCCAAUGCAAAUGGAGUUGGCGUUUUACUUAUGAAAGGGGGGCCCUUUGGAAGCAAGUUACAAAAUCUAAGUAGGGAACCUAGUAUCCAAACUUCCAUCCAAACUUACAUAUAAAAAAAAAGUCCAGAACAGGCAUUCAGUUUACCAGGUUUAUCAGUUCUCUCCACUGUUUAUUCAACUCUUAAAUGCAGUAUUCUGGACGUACUCCAAAUUUGAAAUUCCUUUGGUAAAAUAAAGGCAUGGUACUUACAGUGGUCUAUUAAGGAAAAGGUUUGUUUGACCUAGCUUUUGUACAAAAAAUUCAAGGAUAGUCUUGCAAAUAUGUAUUGUAUGGGUGUAUAUUUCUCUAUCAUGAUACAAGUGAGAAAAAAUUCAGGAAAGUUGUUUUGUUUAAAAAAAAAUUGAAAGUUAAUUUAUGUUUUGAGAGGGAUAUUAGACAACCUAGGAUUCAAAGGGACAUGUUGUCUCUUAGGAAAAUAUAAUUCAUAGCAUUCUCAAUCACUUACAGGUUAUUUUAGUCCUUUUAAAUUGAUUUAUUUAAUUUUUUUCUUUGUUGUAGGCAACCAACGAAUAUAUUUACAACACCUACUAUUAUCAUUAUUUUGGUAAUUAGCAUUGAUGGAGAUUGUAAAAAUUCUCUAAUGGUAUGCAGGAGAAAAAUAAUAUUUAUGAAUUUUUGUUAAACACAAUUGUCAUAAUGAUAAUAAUUAAUUAGAAUAAUAUAAGUUUGCAAUUGGAAAAUUUUUAAAAAAUAAAAGCUUUUGGAAAUAGUUUGAAUAGGAGUAGAAAUUCUUGGAUUUCAUGGAGAGCUUAGGUGGGAUCUAAAGCAUGGGGCUGUUUGCUAUCUAUUUUAGUAUUUGCUGCUCUUCUCUCUUAUAGGUGUUCAGUUGCAACUUGUAUUCUCUGAGCGUACUUGGGUUGUGCCCCCUUUUGUGUUCUUCAAUAUAAUCUUCAGGCUCAUGAUUAGUGCAAUUUCUACUAAUUGAACACUUUUCACUUCAAAUAAUAUUCAGUAAUCUAAAUAGCAUUCAUCAAAUUAUUUUUAACUCGCCUUUAGAUUUAUAAAGAACCCAAAUAUGAAAUUUUCUUCUUAGGCAUGAGAAAUUGUCAUUGUUAUAAACCCCAUGUUUGUCUUGUACUUACAAGCAUAAUUAUAAAGCAUGAUCUGCAUGUCUUAUCAUGAAAUAUAAUAAUGUCAUAAAAUAGAUGAUUGAUAAAAUAUUAGAAGUCCAUUGCAAAUGCUUAAUGGAACUGAAAAUUAUUACAAAGAAAGUGUGUAUUUCACUCAAACUUUUAUGCAGUAGUGGUAGCUUAUAAACUCACAACUUUGUAAUCAUGUGCUUGAAUCAAGCAAACGUAAUGGAUCUCAGCUACAACUGCUCUACAUUUUAACCAUUGUUUUAUGUUAUGGGAAUAGUGACUGAAUUACAUUUGUGGGACUUAGUUUUCACAUGUGUUCACAUGUCAUAACUGUAAUUUCCCUAAUUUUAUGAGUAAGAAAAACUCUUUCAUUUUCCCUAUUUUGACUGAAACUUUUGGAACUUGGACUUUAUACGGUGCAAAUGUAUGUUAUCAGCUAUUGCUUUUGACUAGUCAUGAGUAGAUAUUAUUUAUAAAAGGACACCAAAGAGGAUAUAAUCCAAGUGCAUUUGUAGUCAACAAGUUACUCUUGGCAUCAAAAUUGAAAGAAACAACAAUGAAGAAAAGCAGCAAGAAAGUGCCCCUACCUCCCAAACUCUCAAUGAACUACUGGAAGGAUCUACUACUAUUCAAGAUAACUUCUUCUAAGCACAACUACAUGUAACAGUACUUAGCCCAAUUUGCGUUUUUCUGGGUAUUCUUAUGCCCAACUUUUGUCAUUCAAUUUGCAAUUGUCGUUAUCAGACUUCCUUCUCUCUUUUGAGACUUACAUGGUUAGAGACGUCAUUUCUGUGAAAUUAAGAAUGCAUGUUUUAACUUUCACUUCUUUCUCUCUUUCCUUUUUUUUUCCCUGUUAUACUCCUCGUUCUGUUUGGCGAUAGUAGAAUUCAGGAAUGGUUUCCCUUUUCUUUUUUCUUUUAUUUAUUUAUUUUUUAAUUUUUGGGUUUCUUUUGGUUAUAUGAAUUCUACAUUUUUCCUUUCUUUUUUUUUUUUUUUUUUUGUGAAAUUGGAAUUGAAGAACUUAUUUUGCGUUUUACAAGCUUAGCGGGUUACGUUUCUGUUCUAUUUGUUGUACUGUUGGAGGUGUUUGGUGCAUUUAUAUAACUAGGUUUGCAAUUUCGCCUUCUAAUAAAGGUUAAAUUUUCUCCCUUUUUAUUUUUUAUUUUUUUAAUGGUGUAUUUGUGUUGGGUAUUUGGUGAAAUGGGGAUUCUGUACUGGGUUUAUGGCAUUUUUUCAUUUGGUUUGAUAUUUGUGAAUGCGGGUUUUGUAGGGAAGAUGUGCAAACUUUUUGAAAGUAAGAAUGCAAUUACAACUUUGAUUUCCUUUAUAUUUAUAUUUAAAUUUUUUAUGCUUAUUUGCGUAUUGGUUGAUGUCAAAAUUCAUCUAAUGGGUUGUUUUUUAUUGCUUUGGAUUGGUUUAAUGUAGUUGAAUGGUGGAUUUUGUUUCUAAAACUUGGGGUCAAUUUCAAUUUUUUUAUUUAUUCAACUUGAAGACCUGGGAGUCUAUGUGAUUGGAAUUGAUCUAUCGGAGUGCGACUCUAGGCUGUUUUUGUAUGCUCCUUGUAUACUUUGAGGGCACUGUUUUUGGUGCUUCCUCAUUCUCGUUUAAUAUACUUACUUUUAUCUAUCAAAAAAAAAAAAAUUUGAUUUACUCGAGUUUUUGGAUUUUUCUGAUUGCUUUGAUAAACUUGGCUUGCAGAGCCUUAAAAAAUAAACUAUACUCACUAAGCUAUAUCUCAAAUAAUACUUCGUCAGGGCGUGUAAUGCAACUUGGAGUCUUUUUAUUUUUAAAAUUUUUUGGGUUAUUCUAUUCUGAAUAUUUGGUAAAAUUAGAAUUCAUGUACUCAACCUUUUUCAAGUUCUUUUGGUUGGCUUGAUAUAUUUGGUUGUGGGGUUUGUAGAUGUGGUGAGGGAUGAUCCUACAAACAAUGUCCCGGAUGCAAUUUUUUUGAAACUUGGAAUGCAGCUUCACAGGAGGGAUUAACACCCAAUUGGAAUUCUGAAGAAUGCAAUAUAUGAUUAUUUCAAUGCCAAUUACUCAAACAAAUUUGAUAAGUUUGACAACCUUUGCCCAAUAGUCUCCACAAAAGAGGUUUGACCAUUAAGAAAUAAAAUAGAAAUUGUAUGCAUGUUUUUUUUCACUGUUUUGAGCUAUACAUUGCACUAUUUGGAACUUGUAUUAUCUUGCUAGGACUGGUGCUUGACAUUUUGUUGUUGUUUAUAUUUAUUUUGCUACCCAUUUCCUGUUGGUUUCUGUCCUGCCCUUGGUGUUUUAACAUUUAAGAAUCCAUGAAAGUGGUAUUUGCAUUUGUUACCAAUUAUUCCAUCGACGAUGUUCUAAGUACAUAUUAAAAAAGUCCAGAACAGGCAUUCAGUUUACCAGGUUUAUUGGUUCUCUCCAGUGUUUAUUCAACUCUUAAAUGCAGUAUUUUGGACGUACUCCAAAUUUGAAAUUCCUUUGGUAAAAUAAAGGCAUGGUACUUAUAGUGGUCUAUUAAGGAAAAGGUUUGUUUGACCUAGCUUUUGUACAAAAAAUUCAAGGAUAGUCUUGCAGAUAUUUUUUGAUAGAUAAUCAUAAAUAUAUUAAAGGGCAAAGGCUACAAAGUAUACAGGGAGUAUACAAAUUAGCCUAAAACAAGAACACAAAAAACAAGCACCCUCACCCACCCUUAAGUGGCCGCUAGCCACUCCAAAAAGCCUAAGAGCGAAGAGGACUCCUCUUUAAUAUACACCCUAGCCCAACUCCACAAGGUACAUACAAAAGAAUUUUUGAGUUUCCGUAUAUCUAAAAAACCACCCCUAAAAGCUAAUCUAUUCCUCUCCUUCCAAACCGUCUAAAAAAUACACAAUGGGAUGGAAUUCCAAAUCUUUUUCCUUUUUUUCCCCACAAAAGAGCCUCUCUAACUAAAUAACGCCUCUUUAACUAAUUUCGGGAACACCCAUUGAACCCCAACAAGGGCAAGGACGAUCUCCCAUAGGCCCCUUACCACUAUACAAUGUACAAGAAUGUAAUUUACAUUUUCCUCUUCACAACUGCACAAAAAACAGCUAUUAGGGAGCUGUCAUCCCCGUUUUUGAAGCCUAUCCAAGGUGAGAAUCUUCCCCCACGACGCUUCCCAAGCAAAAAAGGCCGCUUUGGUUGGGACCUUGUCCACCCAAAUGCAUUUAGUCGGAAAGGCGCAUGCAUUAGGAACAGCCAGCAAAUUGUAGGCAUCCUUAACCCCAUAUUUUCCAUGACCCCCACCUUUCCAUAGCACUGAGUCCUCCUCUGAAGAUAUCCUGAAGUCCCUGAGCGUAUUAAGCAAUCCUCUAAUCAAGUCCAGCUCCCAAUCAUUAAAAUCUCUAUGAAAUCUAAGAUCCCAACCUCCUUGAUCAAUGCUUGGGUCCAACAUCUCAUUAACCGUUGCAUUCUUGUGAACCGCCAAAUAAAAAAGCUGGGGGAAAGUUUGGGACAGCGCUGCAUUGCCACACCACUGGUCAGUCCAGAAUUUAACUCUAGUCCCCUUCCCCACCUUAAACUUUAUGUUAUCCCAGCACCACUUUGCCUCCUUCAUAAUCUCCUUCCAAACCCCCACUCCAUAAGUCCUACGGGCUUCUUUAGCUCUCCACCCAAAAUCUUCCUGACCAUAUUUCACCCCAAUCACCAUCUUCUAGAGAUUAUCCUUUUCAACGGCAAAUCUCCAUAACCAAUUACCCAACAACGCUUUGUUCAAGGGAUCAAUCUUCCGAAUGCCAAAGUCACCCUUCUCCUUUUGAGUGCAUACCACCUCCCAAUUAAUUAAGUGGACUUUCCUCUCCAAGCUUCCCCCUCCCUAAAGAAAGUCCCUUUGUAAUUUUUAGAGUCUAUUUGCAACACUCUUUGGCAUUUGAAAGAGGGACAUAUUGUAAAUAGGCAAGCUGGUCAGAGUGCUCUUGAUUAAGGUGAUACGCCCACCCUUCGAUAUAUAUUGUCUUUUCCACUAGGCUAAUCUUCUCCUCAUUCUCUCUUCCACCCCAUCCCAUAUAGAGAUAGCUUUGUGAUGUGCUCCAAGGGGCAACCCCAAGUAAACAGUGGGCAGAAACCUCACUUUGCACCCAAUUUCCACAACCAUUUCCUCAAUUUCUUCCACCUCACCAACCGGAAUUAAGACGCUCUUAUCUAGAUUAAUUCUGAGACCGGAAGACACCUCAAACCAAGCCAAAAUCCAGCUUAGAGCAAAUAGUUGCUCUUUCCUAGCUUCACAAAAGAUGAUUGUAUCAUCAGCAAAAAGAAAAUGUGAAACUAUUAUCUCCGCUUCCCCUUUCCCCCGAAUUCUACAGCUUGACAAGAAGCCCCCAUCAACCGCCCUUCUUAUCAGAUUGCUUAGCACUUCCAUGCCCAACACAGAGAUAUAGAGAGAAAGGAUCUCAUUGCCUUAGCCCCUUGGAAUUCAAGAAGAAGCUAGCUGGCACCCCAUUGAUCAUGACUGAAAAUUUGGCGGUUGAGAUGCACCACCAAAUCCAUUCCAUUGACCCAAAGCCCAUUUUAAACAAAACUUUCAUGAGAAAAUUCCAGUUGAUGUUGUCAUAUGCUUUUUUAAUGUCCAAUUUACAGAUAAGCCCUUUCUCGUUCCUUUUGUGCCAGAAAUCAAUCACCGCAUUGGAAAUAAGUGAUGCAUCCAAAAUUUGUUUGCCUCUCACAAAGGCAUUUUGAUUCUCAUAAACCACCUUGUCUAACACCUUCUUCAGCUUAUUCACCAACACCUUAGCCAAAAGCUUGUACAAACUCCCUAACAAACUGAUUGGCCGAAAAUCUCCCAGGUCUUUAGCCUCUCAUUUCUUAGGGAUAAGGACUAAGAAAGUGGAAUUGAGGCUUUUGGCAAAAGAUCUCUGGUCAUAGAAUUCUUUAAACAGGUCCACAAUCUCCUCCUUCACAAGCUCCUAGCUUGAUUGCCAAAAAGCAACUGUGAAGCCAUCUGGGCCUCGAGCUUUAUCACCCUUCAUUUCCAUUAAGGCAGAGUAAAUUUCCUCUUUAGUAAAAGACAUCUCCAAGACUUCAGCUUCACAGGAAUUGAGGCGAUUAAGGUGCAGCCCCUCAAUAUUCGUUCUCUAGCCUGACUCUUUUGAGAGCAAAUGCUGAAAAGCAUUCACUAUCCCCUUCCUCACCUCCUGGUCCUCAGUCAUCCACUCCCCAUUAAUUUUAAUUCUAUCCAGGGAAUUAUUCCUUCAGUGGGCAUUUGCCAUCCUAUGGAAAAAGCCAGUGUUCCUAUCCCCUUCCUUAAGCCAUAGCUCCCUUGACAAUUGUCUCUAGUGGGUCUCUUCCAUUAGCACCCAUUUUUUAAAGGAGUCUUUGGCUUCUUUUUUCAGCUCAGUUUCUCCUUCAGACAGGCUUCUCUCACUUUCCACCCCAUCCUAGAACUCCACUUGUUGAAGAGCUGAGUUCUUAUUGGCUUCCAGCCUACCAAACACCUCCCUGUUCCACACUUUGAUUUUUUGCUUCAGCUCCUUCAUUUUAGUGGCUAACCUGACACUGGCCCUCCCUCUCACCUUAAACCCUUGCCACCAACCCCGAAGAAGGUCCGUAAAACCAUCAGCUUUAAGCCACAUAUUUUCAAACCUAAACGGGAAAGGACCCCUCCUUAACCCACCCUCCCAUCAACAAGAUAGGAAAAUGAUCUGAGGUAGGUUUGGGCAGCCUGCUUUGCAUGACCUCAUUGAAAUGAUCAAGCCAAUUUUGGGUCACCAGGAACCUAUCGAAUCUGGCCCAAGCCUGAUUAAUCCUCCCCCCACUCCAGGUAAGCACACCCCCUUGCAAUGGAAGGUCAAUGAGCUCUAACUCAUCAACAACCUGGGCAAACCUUCUCAUUGCACUCGUUAGCCUUCCCUGAUUACUUUUUUCCCUCUAGGACAGGAUGACAUUGAAGUCACCCCCUAGACACCAAGGAUCAUCCCAAAUGCCUCUAAUUGUUCCUAUCUCCUCCCACAUCCACUCUCUUUCCUCUCUAGAGAAAGGCCCAUACACACUAGUAAACAUCCAAACUAGCCUAUCUUCCACGUUCCUCAGCCUACAAGAGAUUGAGAAGUUUCCUACUUCCAUUUCAAUCACUUCUAGGGUCCUCUUAUCCUAGCAGAUCAAUAAACCUCCCGUAGAACCAUGGGCAUCCAGGGUACCCCAAUCGAGAAAUCUACCAAUGCCCAAGCUUCUCACCAACCCCUCUGUCAUUGCUUGAAUUUUGGUCUCCUGAAGACCAAACAAAUCCACCCUUUGAAUCCUGAUCAUGGCCUUAAUCACCUUUCUUUUAGAGCUGUCGUUAGUUCCACGAGCAUUCCAACUCAAGAGUCUUAGCUUCAUUUAACCACCAUGAUUUGACAUCAUCUUCCUUGCAUUUCACACUUCUGUUUCUUCUCCCCCUCGUAAUUAAUUGAGCACUCUAGUCUUUUCAAUUCCCUUUCGAACUUAGAUUUUUCUAGAAGGUUUUUAUUAUGGACUCUUUCCUUUCUAUUUCAGAUUUUAACCAAAAAAUCCAAAAUUUCUUUCUCCAGACCUUUUGUCGAAAACCCCAAAAACUCACUAAAUUUGGCCAAAUCACUCUCCUCCAAACUAUCCUCCUCCCAUCUCUUUCCUUCUCGUGGCAUAGAUUGAACUAAACACAACUCCUUUCCACAGUUAUCUUUGUAGCCAUUAAUAACCUCCGUCAAUUCCCAAUGCUAACAUUCUCCUCUUCUAGGGGUCCCGGAGUGAGAAGCAUGCGUAAAGGGGUUUCCCUCUAGGAAGUCUCCCUAUCAUCCCUAGAAAGGUUGCAAUACUCCCCCAAUGGAGUCCGACCGAAAAAGAAAGAAGGAGAAGAUGAGGACCCAGAUGCCAACAAACCACUAGGGUUAGGAGCACACCCAUACCUCGAUGCUUCCUCAAUUAGGGCGCUGUCAGUCCUUGAUCUCUCCAUGGAAUAGAACUCCUCCUCAAUUUGCUUCCGCCGGCCAUCAUUUUCCCAGAAGGAAAAGCUUUCAGCAUCUGGAUCCCUCAGAGGACUUGGGCCAGCCCACACUAGUGGCAAGGCCACCCUAGAGCAACCCACCAAAGAUUGGGGUGGGCCUCGACAUAUUUCCAUCCUAUCCGGCCCAGGCGCCCCAAUGGUCUCCAAGGUAUUUAACUUCCUAGAGCCCUUUAAGGACGAAAGCCCAAUAGGAGACGACCCAACCUUAGGAGAUGAAACUGGAUCAAGCCCAAUGGGCCCAGAGCCCAAAUCGGAGCGUCGAGAAGCCCCAGUAGGGCCAAGCUUAAUGGGCUCCCCUUGCAAGCCUUCCUGGUCCCCCACUGAUGGCCUAACGAGGCCCCAAGACCGAGCCCAAAGGAGCCCCGACCCACCUGUUUGCCCCCGUGUCCCAUCAGCAGACUGCAGAUGGGUCUCGAUCCUUGCAUCGUCCACCUCUUCCAGCACGCGCUUGCCCGCACGUGUAGAGACGUCACCCUCAACCUUUCCUUCUGCUCCGCUGUUCUUCCCCUUUCUCGCUGCCGACAACACUCUCAUUAUCGGUCUUACCUCCUACCACAAGGUUAGCAAAUAACACACCCCUUCGACCCCAAUUUCUACCAUGCUAGGGAUCUCCUCGCCGUUUAGCUUCACCAGGAUUCUUGCCCAUUGCAGCUCCUCCAGGUUCUUCUUCUGAGAUUCAAUGGCUAAAAAUCUCCCACACUUCUUCCCUACCUUUCUAAGGGUGGCCCGAUCUCAUAACGAGAUGGGUAGCCUCACGAUUCUCACCCAUGCCUCAUUCUUCUUCUCUCCUUCCAACAGACACCCCGUCCUAGGGCUCCAUUUCUCUAGUCGCAGAAGUGUCUUCCCUACCAAAAUUCCUCCUAGAUUUAGAGUUUUUUCGGCUUCCACUACCAUCUCAAACUCUAGUAGCACCUUUCCCCAUUCCAACUUAGCCAAACCUAAGUUGCCCUUCAACCCCCAACUUCGUGCCAUUUGGGUCCCCCAACUUCUCAAGUCAUCCCCCUUCACUGACUUUGGAUCCCACGAGGCAACAAGGCAGUGAUCCAACCUCUUUAGAUUUCGACUGAGGUCCUUGUGGCUUACUUCCACCCUAGCCACUAACCUACCAUUGCGAUUUUGCAGCUUAACCACUUUCGUAAAACUUUUCCCUAAACUGGGCACAGACGACAUCAUCUCGUCCUUCUGACUCUCCUUCCUCUCCGUAGCAACACCCAAAGCCCUAAGCGUCUCCACCAUAGAAACCCAACCCUCUUUUCCUCUUCUUCCUUUGGGGAUAAAGAUGUUGAACAUUUUCUUCUCUAGGUCCUCGACACCUAAACGGAUGAAGAAUCCCCCCUUAUUUUCAUCAUGCAACAGUGAGUAGAUCUUCCAUCUUUCCCUCCAAUUUCUUACCCAUUUGCCUGUUCGUGUGUCCUUAAUGCAAAGAGCCAAACUUUCCACAAAAAUCCCUAGACUAUCUGGACCCAUUUUAAUCCACGAAGACACCCCUCUUUUUCUUUCCACAAUAAUGACUUGCACUUUGCCCUUCUUCUUUUCUACAUCGAUCUCGAAGGUCUUCGACUCCACCUCAAAGCUGCUCUUCCCCCGGCUGUUCCGAGGCUCCAAGCAGACGAUGUUUUCUGCACCAUCGCUCGCACACAGAACCACUCGCUCUCUCUCUCUCUCUCUCUCUCUCUCUUUCUCUAGCCCUCUCUACAUUGUAUAGGAUUACCAUUUGGUCCUUGGACAAAACCCUAGUCUUGCAGAUAUGUAUGUAUGGGUGUAUAUUUCUCUAUCAUGAUACAAAUGAGAAAAAAUUCAAGAAAGUUGUUUUGUUUUAAAAAAAAUUGAAAGUUAAUUUGUGUUUUGAGAGGGACAUUAGACAACCUAGGAUUCAAAGGAAUAUGUUGUCUCUUAGGAAAAUAUAAUUCAUAGCAUUCUCAAUCACUUACAGGUUAUUUUAGUCCUUUUAAAUUGAUUUAUUUAAUUUUUUUCAUUUUUGUAAGCAAGCAAAAAAUAUAUUUACAACACUUACUAUUAUCAUUAUUUUGGUAAUUAGCAUUGAUGGAGAUUGUAAAAAUUCUCUAAUGGUUUUGCAGGAGAAAAAAAUAAUAUUUAUGAAUUUUUGUUAAACACAAUUGUCAUAAUGAUAAUAAUUAAUUAGAAUAAGUUUGUAGUUGGAAAAAUUUUAAAAAAUAAAAGCUUUUGGAAAUAGUUUGAAUAUGAGUAGAAAAUUCUUGGAUUUCAUGGAGAGCUUAGGUGGGAUCUAAAGCAUGGGGCUAUUUGCUAUCUAUUUUAGUAUUUGCUGCUCUUCUCUCUUAUAGGUGUUCAGUUGCAGCUUGUAUUCGCUGAGCGUACUUGGGUUGUUCCCCCUUUUGUGUUCUUCAAUAUAAUCUUCAAGCUCAUGACUAGUGCAAUUUCUACUAAUUGAACACUUUUCACUUCAAAUAAUAUUCAGUAAUCUAAAUAGCAUUUAUCUAAUUAUUUCUAACUAGCCAUUAGAUUUAUUAAGAACCCAAAAUAUGAAAUUUUCUUCUUAGGCAUGAGAAAUUAUCAUUGUUAUAAACCCCAUGUUUGUCUUGUACUUACAAGCAUAAUUAUAAAGCAUGAUCUGCAUGUCUUAUCAUGAAAUAUAACAAUGUCAUAAAAUAGAUGAUUGAUAAAAUAUUAGAAGUCCAUUGCAAAUGCUUAAUGGAACUGAAAAUUAUUACAGAGCAAUUGCAUAUUUCACUCAAAACUUUUAUGCAGUAAGGGUAAUCAUGUGCUUGAAUCAAGUAAACUUAAUGGAUCUCAGCUACAACUGCUCUACAUUUUAACCAUUGUUUUAUGUUAUGGGAAUAGUGAUUGAAUUUCACAAUCCCAUCAUUAUAAUUUAUGCAUUGUAAUUUCAUUUGUGGGACUUAGUUUUCAUAUGUGUUCACAUGUCAUAACUGUAAUUUCCCUAAUUUUAUGAGUAAGAAAAACUCUUUAAUUUUCCCUAUUUUGAUUGAAACUUUAGGAACUAGGACUUUAUAUGGUGCAAAUGUAUGUUAUCAGCUAUUCCUUUUGACCAGCCAUGAGUAGAUACUAUUUAUAAAAGGACAUAAAUGAGGAUAUAAUCCAAGUGCACUUGUAGUCGACAAGUUACUCUGGGCAUCAAAAUUGAAAGAAACAACAAUGAAGAAAAGCAGCAAGAAAGUGCCCCUACCUCCCAAACUCUCAAUAAACUACUGGAAGGAUCUACUGCUAUUCAAGAUAACUUCUUCUAAGCACAACUACAUGUAACAGUACUUAGCCUGCGCUAUGGUGUCAAGAGGUAGGCUCAUUGGAACAUGCCUAUUUUGAUGGAUUUUAGUUUGUGGGGAUAGUUAAAGUGUAAAGUGUUUGAUAAAAUAAAUUUGCUAGUUUUAAUAAAUUGGAAUUACUACUGAAUGAAAUGUGAAGCUAGAUAUUAGGAGAAAGAAAGAUAAUUAAUUUAUUUGUAUGACACUAUGACUUACACAUUGUGAAGCUUACUGGUUGGGAAUUGUUGAACGGGGGAACUUACUUAAUAGGGGAGAAAGAACCACACAUAUUUCUUAAUGAGAAAAUAUAAUUACAUUAGCAAAAGGCCAAAAAUACAUGAGUAGUUCACUAAUUGCAUAUUAUUGGAAAGAAAGCUGAGCAACAUAUGAUUCAUAAACUUUUUACAAUUUAAAGGCCUGGGUCCAAUGAGAUAUGUUGCAUCAUAUUACCUAAUGAACCAAUGAAGUUUAUGGAUUUCCAAAACUUCUUGGAGAGGUUCAUUAUUUUAUGGUUCUUUUUUUCUUUUUUAGGGUUCUUUAUUUUCUUUUUGCCGAGAUAUCUAGAAUAUGGCAUGGUAGGUAUUUUUGCUCCAUACCUCUUUGGAGCUCAAUUAUUUGGCAAAGUAGGAAGAAAACAAAUUAGCAUCAACUUUGGCUUGACUUGAGAUCACAAAUCUGACUAGAGAUUUUGCAGUAGUGUGUUGAGGUCUAAUUCGAAUCCAGGUUGUGAUGUGUGCAUCAAAGAGUCUUUCCAUAAGCCAUUAAGCUUUGAGGUGUUUUGUGAUGGCAUGACUGGAUAAUGAGCUGCAUUUUGGUCUGGAAUUUGGAGUUCGGUUAUGCAUUUCUGUAUCUAUAUCUCCAAAAUUAUUAACUAAUUUUAAUUAUUUUAUCUAUUUUUCAAAAUAAACAUUCAAAAUUGAAAGUUUGUGUCACGAGUCUUCAGGCUUAUCCGUAAUAGAAUGCCCUACAUUAACUCUUACUGUUAAUGCAUAUAAUACCAGGUCAGUCAUCACAACCAUUUGCUUGCUUAUGUUGACUUUCAAUGGCUUAAAAUUCAUGGCUUCAAUGGUUAUUACCAUGCUAACACUCAAACUAAUUCUUUUUUUUUUAGGUAAAUAAGAGCUUGUAUUAGAAGCGCCUAAAAGUGGCAAAAACAGUUCACAUGAAGUAUGCAAACAGAUUGCCCAAGAAACUAGGCAAAGAAAACAAAAAACCUUUCCCUUAAUUAGACAUAUGACCACUCUAUAAAAUCAAUCAUAGACGAAGUAUGAUCCUCUAUAAACACCCUAGCCCAAUUUACAAGAGUAUACAAAAAGGAAUGUUUUAAAGCUUGGUGGGACUAUUGAUAUCAUUAAAUGCUCUUUCAUUUAUUUCCUUCCAUAAAGUCUACAUUAAGCAUAAAGGGGCAACCCUCCAAGACUUCUCCCUUCUCUUACCCACAAAGGCACCAUACCAACCACCAAAUUCCUUUUAAUCAAAGAAUGCAAAACCCACUGCACACCAAAAAGGGAGAAAAUCAAACUCCAAAGCAUUGUAGCCUUUCUGCAAAACAAGAUUAAAUGGUCACUGGUUUCCUCUUUCUCUUUACACAAGCAUAUUCAAACUAAUAACUAAUAUUUGCUGGAUUUAAAGCUUGUUUGUUAGUGUUCUUCAUGGUUGUGCUUCUAUUUUUAAUUGAUUCUCUUGGCCAUCACCGUUUCCCCCUUAUUAAGAUUGGAUAUUUAAGUUUCAACGAAACAGCCUACUAAAUCCUCAAGAUAGAUCCUAUUUAUAAGGCAUGGGAGUUUUGGUCAAUGUCUGCUUCCAAGAUUCUUAUCCAUAUUUCUAUGAAUUCUUAUGCCAGAAAGUCUACUUCUUGCAGAAUUUUGAUGAUGUCUUGGUUCCUCCUGAUCACGUCGGUAGGAGUUACAAUGAUACAUACUACAUUGACUCUCAAACUGUCUUGAGGUGCCACACUAGUGCUCAUCAAGCAGAGCUGUUGAGGAGGGGACACACUCAUUUCCUUGUGACUGGAGAUGUUUAUCGUAGAGAUUCCAUUGAUUCAACUCACUACCCUGUUUUUCAUUAGGUUUCUUAUCUCUGAUUUUAUCAAUGAUUGUUUUCUAUUAACAAGUUUCUUAAUGUUUUCUUCAGUUCAAUAACUUAUCAUGCAGAUGGAAGGUGUUCGUGUCUUCUUUCCAGGUGAUUGGGAGCAUGGUUCAAAGUCGCGGUAUCGGUCAUUGACUCGGAGGGUCAUGAAGCAUAUCGGUCUCAAUUCGGUAUCGGACGAUACGUAAAAUAAGAUAAUUAGAAAUUUCAAAAAAUUAUAAAAAUAUUAUAUAAAUUAAAAAAUAGAUAUAAUUGAAUAAGUUGAAAAUUUUAAGAAAACAAUUUUUUUUUUUUCACAUGUAGCUCAAAAUUAUUUGUGAUAAUAUUCAAAAUUGAGGAUUUAAUUCUUACCUUGCCAUAUAAACACUUUAAUUUAUCAUUAAACCUCAUUCAUACCUUUCAUAUCAUUUUACUUUAGCAAAUCGGGACCCAAUUCUCCUAAUAUGUUACUAUUAAAUCAUAUCUCAUAAAUCCAUAUAAAAUGCAUUUUUUACUUUACUAAUUUUAGCUUCUCCCACCCUCGCACGCCACCAUUGCUAUCAAGAGUCAAGACCCACAACACCACAUGCAAUUGCAAAUUUGCAACCGUGCAAGACCCAACACAGGAGGGGGAGCAAUUUGAUUGUGAGGGGGUUGUCUUGUCGAUGUCGCUGGUGAAAGAUUCAAUCCACUUUAUGAGUCACCACCGUUGACACCAAAGCUCCACCCUCCGGUAAUGCUCGAUUUUGAGGAAAAUCAGGUAAGUAAAUCCUAAAUCAUGCCCUCAUCCUUCAAUGGUUUCUCUGCUUAUUUCCGAACGGGUCACGGGUUGGUUUUUUCUUCUUCGUCUUCUUUGAUCUUCUCAUUGAUGGUUUAAAAUUUCAUAAUAGGUGUUUGCUUUUGAAAGGGCAAUCUUUGAUUUUUUUAUUCUCUAUAACCUAACUGAGUCAACCGAGUUAACUCGGAAAAUCAGAUUAGUCAAUCGAGUCUUACCGAUUCCCAGUCGAGUUCAUGCAUAAUACCGUAUCUGGUAUCGGUCUCGUCGUGGCAGGUGUCGAGGCCGAUACGACUUGGCUGAGUUGUAUCAGACUCGGCCGAUACUUUGAACCCUGAUUGGGAGACAUCUGGAAUGGAUGACAUGUCUUAUGCGGCUGAGGAUUUAAAGAAAUGUCUUGAGGGUUUGGUGCAGCACUUGUUUGGUAAACUUAGAUCAGGAGAUUGUCUUAAUCAGAUGCGAACUUAAUACUAUCAGUUGAUGCUACAGUGAGAAAUAUGGGUUAAGGAAUUAUUUACCAGGUCUAAUAAUUCAAAAUCUGGGAAAUACUUCAAGUAAAAGGGGGAAAAAUAAUGAAAUAAUAAAAUAAUAAAUUUAAGUGGGGAAAGCAAUUCAUGUUAUGCAAAAGCAGUACAGGUUGGUCAUUUAGAAGUCAAAUCAAGAUAGUCCAGAAUAAUAUAGGGAAUUAUUUGCGAUUCUCAAGGUACUUGUUAAAAAUCAUUGACAAAUUACCUAAAGAAACAUUUAAGAGUGCUAUUAUUCUUGAAAUUUCUGAAAUCUAUCAGAAAGGUAGUUUUCAUCUUGGGGUUUACAAUAUACUGUAUAGAAUCUGCGUGGGCUAAAUCUGUUGAAAUUUGCAGGUAAUCUGGAAAUGCGCUGGAUUGAUACAUAUUUCCCUUUCACCAACCCAUAAUUUGAACUUGAGAUAUGUUUUCAGGUAUGCUUUUGAUCUGGCUGGUGGUUACAUUUUAGCACUAUAUAUUUUGAAUUUCUUUAAAACUUUGUUUUUGAACUAAUUUUAGUAGAAACAGGCUCCAUUUCAUUUUUCUGUUUUCAUCUUUUGCAAGAAAGGGUAAAAAUCAUUUCAAAAAUGUGAACUUCAGUUUAUUCCAUUGCUGGCAUGUGUGGCUUUCAUCUGUUAUUGAAGACACUAAGAUUCAUAGACUGAUAAUAUUCCAAUGCUUAUAAUAACAGUAAUGUUGAUGAUAAAAUAAUAUAAAAGUAGAAACAAAAUUAGUUGUCUCCCUUUUUUUUCUUUUAGUUUCUUUGUUCUUCUUACCCCUCUGAUGUGGGGAAGGGGUGUGGGGCUCUUUGUUGUCGCCAAAUGUGAAAAAAAGAUGCAUUAUGUCCUUUUAUUUUGGACUUACAGGACCUAUUAUGAAGGCAUUGCUUUCUUCAAUGUAUAUUUAUGACUUCAAGACAUUUUUGUAUUUUAUUUUAUGGCAGCAUUUUUAUAUUGAAGGAGAAAUUCAUAAACAUAUAUACACACAUGCUAGUGAGCAUACACAAACACUGAUGUUCCACACAGUAAUUAAAAAAUUCUUGCUUUGAGGAGUAUUUUUUUCCAAAACUCAUUUCCAUGUCAGAUGGCAACAUGCCAAUGACUAUUUGCCAGCAAAUGGAAUGCUGGCAACACUUUUAUGGAUUGAAUGUUUUCCUUUCCCUUUUCCUUGUAGUGAAUGAUGUGUACACUUUAGUUGCUCUUACAUAUUUGAUGCAUUGUGCUUCAUGCCCUAACUGAUGCAGAACAGAAAAGUACCAGAAAAAAUGAUGGGAGUCUAGGAAUUACUUCCAAAAACCUUAGGCUUCACAUAUAGGUUUGGUUUUCAUCACACAAAAAAGAAAACAUUGAAAGUUGGAAGGUUUUGUGUUUUCAUUCAUUAAUCCUUUUAGAAGAUAGAGUGAUCAGCUUUGUUAACUACAACCCUAAGACUCUUAAGACCCCUAACACUCUUUGGAACCAAUCACAGUAAUGAUUAGGCUGAGAAAUCAGAAACUUGAACUGAUAAAUAAAAAUUAAAAGGCACUUGCAAAUAUAAAGCAAUACCCCCCACGCCCUUCGGAAAACUCAACCUUGACAAGUUAAAGGCAUGAAAUUUCUCAUAAAGAUCACAAUUCAACUGCUGAAAUUCAUUGCUUGUGAUCCACAUACAAUCUCAAAGUGGCCUUUCUCUCCAUUCCACAUGAUACUUUUGAUAACCUCCUCUUUUGGUUGAAACAAUUUAGUGACCAACAACUUUUCAAUCUUCUCUUUCAAUCAAGGGGCUGGUAGAAGAUGACCAUUUGGACCAUUAAUUGAUGUAGCAGCUUUAGGAUUAGGAUAAAGGGUGUGGUCUUCAAUAUUAGAGAUCUUAUUAAUGCCCAUAUUUUCUGGCAAGUCAAGCACAUAAGCGUUGGGACUUGUUUUCCUGAGAAUUUUAUAGGGACCAACAUUCUUUGAGUGGAGUUUCUUAUUGGCACCUCUAGGAUAUUGUUCAGGCCUUAUUCACACAAUAACCAUGUCACCUUCAAUAAGUUCAGCAAAUUUUCUUUUCACAUAAUCGUAUGACUUGUUUAUUUAUUUGAUAGGCAAGCGGGAAAAACAUGUAAUCCAUAUGACUUAUAAUUUCAUUGAUGAAAACAAUUUUCAUUGAACAUGAUAAUGUAUGUCAUCUAUAUGCGCACUAAAAGCAUCAGCUUCAAUGCUAGGUCAUGCAUCCAUUGGUAAAGGAGCCAAAUCCAUAGGCUUUCUAGGAAGCGAUUCAGUCACAAUCUCAAAAGGACUGUGACCAAUAGACCUGUUCAGUAGGCAAUUGAGGCCUUGCCAUAAAAUCUAUAAGCUUGCUGAAUGUUGCACAGAGAGGAAAGUUUUUGAGCAACAUCUAUGGUAGGUCUUUUCGAGCAACAUCUAUGGUAGGUCUUUUCGAGCAACAUCUAUAGUCAUCAGGAUCAUAGGCUCUAUAAUCAAAUGAAUUUCGGUUUCUUCAUCUUUUUGUUGUUCUUGUUCUUCUUCAGGCUCCAUUCCGAUGUACAAAUUGUUCUUUGGACAAUUUAGGUUAUUUGGCCGGGUUGUUGACACUUAAAACACCUAUUAACCUUACCCUUAGGAUCAACAGCAUUAAAAGAAUACAACUUAGAUCCUAUAGGUUGGAUAAAUGGCUUGAAUUGGCCUAUUCUUGCACUGCAACCUACAUCAGUGAACCUUCUCUGCACUGGUUCUAUGGAUGAAACUCACAUCCCAAGUACUCCUCCAUAUCUAAUGCAAAUUGAAAAGCAUGUUCUAGGAUGUAUAAUGGCUGAUUCAUCAACUCUCUUCUCAUUUUAGGUCUCAAUCCAGCUUUGAAUCAUGCAAGAGUUUGCCCUUGGGUCUUCUACUAUUUGACUCCAAGUCUUUAGCUCAUGAAAUCUUUGCAUGUACUUUGGUCUCUGCAACAGACAUGUUGUUCUGAUUCAUAGUAAUGAGGUGAUUACAUAACCUAUUACAAUAAUUGGUCCUGCAUGUAUUUUUCACAUAGCUUAUCCUUCAUCUCCUGUCAUGUGCUGACAGGUGGUAGCCUCAUCUUCCCAUCUUCCUAGUAUCUCUUUCAAUUUCUGUCCACUAAUCUUUUGCUAAGCCUACUAGUUUCAUUUUAGUAAACCACCCUCUUUGUUCAUCAUUCAUGCAUACCAAUCAAAACGGUCCUCAAUUGUAGCUAGCCAAUCAACAAAUUGAGUAGCAUCACCCCUCCUUCAAAUUAGGAACUUCUCCUUUUACUUUCCUUGUGAUAUCUUCAGCAGUUUCACAAGGUUUACACCUUGUUUCAGGUAGUUCUCUAGCCCAUUCAGAUAUAGGAUAUUGUGGUGCAUGUCCGAUGUUCCUCCAAGUUUUUGUUAUUAAUUUGAGAUAAUUCUCCUUGCACAACACGUGCUAAAUCAUUAGUGGGCUGAGAUAUUUGUGUCUCAAUGUUGCUUAGUCGAAUAUGCAGGCUAUCAAGCUGUUCCAUCACCAAAAUAGUAUCUCGUCAUUUUGACUAUUAGAUAAAUCUAUUUUGAAACUCCUAGGUCUUGUAAUCAUGCUCUCAGCUUGCUCUGAUGCCAAAAUUGAUGCCGAACAGAAAGGUAAAAGAAAACAUGUUGGGACUUUAGGAAUCACUUCCAAAUUUUAGGCUUCACACUUAAGUUCAGUUUGCAUCACGCAAACAAGUUGAACUAUCACAGUACGAUUGGUUCAUAAUAAGGUGUCAUCUGAUUGGUUCUCGUGGAGACAACCUGUGAUCGUUCAAACUAGGGGCUGCGCCUGAUUGAUUGCAUUGAAAGUUGGAAGGUUUUGUAUGAGAUAAAUGAACCAACUUUAUACACUAUAACUCUAGACCUUAGACUCUUUUGGAGCUAGUGGCAAUACUAAUGAAGUUGGAAAAUCAACAAUGUGAACUGAUAAAAAAAAAUGAAAGACUCUUGAAAAUGUGAAGCAUUAAUGAUUUUGGAAAUAAGAACACUUGUGAUCCUUUGACUAGACUCAUAAACAAAACUUAGACUGAAAUCCACAUUGAAGUAUAUAAAAUCCCGAUUAGGCCUAUUAUCAUCCAAAGUAUGCCAAAUCAUAAUUUGGGCCUUAAGAGUCCAAUCUCUAUGCAUUUGUUAACCUUUCAUAGGUGAUUGCCACUUGUCUUCAUCGCUAACAAACACGAUUAUAGCAUCAAAGAAGGGCCAUGUCCCCAAAUCUGGCAAUAAAAGUUCUUUUUACAAGCUAACCUUAGGGGUCCAAUUACUACAUUAUUGUGUUAACCAUGAACAUUGGUGCUCCUGUUCUGCUUGCAUGGUUACACUGAACCUGCUAUCCAAAUAUGUUGGUUGACCAAAUAAGAAACUCUAGGAAAAUGAAUGAAUUCAUAGCGACAUAGCUACAUUGAAUGCAACUUGUGUGUUUGUGUGAACAGGAUUGGGUGAGUUAAAGAGAGUUUUUAGAAGGGAGAAUACCUUUUUAAUUGGUCUUAGUGUUCAGUAUGCAGCUGGUUCAGUGAUCAUGAGGCCAGUUUAUAAUACAAUUUUCUUGAGAUUUUUAUUGAAGUGAUCCCUUGAAAAGUCAGGCUACUUUUUCAAGAAGUAAAUGUUUUAUCUGUUGGGCUUUGUGGAGCCUAGUUUUGUUUGAUCCGGUCUGACGACUCAACCCCGAAUAAUAUUGCAUGGUUUUUUAAUGGGAGAUUUACUGAGGCCUGUUAGACCCGUUUAGCCCAUUGUGGAACCACCUUUUGUAAUUAGGGUUUUUUUUAGUGUGAGUGUGGUUGCCGUGUUAUAUAUAGAGAGAAAAUACUGUAACCGCCGAGGUUGUACUUUGUAUUCUUCCCUGAUAAUAGUGAUAUCCCUGCAACUCCGUGGACGUAGGCAAAUUGUCGAACCACGUAAAUACUAUCUUGUGCGUGUGAUUGUUUUUCUUUGACGUGUGUUUUUCUCUAUUUUUCGUUUCUCACAGGUUGGGAAUUUGGUUUAAUUCCCUACAACUGGUAUCAGAGCCUAGGGUUAGGUUUGAGUGGGAGCAAUGACAGAGGAAGCAGGAAAGGCGUCUGGAAUAGAAAAGUUUGAUGGCACAGACUUUGCGUGUUGGAGGAUGCAGAUUGAAGACUAUCUCUAUGGGAGGAAAUUUCAUUUGCCUCUUUUGGGGACAAAACCUGAGAGUAUGAAGGCUGAGGAAUGGGCGCUUCUUGACAGAUAGGUUCUAGGAGUUAUUAGGUUAACUCUAUCUAGGUCUGUUGCACAUAAUGUUACAAAGAAGAAGACCACAGCAGAUUUGAUGAAGGCUUUGUCCGGUAUGUAUGAAAAGCCGUCAGUAAACAAUAAGGUGCAUCUGAUGAAGAAAUUGUUCACUUUGAAGAUGGUAGAGAAUGCAUCAGUAGCACAACAUCUUAAUGAAUUUAAUACAAUCACAAAUCAAUUGUCGUCUGUAGAAAUUGAUUUUGAUGAUGAGAUUCAUGCUCUGAUCAUCUUGUCUUCUUUGCCAAACAGUUGGGAGGCAAUGAGGAUGGCAGUAAGCAAUUCUACGGGAAAGGAAAAGCUCAAGUACAAUGAUAUACGAGAUUUAAUUCUGGCUGAGGAGAUUCGCCGAAGAGAUGCAGGUGAAACCUCAGGAUCUGGUUCUGCCCUAAACCUUGAAACAAGAGGCAAAGGUAAUGACAAAAAUUCAAAUAAGGGUAGAUCAAAUUCCAAAAAUUCUAAUCGGAACAGAAGCAAAUCUAGAUCAGGCCAACAAGUACAAUACUGGAAUUGUGGGAAAACAGGUCACUUUAAAAGGCAAUGCAAAAGUCCUAAGAAGAAGAAUGAAGAUGAUUCUGCUAAUGCUGUAACAGAAGAGGUACAGGAUGCAUUACUUCUUACAAUAGAUAGUCCACUUGAUGAUUGGGUUUUGGAUUCAGGAGCUUCAUUUCAUACCACUCCACACCGAGAAAUCAUACAGAAUUAUGUUGCAGAUGAUUUUGGUAAUGUGUAUUUGGCUGAUGGUUUAGCCUUGGAUGUUGUGGGUUUGGGAGACGUCCGGAUAUCAUUGCCCAAUGGGUCUGUUUGGUUACUGGAGAAGGUUCGACAUAUUCCUGACCUGAGGAGGAAUCUGAUUUCUGUUGGACAACUUGAUGAAGAAGGACAUGCAAUACUAUUUGUUAGUGGUACUUGGAAGGUUACAAAGGGAGCUAGGGUAUUGGCUCGUGGAAAGAAGACUGGUACUUUGUAUAUGACCUCAUGUCCAAGAGACACAAUUGCAGUUGCUAAUGCAAGUACUGAUACAAGCCUAUGGCACCGCAAACUUGGUCACAUGAGUGAGAAAGGGAUGAAGAUGUUGUUGUCAAAAGGAAAACUACCAGAAUUGAAGUCCAUUGAUUUUGACAUGUGUGAAAGUUGCAUCUUAGGAAAGCAAAAAAAGGUGAGCUUCUUGAAAACUGACAGGACACCGAAGGCUGAAAAAUUGGAAUUAGUACACACUGAUUUGUGGGGGUCUUCUCCGGUUGCAUCCCUAGGAGGUUCAAGGUACUACAUCACUUUUAUUGAUGACUUAAGUAGAAAGGUAUGAGUUUAUUUUCUGAAAAAUAAAUCCAAUGUAUUUGAAACUUUUAAGAAGUGGAAGGCCAUGGUUGAGACAAAAACAGGUUUGAAAGUAAAAUGUUUGAGGUCAGAUAAUGGAGGAGAGUACACAAAUGGAGGGUUCAGUGAGUAUUGUGCUGCACAGGGAAUUAGGAUGGAGAAGACUAUUCCUGGGACACCACAGCAGAAUGGUGUGGCUAAGCGCAUGAACAGAACUCUCAAUGAGCGUGCUAGAAGUAUGAGGUUGCAUGUUGUUAGCACUGCAGCUUACUUGAUAAACCGAGGACCAUCAGUUCCCAUGGAGUUCAGACUUCCUGAGGAGGUUUGGAGCAGUAAAGAGGUGAAGUUUUCACAUUUAAAAGUUUUUUGUUGUGGUUCUUAUAUUCAUAUUGAUUCUGAUGCUCGUAGUAAACUUGAUGCAAAGUCAAAAAUAUGUUUUUUCAUUGGCUAUGGUGAUGAGAAAUUUGGCUAUAGGUUUUGGGAUGAACAAAACAGAAAAAUCAUCAGAAGUAGAAAUGUGAUAUUUAAUGAACAGAUUAUGUACAAGGACAGGUCAACUGUAGUGUCAGAUGUUACAGAGAUGGAUCAAAAGAAAUCUGAGUUUGUCAACUUAGAUAAAUUGACUGAAAGUACUGUCCAAAAGGGGGGGUGAAGAAGAUAAGGAGAAUGUAAAUUCACAGGUAGAUCUUACUACACCUGUAGCUGAAGUUCGCAGAUCUUCCAGGAACAUUAGACCUCCACAACGUCAUUCACCUGUUUUAAAUUAUCUCCUAUUGACUGAUGGUGGUGAGCCAGAGUGUUGUGAUGAAGCCUUGCAAGAUGAGAAUUCAAACAAGUGGGAGUUAGCCAUGAAUGGUGAGAUGGAUUCUUUGUUGGUGAAUGAGACAUGGGAACUGACUGAAUUGCCAAUAGGAAAGAAGGCUUUGCACAACAAGUGGGUAUACAGAAUAAAGAAUGAGCAUGAUGGUAGCAAACGUUACAAGGCCAGAUUAGUUGUUAAAGGGUUCCAGCAGAAGGAGGGCAUUGACUACACAGAGAUAUUUUCUCCAGUAGUGAAGAUGUCAACAAUCAGACUUGUACUGGGAAUGGUGGCUACAGAAAACUUACAUCUUGAGCAGUUAGAUGUGAAAACAACAUUCCUUCAUGGUGACUUGGAGGAAGACCUUUACAUGAUUCAGCCAGAAGGGUUCAUUGUUCAGGGACAAGAAAAUCUAGUCUACAAACUGAGAAAGAGCUUGUAUGGCCUUAAACAAGCUCCUAGACAGUGGUACAAAAAGUUUGACAGUUUUAUGCAUAGAAUUGGGUUCAAGAGAUGUGAAGCUGAUCACUAUUGCUAUGUUAAGUCUUUUGACAAUUCUUACAUCAUAUUACUGUUGUAUGUGGAUGAUAUGCUUAUUGCAGGGUCUGGCAUUGAGAAGAUUAAUAAUCUGAAGAAGCAAUUGUCCAAACAGUUUGCAAUGAAGGAUUUGGGAGUUGCAAAGCAAAUCCUUGGUAUGAGAAUCAUUAGAGACAAGGCUAAUGGUACAUUGAAGCUUUCACAGUCAGAGUAUGUGAAGAAAGUUCUCAGCAGGUUCAACAUGAAUGAAGCUAAACUAGUGAGCACACCCUUAGGGAGUCAUUUCAAACUAAGCAAAGAACAGUCACCAAAGAUAGAAGAAGAAAGGGACCAUAUGAGCAAGGUGCCCUAUGCCUCAGUUAUUGGCAACUUGAUGUAUGCUAUGGUGUGUACAAGGCCAGACAUUGCACAUGCAGUGGGAGUUGUGAGCAGAUUCAUGAGUAUGCCUGGAAAGCAGCAUUGGGAGGCAGUCAAGUGGAUUCUAAGAUAUCUGAAGGGUUCAUUAGAUACAUGUCUUUGCUUCACAGGUGCAAGUUUGAAAUUGCAUGGUUAUGUAGAUGUUGAUUUUGCUAAUGAUAUUGAUAGUAGAAAGAGUACUACUGGGUUUGUUUUUACUCUAAGUGGUACAACUAUAUCAUGGGCUUCAAAUCUACAGAAGAUUAUUACUUUGUAUACUACAGAAGCUGAGUAUGUUGCAGCAACUGAAGUUGGAAAGGAGAUGAUUUGGAUACAUGGUUUCUUAGAUGAAUUGGGUAAGAAGCAGGAGAUGGGCAUUCUACAUAGUGACAGUCAGAGUGCAAUUUUUCUUGCCAAAAAUUCGUCUUUUCAUUCAAAGUCGAAGCAUAUACAAACAAAAUACCACUUUAUCUGUUAUCUUGUUGAAGAUAAACUGGUAAUACUUGAGAAGAUUUGUGGAUCUAAGAACCCGGCAGACAUGUUGACUAAGGGUGUCACUAUUGAGAAGUUGAAGCUAUGCGCAGCUUCAAUUGGUCUUCUAGCUUGAGGACAGGAGGAUGAGUUGCAGGAAUGAGGGAUUGUUUCUUGGAUGAUAGCGGUUUGAUGUUGGUGAUUGAACUAGUCUCCAAGUGGGAGAUUUGUUGGGCUUUGUGGAGCCUAGUUUUGUUUGAUCCAGUUUGACGAUCCGACCCGAAUAAUAUUGCAUGGUUUUUUAAUGGGAGAUUUACUGAGGCCUGUUGGACCCGGUUAGCCCAUUGUGGAACCACAUUUUGUAAUUAAGGUUUUUUAGUGUGGGUGUGGUUGUCGUGUUAUAUAUGGAGAGAAAAUACUGUAACCGCCGAGGUUGUACUUUGUAUUCUUCCCUGAUAAUAGUGAUAUCCCUACAACUCCGUGGACGUAGGCAAAUUGCCGAACCACGUAAAUACUGUCUUGUACGUGUGAUUGUUUUUCUUUGGCGUGUGUUUUUCUCUAUUUUUCGUUUCUCACAGGUUAGGAAUUUGGUUUAAUUCCCUACAUUAUCUUGGAGGUUGUAAAAGAUGCAUUCUCAUAAUAGAUGCCUUGAUUAUGUUUCUUCAGUAGAAGAACCUACAAUUAGGGUCCUGUGUAUAUCCUUUCUUGGAAUUUUCAUAAAUUUACCAUUAUUAACUUUCUAUUUUAGGACUAACUGUUCAGCAAAUCUAUGGAAAAGACUAAAUAGUAAAUACUAAGUAGUUCCUCCAAGGGCUGCUAAAAAGCACUUCCCAGGGCCAUGAGCCAAAACUAGGCCACAUGGAAAGGGGUUGUAACAAGUCACUUGACUUGGGGUUGUUAGAGGCCAUCAUUAGUCAAGAUUGGUUUUAGAUUCAACUUUAGGAAUUUAUUUAUUUUCCUGAUUUCUAUUUUAUUUUUAGUUACAUAAUCAUAUUUGACUCUUGUUUUCCACUCUAAAUUCACAAUAUGUGAACCUUAUGAUAGAAAUUUUUAACUUCAGAACAUGAGUUGGGAUGUAUCAUAGAAGAAAGAUUCAAAUCCUUGGACUAGCAUUUCUGUAAUGCCUCAAUGAAAUUUUAUUGUAUGAUUAUCUACUUGAAGUAGCGAACCAUCAUCCUUUUAUUUAUUUAUUUAUUUUUGAUGGGAAACGACAAAGAGAUAUAUUGAUAGAAAAAAGAAGUACAAGAAAAGGAUGAGAAAUCCUCCCACCAAAGAAAAUCUAAACUACAAUAAUACAAAAACAAGAAUAUACAAUGUAAAAACAAACAAACUCUCUAGAUUAGACCAACCCAUUGGAAUUACACACUGCUAGUCAAUCAAGUUGUAACAUAUUAAGGGGAAUCCGCUUAAAAACCAUUAUCUUUUUAUUGGCAUUGAAUUGUGAAACCAUUAUGCCAUUACAUUGACAUCUCCAAAUGAAUGGUUUUAAUUUGAAUAGUUUUGUAUUAACUUAUUAUUUGACAAUUAUUGCCUAUAGUUUUUUGGCAGAACUGCUACGAUCUCACUAAGCAACAUCCAUUGAUAAUUUAUCAGGAGAACUGGUUGGAAGUUUUAGGUUGUGGGGUGACAGAGCAAGAAAUAUUAAAGAAAAGUGGUAAAACAGGUAAUGUUGCUUUGGCUUUUGGGCUUGGAUUGGAACGGCUAGCAAUGGUUCUGUUUGGGAUACCUGAUAUUUGGCUUUUCUGGUCAACUGAUGAGCGGUUCACCUCUCAAGUAAUUCCCCAAUUCAGUAAAUGAUAUUCUAUUUUAUUUUAUUCUCCUUUUCUUUGUCUUUGUGGUUAAGUAAUCAUUUCCAAAAUUGAUAUCCUUAGGAAAAUAAAGCAUGCUGAAAAUUGACCUUGUUGACAUUCUUAAUGUCUGAUUUGGGUUCCCUGAAUGUUUAAUUUAAACACUUUGUAUGCAGUUCUCAAAGGGCCAGCUUGGGGUCAAGUUCAAGCCAUUUUCAAAGGUAUUGCUUAUAAUUUUCUCAGUUUGAUAGUAGUAGUAUCUUCUUCUGAUGUUGUGUAAAUUGAAACUCUUGCAUAAUUUUCAUGCAAAAGGAUCCAAGACAUUUUGGGGGCCUGCAUUUUUAAGUAUAACCAGAAAAAGUCCUUUAUGCAAAUUUGUCUUUUACAUUCUGAAAUCGAAAAGAUUAAUUACACACAACAUAAUAACUAAAUAUUUAUACCUGUUAGAGCCCAAUGUAACCUUCUCUAUUGGCUGCUAGAAACUGACUAUCGUCUUUUUGCAGUAUCCUCCUUGUUACAAGGACAAGAGUUUUUGGAUUAAUGAGUUGUUCACAGAAAACAAUUUAUGUGAUGUUGUAAGAGGAGUUGCUGGAGAUCUUGUCGAGGGGGUAUUGCCUUUUUAUGUUUCUUAUUGUAAAUUGUUCAUUAGCUAUAGAUCUCUUCAUGGUUCACUUGGUAGAAUUUUCCUAAUCAUUUGUAUAGUUACACUGAAAGCACCGUACCAAUUUGUGUUUUAAUUAGGGGUGUUCAGGGUUUGGUUUGUUUAGUUUUGAACUUUAAAAUAAAACCAAACCAGUCUAAUUGGUUUUAUGUAUUAGGAACCCAAACCGGCCUAAUCGGUUUUAUGUAUUAGGAACCAGACUAAUUGAACUUAAAGAGGGAACUGAUCAGUUCAGUUCAGUUCAGUUAAUUUACUAUAUUUCGGUCAACAAAUAAAACUGAUUUUUUUUUUUUUUUUUUAUAAUCAAUUUGGGCCAAAACCAAAAAGCUCAUAAUAGGACAUUGUUGGUCAAAAAGCUUAAAAUAGUUUAUUACAACAAGUUGCUUUAGAGUGCUCAAAUUACAUCAUUGUAACUCAUUUCAAAUCAUAUUAUUGUAACACAGCCGCAUGAAUAACUAUUGUUGUAGUCUAUGCUUAUCAUACUAAGUAGUUCAAAAAUACGAAAAACUAUGUUUGGUUUGGGAUUCUAUCGAGUGUGAAAGAAGUGUGCCAAAUUAAAAAUGUAACUAAUGGUUAUUGUGUAUGUAUAUAAUUUUUGGUUUGGUUUGGUUUAUUAUUUGUUUUCUAAAUGGCAUAAUUCGGUUUUUUUUAGAAAACCCAAAUUGUUGAAAAAUCUUUAAAAAUUGAUUGGUUCAGGCCAGUGUGGCUCAGUUCUAUCAUUUUUGUCCAUUUAAUCGGUUUUUUACACAACCCUAGUUUUAUUUCACUUUUCAGUUCUUGGACUUUCCAUGAAAAUAAUAUUGUUGUCAUGAAGCUACUGAGGCAGUUAUUGGACCAAUUCCAUCCUCUGAAGCUGCUCAUAAAAGAGAUCCUCUCUCUUCUUUUCUAUCUACCAUCAGUUGCAAUAAUAGAUCCAGUUUGCACAAAGCCAAGCUUAGAAAAUCUGUUCAUUGACAACCUGAAUAGUCUCUGGAAGCAUCCAGUAUCUUUUCUCCUUUGUGAGGGUGGAUAACCGGUCUGGGUCCCCUGCAUCAUUUUUCAUAGGCUGCAGAGCUGCUGUGUCCGUAUAGGAAGUAACAUGUUCUUCCUUCAUAGCUUUAAGUGCCAUCAGGAAUUGGAUAUGCUAAUAUGAGUGGGAGGACUCCAGAUGGUGGACUUUCGAAGACCUCCACUCUGAUUCAUUGAUGCCAAACAUAUAAUUGUGAUAAAGCGAGGCUUUGGAAGUUAAUAUUCUUUUAAGGUGUUUCAUAUAUUGAAGGUUUAUAAAGAGGUCAAAAUUGAGAAAUUACUAUUCUCUAAAUAAUAGGAUAGUAGUCAAUUUUUCGUUCAAAAUUUGUCAUAUAUUCCAAGAGGAUUGUUAACAAUCUGAUCUAUAUUGAAACAGUGGCCAUAAUAAGUCCCUAUUUUCCUAGUGCCUGAAAGUGAAGCUCCAUUCUGAAGUUUUCUGAACUAUAAGAUACAUUUUUGACUUCCAGGUGCAAUUGAUCGACAAUUUCACCAACAAGAAAGGAAUGACCAGUCAAUGUUAUCGGAUAGCAUACCGGUCCAUGGAGCGUUCACUUACAGAUGAGGAGAUAAACGAGUUGCAGGUAUUUCAUGUUUAGGGGAUUUGUACAAGUGAUUAGUAUUUCGUCUUGAUUACGGGUAAUGACUAAUAACCUGAAAUUUGGCUUUGAUUCUGGGUGCAGUGGAAUGUUAGGGAGCAAGUGCAGAGCAAGUUGAAGGUUGUUCUUAGAUGAGAUUUCUGAUGCUGACAACCUAAUUUUACUAUCUCACUCUUGUAAGUCUCCUUAUGGACAUUUUCUAUUAUUAUUCUUUUUGUUCCUACCUUGUACAUUUUACAAUUAUCAACAAGAGUUUGAACUAGUUACAGUGGGGAAAUUAGGCAUUCAAAACCAGCUUUAAUGGGAGAAACACUUCAAGGAAAAUAAGGAAAAUGUACUAGAAAGAAUAGUGCAUACGUUGAUCAAUGUGAAAUUUAUUUUUGUAUACAAUGUUUCUCUAAUAAUUUUAACAAUGCCUGACCUUAAAUAUAGUAAUUAAUUGCUCUUUUGCAGUUGUAUUCCCUUUUAUUUUAGUUUUAAAAUUUUUUUUUAAACAUCAUCAACAACCAUUUUAUUAUAUUAAAAUAGUAGGUGCAAUAUUUAUGAAAAUAGGUGUAUACUAGUCCAAAAAUAUCAAUUUAUCAAUUUAUCUUAUAGGCAAAGGUUGGGAUCUUUGCCUCAAUGGCUAAACUCUGACUUGAGUAUAUAGAGAAUUCUCUUAUUAUUAAACCAAAGUGGUCAUUGAGUAACUCUCUAAUCCCCAACUCCCCUAGUUACCCAAAGAACUCCAUUAACAAUUAGCAUAUAACUUAUGCAGCACAUGCUACUCUGAUGGAGCCUUUAGGAACUAUUUUCAUGUUUGUUUGGCUAAUUCAUCCUCAAUAUUAUGGAAAGGAAAUAAGAUAGAAAGAAACAUGAAAUUCUCUUGUUUGAUUUACUAUGAAAAAUAUGAAGAAAAAUAAAAUAUAGUAGAAAUUAUUUAAAACCCGUUAUAUGUUCAAAUUCUUUAGUUUUUCUAUGAUAGAAAAUAAAUUUGAAGGAGUAACUUUAUUGGGUUUGAACUUGUAUUGCACUUCACAUUUUAUUUCUUUCUUUUUACUCCCAAUUUUCUUUUUCACAUACUUUCCUUAAUCUAAUUCAAGCCUUAAGGAGUCUAGUGCAACUCAUAGAAAAUACCUAAAUACUAAUGCCCCCUUAUACCCAAAUGCAAUUAGCAAGACCAAUGGGUUCAACCAAUUCUAUAACCUGCACUGAAACAUUUGAAUAAAGCUUUAUUUGAGAAAGCUUCCUAAACACUUAGAGGAGAGUUUGGAGGUCAUAGUUCUAGACAGUUUGAAAUAGAAAUCUCAAAAGUAGACCCUACAUUUCCUAAAGAGACCCCCAUUUUUCCUAAAAUAUGAUAUGGAAAGCAGAUUCUUAUUUACUUCAAUUUUUUGGUUGUUAACGUUAUCCUUAUUUUAAUGAAUAAAUGAAAACAAUUUUAAAAAGCAGAUGUUAAACUUAAAACAAAUCACACAACACCAGUAGCUUGUGGAAGAAUCAGACAUUCCCAACCUUCCUUACAUUCAAGCCAUUGUUAGGGAAACACUAAGGCUUCACCCCGGCUUUACUGUACUCAGUAGACAAUCCUCCCAAGACUGCACUGUUGCGCGUUAUCACAUUCCUGCAAACACAGAGAUCUCAGUUAAUGAGGACGGAAGUAUAAAGAAGGGGUUGGAUGUAGAGGGACAGCAGUUUUUUCUGCUGCCGUUUGGGAGUGGAAGAAGGAUUUGCCCCGAAGCUUCUCUAACACUGCAAAUUGCCCCCUCAACCAUUGGUGCUGUAAUCCAGUGCUUUGAUUGGAAGGUCGGCGAUGGAGGAAAUGGUAGCAUUAAUAUGGAAGAGGGACAUGGUAGGAUAAUGCAGAAAAGUUUUCUUGAAUUUGGGUCAGGCCACUUCCAAGGCCCAGUAGUAGCAAUUGGUUUUGUUGAAAGAGAUGGGUGUCAAGAUUAGUACAUCAUGUGCUAUCUGGGCUCUCUUACCUUGCAAAUUUGACCAAAAAUAUAUAUAUUUUUUUUUUAAAUUCUACAAAGUAAAUCCUCUUGCAAAAUAAUUCUUAAACUAGUACUUCUCAUCUAUGUGGAUAUCCAUGUCAUAAAAUCGUAAUUGAUAACUAUAGCUUUAAAUUUAUUUUAAAAUGGUUAAAACUAUAGUUACCAACUAUAGUUUUAAAUUUAAACUUAAAACUGUGGUUAAUGAUAAUGAUUUUAAAGAUAAUUUAAAAUAUUUAAAAUUGUAGUAUCUAAUUACGGUUUUGUGAUGUACAAAAAAUUAAAUAAAAAAUUCUUAGGCCACCAUAUGGAUGCCUAGGUGGCUGAUUUAGAUGCAUUAGUUUGGAAACUAUUUUGAUAAGAAAUUUAUUUUGUAGAUUUUUUUUAAUAUAUUAUUUUUGUUCAAAACUCAAUUUUAAAUUUUAAGCCACCCUAUCCAACCACUGGCCAUCAACCUCCACAUGUCUCCUUCCAUUUAUUGUAGAAUGAGGUGUUUCUAAAAUAGUUUUCUAUUCUUAAAAACUGAAAAUUGUUUUCAAGACUUAAAAACAUGUUUUGUAUUUUUUUUGAUGAAAAACAAUUUUAUGAGAACUUGUUCUAGAAAUAGGGUAUUUCCUAAGAACAAAUUUUGAUUGUUUUUAGGUGCUUUCACUUGUUUUUCAUAGAUUGUUUUAAAAAAUAUUUAUAAUAAUUUGUAAGAAAUAUAGAGAAUGAUUGAAAAUAAAACAUUAUCAAUAAAAGACAUUUUUAGAAAAUAUAAACAUAGAAAAUAGAUUAAUAACAUUUUAAAUUCUUAAAUAGAUCCUUCACAUCCUAAAUUCAUUGUCAUCAUUAGUAUCAAAUUUUGUCUAGUGUUUUUUCAAGAGCCACUUCUCAUGUUACCUUCAACUUUAUUACAUCCCACUAAUAUUGACAUAAAACUUGAACAAUAUGUUGCUUAAUUAAAGUGCAAGUGUUUUGAGUAUCGGUUGACCAAGAAAUUCAUGAGGGAGACAAUAAGGCCUGCUAUAUAGGGCAAAUGUGUAAGUCUAGGGUAUUAUUAGAUGCACAUCAUUAUUGGGAGUCAAGAUGUUGAUAUAUAUUUUCAUAACCCUAUCUAAUUUAUCUUUUUAUAGAGGAUUUUGAUGUAUUCCUCCUCCAUGGAGAAGUAAAUUGUUUGACUAUGCUAAAUUAUGCUCUUAUUAGAUAAUUGUUACCUUGUACUUAUAUUCACUGUCAUUGGACUGCUCAAGUUUAGACCCGAAAAAAUAGCAAAGAAUGAACAUUUGCUUUCUUGUUGCAUGUAUUUUGAUCAAAUCAAGUUUUAGUAGUAGUUGAAUCUGUGUCUCUGAAACCAGGUUCUCUGACAUGAAAAUGAUAUUGAAUUGGCUUUACUUGAAUAUUUUAUGAGCAUAACUUCCACUGUCAUUGACAGAACAUUACAUGGAAAUUAUACAAGAAUUUAGUGGCCAACAACUUCACAUUCGAUGGCUCAAGCAGAAGGUGACUUAUAGUCUCUUUAAUAUAAUUUAAGUCAAGGAAUAGCAUAGAUGAGAAGCAUAAUAGAUUCCAAAAUUGUUGAGACAUACUUAUUCUUUGUGCUUGUAGUCUUUUGCUAGAAUUGAAUUGUCUUCAGAGAAACUUCUCAUGCAAUAAGAAUAUGCACACUAGAUGUAAGUCUCUUAUCUCUUACAUAAACAAUAUGAAAAUAAACAUAGAAGCAAUCAUUUAGAAAACAAUAAGAUAUAAGUAAUGGUAGACACCAACUUCUUGAUCAAGUGUGGUGGCUCAUAGAUGAGAACUGCCAAAGGCAUACUAUAUGAGGCUAAAAACUCAAUUCUUAAAGCGACAUAUGAUGGGAUUGAAUCCUAAAAAGUAUGACAUGAUGUAAUAGAUUGAAAUUCAUUUAUAAAUUUAUUUAUUUAUGUUCUUUUGGCUUCUCUUUAUUAUCUUAUUUGCAUUAAUUUGUUAUCUGAGCAUAUAUAUACUCAUAUAUCUCACAUUGUACAUAACUUAAGUGCAUUAGGAGUUGCAUAAAUGAUACAAGUCAUGGGUUCCUUAUAAGUAGAUAAGUUAUUCAUAGUUAGUUUAUAGAUUUGGGCAAUCUAAUAGAGAUUAUAGUGUAUUACCUCCAAAUAAGAGAGAUGACUUGUCUUGGUCAUUGGGAUGAGUUUUUCAUUAUAUGAGUGCAUUAGUGUGUAUGAUUACAAAUUGGACAAGAUCUAUGAUGGAUCAUAACGUAAGGUUAUUGAUUGUCAUGAUUCAUUAAACUACUAUAUUGUAUGGACUCCUAUCCUUAAAGAGAAUAUUGAGCUUGGACCAAAGUCAAUAAGCGGCUUUGAUCUACGGUGAAAUCCUAAUGUGGUCACAUAUCUCUAUGGAUUGGGUCACUGUUGAUGGAGGUUGGUGGUAACAUGUAUUCCCAAUGGAGGCACCUGAUAUCUCAUGGUAUUGAGACAAUGUGUCCCUUUGCAUAAUCCAAAGAGCUUGUAAUCUAAAAGACUAUAGCUAUAGCAUUUCCUUUAGUGGAAUUUUUACAUAUACUCUUUGGAGUUAGAGUAUGUCAAUUGAUCACAUAAUAAGAUUUGUAACUUAAUGAUUGUAGAGAUGAUCUUGAUAGGUAAUAACACUACCUUGUUAGAUUGUACACACCACUUCAUGGGGAGUCUGCAUGUUGUGAAUAGUAGGUCACGAACUUGAGCUUCAUCUUGUUGUUAUUUACAUAAGGUAUUAAAUGCAAUUGAUUCUCUAUAGUGGGAUAUUGUAUCAGCUUCAAAAUUGGAUUUUGAGGAAGCCAAUACUCCUAUGGGUUCCAAUGGUCCUCAUUUGAACUCAUAUACCUUGAUGACACGAUUUAUGAGGAUUGGAUUAACUCUAACUUCACUUUUAUGUAUAAGGGCAUUUUGGUAAUUAUGCAAAGUUGCACAAGGGUUAGCAAACAAAGUUUUUGGAUUGGGCUAAUUAAUUAAUUAAUUAAUUAAUUAGAUGAUCCUAUUAGGUUAAUUAAUCAAUUAGGACCCAUUUUGAGUUAGAUUAAAUAGUCCAAACCCUUGGUAGACUUAAGUCACUUAAGCCUAGUUGGAGAACCCUAUAAAUACCCCUUUAGGGGUUAGGAUUUCCAAAGAGUUGUCUUCCACCUUUAGAGAGAAAAGAAAGCUAUAGCCUCCAUCUUCCCAAAUCUCCCCAUUGGUUGUGUGCCAAGAUUAAGUUCGAGCCAUCGAGUGGAAGAUCUAGGGUUUAUGAGACUUCCUGCAACUACAUGUUAGGAUAGAGCCCUUAAAUGCAUGACAUGAUGUAACUAAUUUAGGAAUUCAUUAUUUAUUUAAUGAUAUUCCAGUUUCAAUUUUAUCUAUCUUUAUUCCAGGCAUUAUACUUUAUAAGCAUUCUUGUCUAGCAUCUCUUGAAUUGUACAUGACUUAGGUACAUUACGAGUUAUACAAAAGAUCAAAGUCAUGGGUUGUUUUUACAAGUAGAUUACUUGUUCACGACCGGUUCAUGGACUUAGAUAAUUCAUUAGAGGUUGUAGUAUACUACAUCCUAAUUAAAGGGAUGGUUGGUCUUGACCAUAGAGAUGAGUUUCCCCUAAUGAGUGCAUUAGUGUGUAUGGUUACACAUUGGACAUGACCUAUGGUGAGUCAUGACGUAAGGUUAUCAAGUGGUCAUGACUUCACCAAGCUACUUCAUUGUGUUGUCUCUCAACCUUGAGAGAAUAUUGAGUUUGUGCUAAAGUUAGUAGUGACUUUGACCUACGAGUGAGAUCGUAAACUAAUCAUAUAUUCCUUAUGAAUUGGGUUAGUGUUGAUUAAGCCCGUAGCAAUAGGUAUUCUCAAAAGAGGUACCAUGAUAUCUCAUAGGAUUGAGAUAAGAGUGUCCCCUUGGGUGAUCCUAAAGAGGCGUGUUCAUGAAAACUAUGGUCAUAGUAGUUCCUUAAGUGGAACUUGACAUAAACUUUUGAAGAGCUAAGAUAUGUUAAUUAAACACACAAUAGGAGGAUUUUUAACUUAAGGAUAGUAGAGGUAGUCUUGAAAGGUUGAUAGCUUUCACCUUGUUAGAUUAUAGAUGCCAUUUCACAGAGAGAGUAAAUGUAAUGAAUAGCAGGUCACAGAUCCGAACACUUAGUGUCUUUUUGUUAUUUACAUAGGAUACUAAAGUGCAAUUGAUUCUCUGUAAUGGGAUGUUAGAUCAACUUAAGAAUUAGAUUCUAAGGGAGCCAGUACUACUAUGGUCCCCAUGGUCCCCGCUCUAAGCACAUAUACCUUGUUGGCAUGGGUUAUGAGGGUUGAAUUGACUCUAGGUUCAGUUUUAUGUAUAAGAGCGUCUUGGUAAUUAUGCAAAGUUACAUAAGGGUAAGUGAACAAGGUCUCUAGAUUGGGUUAAUUGAUUAAUUAGUAGGUCCCGUUAGGUUAAUUAAUCAAUUAUGACCCAAUUUUGGACUAGAUUAAGUGACUUAAGCUCAUGUGGGUUCAAGUUACUUAAGCCUAGUUAGGAACCCUAUAAAUACCUCCUAGGGGUUAGGAUUUCCAUAACUUUUUAUCUUCCACCAUUUAGAUAGAAGAGAAAGUCAUAUCCUCUACCAUUCCAAGCUCCCUAUUGUUUGUGUGCAAAGAAACGAGGUUGAGUUAUCGAGUGGAAGAUCAUGGGUCUAAGAUACUUCCAACGACUUUGAUUUGGUUUUUCAAUACUUGUAUUCAAGGUUUGGAAACAUCCAAACCUAAAGGUUAAUAUUUUAACCCUAAAGGUUAUUUUUUUUGAAAAAUUGGUAUUGCUUCCAUUACUUAGAUCUAAGACGCCAACACUACGAAACUAUUCUUCAUCAAAAGAGUUGAUUUGGGAACAUCCAAAUAAGAGGUAAAGUUUUCUAAUGCACACAUCUAGAUUUUUUUUUUUUGGUUAAAAAUGUAAUUUUUGUUUUCGUUGUAUAAGAUUUAAAUGCCCUAAAGAGUAUUCAUGUACCCAACCUGAGCUUAGGAUAGGGAACAUAGAGAUCUAGGAUUCCCUAUAACAUCGUAUUAUGUAAUGAGUAUAGAAAAAUGGCCACUUAGUAAUACAGGACCUUACAUUGUAAGUUUGGAAUUUGCAAAACAUUGUUUAAGGAUAAUGAUACACAAACAUGGGAAAGUUUAGGAAUGUGUGUUUUGAUAUGUACCUUCAUGUAACAAUUGUAAAAGCCAAAAAUCUAACAUCCUCAUUUGGACUUCAACAAUCCUAUGAAAUUUCUUUCAUUUACAAUCCCAUUUGAUUAUUUUAAUCUCUUUUCUUAUUUUGUAGGGAGCCCUUUAAUUCAAAGACUUUGACAUGUCAAAAGAGCUUGGUGAGGUUGAGAGAGCAAUUUAGAAAAAAUUUAAUGCUACUGUAUUAUAAAACAAUCUUAAGUCAUUUGCCUUGAGUUGGUAAGAGAACUUAUUGCAAUUCAAUCUAGGGUUAUUAUAGACCAUCCAUUUCAGCUCUCAAUGUUGUUUCAAGUAACAUAUCUGAAUGAUAUUUUAUGAAUUUCAUUUAAUAUAAUAUGUGUUCUAAAUGAUGCUUCUUUUUUUAUAAUUAGAGUUAGUCCCUAUUUACUUUUCUUAGAUUUUACCAACUAUAACUAGAAUUCCACCAAUUCCUCUUUUAAAGAAAAAACAUCAGAUUGAUUGUGGGUGUUCAAUUUCUAUUAGAUGUGUGAGCAUCAAACUAAUAUGUGAAGUUUUUUUAUAUAGAAAUAAAAUCUUCAGAUGUUAAUGAGGAUGAAGGCACUUCUUUUGCUCAACAUUACUAAAUUUAAGCUUCAGAUGUCAAUGGGCUCUUUUCUUUAGAUGUCAUGGUAGCAUCUUCAGUUAGUAUUAUUUGCAGCCCAGUUACAGAAGACCCAAGAAGCUAGAUGGGCUUGAGAUGCAUGGAGUGGUAGUUGAGUGAUUUAUCUUAAUGUUGUUGAUUCAACUUUUUGUAUAUAAUGUAGCAAUGACAUUUGCCUAAUAAUAACAUCAUAGUUGAUUCAACACAACAUAAUUAAGCUUAAACUUCUAUAUUAGGCUCAAACGGAUCAUGUAUAUUCUUAUAUUUAAUAAAAAGGGGUCAUAUCAUGACCAUUUAUUGUUCAGCAGAUCAUUUUUCACCAAUGAAAGCGAUAAUCAUUUUAAUGGUUACUAGGCUAUGUUUGAGUAACAUUCUUCACCUAGCCAUUACCUUGUCCACAUGAUAACCUAUAGUAGCAACAAAGAAAAAUUGCAUCCAUAUCAAGACUUAUAGUAGCAGCCAAAGCAUAUCCAUCUCCAUAUUAGCACAUAUGGUUGUGACCAAAAUUAACUCACACUUUUAAGCAUUAUAGGCUCAAAUUUUUUAUAUUUUUACAACCUUAUAGUUGCAGCCACUCUUAACUGCAACUAUACACUACCUUUAGUUGCAAGUAAAUUGAGGUUGUGGUCAUAGUUUUAAUACUUAUGGCCAUACUUUUACAUGUGGCUGCAACUAUAACAUUUCUCUAUACCCCCAUAUGAUCACACCUUGUUGUGGUCUCUUUUGUUCACACCCAUAUCUUAUAGUUGGGCUAAAUUUUUCUUUUAGCCGCAAUUAGUGGAAACUACUAAAAACCCACUUUCUUGUAGUGAUUUAAGAGUUUUGAGAUUAUAAUAACUCUUUUGAUCUUCUCUCUCUAUGGAUAUAAGUGUAUUUUCAUUAAAUCCCAUGAUUCUCAUUUAUUUAUUUAUUUUUAUUUUUUGUUUAUUGUUCCCUUAAUUGAGCAUAACAUAUUGAGAUGAUUAUAUUUUAGAGUUUUCAAUAAUAUAUAAUAGGCCUAAAGGAUAUGGAAGUUUGUGAUAUAUACAUGAAUAAAAAUACUCUUUGACUUAUAAAUGAUCUAAAUAUGGUAAAAAAAGAAAAAAAAAUAAAAACAAAACAAAAAUUGGAAUAAUUAAAUGUUUUUUAAAAGGGAUAAAGAUUCCAUAGAUUUUUUUUCUUCUCUUUUCAUAAUAUAGGCAAUAUCUGUGUAUUCUCUUCCAUGGAUAUAUUAGUUGGAUUAAGAAUAUUAAACAACAUGCAAAAUAUUUAUUAGAGAAAAAAAAAUGCAUUUCUUGAAUAUUCAAUAUUUAUAAAAAAAUUGAACAAAAUAAAAAACUCUCUUAUUGCUAAUUAAUGUCUAUGUUAAGCACUAAAGAAUUCAAAUUUUAAUUUCUCACUAACAAUUAUUUUUUCUCAUAUUAUGUGUACAUACUGGAGGAAGAGAUUACCUAUCCAUAUCUUAUUUAUCUUCUUUAAUGGGAAGAAGAUGUUAGAUAGUGAAAAAUAUAUGAACAAUUGAGGGGUAAAGGUUCUUUAGUCUACAAGUGAGUAUGUCAUUUUAUCCGUCUCUAAUAUUACACCUGAGGGAUAAGAGGUCUCUACUAUACAAGUGAGUAUGUGAUUUUAUCCAUUUGAUAUUUGAUCUCGGAUAGACUAGUGAAAAUUGUCUCAUAUAUAUAUAUAUAUAUAUAUAUUAUAGAUCGUGAAUUUGGUUGCUAUGGCUGGAGAUAUGAUCUAUGACUUUUGCUUUUAUAAUUUUAUGUUUCUGAAAUAUGGAGAUUUUAAUAUUUAUUAUUAUAUAUAUUUUGCAUACUCUGGUAAGGUAAUAUAUUGUUAUUAUACAAAGGCAAAUUAAAUUUUAAAUGCAUUUAUUAUAUUUUGAAUUAGAAAUUUAAAUGUAUUUUCAACUUCAAACCCAAGUUGAUUUUAAUUACUUUAAAAAACAAGUUGUUCUUACAGCCUAAAUUAACUUACAGGAAAUCAACUGUCUAAAUUGAAUCAAAUUGACCUUAAAUAAGAUUCAUUUUAUUGUCGAUGUAGCACAACUUGAAAUAGGAGUCAAUUUAUAGGAAGCUUUUGAAAACACAGUGCACCACAUCCAAGGAAAAAAGAAAUGAGGGUUUUUCAUUCAUCACUAAAAGAUUAGUUUGAUUUUGAUUCAAGUAUAAACCGACCAUGUUAAUUUAGAUUUUUUUUCCUAGUUAUAUAAAUUUUUCAUCCAUUAAAACCUAUAAGUCUCAAUCCAAUGGCUGGAUUUUAUAAUCUUAAUGAUAAUAGCUUAGAAAUCAAUUAUAUAUAAAGAUGGUUAGUUCAUUGAAAAAGUUGUUGGCUCAUAGUUCAUAACCAAUAAAACUAGUGGUUCAAUUGUAAUCAAACUAUCAUGUCAUCAUAAAUAUUUAACUAAUAUAUUAUUUAAAUUAAAAUAAUUAUAAAAAGUUAAAAAUCUAUAAAUAAUUGAAAAUUUAAACAUAUUUUUAUUAUAAAAUUUGAGAAUUUAUUAUAUCGCAGGAAGUUAGGGAUAAUCAUCUUGUCGAGCUGUCAACCGAUUCAAGAAAUUGUAGUAUUUGCUAGGGUCAAUUAGGAUUUUAGCCUUAGAAAGUAUAUAUAUAUAUAUAAAGAAAUUGAAUGAGAAAAAAUAUUCCCAUUUUAUCACAUCUCUUAAUUUCCUAUAAAACGAGACUUGAUAAUGACAUAUUAUUCAAUUUCUUUGUUAGCAUUUUAUUUCGCCUUUCUAAGUUUCUUCUCUUUCUACUUUCUUUUCUACAACAUGUUAUCAACACAAGCCUAUAACAACUGGUUUGAAACAUCAUUUUUUUUUUCCUUCUAAGAUUUCUACAUAAAACAUUAUGAGAAGGUAUUUCAUAAUGUAGUUUUUUUUUUGUGAUUAUUAUAAUUAUUCAUUGUCUUGUGUGAUAUAGAAGAUUACUUAAAUUUUAAUUAUUCAUAGUCUUAAGUUAUGUAAAAUAUUUGUUAAAUUCAUAUAGUAAAAAGCUAUAUGAAAAAUAUUGUGUUUAUAGAUAACCAAAAGUUAUGUAACUAUUAAUAUUAUUCAUAACUAGAGGUUAUGAGAAGUCAAAAGCUAUAUGAAAAAUAUUAUAUUAUUAUACAUAGUCAAUGCAUUAUUAUUAUUAUUAUUCAUAAUAAGAAGUUAUAAAUAUGAGAAUAUUAAUUUAUAAUGUUUAUAUUAGCUAGAGACUAUGUCAAAAAAAAAAAAAGUUGUGGCUUGGAAGUAUUAAAUUUUUUCAUUGUUGUAUGAUGUCUAUCAAAAUGGUAAUAGUUAUAAUUAAUUAAUUAUUGACAUCUGUGCUUACCGUAUGUGCAUACAAGUUGGAAUGAGUUUUAUGCACUUGUAGAGCUAGCCAAGGCCUAGGAGGGGCACAUAACGCCCCUAAAAAUUAAAAUCAUAAUAAGGGUUUUGAACACCCUUAAUCUUCUAUUUAAGGGGAAAACAUGCUUUCCACUACACUAUAUAUAAUUAUCUCUCCAUAUUUUUCCCUCCUGAAAUAAUUCUUUUAUUUGUGCCCCUCCUAGAGCAUAUUCCUAGCUCCGCCACUAGUUUUAUGUAUGAAUUAUGAUACUUCUAUUUUAUGUUUUUUUUCAUUUUACACUUUAAACUAUUAGUGGGAAUUCUAAAAUAUAUAUAUUCCUAAUUCAAUGAAUCAAUGAAAAUAAAUAUUUUAUUUUUGUGAAAACUAUACCCAAAAGAAAACUUUUUAUUAUUAUCUUACAUUAAAAAAAAAUUUGGAUGGUUCUUGAGAUUAAGGUUUGGGUAUAGGAAUUUUUUAUUUUUUAUUUUUAACCCUAUGCAAUCAUUAGAAAAAAAAAGGUUUAUUGCUUGUUUAGUUUGACCUUAUUCAACCACCUAAGCCAUUACUUGAAUUUUUCCAAUCAUGCUACUCUAGUUAGGAUUAUUUAUUUAUUUAUUUUGAAUGGUGUAUGAUUUCUUUUAUUUAUCAUAACGAGUUUAAACUAGUAGAGGAUUAAAAAUCCAUUGUUAGAUAGACUUUUAUAAUUUUAUUUUUAUUUUAAAAAAUAUAAAGCAUUAUCUAGGAGAUUUUUCAAUUGUUAAUUAAAUUUGUCUUAGGCAUUAAUCUUCUUUUGAGGACUUCUAUGUUUGUUGGAUCAACAUCCUACAUGGGGUUUUCUAGUACUUUUCUUUUUAGAAACUUCAAGCUUGUUUAACAAUAUAGCAUUCUUAUAAACAGUCCUACUAAAUCAUGUAGCAUAGUCAUUGGAUACUUACUAUAGUAAUAAUAUAUGUAAUUCUAGGUUGCUUACAUGUUCAUUUUGGGGUUAAUAAAAUAGGAUAUGGUGAACCAUUUUUAUGCACUCUUUUGAUCUACAAUAACAUUGGUUUAAGCUAAUUUUAUGUUAUAGUUAAUCUAGCUUUGGCUAUUGUAUGACAUAUAUAUAUAUUUUAAAUUAUAUUACUCUUCUAUGAAUUUGGGUUUAUUUUUUUUAAUACUUUCUUAUUGCAAUAUUUCAUACAUAGUUCUCUGAUAAUGUCAAACCUCAUCAAACUGGAGUUUGACGCCCUUGAUAUCUUAAGAAAAAACUACUUGUCAUGGAUAUUAGAUAUUAAAAUCCACCUUGAUAUCAUAAACCUUGGGAUAACCUAUAAGGAAAGAAAUGACAUGCCCUUACAAGAUCACGUAAAAGCCUUAAUAUUCCUUCAACAUCAUAUUGAUCAAGGGUUAAAAGGUGAUUAUGUCAUGCUAAAAGAGACUCUCAUUCUUUGAAGCAAUUUGAGAAAAUGAUAUGACUACCAAAAGAUUGUGAUCUUGCCUAGAGCCCAUUAUGAUUGGUUGUAUUUAAGAUUACAAGAUUUUAAGUUUGUCAACAAACACAAUUGUAAUAUCCUUGAAGUAUUAAAAUAUAUACAAAUAUUAAAACAUUGAUAUUAGUAUGUUAAAUUAUGAGAGUUGGAAGUAGAGAUUUUGUAUAAAAGUUCUAGCUAAAUUUGAGGAUUUAUAACUUGAUUAAUAAUCUUAUCAACAGAAUGAUUAGCCACAGAAUGAGAAAAUGAUAAUUAAUGAUUUAUCACUGGUAGUGAUCUAUAGGGAUGGUGGUGGAGGUUUGGAGUUAGUUAAAUUUGAUAGAGAAUUUUUGGGUUUCUUUAAAGAGAAAUUAAUGUUCUCAUAAAUAUGAAUGAGAUAGUAAUUGAAAUUCUUAGAUGAAUUGGGGAUAUAAUUAGCCAUGUACUUAGGAUGAUAAACUAGUUGUGAAGUGGCUUAGAGAUGUACUAAAUGUAGUGAAUUUUUUUUUUUUUUUUUUUGUAAAGGAAUUGCUAGCAUCAACAAUUAGGGUAAUUAUGAUCCUAUGAGUUAGUUGAAAUAUUGUUUGAACUAUUGAUAAUUGUUGCUAAUAGUAGAUAUGUUCUUGGUUGUGAUAUUCUCUAUUAUUAAGACUUAUUGAAAUUUGCAGUAUGAGCAACAUGGAGAGUGUUACUAGCACUUAUAAUUCAUAUUUAAAGUACCAUAAUAAGUGUCCUUAUGAAAAGUAAUAGAGGGCAAGGUCCCUAGGUGAGAGUCCUUAAAAGAAACAUUGUAAAGUAACCUAGGGUGAAAGACUUAAAAGAUCCUUGCAAGAUCCAUGUGUUGAUAUAAUAUGGGGCAUGCAUAGAUGUAUAUCCCUCAGUGAGAGUCCCUAAAAUAUAGGUACCCAUGGCUACAGACAAAUGAUGUGCUACCUAAACAAUAUAUGAAAGUCUUAUAAAAGACAUAUGAUAAACUAGAAAUUAGUGAUUUUAAAAAUAUAUAUUUAUUUGGGUGAUAAUACAUACUUUUGAAUGAAUUCUUGUUUAGUGUUACUAAAAAGCAUGAAGAUCGAUGACAUUUUGUAUGAUCCAUUUUGUGAACAAAUCAUUUUCUACUAAGCUAUGACUUACCUUUAUUUAAAAGUCUAUAUAUCAAACAUAGCUUAAGGGAUUAAGAAGAAGAAAAAAUAGUUAAAGUAUUAUGCAAAGCUUGAAGAUUUUCUAUCGUUUGUGUUCACUAUAAUUUUUUAUUGUAACUAUGUAUAUUAAAAGCUACUUGGUGUUGUACAUGGUAGGAAAAUGAGAGUUAGAAGUUGGUGAAGUAUUGUACAGUUGUGUGUAGGAACCUACAUUGAAGGAUUUUAUUUUAAGGUUAAUAAAAUUUGAUUUUGAUUACAUAAACUCAAGAUUUUCAAUUGUAAAUGAGUUUUUAGUGUUUAUAAUUUUUCAAUUGAAAUUUAUGGAAAUUUAAGAAUGAUGUUUUAGAGGUUUUGAUAUGUUGAAAAAGGAAGAAAAUAUGAAAGUGGGAAAAUCUUAGGGGGUCUAGUGGAGGUGUUGGAGGUACGCAACUUAAGUGGCAUGCCUCUCUUCCCUUGUGUUCUAUAGGUGUGCAACUUAAAUGGUGCAUAAUUUAAGUGGCACACCUCUCUUCCCUUGUGGUUGAUGCACCUUUCUUCCCUUAUGUUCCAUAGGUGCACAACUUAAGUGGCACACCUAUCUCUUUUGCCUUAAAAUGGUUAUUUUUUUACCUUAACAUAGUUGUUUUACCCUAGCAUAGUUAUUACACCUCUCUAUUUUACUUCAACAUAGUUAUCUUUUUAUCCUAACACAAUUAUUUUACUUCAACAUAGUUAUCUUUUUACCCUAGCGCAAUUAUUGCACCUCUCUGUUUUACCUUAGCACAUGUAGUUAUUUUACCUCAACAUAGUUAUUUCCUUAAUACUAUAUUUAUAUUUGAAAACUUAAAAGUAAAUGGAGAGAUAAAUGAUAAAAUAAUAAAUUUUAAUUACAAAUUAACAAUUUUUUUUUUCAAAUUUUCUUCAAAAAAAAAUUCUCCCAAGUAAAAUUGUUGAAGAUAAAAAUCCCAUAAACUCAUUUUGAGUAUCACCAAUAUGAAAACAAUAAAAUUUGUCAUUUUUUUUUUAUCUUAAAUUGCGAAACUUUUAAAAAUGAAAUAUUUCUCAUACUUAGUCAAAUUUUCAACACAACUAAGUCCACAAAUAAGAAAGACUUGAUGUUUUUCCAACUCAACAAGCUUUAUUUAAAAAGCUUUUAAAUGAGAAAAAUUUGGUCUCAAACACUAAAAUUCCCUUCUUAAUUUACAUCUCAAGUACUAAAAUUGUAGGUUAGUCUUUAAUAAUAUUUUAGAACCAUAGUUUUAGAAUUUAGGGCAUGAUAACCACUUUGCAUGAUGAUUCAAAAUUAACACUCAAUUGAAGCUAUGUGGAGAAAAGGUUAUUGAAAAAGACAUGAUAAAAAAGUUAUUUAUUACUUUUCAUACUUCAAAUAUUCAAAAUUAAUGUAGAUUUACCAAAUAUUCAAAAUUAAUUUCAUGCUUUCUAAUUGUAUUCAUUUUUAUCCUUCAUAAUAUUUUCUAUCAUAUAAUAUAAUUUUCUCUCUCAUCCUUGGAGGUAAGCAUGGUUGAUCGAACCACACUAAAACCUUGUGUACCUUUUUGUGUGAUUGUUUUAUUCUUAUGCUUCUUUAUUAAUUUGUUUGCAUAAGAACUUUUUGCAUACCCAAUAAGUGGUAUCAAAGCUUCCACACAAGGAUUAAAAUAUCGGUUUUUAUGAAUAUAUUAGUAACUCGAUUUUACAGAUUUAUCAGGAAAUAUUGACGGAUAUUUUGACACAAAAUAUUAAUAAGAUGAAAAUUGAUCAAAACUCAUGAAAAUGUUGGAAAAAAAAUCUAAAAAAUAAUAAAAGAAGUAACAAUUGACAUUUUGAAAUUAUUUUAUUGAAGAAAUUGAUAUAUAUAUAUAUAUAUAUAUCAAAGCUGUCCUUCUGGAUACCGAGGAGAAGCAGCAGCAGAACAAUCAUGCAGUCAAAGAUUGGGUCCAGAGGCUCAAAGGCGUUGUGUAUGAUGCAGAUGACUUGCUGGAUGACUAUGCGACCUAUUAUCUACAGCGAGGAGGAUUGGCAAGGCAGGUGAGUGAGUUCUUCUCAUCUUCAAACCAAGUUGCAUUUCGUUUUAAGAUGAGUCGUAAACUCGAGGAUAUCAAAGAAAGGGUAGAUGAUAUUGCAAAAGAUAGCCGCCUGUUAAAUCUGAUUCCACGGGACACAAUACACACACGGGUAGAGAAUACCUGGAGAGAUACGCACUCAUUCGUGUUAAAAUCUGGAAUUGUGGGGAGAGAUGAAAAUAAAAAGGAGAUAGUAAACUUGUUGGUGUCAUCUGGCGAUGAGGAAAAUCUUUCUAUUGUUGCCAUUGUAGGUAUUGGGGGAUUGGGUAAGACCACUCUUACUCAAUUGGUAUACAAUAAUGAAAGAGUGGUACAACACUUUGAGCUUAAGUUCAUCAUGUGUCAUUCUUUAUACCAUUGAAUCCUUUGAUAAAGGCUUCAAAGGCAAAAUCAAUAAGAACCCUUUUAAGGCUUGAUAGAAUUGAUUUUAAAGAUGAUUCAACUGUAAAUGCAUUAUUCCUAAGUUUUAAGUGUUUACGUGCCUUGAGCCUAAAUUCGUUGAGUUUGUAUGAGGUCCCAAAAUAUUUAGGCAAAUUGAGUCAUUUAAAAUAUCUUGAUCUUUCCGACAAUUAUUUUGAGAUACUUCCUAAUGCUAUUACAAAGUUAAAGAAUUUGUUAACUCUAAAAGUCCGUAAUUGUCCGAAUUUGAAAAGUUUUCCAAAUUUUACAAGGAAGUUGAUCAAUCUUAGGUACUUGGAGAAUCAUGGGUGUCAUAGAUUGGCUCACAUGCCAUAUGGCAUAGGAGAGUUGACUUUACUUCAAAGGUUACCAUUGUUUAUUGUUGGGAAUGACAGCGAGGGGUCAAGGGAUCAUAAAAUUGGUGGUCUGAUGGAAUUGCAGAGGCUUAACGAACUAAGAGGAUGGCUACACAUAAAAAAUCUUGAAAACGUGACGGAUGUUAUACCAGUAUCCAAGGGAGAAAUUUUGAAAGAAAAACAAUACCUUCGGUCCUUGAUAUUAGAAUGGCAUCAAUAGGGUGAGAAUGAGAAUGAUGAGUUAGUGAUGGAAGGCCUCCAGCCACACCCGAACCUAAAAGAGUUCUUUAUAAAUUGUUAUGGAGGUAGGAGAUUUCCAAGUUGGAUGAUGAAUGAUGGGUUGGGUUCCCUCCUUCCUAACAUAGCUAAAAUUGAAAUGACGUAUUGCUCAAGAUGCCAAAUUCUGCCACCCUUUUCCCAACUCCCUUCUCUCAAGUCUCUGCUGCUUAAUGGUAUGGAAGAGGUGGAGAAUGUGAAGGAGGGUUCAUCAGCAAUGCCAUUCUUCCCAUCUCUUCAAUCCCUCACACUCAGUUGGAUGCCGAAGUUGAAGGGAUUGUCUUUCAAAAUUAUAUAUAAAUUGGUGGCCUAAUUUCACAUCAAUACGACUGGCGUCAUGUCCAUCUCUUUCUAAAUUGUCUAUUGAUUUUUGCUCAAACUUGACAUCCUUUGAACUUCAUUCAUCUCCUCAUCUUUCUGAAUUACAUAUCAAAGAGUGCCAUAAAUUAACAUCCUCGGAUCUGUAUUCAUCUCCUUGUCUUUCUAAUCUAUCUAUUUGUGGUUGCCGUAACUUGACAUCCUUCAAAGCGGCUUCAUUACCUUGUCUUGAGCAACUAAUUCUGAAGAGAGUAAAAAAUGAGGUAUUACAGCAGAUAAUGUCUGUCUCUGCUUCUUCAUUGAGGUCUCUGUCUAUCAAGGGCAUAGAUGAUAUGAUAUCUCUCCCAGAGGAGCUGCUUCAACAUGUCUCCUCUCUCGAAUAUCUCAACAUUAAAGACUGCUAUAAUUUGGCAACAUUACCACAUUGGACAGGCAGCCUCACCUCACUUACAUACCUUGGAAUACAUAGUGCCUAUAAAUUGACAUCACUGCCAGAAGAGACACGGUCCCUCAAAAACCUAUGGCUACUUGAUAUCCUUGGUUGUUUGCAGCUAGAGGAGAGAUGCAGAAAGGAAACAGGUGAAGAUUGGCCCAAGAUCGCCCAUAUCCCAGAAAUUCCCAACCUUUUUUCUCAUUUUCAUUUGCUUCAUUUUUAUUAUCUUACAUUCAAAAUGCUCUGGCAUCAUUUUGUUUUGAUAAUUCUUCAUAUAGCUUGGAAUUCAUGGCAACCCUGAAUUCACAUCAUUACGAGAAGAAUGUGUUCUCUCAAAAUUGACAACUAUUACCUCACAUACAGGGCCUAAUAUACAUUCAUAAUUGCCUUGAAUUCACAUCACUUCUGGAAGAGAUGCAUUCCCUCAAAAACCUGCACACACUUGAUAUCUCUAGUUGUCCACACCUGGAGGAAAGAUGCCAAAAUGAAACAAGUGAAGAAUGGCCCAAGAUUUCUCAUAUCCCACAUCUUUGCCUCGAGGAUGAAGUGAGAACUGAUACAGAAUGGCAUGUCAGGUCCGAAAUCCUUUAUCUUUGUUUCGUUUUGGUAUGUCUUUUGUAUUUGAACCUACUGUGCUUGACUAAAUGCUCACAUCAGUAAGGUUGAAAUUUUUUGCUUCUUCAAACUAACUGUUGAUGCUGUGUACUAAGCUAGGCAUUUUACUUCAAAAGCUUUGAUUUCACCUUGCUGAUAUCAAUGUAUUUGGAGCAUAGAUGGCAUGAUAUCUCUCCCAGAGGAGCCACUGCAACAUGUUUCCAUGAUCCAAAGUUUCAACAUGGAAUACUGCUCUGUUUUGGCAACAUUACCGCACUAGAUAGCCAGCUUCACUUCAUCUAUACACCUUCAUAUUGGUGAUUGCACUGAAUUGACAUCACUGCUGGAAGAGAUGCAUUCUCCUGACACUCAAAAUCUUUCAUUGUCUGCACUUACUUGAAAGAUGCUAAAAAGGAAACAUGUGAAGGCUGACCCAUGAUUGCUCAUAUCCUAAGAAUUCAUACAUGGUGAAGAUUCCAUCAAUUGAGAGAGCCAUUCCACCCGUCGCAUUUUCUUAUAGCUUCAAUUUAAUUCAAUAUUCAUUAAUUAUAUGAAUUCUGUUUUCAUAAUCAUAGUAUGUGUUAGCAUAUACAGCAAUAAUGAUUUUGUUAUUUAUGUUCAGACCUUAACCAUUUGAUGAAAUUCUUAAACAAAUAAGUUUCGAAAUUUUGCUCUCCAAUCAAUUACUAAUGUGAUGUAAACUUAGACAUAGUAAUGAAUUGGUAAUUGAAACCUAAACUAUUUCUUGUUUUUAAGUUUUAUAUUCUAAAAACUUCAGAAAAUUCUAGGGUUGAUAUAAUUAAUAUUUUGUAGCAGAUUUCAUCUUACUUAAAGAUGUGAUUAUUCCUUGGCCCAACUUGAAAUCCGUGUCUGCAUUCGUUCCUUCCCCGAAAUUCAUAUUUACUAGAUGCAAAAAAGACUUCUACUCUCCUUUCAAUUCUUGUCUACUCUUCGCCAUAUGUUUCAGGUAACUCUCUGCCUGCUAUUGAUGGCUAUGUCAUCUUUCAUUUUGCCAUGAUUCUAUCAAGAGUGUAAUACAAUUUGUAAUUAUAUUUGUUGAUUCUAGUACAUACUAAAAUAGUAACAAGAUUGAGCAAGUUAGCAAUAUGUACAGUAUAAAUUUUCUACACUGCUUCCAUUGAAUCUGCUCCAUGUAUAUACUAGCACAGACUAAACAGAACUCCAUGUUGUGCUUUUCAUUAUCUUUAAAACUGACACCAAACAUAACACAGGCAAAAUUUAGUAUGUUAGUCACGUGGCAUGUUCAGUUUUCCCUCUUCUUUGGUGGGCUAGUCCUAUAUGAUUUACAGUCUUCAUGUCUAGAAAAUUUCUUAGAUUAAUAUUUUCUUUUGGCAGAUGUAAUGCUCCCAAAUCAAUGGGAAAGGGACAAUUGUGGGGCUUGGACACCUGACUUCCUUGAGUAAUUGAACUGAGGGUCCUUAAACUAUGUCUCAGUAUCAGUGGCUGCCACACUUGACUUUCUCAAGUAUUUGAAAAUUCAGAGGUGAGAUAGGCUAUGUUUAUGUGUCAACGGAUUCUAAAUUUCAUUACUCUUGAGACCUUUGCAUAGAAGGACGAUGAGGUUGGCAUAUGAACCCCAAGGACUUAGAAUUGAGUCUAUCUCUGCUAUUCUGGAAAUUCUAAAAAUCAUCUAUAGACUGCCUCACAUCUUAGCUUCAAAUUGCUGUGUGCCCUGAAUUGAAAUCAAUUCCAAAAGGACACACCUCUCAGCACUCUCAUGUUGACUAGAAAUGGAUGGAUAAUUCAAAAGCACCCAUAGGCUCUUUAAUCAUGCCACCUACAAUGUAUUUCAGACUCAUGAUCCAACCUCUCUUCCUGCUUUCGUUGGCUUCAUUUUUUAUUGCAUUCAAUGAUCUAAGAAGGUUAUUUUUGUUUAUCUUCUAGAUUAGCCAUCUUUUGUAUACUUUGUGUGUACAUUGGGAGCCUCCUUUUAGGUGUUUUUAGUAUGUUUUCUCUUUUACCUAACAAAAAAAAAUGAUCGAAGAAAGUUAUAUUCUGCUUGUAAUUUUGUUUACUUGGUUCGUAUGCAUUAGCAAAUAUGAAGUGAAAGCAAAUAUGCUGUGUUUAGAAUACCACUUGUAUUAUACAUAAAAAAGUCAUAUAACACUUUGUAUGGUGCAAGCUGUUUCCAUCAUUACUUUAAGAUUUUACUUUGAGUUUGAGAAAAAUUCUGGGUUGAUUUAAUUUCUAUUUUCUUGCAGAUUUCACCUUGGUUAAGAAUUUUUUACUAUUAAUAUCUACCAGAUGUCUAAGGCAUCUAAUAGUGUUCAAACUUUCUGAUGUAUAUUAAAUUCAGGAGGGAUGUCUGCAAUACAUUUCAUCCUUACCCAGAGCUGACAUCAGUGCCAUAAGACAUGGUUGUCCUCAACACCCUAUGGACACUCAGAAUUGGCGAUUGUUCUGGUUUGGCAACAUUAACAGACUCAAUAUGCAGCCUUAUAUCAUUUACAGAGCUUCAAAUGCAUGACUUCCCUGAAUUAACAUCACUGCUAGAAAAGAUGGUUCACUCAAAUCUCUGCAAACACUUAGAAUUGAGGACUUUUCUGGUUUGGCAACACGACCAGACUCGAUAGGCAGCCUCACUUCACUUACAUACUUGAAAUUCAUAGAUGCCUUGAAUUCACAUCACUGCCAAAAGAGACUGGUUUCCUCAUAUCCCUGCAGAAACUCAUAAUCUCUUAAUUGUACAUGUCCAUUGGAAAGAUGUUGAAUGGAAACAAGUGAGGAUUAAACCAAGAUUGCUCAUAACUCAAGAUAUUGAUAUUUGGUGAAGAUUGAAGUGAUAUAAAAGGUUGUUUCAGGUUUGAAAUCCCAUCCUUUCUUCUCAUUUGUUAUGGUUUCAUUUUUAUCAAUAUGUUCUAUUUACAUUCUAUUUUGGUAAUUCUAGCCAUUUUCCUGCUCUAGAGCACUACUUCAUUUUUAUUUUACUAUCAAAAUGUUAAGAGUGUUACACUUUGUUUCAUAAUUUUGUUUUCUUAAUUAUCAUAUGUAUCAAGAGGUAACCAGGUAGUACAAAUGAGCAAUAUCAGUUGAGAACUAGUAACUAUUGCAUAAACCAGUUGCCCUCCCCCAAUCAAUAAAAUUUGAAUUUCGUUUUCCAAAGCUAUUAAUUGCUAGUGCUUUGUAGUUUGAUGGUUAUAGUUGAUAAUCGUUUGCCAAAAUGGUCUUGGUACUUCCCAAAAAAUUUAAUUGUAGAUGUAAUUGUUGCCAAGAAAAAGCGGAUAUUAAUGUCCAUACAUUGUACUCAUAUGAGGAACCUGAAAGUGAGGGUUUGUCAUAAACUAAUUGUCUUUGUCUCAAGUGACUUUGCACCUCAUUGCCCUUGCAACCUUAGAAGCUAUCUGUGUGGUUGGUGUCUCAGCAUCUUACAAUUCUAGAAAUUCUAAAAAUUUUCAACUGUUCUGGUCUUGCAAUUGCCUAGAAGUAAAAUCAUUUCCAAAAGGGAUAUACUCAUGACCAUUCUACAGAAACUCUGAACACUUAAUAGAGAAAUGCCAAAAGGAGAAGUUGAACACUGCUGAUUCAUAAAAUCUAGGGACAAUUGUGUUUUGAAUCUAGCUGGGCCCAAAAAUUAAGUUUUGAUCCAUAUAAGUUGCAUAAUUGAUGGGGAGGAUAUAAAAUAUGAAGAGACCAAUAUACCCUUCAAAACUAUUUUCUACCAUAAUGUUUGACAAACUUUUUUAUCUUAAUUUUUUUUAAAUAAUUAUUCUAAAAAUUUAUUAUUUUUAGAAAAAUAAUUUAAAAAAAUAUAUAUAUAUUCUAAAAAUAUAUCAUUUUAAAAAAAUAAAUUUGACAUAUUUUUAGCUAUUUUUUAUAUACACAAUUUUAAACAUAUAUAUUUUUCAAGAUGUUUGAUUUUAAAAUAAUAAUAAUGAUAAUAAUUUAUUUUUAUUUUUUUUGGAAAAUGAUGUAUUUUUUUCCAAAUCAUUAAAUUAUAUUAAAUUUUAUUGAGGUUUACAAAAGAAAUAAAAUUUAAAUUAAUGUUUUUUUUUUCAUAGUGAACAAAGGUCAAUUUUGGAAAGAUAAAAAAUUAAUAUAAUUCUUUUUAAUUUUCACACUUUUUCUAGGUUUUGGGCCUAAAUAGUGAACUUAUAUGGAUCAAAGCUUAAUUUUUUAGCCCAAUUGGGUCCAAUACACAAUUAUCCCAAAAGAAAAAAAUAUCAAUCUUCCUAAAUAAGUUGAAAUGGUGAGAUUGGAGGAGUAAACUACAUAUGAUGUAAUAUAUUUCUCUCUUCCAACAUAGGCCCAACUAAAUAAUGGGCUUGAGGCAAAGCCCUAACUACUGAACUGAAUGGACUGGGCUUGGUUAUCUAAGAAUUUCAUUUUUCCUUUAAAUCCAAGUAAUUCACCAAUUAAAACCAUGAACAUAUUUGUCUAUAACAAGGGAUUGCAGGAGCCCUUUAAACACUAAAAGUGGGGUUUAAAAGUCAAGAAAGGUUUAUUUCCUUAAAAAUUUUAACAAUAUAAAAAAAUAUAUCUUUAUUUUAAAUGAAAGUAUUUUUAAAAUUAAUUAUUCAUUACAUCUUAUUAACACUCACUACUUAUUAAUAAUUAUAUUUAUAUGGUUUAAAAAAUUAUUACUCUUUUUAAAAUAAGUCCUUGACAAGUUUAUAAAAUAUAGGAGUCGCUAGUUUUUCUAUUUUUAAGAACAAAAGAUGUAUUUAAACGACACCUAAUUCAUUAAAAGAUGUCUCGUAACUAAUUUUAUGAAAUUUUAAAAUUACAUUAAAUUUAAAUGACACACCUAAAAUUAUAUAAAAUUUAAAUCUCAUAAAUUGAAAACUUAAAAAAUGUCAGACCAAAAUUUUCAAAAUUCUUUCUUAAAUUCCCUCAAUUCCAAAUCCCCAACUUUAAGAUUCUGAAUCCAUUUUUUCCUUUUCCAUAUAAAUCCCUUGACUCCAUAAAGACGGUAAAAGAAAAUAAUAACAUUUAGAAACAUACAAUUUUUUUUUUUUUGUUUUUUUUUUUUGUAGAUUUCCCUUCAAAAAAAGUUGCAAGAUGUAAAAGUUUAUAAAUAUUAAAAAGGUAAUUUUUGAAAAUAAAUAAUAUAAUUUUUUUAUUUAUUCCUUUAUUCAUGCAUGCUAAAAAAAGAAGAUAAUAUCCAAAAACCAAGUAAUAAGAAAAAAAAUCAUAAUGGAAAUGUUUAUUUCUUUACUUAUAUUUAAGAAACAAGGUUAGUUCAAAGAAAUUAAAAGAAACACAUUAAAUAAAUUUUCAUUUUUUUUUAAAAAAGUUUUAUUUCGAUUUUUUGGUAGUAUUAUAAUUUGAGAUAGAUUGGAGGAGCAAAGAAGAGAGUCACCGUGAGUAGGUCACACGGGCUUGGGGAAAGGCCCAACUACUCAACUGAAUGGACUGAGCUUGGUUAUCUAACAACUUGUUGCUAGUGCCAUCAUCUUUAUUUGUGGGUAUCUCAGAAUUUCAUUUAACCCUGAAGAUAUUUCUCUACAACAAGGGAUUGGAAUAGCUUUUUAAAUGCAAAAAGUGGGGUUUAAAAGUCAAGCAAGUUUUUAUUUCCUUAAAAUUUUUAACAAAUAAAAGUAUUUUUAAAAAUUCAAUAUUAUUUAAAAAAAAGUUAAAUCAAACCCUUAUUAAGAUGUUAAAAAAAUAUAUUUUUAUUUUGUUUAUCAUUAAAUCUUAUUGACACUCAAUACAUAUUAAUACUUAUAUUUUUGAAAUAGCUUUGAAAAAUUAUUACCUCUUUAAAGUAAGUCUUUGAUAGUUUUUUCUAUUUUUAAAAAUAAAAGUGGUAUUUAAAUAACACCUAAUUUUUCAUUCAUUAAAAUUAUAUGCCUCCCAAAUAGUUUUGUACUGGGAUUUUUUAAUUCCACUUUCAUUAUAAUGCUUCUUAUCAUUUUUAUUUUUUUAUUUUAUUUUUAUGGUUAGAAUCAUUUAACAUUGAAUACAUAUUCAACAAAGCUUUAGCCAAACAAUGGCUAUGAAAAAUUAUAAAUUGAAUGAGUCUAGACAAUGCUUCUUAAAUUUUAUGACUAAAUAGAAAAAAUUAAAAUAUUUGACUCCUUACUAAAUGCUAAAUUAACUUUUUAAAAUAACAAAAACACAAUUUCUACAUAUUAAUGAUUAAUAUUUAAGAAAUAUAAAAUAAAAAAAAUAAACAACUUAAUACUUAAAGUUAUUAAAUCAUAUUUAGAAUUAAAUUAAAUUAAAUUAAAUUAAAUUCUAUUUAAAUUUAAGUAAAACAAUACAAACACCACAUAAGAUUUUCAGCUCUUGAUGUGAGUUCUCUUUAAAAGAUAGUAGAAUUAUACACAAAGCAAUAACAUGAAGAGGUAGUCUACAAAACUCUAUGAAGGAAAAUUAAGAUUUUUAGCUCCUCUCUUUUUCUUUCAUUCAAAUGCUCAAAGCUUAAGUUUUUGUUUAUAUACACAACUUAUAACAUAAAAUGAAUGACUCAACCAAACUAUGAUUCUAAAAUAAUAUCUAAAAAAAUAUAGCACAAUAAUUCAUCCUAUAUAAAUUUAUGAUUUAAUCAAUUUGAUCCCAAUUAAGUACGUGCAUUAUGAGUCACAUUCAUCUUUGUCUUCCAAAUAUUAAAAAGGAAAUUAUAUCCAUAAUUAAUUGCAUGUAACCUUUUGUAAAAAUAUGAUGGAUUUAGAACCCCACUACUUGAUAAUGGAUCCAUUAUUAAAGGUUAUUUAAUGCCACUUUUGCAUUCUAUUCUUUGAAUAAUUUAGUAUUAUUGAGGGGUCAUUGUCUUCCCAUGAGAAUCUUGAAAAAUCCAACCCUUUUGAAAGGGUGUGAAUAAGGUUCCAUAUAUCAGGAGGCUUAUUCGUUAUUUUUCCACCCAAAGCAUCGUUAUGCAUUCAAACUUUUUUUGGUAGGAAAACUGCUCUCUCUCUCUCUCUCUCUCCUUCCCUCCCUCCCUCCCUCCCUCCCUCCCUUUUUCACUAAAUGCUACUGCCUUCACAUUGUAGCCUCACAAGUCAAAUCCAUAGGACCGAUAAGCAUCACACUCUUUCAUAUCAUUUUACUAAGAAUUUAGUCAUUGUAAAAUAGAUUAUGUAUGUGUGAUUGGACAAAAAUUUACUUUGGUGUAACUUGAAGUCUUAUUAUGUCUGAAUCCAAAUAGAAAAUGGCAAAAAACUAUUAUUUAUACUUUAGAUUUCAUAAAAAAAAAUUUACUUAAACAAAAUAUGUAAAAAUAAAAUUUAACUUAAAAAAGGAAAUGGUUUUGCCACUAACUUUGAAUAUCUAGCUGUAAUUAUAUGAUCUAUAGUUCUCAUUAAAAAAGCUCAAAAAGGAAUAUCUAAAUGUAGUAAGAGUGUAUUUGAUAUUGUUUUUAUUUAAAAGGAUUUUAGUGGAAGUGUUUUUCUUUACAAGUGUUUUUGGGAGAAUCACUCAUGAAGUGCUUCUCCACUAAGCAUUGCAAGUGAUUCUCUUAUUGAUCUAUCAAAAAAUUACCUACUUUGUAAUUCUAUUAUAAUAAAUUUGUUAAUUUGAUAGCAAAACAAAAUGAUAUUUUACUUUAUAAGUUUCUUUAGAAAUAAAUUAAUAAAAUGAAUUUAUAUUUGUAAUAUUAUUAGUUGUGAUCGAAUUUGUUAUUUUUUUAUGUUAUAUUAUGAAUUGCUUUAAUAUUAACUACUUUACAUAAAAUCUCAUAACAUGUUGUAUAUAUAACUCAUUUUUUAAUUUAGUAGAUUGUGUAUUCGUUUAGAGAAAUAAGUUGAUAAACUUAUUAUGAUAUAAAGUAUACAAAUUUAAUGUAAGAAUCUUUUGCUUUGUGUCGCAUGAACCAAUGAUUUUUAAGUUCUAACAUAGUUCCUUUACAAAUCUCUCUUCUAAGUUUGGUGGGAAAUGGAAAUAAGCAUAUUGAUGCCUACAAAGUUUCUAUAAUGGAAAUGUGAUCCUUUUCUUUUGCAAAAAAGAAUUAUGGAAAAUAAGAGGAUUUUUUUUUUUGUUAUACAUUUUUUAGAAUAAAAAUAAAUGAUGAACAAGCAUAUUUAAUAACACAUUUAUAAACUUAAAACAGAAUUUUAUAUAAGGUUUAUUAAAAAAAAUGUUAUAAAUAUUAUUUCUUAUAUUUAAAAAUAUAAAUACUUCAAUUACUAAAAUGAUCUAAAAACAAUUUAUUGGCGCUCCCAUUCUCCUUUAGAUUAAAAACUCUUGUUAACAAUGAUUUCCUAUUAAUUUUAAAAAAUCAAACACUAAUGAAUGAUUAAUUAGAGAGAAAUGUUUCCUUCUCUUUUCCUUAGAAGUGAACACUUUGUAAACUAAUGUUUUUCUAGAAGUCCAUUGUCAUUUCCUUUCUGAUUGCAACACAUCCAUAUCAAAGGCCUCUUGGAUGGUAUGGUUAGCUUUAGAAAUAUAUAUUUGGUGUUUCUCUACAACACUCAACAUGUUGGUGGGUUAUUACGAGGAUUGUAUGACUCUUAUAUCUUGUGUAUAUAUUAAAAUGAUAUGAAUGAAUAUAUGAUUAAAUCAACAUGAGCUCAAAUACGUAUGGGCAUGGUGAAUCAAAUUCUCCUUUUCAUCAAAGACGCAAAAAAUAGAUUAAAUUUAGUCCACAGUCACAUUGAACCUUUCCCAAAUAUGACAUAAUUAGAAUCUUUAUCGGAGUACAUGAUAUACAUUAUGGAUUAAAAUCCUAAAAGUGUAAGUUUUCUUGAGAAAAAGGAUUGUAUAACAUAGUGUUGGAUCAUUGUCUUGCAAGAGUUUAUGUAUUUUAAACUUACGUAUGCUUAUUUAAGUUCAUGUGUUCUUCAAGAUGGUUAAUUUGAGAAACAAGUACACCAAAAAAGAAAGGAGACUAGAGGUUGAUGAAAUUUAAGAGUUAAUAUGUGAAUGCUUUGAACAUGAAAGAAUUUUUAAGAAGAUGACAAAGCUAUUCCAUGAAAAGUUAAUUUUACGUAAGGAAUUUCGUCUAAGUCAAAGUAUUGUUCAAUUCCCAUAUGCAUGUCUUAUCUAGGAAAUUGAAAAUAAAGUAGACAAGACCAUAUGAGGUUACAUAAGUCUUUUUGAAUGGGACAAUGAUCAUUAAAUAUCUAAAGUUCAAGGAGAUGUUCAUGGUAGACAACCAUCACUUGAAAAGGUUCAUGGAUAAAAGUGAAAUAUUAGGGAAUUUAUUACCUCACAAGUAAUAGAGGGCAAGACAAGGUAAUUAUAAACAAAUAACAAUAAACAACAACAAUAAUAAAAUAAUUUUUGUUAUCCUAUUUUGCUACUUAGAGGAUAGUGGAAAUUAGAACCUUGCCUAGAGAAAUCAAAGAAAAAAAUAGCUUCUACAUCCAUAGAAUAUAAGUUGAUUUUGAAUUCAACUUCUGAAUUUGAAAUGAUUUCAAAAUUUAACCCAUAAUUUUGAAUUCACUUCUUCAACACUCUACAUACCUAAUUCAAAAUUACUUCCAACAUUUGGAAUUUGUAAUUUUUUAGGGUUUUUUUAGACAUUUUGAUGUAAAUUUAAAGUGGUCAAUUAGGAUUGGCCACAUUUCAUGGUUUUGAUUGUAAUAUAUAAACUUACUUAGUUUUAGGGUUUUAAGAGUCUUGGAUCUAAAGUUUUGUUGAUUCAAUAUACCUAAUUAGCUUUUUCAAUAGAUAUUGUGUGACAAAAUCACCCAUGAGGUAGUUAUCUUGGGUUGUAAAACAUGAAAGUCUAGGUUUACGAUUAGAGAGGAAUAAUGGGUAAAAUAUAGGUACCUAAAAUGAAUUCUAAUAAUUGUUUGAGUAAAGAAAUUGAAUAAUAAACUCUUUAUGUAGAUCCGAUUUUGAGAAGGCACAAUAGAACUUUGUAGAGCUACUAGAGAUUCUUGGCAUUUCUUGAUCCCUAAUUAACAUAAUUUAUCUUAUCGUUACAUAUCCUAAAAGCUAAAUCUACAAGAGGAGUGAGAACUUACACGAUGUGACUUAUACCUGAAUUUGAUGGUAAUUCUUAGGGAUUAAGAUUAAAAAAAAAUAUGUUUUAAAUGCAAUUAUGAUAAUACUAUUGGAAUACUCUCCUCUUUGAUAGGUUGAAUCAUAUCCAUACAAAUAUAAGCCAGCAUUUGGAUCAAACUUUCUCAAAUGUAAGUUUUCAUCAUUAAUUUGAAUCAAGAUGCUUGAUUAGAAAAUUGGAAGUUCUUCAAAGAACUUACAACACAAUAUUAUAGGCAAUCAUUAAGUAAUUAUGAAGAUUUGAAUGGAAAUAAAUUUUAUUUUAAAAAAGCUAGUGAUAAAAAGAGAAAAUUAAAAAUCAUGGAAUUGCUUUUAAAACUAAUUCAAUGGACGGAAAUUUGAGAAAGCCUCCUAACAACCAAAUUAAUUAACCCUAAACAUAACAAUAAAGAAUUAAGGGCAUGGGGGCCUAAACUUCAGUCAAUGUAGGCCUCCAUCUGCAUAUCUAAUUCAUUCAAUGGGCCAUACUUCUAUACUUUUUGAAGAGAAGACUAGACUUUUGCUGCCCCUUGUGUUAUCGAAGGCUAAAACAAAGACUAAUUGCUUUCUCUAUUCCAAGUCUUCUGCAUAUCUAAGCCAUCCAAAUGGAUCAUACUUUUUAUGGAUAAGACUAGACUUCUGGCCUUGUGAUAUGAAGGCCAAGACCAAUACUAUUUGCUUUCUUUAUUCUAAGUCUCUGUGUACCUAACUCAUCUAAUGGGCCACACUUUCCAUGGAUAAGACUAGACUUUUGCCCUCGUGAUAUGAAGGCCAAGACUAAUUGCCUUCUAAGUAGGGUAAUAACAUAAGGAAGUUUCAUAUGGUUUUGUAAUGAAAGUCUAGAUUAUAAGCAUAUAUUUGAUAUAUAUUUUCUCUCAAAUAACAUGUAUAUUUUUUUGUCAAAUGCUCUUUAACAAAACUUUUAUCAUACAUUUUUUUUAUUGUUGUACUAUUUUCCUAUAUCUAAUAUUUUCAAAGCUUCCAUCCUAUUAUGCUAUUUAUAUCUUAGCAACAUUCCUUGCUACCUUACAACAAUUACUUUUAUUUGGAAACCAAUAUGUAUUUAGAUAGAUGACUUCGAACUUCAGAAAAAUUUUGUUCGUCAAUGUAACUUCAUGUACGAUAUAUAUGCAUAUGUUCUGAAAAAAGAAAAUGAAAAAUCGCAAAAUAUACAUGAUAAAUGUUAAGAUUCAUAUAUUGAUGCAAGUACAAAACAAACAAUUCAACAACAAAACUUUCUCCCUUUGAAAGUAAAAAUUAUUUUUACUUGGAAACAACAUUUGUAUAUAAUGAAGAUUUGCAACCUUAAGUUUUUGUCUCUCAAUCUAAUCCACUAGACACAUUUGUGCUUUAAAAGCUCGAACUACUUUAUAGGAAAGACCAAGACUUCUAGCAAUUGAUAUAGAGUUUUCUUUAAAAGCUAAGACUAAGACUACAUAAUUCUUACUUUGUGGAUGAAAAUCAAGAUUUUCAGCUCCUUUGUUUUUCUUUCUUUCUAGUGCCCAAGGUUUAAGUUUGUGUUUUAUAUACAUAACUUAAAACACAAAAUAAAUGACCCAACCAACCUAUGAUUAUCUAGAUAGUACUUUAAAAUAUAUAUAAAUUUAUAAUUUAAUCAAUUUGAUUUCAAUUAUGUAUGGACACUCUGAAUCACAUUCAUCUUUGUCAUCCAGAUAUGAAAAAAAUAAAAAAGUUCAAAUCCAUAAUUAUGCAUCCUAAUCUCUUUUUAAACAUGAGGGAUUUAUAACCCCCCCACUACUUGAUGGACCCUUUCCUAAAGGUGAUUCAAUGCCACUUUGUUUGAUCUUCACAAUCUUUAUCACAUUCUUUGAUCUUUUGCAUUCUUUGAAUAAUUCAAUAUUAUUGAGGGGUCAUUCUCAUUAAAUGAGAAUCUUGAAAAAUCUAACCCUUUUGGACGGGUAUGAGGAAGGUUUCAUAUUAGGGGACCCAUGUCUUACUUAUCCACCUAAAGCAUCAUAAUGCAUUCUCCACCUAUUGUAUUAUAAAAUCAUGCACGAUUUCAAACUUGAUUCUUUAAUACAUUUGAGAGAAAUUAGUAGUUGAAUUUUUUUGUCUUAAUAUGAGUAGUAGAAGAUGUUUUCCACUUCUCCACCUAUUGUAUUAUAAAAUUCAUGCCACAAGUGCGUCUUCAAAAACCACAUCCACUACAUGCGAUAUGUCCACAUUAGCUUGAAUUUUGAUAUAUGUGAAGUUGUUCAAUUUCCCUUUAUAUAUAUAUAUAUAUACUUUUUAUUGUAAUUUUGUGUUACUUUUAUAAGGUUGAGUUUUAUUUUUAAAAACUUUUCAAAAAAUACAAGAGAAAAAAAUUAAAAGAAAAAUAAAAUAUAAAAAAGUAUAUAAAAGUAAAAAAGAAAAUAGAUUUAAAACUAAUGAAUUAUUUUUAAUUAGUUUCUCAAAUUCAUUUCAUUUAAUUUCUUUAUUUAUAUAAAAUUAAAUAAUUUAAAAAUAUAUAAUUAUUUUGAUUUGAUUUUUCUAUUAUAAAUCAAAUACCAGAAAAUAAUUUUUCUUAGUUUUUUUUUCGUUUUUUCUAUAUAUCUUUCAUAUGUAUAAAUCAAUGGAGCCACACCCCUUCAACAACCCUUAAUCAUGUUGUAUCCAUAAUAAUAAUUCACUUUUUUUUUUUUUUUUUCAUAUCAGUUCACAUGUGACCUGAUCAUGAGCAACUAGGCAUCGUCUAAGCUGUACCUCUGGAUGCUGAGGAAACACAACCAUAUUUUCUAUCAUGUCACAUUGGACUUGGAAUAGUUCCAGGUAGACAAGUUAAUAAUAGAUUUGAAAUCUUCACCCAUUAAUUUAAGUUCUUCAUCUAAUGUCCAUAUUUUUCUACCAGGCCACAUAGGACUUUGAAUAGUUUAAAGUGACCAUGUUACCUAAUUAAUUUGGAGAGUACUUUGCAUACUGGAUAGAUCACUAACCUCAUUUAAAUAAUAAAAUCUUCUAAAUUCUUUUUUUUUUUUUUUUCUGAUUUGACAUGAUUAUGCUUUAUUUUAUAAAUUAAUUAAUAAUUAUAUUUAUUUAUCUUGGCUUCCCGUACACAUUUUAUGAAAAUAUUAUCCAUGUAUGUAAUACUCAAGAUGAAUGCACCCUUACAAUUAAAUUCAUCUUUUAAAUUUGAAAAAAAAAACUAAAAAUUAAUAUUUUUUUAAUUAACAUUUAAGUAAUAAAAAUAACAUAACCAAUUUAAUUUUUGGUUUUUCAUUUUUAAAAAAUUACUCUUAUAUUUCACAACUUUUCAUCCUUAAUGUGCUACAAAUCAUUUUACCACUAUAAGGGUUAUGAAAUAAAAAUCAUGUGUGUGGAAUAAAUAAGGAAAAGAAAAUUAAAUUAUCUUAUUAUUUUGCCAUGUAAUUUCGAUUCCUAAACUUUCCUCAAAUCUUUUUGUUUAUAUUUGAUUCUUGGAAAAUGACACUAAAAAAUUAAAAAAAAAUUAUUUUCUAAUGUUUGGUUUUCAUAUAGAAGAUAUCGGAUAUAACUAAAAUUAGUUAAAAAAAUUUGUAUUUUAAAAUUAUUUAUUUCUUAUGUUGAAAAGUUAAAAUAAGUAAAAUGAGUUUAAAGGACAUACAAAUAAUUUAUUAAAUUAAAAACUAUUUUUAAUUUUUAUUCAUUUUUUCUUCACAUUUUCUAUUAAACUUACGGAGAACCAAACACAUCCUUAGUAUUUUCCUUCUUUAUUUGUUAAUGUCGUUUUCCCUUAUCUUUUUCCAUAGUAAUUAAAAAUAAUAAAUUUGUUCCCUUUUCUUUUAGGUUAUGUUUGGUUUUUAGAAAAUUUGAGGGAAAAAAAAUAAAAAGAAAAAAUGGAAGAAAAGAAAAAAUAAAGGAAAAUAAAAAAAGAUUUAAAAUUAAUAACUUAUUUUUAUAUGUUUUUUCAAAUUCAUUUCACUUAAUUUCUUCUAUUAUAUAAAGAUUAAAUAAUUUUAAAUUGUAUAAAAUUUUAACUAAUUUUAAUUAUAUUUAAUUAUUUUUAAAAAUUUAUAAUAAAACCAAAUAUGAGAAAAUUAUCAUCCUUUUCAUUUUUUUUCUUUCCCGAUCACCAAACAUAACCUUACCAUUUUUCCAAAUUUCGGAUUCGUACGUUUGAAUAAUCAGCCUCAUGUCCAUCCAAAAGGAACUGAAUGAGCAUAAAUGGUACAUCAAUUUUAUAUUGACGGCCUUCAGUACCUUUAAUUGCAGCUUGUUGACUUGUCCACCGAAUCCAUGAUAUCAGCCAGUACCCACGUGACUUGGCCCAUCUCAUCCACCCCGAUAAAGAUAUCUCUUACUUUGUUCCCUAUUCUCUCACAAUUCCCUCAGCUUCUCAUCUUGUACGUGCUGUAUUUUCUUGGCUUUCUGCAACUUUGAGUUGUUCCAAAAUGGCUGGCCAAAUUCCAUUCGGUGUUGUGGAGCACAUUUUGACCAAGUUGGGGUCCAAGGCGUUUCAAGAAAUUGGAUCCAUGUAUGGUAUUCCAAAGGAGAUGACCAAGCUCAAUGGGAAACUGGGCACCAUCAAGGCUGUGCUUUUGGAUGCCGAGGAGAAGCAGCAGCAGCAGAGCAAUCGUGCAGUCAAAGAUUGGGUCCGGAGGUUCAGAGGUGUUGUUUAUGACGCAGAUGACUUGCUGGAUGACUAUGCAACCCAUUAUCUUCAGCGAGGAGGAUUGGCAAGGCAGGUCAGUGACUUCUUCUCAUCUGAAAAUCAAGUUGCUUUUCGUUUUAAGAUGAGUCAUAGACUCGAGGAUAUCAAAGAAAGGCUAGAUGAUGUUGCAAACGACAUCCCCAUGUUAAAUCUCAUUCCACGGGACAUAGUACUACACACACGGGAAGAGAAUAGUGGGAGAGAAACCCACUCAUUCUUGUUGCCGUCUGAAAUUGUAGGAAGAGAAGAAAACAAAGAGGAGAUAAUAAGGAAGCUGUCAUCUAACAAUGAAGAAAUUCUUUCCGUUGUUGCCAUUGUUGGCUUUGGGGGAUUGGGUAAGACCACCCUCACUCAAUUGGUAUACAAUGACGAAAGAGUAAAACAUUUUGAGCAUAAGACAUGGGUUUGCAUUUCUGAUGAUUCUGGUGAUGGUCUUGACGUCAAACUGUGGGUCAAAAAGAUUUUAAAAUCUAUGGGAGUUCAGGAUGUGGAGAGUCUGACCUUGGAUGGUUUGAAAGACAAGCUUCACGAAAAAAUAAGUCAAAAGAAGUACUUGUUAGUACUUGAUGAUGUUUGGAACGAAAAUCCUGGAAAAUGGUAUGAAGUGAAAAAAUUGUUGAUGGUUGGUGCUAGAGGUAGUAAAAUUAUAGUAACCACCCGAAAACUUAAUGUUGCAUCCAUUAUGGAAGAUAAGUCUCCCGUUAGUUUGAAAGGUCUAGGAGAAAAGGAGUCUUGGGCUUUAUUUUCAAAAUUUGCAUUUACAGAACAGGAGAUUUUGAAGCCAGAAAUUGUAGAAAUUGGAGAAGAAAUUGCAAAAAUGUGCAAGGGAGUUCCUCUCAUUAUUAAGACUUUAGCAAUGAUAUUGCAUUCUAAAAGAGAACUGGGAUUGUGGUUGUCUAUUAGAAACAAUAUUAAAAAUUUGUUAUCACUUGGAGAUGAAAAUGAGAAUGUUCUACGGGUGUUGAAACUAAGUUAUGAUAAUUUGCCAACACAUUUGAAACAAUGUUUUACAUAUUGUGCUUUAUUUCCAAAAGACUAUAAAAUUGAGAAAAAGUUGUUGGUACAAUUAUGGAUCGCACAAGGUUACAUUCAAUCUGCAAAUGGGAAUGAGCAAUUAGAGGAUAUAGGAAAUCAAUAUUUUGAGGAAUUAUUGUCAAGGUCAUUGUUGGAGAAGGCGGGAAAGAAUCCUUUUACUAAUACAUUAAGUUGUAAAAUGCAUGACCUUAUACAUGAUCUUGCAUAAUCAAUUGUAGGAUCUGAGAUCCUUGUUUUAAGAAGUGAUGUAAAUUACAUUCCAGAAGAAGCUCAUCAUGUAUCAUUGUUUGAAGAGGUAAAUCCUAUGAUAAAAGCUCCAAAGGGAAAAGCCAUAAGGACCUUUUUACCAUGGGAAUAUAAUUUUGAAUCUGAUAGUAAAAUUGUGAAUUCAUUUAUUUCAAGUUUUACAUGUUUACGUGUGUUGAGCUUAGAUGCUUUUCAUGUAAAGAAAGUGCCAAAGUAUUUAGGCAAAUUGAGUCAUUUAAGGUAUCUUGAUCUUUCCUUCAACGAUUUCAAGGUACUUCCAAAUGCUAUUACAAAGUUAUAGAAUUUGCAAACACUCAAACUUGAAGGGUGUAGUAAUUUGAAAAGAUUUCCAAAAAAUUUAGGGGAAUUGAUCAAUCUUAAACACUUGGAGAAUGAUGUAUGUAUUGCCUUGACUCAUAUGCCACGUGGAAUAGAAAAGUUGACUUUACUUCAAAGUCUACCAUUGUUUGUUGUUGGGAAUGAGACAGGGUGGUUAAGGAAUCACAAAAUUGGUAGCUUGAGUGAGUUGAAAAGCCUGAACCAUCUAAGAGGAGGGUUAUGCAUACGAAAUCUUCAAAACGUGAGGGAUAUUGAACUGGUAUCCAAGGGAGAAAUUUUGGAACGAAAACAAUAUCUUCAGUCCUUGAGAUUGGAAUGGAAACGGUCGGGCCAAGAUGGGGGGGAUGAGGGUGAUAAGUCAAUGAUGGAAGGCCUUCAACCACACCCACACCUAAAGGAUAUCUUUAUAGAAGGUUAUGGAGGUACGGAGUUUCCAAGUUGGAUGAUGAAUGAUGGGUUGGGUUCCCUGCUUCCCUGCCUAAUUAAAAUUGAAAUUUCGAGAUGUUCAAGAUGCAAAAUUCUGCCACCCUUUUCUCAACUCCCUUCUCUCAAGUCUUUGAAGCUUCAAAACAUGAAAGAAGUGGUGGAGUUGAAUGAGGAUUCAUCAGCAACGCCACUCUUCCCAUCUCUUGAAUCGCUCGGACUCUUUAACAUGCCAAAGUUGAAGGAAUUGUGGAGGAUGGACUUACUAGCAGAGGAAGUUCCUACAUUUUCUCAUCUUUCUCAAUUAGAGAUCAGAAAUUGCCAUAACUUGGCAUCCUUGGAACUGCAUUCAUCUCCUUGUCUUUCUCAAUUAAAGAUCAUCGAUUGCCCUGGCUUCUUAUCCUUGGAACUGCAUUCAUCUCCUUCUCUUUCUCGAUUAACAAUUGAUGAUUGCCCAAACUUGACAUCCAUGGAACUGCCGUCAUCUCUUUGUCUUUCUCAAUUAGAUAUCAGAAAGUGCCCUAACUUGGCAUCCUUCAAAGUGGCUCCAUUACCUUCUCUUGAGACACUAUCUCUGUUUACAGUUAGAUAUGAUGUGAUACGGCAGAUAAUGUUUGUCUCUUCGUUGAGGUCUCUGUCUAUUGGAAGCAUAGAUGAUAUGAUAUCUCUCCCAAAGGAGCUACUUCAACAUGUUUCUGGCUUGGUAACGUUACAGAUCCGUGAGUGUCCUAACUUGCAAUCCUUGGAACUGCCCUCAUCCCAUUGUCUUUCUAAAUUAAAGAUCAUAAAAUGCCCUAACUUGGCAUCCUUCAAUGUGGCUUCAUUACCUCGUCUUGAGGAACUAAGCCUGCGUGGAGUCAGUGCAGAGGUACUGAGGCAGUUAAUGUUUGUCUCUGCUUCUUCUUCAUUGAAGUCUCUGGGUAUAUGGGAGAUUGAUGGUAUGAUAUCUCUCCCAGAGGAGCCGCUUCAAUAUGUUUCCACUCUCGAAACCCUCUACAUUGUCAAGUGCUCUGGUUUGGCAACAUUACUACACUGGAUGGGCAGCCUUUCCUCACUUACGGAACUUAUUAUUUACAACUGCUCGGAAUUGACAUCACUGCCAGAAGAGAUCUAUUCCCUUGAAAAACUGCAGACAUUUUAUUUCUGUGAUUAUCCACACCUAGAGGAAAGAUACAACAAGGAAACAGGUGAAGACCGGGCCAAGAUUGAUCAUCUCCCACGUAUUUAUUUCGAAAAGGAUUUUCCUAUGAGAUAUAAGGUCCGAAAUCCCUAACCUUUCUUCCCAUUUUUAUUAUUUAAGAAUCAAAAUGCUCACAUUAAUAAUUUUGAAAAUUUUUUCCAGCUUUACUGCGUUUUCUGAUGCUGUGCACUAAACUAAUCAUUUUACUUGGAGUUGUACAUUCUAAGAGUUUGAGGAAAUACUGAGGUCUGAUAUGAUAACUCUCAAUCUUAAACGUUGUUUUGUGUUUGGAACGUUACUACACUUGAUACAUACCCUCACCUCACUUACAGAGCUUUGAAAUCGUGGCUGCCCUGAAUCGACAUCACUUACAUACCCUCAAAAACCUGCAGACACUUAACAAUCUGCAUCUGUUCACACUUAAGAGGAAAGAUGCCGAAAGCAAAGGUGAAGACUAACCCAAGAUUGCUCAUAUGCCACAAAUUGAUAUCAUACAUCCAUGAAGAUUGAACUGAUACACAAUGCCUUUCAGGUCCGAAAUCCCUAACUUUUCUUCUCAUUUUCUAUGACUUCAUUUUCAUAUCUUACUUUUAAAAUGCUCUGUUUUCAUUUGUUUUGGCAGUUCUUUGUAUUUGCACCUUACUUGUUUGAUUAAAUGCUUACUUCAGUUGAGUUUGAAAAUUUUUACAUCUUCAAAUUAUUUUACUGUAAGUGUUUUGCAUUCUAAGAGUUUGAGGAAAUACUGAGCUCUAAUAUUACUAGUAGAGUCCACCGUUCCUAAGAAGCUUACCAUUGCCUAAUGCCCAAAGGAUCCCGAAAGGAGAGAACUUUGGAUUGGCUUGAAGAUUUCACAUGGUCCAAAAAUUUGUAUUUACUAGACGCCUGAUACAAAAAGUAGUUUAAAUUUAGCCAUUAAUAUAACUUUUUUAUUAGAGAAAUAAUUGUCAAACAAAUGCAAAAUAGAAAAUGGUGUUAAUGAAUUCAGUACUUCAUCUAUGUUGCAGUUUAGCAGCUUUUGUUAGAUAAAGAGUAUGGGGUUGGGUUUAUCAUGUUACCAUUCCAAAUAUUCUUAAAAAAAAUCAUCAAGGCUUUGUUUGGUUUCUUGAAAAUUUGAGGGAAAAAAUAAAGAGAAAAAGUGGAAGGAAAAAAAAAAGUGGAAGUCAAUAAAUUAUUUUUCUAUUAUACUUUAAACUCAUUUCACUUUUUUUAACUCUUUGAUUUAAAGAUUAAAUAAUUUGAAAAUGUAUAAAUUUGUAAUUAAUCUUAAUUAUAUUUGAUUUUCUUUGGUAUUUUCCAUAGGACAAUUAAACUUGAGAAAAUCAUUUUCCUUAACAUUAUUUUCUCAAUACUUUUUGGAAACCAAACAUAACCUAAAUGUUCUAGUUUAGUUUAGCAGCUUCAUCAAAUUAGAUAGACAACCUCACAUCUCUUAUUCAGCUGAGGUGCUAUGUUAGUUAAUGUUUUGUCUCUACUUCUUCAUUGAAGUCUAUCUAUUGGGUGCACAGAUGAUAUGAUCCAAACUCAAAUUGAACACUACUCUUGUUUUGCAACAUUACUGCACUGGAAAGGCAACUUGAACUCACUUAUAGACCUACCUAUUGGUGACUGCAUUGAAUUGACAUCACCUUGGAAGAGAUGUGUUCCACAUGGAAAAUCUUUCAUUAUAUGCACCUACUUGCAAGAUACCAAAAGGAAACAGGUGAAUACUUGCCCAAGAAUACAGAGGGCCACACUUGGUGAAGGUUUCAUCAGUAAGGAGAACCAUUUCAAGUAUGAAAU